AUUGAGGGACAACAAGAAGAUCAAGGUUGUCAUUCACCAUAUCAUCAUCAGCAAUACUGUGCCACGGCUGGACGUUCACAGUCUCCGACCACUUAUUACCUGAAAAAUUCAUAUUAGAAAAUAUAUUUAUAAAUGCAUAUACUAAAAUAAGAAUUAUAAAUGAAAUAAACUGAAAUGAAGUUGGCCUGUAAACCUGCACAGGUAGUUUCCAUGUUCACACAGAAAGAUCUCUGCUUACGGGGAAGAAAGCUCAAAAGUAAUUAAGUUGCUUUUGCGAUUUCUUGCUUCCGGUUUGAUAAUUUGAUGUAAUAUAUAUAGGUGAUUCAAGUAUGCCUCUUGAUUCCCAAAAGAAAAAAAAGGUAUGCUGUUGGAUAAGUAGAUAAAGAAUAACCGGCUACAGUUCAAUUACACUAAUUACAAGGGAAAACUGUCGCAAUUAACACGUGCAGACUUUUCUUUCGCAUCUCAUUGCUACAAUAAUUUUGGAAAUUACAAAGUUUCUUUUAGUCGGUUUCGUCUUGGACAUAGCUAGUGAAAGAUGGUUUUGGAAAUGAAAAUUUCCAAUUACCAAUUUCAAUUUUGUUAUUAAAAAGAAAAUCAUUCCGUCAAAAGUUUAUUUUCUAACAUAUAAAAGGGGAAAAUAAAAUAAAAAAGCUUAAAUUCAAAGUGAUGAAAUUUUAAUAGUUUAAAUAUUUGGAUUGUCAUGUUUGACAAUGGUUCUUAAUUUGUUUAUAGUCUUACGAUAUUUUUUCUUUGUUUGACGUAAGUGUGAGACAACAAUGAAAAUUUGUCUAUUCCAAUUUUAUUAAGAUCUUAUCAUCAGAAUAAUAAUAAUCAAAUUUGUUUGAUUGUAUAAGAAAAUUUGUAUGAUAAAUUAUAAAUGGACUAUUAUUAUAAUUAUUUUAAAUAAUCGAAUUUGGUAGACUUGAUCAAUUGAGCCAAUAAAAGAAAUAAAGUCACUAAUGUCCUAUUAAAAAACUUGACAUGCAUUAUGCAUAUCUCCAAAUAAUUCAAAUGAGAAACAUAUCAAAUUAGUGAAGAUCAAUUUCCAAUUCGUAACAGAUGUUAAUAACGCAGGCAUGCAUAAAUGAAACAAUUAAUAAAAUGAUACAAACAUGGAAAGAGACAGAUUUUACUUGUUUAAUUAUUAUUCAAUAACAAUUUCCCUGAUACCCCAAAAAGAAUAAUAUAAUUUCCAGGCCAAAGCAAAUAAUAAUUCAAGGUUGGCAUAGAUUAGAGAUCGACGGCUGAAUUUUUAUCUUUUACGUGAGAUUAACUACGGUUGAAGUGCAUAUUCCAAACGUGGGUCCAGAGAAUAAAUAAUUGUACAUAAGAAGACAAAGUAGUAAUGCCCAUAACGUGGGAGAUAAAAUGGGCGCACAGUUUAGGUAAGAUUAAAACGGAGCUUCAGGAUGUAUCCUAGUCGCAGUCUCGCAGAUUGCAAAAAUAAAUAUGGAAAAGUUGCUUCUGGUUUAUCCAAAAAAUCCAAAGGAUAUGUUUUAUUUAAAAGUUGAAAUCAUAAAUUUGCCUCAUUGGAUUAAUUAAAUGCAUCAAAUUCAAGUUCAAAUUUAUUUUACAAUCACAAAAAAACUUAUCUAUUUAUUAGUUAUUUGUCCAAUUGCAUAAUUUAAAUGCUCGAAAUCUAAUUAAAUCCAUUAAAAACAAGGUCUAAGAUCUAAUAUAUUUGAUCCAAUUUACCAAAUGUCUAAUUUAAUAUUAAAAAGCCAUCAAAAUGAAAUUUAUUAUUUGAAAAAGAGAACAAAAACUCUAUUUAUUUUCUUGUUUAAAAUGUCGGAUCUCAAUAAUUUUGAAUUAUAUAUCAUUAAAUCUUACUCGAAUUUAGGCCCACUAAGAUUUAGUUAAAGAUAAUUCUCUAAUUUGAAAUUGAAUUUUUCCAUAAAUAAUUUAUUUGAUGUAAUAUAUGGGCUCGUUUGGUAUGCCGGAUUGGAUUGGAUUGGAUAAGAUUGGAUUGAAUUAGAUAAUACUGGAUUAUAUAUAAUAUUAUGUUGUGUUUAGUGCAAUAUUUGAUUGGACUAUAAAUAAUCAUGUUUUAUAUUAGGGAUAUUAUCAUUUUCUCACCAAAGGUAUUCUGACACAUCAUGUCAGUACCACGGUUUGGUAAAACCAUCAGUUUACCACCAAACGUUUAAACUGUUAGCAUUUUCCCACCAUUCCCCGUUAAAACUCAGUUAAUAUGUAACGGAAAAUUCAUAUUAACUGAGUUUUAACAGAAUCGUGGGAAAAUGCUAAUAGUUUAAACAUUUGGUGGUAAACUGAUGGUUUUACCAAAUCGUGGUACUGACAUGAUGUGUCAGAAUACCUUUGGUGGGAAAAUGAUAAUAUCCCUUUAUAUUAUAAUAUUACAAUUUACAAGUUAUUAUUAUUAUUAAUAUUAUUAUAGACUAAAAUUUUGUAUUAUUAAUUAUACAAAUCAGCCUCAAUGACAUUAAUGAAAUAUAAAUCAUAAUUUAAACAAUUUUUAUUUUGUUAAAUAUGUAUAUGAUAUUUAUAUUAUUUUUAUUCAAUAAUAUCUUAUUUUAUAAAAAUUUAUCUUUUUGAAUACUAAUUUAAUAAUUAAUUUAUAAUGUAAAUUUGGAAUUAUAAAAAUAUUUAAUAAUUAAAUAAAUUAAAAUAGAAUUUUAAUUUAAUGUGAAAUUAAUAAUGAUUUUUAGUAUAAUUUAUUAUUUACAUUAUUAAAAUCAAUAUUUUUUAUUACAUUUAUCACAUAUUACUAUAAUUUUAAUAUUUAUAAAUUAUUAUGUUUAAUUGAGUUAUCAAUAUAAUCCAAUACUAAUCCAUGACCCCCCAGGAUAAUUUCCUUUACAAAUUUAAGAUUAGCUUGUGAGUCCAAGAUAACUAAAUUCCAAUACCCUUGAUAGCACCAAACAUGAGAUAAAGAUAAAAUUUUAAAAACAGAGUCCAAUCCCCACUUUUAAUCCUCCAACCAAACAUGCCCAUAUAUGUCUGCCUAUAUAUGGAUUGAAGGUGAGUGCACUGUAUAUAAUGAAUCAAAAGGAUUGUGAGUCCGAUUCGGAGAAAGAAUCACGUUCCUAUUAGUUGUACAGAAAAAUUGCGGUAGAUAAAUUAGUAAUUAAUUUCAUAGUUAAAUAGGAAUGGAAAAGGGAGAAUCAAUUCAAAUAAAAAAGAACAGAAGAAUAAGAAUAAUUAGCUAACUGGCCAUCAAUUUUUAUCUUUUUAUAAGAAUAAGAAUAAUUAGCUAAUUUUUUCUUUUCUAAGAAUAAGAAUAAUAAUUUAUUCGGCCAGAUUUUUGCAUUAAUAGAUAUCGAUAGUUGUCCCAUAGGUGGUUAGAAUAAUUAGCUAGCUCGCCGGAUCAUUUUUUUUUCUUUUAUAAGAAUAAGAACAAUAAUCGAACAGGCUAAUUUUUACUUUUCUAAGAAUAAGAAUAAUAAUCUAUUCGUCCAGAAUUUUGCGCUUCUUGAAAUAUUCUCAUGUCAAUAAGAUAUGAUUUAUUACUAAAAUUUAAUUGAAAUUUGCGUGAAGAAGAUGAUUUACUACUGAAAUUUAAUUGACAAUUGCAUAAAGAUGAAGUGCAGUUUAUCAUUACAGUUUGAGAAGUGAUGAACUUGGAAGCUAAGAAAUAAGUUUAAACUUCCGUUAGUUUUCAAUUUUAAUUAGUUAACGAGGUUAGGUUUUGGCGUUUAGAUAGGAAAAUUGUAAAUAAAUUGAGUGGAUUCCCACUCCCACUCCCCACUCCAAAAAUGGGUGGGGCCCACAGAGUGGGAUUCCCAAUCCCUCCUUAUUUUAAGUAAGUAAACGCUGGAGUGGGAGUAAUCCACACUCCUCACUCCCACUCCAGCAAGUAAACACAGCAUUAAUGAAUGCAUCAAAUCCUAUAAUUCUUACUCUCUUCUUAUUCCUUACACUCAAAAUUUCUUCCUACCGAAAAUUUUUGGAUUUUUAAUCCAAUAUUGUUAGAUCUUUAAUCUAACGUUGGGCUUAUAUGUGAAUGAUUAUGUGUUGCAGACUGUCAUAUAAGGUUAAACCAAAUUAAAAGUUAUCCAUUUAGAUUUUUGAUAUUAUGGGCUUUAAUGUAUCUAAUACGGUGUGAGACUUAAUGUGUAGAGACCCGAUAAUAUUCUAAUUCUAUGAUGGGCAAAAUUAGGAAUACCCAGUGACAACAGGAAAAUGUUGUCUAUAUAAGUGGUUAUGGUCCCUAGGUCACACGUAUCUUUCUAUUCUUUCUGAAAUCCCAUCGUUGGAGAGAGCCCUGAGAAAACUUAAAAGAUUCUCUAGGAGAACGUGUAGAUAUGGAAGGCCAACCACACAACCCUAAAGAGCAAUUCAGCGUUAUGAAUUCAUGUACACUUCCGCAUAAUUUUGCUAUUAAUUCUUGGUGAUACAACAUGAAUAUUUCUAGGUAUAGGUGAUGGUUUUCACCAAAUGUUUUUCUUGUUCCAACAAGUGGUAUCAGAGCCUCUUCAUGUUGAAUCAUUGAGAAUCAAUUAUAAUUUUGAUUAAGGAUUAAACAUUUUGGUGUCCUUAAAUCAUUAAAUUUGAGAACAAAAUUAAAUAAAUUUGGAAUUAACAAAAAUAAAUAUUCUGAAAUUCGGUUUCAUAAUUUCGGUUUCCUAAAGGCUCAAAGUUUUGAGGUGGACGGUUGCCAUUGUCGUUAAGGUUCAUGGCUAAGGUAUCAAACGCGACUGAGAUUUGAUGGCCAUCAUGCGGUUGUUGGGUUUCAUGGCAGCAAAGCACAGCACCAUGCGUGGCUGGGCUAUGGCGUGUUGUACACAAUUUGCGCGGUUGGCAACGUGACUCACAUUGCUGGUGCGCGAUUUUCGCUGAUGCAGCGCACUGCCGCGCUGAAGAGGAAGAGAGUCGCGGCAUGAGGGAGAAGAAAAGCAACAGCCACAAUUGCAACAUAAAAGGGAAAGGAAACCGAAGAAAAAAAAUGUUUCAAGGUUUUGGCUGGCGCCUUCACGCCGCGACGAAGGAGAGGCAGCGGCGACUGAGGUUGAGGCCGCCGCUCAAAGAAUUAAAGAAUAAAAUUAGGCUUUUUUAUUUGGGGCCGGUCUGGUCCAGUUCUGUUCAACCCGAACCAGUCUAUUUUAGAACCGGUCAAUGGUUUGAACAGGUCAAAGUUUGACCAGUCAAUGGUUGACCGUUGAUCGGUCAAAAUUUGACUUUGACCUGAAUUUUUUAAUUUUUGAGUAAUUUUUCUGCAAUUUUAAAUUCAAAUAUUGAUAGGUUUAUAUGUGUUUUAAGAUAGAUUAAAUGAAGCAACAUGUCGCCAAAGUGACCUCUCUUGUGGAAAUUAAUUUAUUUUGGAAUAUAAAAAGUUUUGUACAUGUAAUUCUGUAAAUACCGAUCGGCCCAAAGGAAGGUCCAUGUUUGAUAGAGUUGCAUGUGCACCUAUGGUAAUGAACACGUGAUGAUUAUUCAAUUUUACAUGUGAGUAAUAAAUCGGCCCAAAGGAAGAUUUAUUGUUUAACAUGUUCUUAUCAUCAGUGUUUGAUUACUACACCAUGAUAUCACUUACAAGUUAAUAUUUUGUCGAAAGAUGAAAUAUUAAUAAAGUGUCUGAUAUCUUGAGAUGGGGUUUUCCUUUAUUUGAAUUUAAUUUUAUUUUAAGACUAAUAUGAGCUUGAUUUGUUUAUUUGUUGUUUUUUGUUAAGUUAUGUCUACGACUAAUAUUACUACCAACAUCAAUUCCAUUUCUAUGCUAAAUGGCUCUAACUUCAAAUCAUGGCAUGAGAACCUUUCUAGUUCUCGUGGUCAUGGAUCUUGACCUUGCGUUAAGGGUUGAUUUUCCCCAACCGCUCACAGAUAAAAGUACUCUGAUAAUAAAAGGGAAAUGGAAAAGUGGGAGAGAUCAAAUCACAUGUGUAUCGUGAUCAUGAAGAAGGCCAUUCCAUAAGCAUUCAGGGACUCAAUGACUGAAAAAGCAACUACGGCUAAGGAGUUCCUUGCACAGAUUAAGCAGAGGUUUGUCAAGAAUGAAAAGGUUGAAAUUGGCACACUUUUGACAAGCCUAAUUUCAAUUUGGUAUACGGGUAAAAGCAAUAUCAGGGAGUACAUUAUAGAGAUGUCUCAUCUUGCUUCUAAGUUAAGAGCACUUAAACUUGAAACUCUCUGAGGACUUGCUAGUGCUUUUUGUUUUAAUAUCCUUACCAACACAAUUUAACCAGUUUAAGGUGAGCUAUAAUUCUCAAAAAGAGACUUGGUCUCUAAAUGAGCUUAUAUCACACUGUGUUUAGAAAGAGGAUAUGCUAAAGAAAGAUAAGGUAGAAAGUGCUCACCUACCUUCUACCUCUAAGGGCAAGAAAAUAAAGAAGGAUAAGGAACCUGCAAAUACAACACUUCAAAAGAAACAACAAAAGAAAUUGGAUGAUCGAAAAGCCACUAAUUAUUUCUUUUACAGAGUUCAAGGACAUUGUUUGGUUUGUUCUGAGGUUAAUUUAACUUCGGUACCUAGACACACGUGGUGGAUAGAUUCUGGUACAACCACUCUCAUUAGUGUGAUUAUAGGGGUUGCUUGAAUUACCGAAAGCCCGAUAUGGUGAAAGAUACAUCUAUGUGGGUAAUGGCAAGAAGGUUGAAGUUGAAGCAAUUGGAAAAUUUAGAUUAUUAUUAAAGAUAAGAUUUUAUUUGAAUCUUGAUGAAACAUUUGUUGUUCCGUCUUUUAAACGGAAUUUGAUUUAUGUUUCCACUUUGGACAAAUAUGGUUAUUCUUGUUCAUUUGGAAACGAAAAAUUCAGUUUGUUUCAUUAUUCAAAAAUGGUUGGUUCCUGUUCUUUGUCAGGCGAUGAUAAUCUUCAUAUGCUUGAUACGAUUGGUUGAUUUAAUGAAUCCCUGCAAUUAAGUACACGAGGUGCAAAAAGAAAAUUAACUAAUGAGAAUUCAACUGCAUUAUGGCACAAGAGAUUGGAUCAUAUCUCUAGACGGAGACUAGAGAGACUUGUGUUAGACGAAAUUCUCGACCCUUUAGAUUUCACAGAUUUCGAUAUUUGUAUUAAUUGUAUUAAAGAGAAACAAACCAAUAAAAGGAGAUUUAAAGCCAACAGGACUUCGGAUGUCUUAGAACUCAUACAUACAGACAUUUGUGGGCUAUUUUAUGCGGUUGCUUGGAAUGGUCAACAAUAUUUUAUGACAUCCAUAGACAAUUUUUCUAGAUAAGGCUACAUAUAUCUCCUCUAUGAAAAGUUACAGUCAUUGGAUAUGUUCAAAAUCUUUAAGGUUGAAAUUGAGAACCAACUCCUUAAAAGAAUCAAAAGUGUCUGAUUUGACCGUGGUGGUGAAUACUGUGGUAGAUAUGAUGUUUCAAGUGAACAACGUCCAUGCUAUUUGCUAAAUUCCUAAAGGAAUGUGGUAUCGUUCCACAUUACACUAUGCCAGGUUCGCCCACUAUGAAUGGUGUUGCUGAAAGAUGAAACAAGACGCUUAAGGAUAUGGUGAGGAGUAUGAUUUAUCAUUCUACCUUACUAGAAUCACUCUAGAGAGAAGCGCUUAAGACUGCAACAUAUAUUUUUAAUAGAGUUUCAACUAAAACAAUUGUCAAAACCCCUUACGAGCUUUGAACGGCUAAGAAGCCUAGUCUAAAUCACUUGCAUGUUUGGGGAUGUCCAUUUAAGGCAAGGCCUUACAAGUCUAAUGAGAAGAAACUGGACUUAAGAAUGGCGAGUUACUAUUUUAUUGGAUACUCAGAACGAUCCAAGGGGUCUAAUAAUCCCACAACUAAGGUGAUUUUUGAGUCAAGAAAUGCUCGGUUUUUUGAGGAUGUUGAGUUCGCAGGGGCAGAUAUGGCCUGAGACUUUGUCUUUGAAGAAGAAUAUGUUGAUAUUCCUAUAGGUGUUAUUGACAUUGAUCAGGGUCUCAUUUAUAACUUUGUUCAAAAUACAACAGAUCAAGACAAUGUUGGAGAAGCCCCCAUACAAGAAGUUGUUUCAGAAGAACAAACUUAUCCACAAAAGAAAGGAGAAAUGCAUUGCCAGAUGACUACAUUGUAUUUCUCCAAGAACAUGAGGCAGACAUUGGAGUAAUGGAAGAUGAUCCAAUCAAUUUCCGUCAAGCCAUGAAAAGUUCCAACUCUUAGAAGUAGAUUGAUGCCAUGGAUGAGGAAAUGAAGUCCAUGAAUGACAAUGAUGUAUGAGAUCUUGUCCCAUUGCCAGAAUGUGAAAAACUUAUUGGUUGUAAAUAGAUAUUUAAGAUCAAGAGGGAUUCCAAAGGCAAUGUGGAGAGGUACAAGGUGUGUCUUGUCGCAAAGGGCUUUACAUAGAAAGAAGGCAUCAUCUAUAAAGAAACUUUCUCUUUGGUUUAUUUAAAAGACUCUUUCAGGAUUAUAAUGGCAUUAGUGGUGCAUUUCGAUCUUGAGUUACAUCAGAUGGGUGUAAAAAUGGUGUUUCUCAAUGGCAACAUCAAUGAGACAAUUUAUAUAGUGAAGCUAGAAAACUUUAUGUCUGGAAACCCAAAAAACAUGGUCUACAAACUUAAGAAAUCCAUCUAUGGGCGCAAACAGGCAUUUCGACAAUGGUAUUUCAAAUUUCAUCAAGUGAUUAUCUUAUUCGGUUUUAAGAUGAAUUUGGUCGAUGAUUGCAUAUACCAUAAGUUCUGUGGGAGCAAAUAUAUUUUUCUGAUUUUAUAUGUCGAUGACAUUUUGCUUGCCGGCAGCGAUAUAUGCUUAUUAUAUGACACCAAGAGAUUUCUAGCUAAGAAUUUUAAGAUGAAAGAUCUUGGUAACGCCUCUUUUGUAUUAGGCAUACAGUUACACCAAGAUCGCUCCCCGGGUAUUCUUGCAUUAUCAUAAAAUAGUUAUACCGAAAAGGUUCUCAAGAGAUAUGACUUGCAAGAUUGCAAUACCUCUAUGGCUAAAGGAGACAAGUUUAGUCUCACUCAGUGCCCUAAAAAUGAUUUUGAGGAAAAAGAAAUGCAGAAGAUUCCUUAUGCAUCAGUAUUAGGAAGUUUGAUGUAUGUUCAGGUUUGUACGUGACAAGAUAUUGUGUACGCUACUGAUAUAUUGGGUAGAUAUUUAAGUAAUCUAGGAAUAUACCAUUGGAAAGCAACCUAACGGGUUGUGCAGUACUUAUAGAGAACAAAAGACUAUAUGUUCACAUAUCGGAGGUCGAAUCAGCUUGAGAUCAUUGGUUAUACUAACUCUGAUUUUGUUGGAUGCCAAGAUAGUAUGAAAUCCACUUCGAGUUACAUCUAUCUGCUGGCUGGGGGUGCUGUCUCUUGGAAGAGUGCUAAAUAGUCUCUUAUAGCCUCUUCUACGAUGGCAGUCGAGUUCAUAGCAUGUUAUGAGGCAUCCAAUCAUGGAAUAUGGUUAUGGAAUUUUGUCACGAGGUUGCGUAUAGUAGAUGGUGUUGAUGGACCACUCAGAUUAUUUUGUGUUAAUAAGUCAGCAGUGCUGUAUUCCAAUAACAAUAAGAGCUCGACAAAAUCGAAGUAUAUAGACAUCAAGUUCCUAAUUGUUAAAGAAAGAGUUCAUAGUGGACAACUGUCUAUUGAGCAUGUUGGUAUGACCCUUUUUGGACUCAAGUUAAACUCAAUCCAAGAAACUCAAUUUAAGACCAAGUAUUACUGUAACAUGUUCCACUAAGUCAGGCCCUUUUGUUGCUCUCUCCUAACUUGUAUAAUUAAAUGAGAGGUCAACCGAAAUAAUGAAUGUUUGAUUAGUGUUAAAAAUUGUAUAUUUAUUAAGGGAUAAAAAUGUUAUUUUGUGCUAUUAAUGUAAUUUAUAUUUGUAAUUGUGUAACAUAUUGUGAAUUUCUAAUUAUUUUUCUAAAUAUUUGAUUUUGUGUAUUUUUUUUGUGUUUAUUAGGUAAAAAUAAUAAUUUCAUGCAAUUUGAGGCUCCAAACAAAUGUACGGAUGUCAAAUUUAGAUUCCGGAAGUCUGAGAAAUUAUGUUAUUGUCGAGGAGGAGUCGAGACUUUUGUUGUAAAUUUUUAUGUUUUUACCACGGUAAAUGUGAUAAUUGUAAAAUUAUAAGUUUUUAUCAUAUUAGGUAUGGUAAUUGUUAGUAUGAUGUGUUGGAUAUGCUUGAAUGAAUUAAAUUAGGUUUAUGUUUUAUUAGUGGGAAAAAUGUAAGGUUAAGAUGUAAUUAGAUUUUUUUUUAUUUGUGUGGUGUGAAUUUACCAAGUAUUAGUAUAAAUAGAGAGGGGGGUGAACACACCUCUUCACACCUUCUCUUCUCUUCUUUCCCCCCAAAUUCUUCUUCUCAUCUCUCUUUCUAAUAUAUUUUCAAUAAAUAAAAUUAGUUUUAUUUUCAAUUUUCAAGCAGUUUUUAAUUAUGUCUUUUUUGUUUUUAAAGAAAAUUCCUUUUAUUUUAAAUACGUUUAGCUAAAUAUUAGUAGUUAGGGGAAGGUGAAACUCUUAGUAAAAAUAUAGUUUAAUCAAAUUCUAUUUUUAAUUUUAUAAAUUAAAAAUUUUCUAUUUAAUUUUAUCCAUAUUUUAUAUUUUGAAAAUUUGAUUUAUUGUAGACAAACAUGGGAGUUUGGCACAAUGAAUUCUUAAACUCUUAGUAUAAAGUAUGGUAAAAUGAUAUUUUGAUUUAUUGUAGACAAAUUAAGUUUUGGCACAUUAAGUUCUUAAUCCAUAAUAAAAUAAAUGGGAAAAUAAUUUUAAUUUUUACAAUUAAUCUUUUGGGAAAUAAAAUAAAAAAUAAAAAAUUUGUUAAAUUGUAUUUAUUAGUAGGAGUGGAUCCAUAUUCCUAACUAAUUCAAUUUUAUAGUUUUUCUUAAACUAAAUUUCAUAUUUUUAAAUUUUAUUUUUAUUUUUUUGAUAAACUUAAAUAAACAAAUUAAAUCCUUUCUCUGUGGAUCAACCUCGAACUCACCGAGAUAUAUUAUAACUAGACACUCUUAUACUUGGGAGUAAAUCAAACACUUUUAAGUCGUGUCAAUGUUAUAUAAUUUAUUAAAGAAAAAUGCUACAGCAAAUAUGCAACAACUCAUAUGAUCACUCAAGAACCCAUCUAGAUUAUUGUCACUCAACUACAGUUAAAUGAAAUUUGAUAUUAUUAUUUUUAUUAUAUCAGUAAAUAUGGUUUUGGUAUGUGUACCUAUUCUUUUUAAUGGUGAAUGAAUUGAAUGAAAUGACGGGUCGAGGUUCAAAAGUUCUGAGGCUAAAGGGAUAAUGAUAUCACAAUAAAUAACAUAUAGGGAAUUGUUGAAGAAGGUAGCUCAAGUUAUUGAUAUAGAUAUUUCAGAAUUUGAAAUCACAAUAAAGUUCAAGCUUAAGACAUCUCAUGGCUUGAUAUUACCAUGAGCCGUUCAAGCCACUUUGGACCAUGUUGAUUACGAUCUAGAUGUCACAGUGAAGCAAAAAGUCAUUCUUGGGUUUCCUUUAAUGUAAUUUUGCUCAAUAUAUAAUAAUAUUUUAUUUUACAAAGAAUAAAUUGAAAUAUUUAAUUUUGUAUUCUAAUUUAUAUGUCAUUAUCGAUCAAUUUUAGAGUAUUAACAUUAUUUGGCCAUGCACAUGUGACCGUGUUGUAGUAAUUUAUCACCAUCGGUUUGAUUUAUUUGACUUUAAUUGGCAUGGUUUAUCACCAACAAAAAGAAAUUGCAACAAAGAUGAAAAAAAAUGCUAUUCAAGAACUAAUCAUGUCCUUGAGAUAGUGCAAUGAAAAAUGUUCAUUCAAACUAUCAUGCAGUCAUUAUCUUACUCUAGUAGCAAAAUGUAAAAAAAACAAAAACAAAAAAAAAAACAAAUGCGCUACCACAAUGCUGCCAAUACAGAAGAGAGCAAUAGUAGCCAGACAAACCAAGAUGAUAUGAAAAAGUAAAGCAGCACCAGAAAUUUUUAUAACAAAAGCUAUAGCAUCUUUUGCAGUGAUAUCAAGGACUUCUUUCUAAUAAUCAUUUUUGACUUCUUCAAGAUUGGAAGAUUCCUAGACAAAUUGUCUCUAAGUAAUGAACAUCGUGUAAUACAUGAAGGUCGUGUAAUCUUGUCAUACAUGAAAAUUGUGUAAUACAAAACUGAAGGUUGUGAAGGUCCUAUAAUAUACGACUGAAGGUCAUGUAAUAUUACAGAAAAUCAUGUCAUAAUCGACUGAGGGUCGUGCAUUAUAUGAACUCACAUGGAACCCACCACCGAAAGCCACACAACCCGUCGCCUGCAACAUCCUCCCUCAAACAAACAAAACACACACACACACACACACAAAGUUAAUGCCUUAACGAAGCAAGCUGCAGCCGACCACCACGCAGCAACCACCGAGCCUCCGCGAGGAUCUUGAUCUGAUUCCGAUCGACCGAUCUACUGCUACAAAGUACUGAAUCUGUUGCGCCACCUCCAAGCCUCCAUUCCUCCACCAUCACCCAAUCCGAUUCAAGCUCCAUUAACCCAGCAAGCAGCGACCCAAAUUUUGGCUGUCGAAUCGAGUUUUGGAAGCUUUGAGUUUGAGCUUUGAAACUUGAUGGUGAUGAUAUUUGUGAAAGUGACGCGUGGAAGUGAAGUGUUAAUAAGCAUUUCCCUAAUUUGACCCAUCUAAAACUCGAACCCGAUCCGAUCCGAACUCAACCCGAUUUUUCAACCUGAUCCGAUUCGAUCCGAAUAUAUUCGGAUUGGAUUGGAUCGGGUUAUAAAUUCGGGUUGAAUUCAGAUGAAUUUUUAUUCAACCCGACCAACCCGAAACCCGAUGGGGUUGAUCCGAACCCAACCCUAACCCGAUUUUGCUACCCAAGAGCAUGGAAGAGUGGUUUUUAAGCAACUUUAUUGCCAUCUACUUGAAUUCGAAUCCUAAAAAGAAAGUAGAGACUAAAAAGAAUAAAUUUUGGAUUUUUCUCACCUCAAUAUUUUAGAAAAAAAUAUAUAUAGUGAAAUUUGUAGAAGAGUAAUGAUAUAGCCACAAACUCUUGUACAAACUUAUUUUGUACAAACUGAUGUAGCGUUAAUUCAUUGGUUGAAUUAAAUAUAUCUUAGCCCACAUGAUUUGUUUUUAUUAUUUUAUAUUUUCAUUCAACUAAUGAAUUAAUGCCACAUCAGUUUGUACAAGAUAAGUUUGUACAAGAGUUUGUGGCUGUAUCAUUACUCUUUGUAGAAAUCUCUGAUAAUUAAUUUGUAUGUCAAAAUGUCUCAUUUAUCCUCUAACAAUAUGUUUUUAUAAAGUAAUGAAACUCUUUGAGCACCGAAGAUCAGAUGAAGUAUUUUAAAUUUAGAUGGGACUAUGUUGGAAAAAUGGAGGUUGCCUUGAAUGUGAUGCAUCAUCGUGUUAAAUUAAAUUACAACAGCAUAAUCUGUCUUUUCCUAUACAUUUAAUAAUAUAUUUAAGGGCAAUGUGUAAAUGGAAUUUCUUGAAAUAUCAAGUAUAAAAAUGGUAGAUUUCAAAGUGUUGAAUCGCAUCAUAAUGUUAAAUUAAAUUAGAAUGGCAAAAAUCGUCUUUUCGUAUAAAUUUAAUAACAGAUUUAACGACAAUGUGCAAAAUGGAAUUUCUUGAAACUUCAAGUAUAAAAAUGACAGAUAUCAAAGUGUUGUAAUAUCUUUUCACCUUUUGCCAUCUAUAAAUGAAAAAAUGGUAAUUUCUGUUUUUUCUCUUUUCUCAUCUCAUCCCCUGUAAAGAUUAUAAGGUUAUUUGAUAAAAUAAAACAUUUUUUCCUCAAUAGUCUGUCAUCACGAACAUAUUAGUUUGAUAAUCAUAAAUUACUGCCGACGAAUUUUUCAUCGAGUCAAAAAACUUUUUUCCGUUGUGAUCUACUUUUUUUCUACCAUUUUUAGUUGAACAUGAGUUGUGAGCCAUGGAAUUCAGAUCCCACGUAAUUCGUACAAUUAUACUAUAGUCUUUAAUAAUGAUUUGGAUCCUUCUGCAAAUAAUUUUUCUUAAUCUGAAUUUUUUUUUAAAAAAAAGAAAAAGCGGGCCUCUCAAAGCAUGUGUUUAUUAAUUUUUUUUGAAAAAAAAAACGAAAAUAGAGAAUUUCGACACGCUGCAUUUAAAAAAUUAUAAGGCUAAUAUUUAAUUUAUCUACAAUUUUGCUAUUUAAAUGUCAAAACCUAACGUUUUUAGAAUAAAGCUCAAGAUUGAAAACGAACGGAAGUUCAAACUUAUUUCUCAGUAUCUAAAUUUAUCAACUUCUCAAACUCUAAUGAUAAACUGCAUUUCUUCGUCAGGCAAAUGUUAAUUAAAUUUCAGUAACAAAUCAUCCUCUUCGCUACUCAAAUGUCAAUCAAAUUUCAGUAAUAAAUCAUACCAAAUAAAUUUAUAGACAUGACAAUAUUUCAAGAAAUGAAAAAAAAUCUGGCCGAAUAGAUAAUUGUUCUUAUUCUAGGCCUACGUUCGCACGGGCGGUGUGGCCCUCUGAGGCAAACAUUUAAUGUGAGCAGCUCGAGAUCCCAAAUUUGUUCGUUGGGGAGGGGGGGAGUGUUUGGUCGCGGACAUAACUCUAUUCUUCUGGUGGAUCGAUGUUACCUACAUGUACAUAUCAUCCUCAUCUUAAUCCAACGGCCAGUUUGAAUGCCAAUUGGCAUCGGCCCGAUCAGGACGCGCGGAGGAUGAUGAAGAUGGACGAUUUUAUUUUUGACAAGUAGUUGAGGAAUCACAUGGAGCGAAGGCAAGUCAUGGGGAUGAGGGUCGGGGGGUUGUCGGCUUUGUUUGGAUGUAUUUGUGUAAUGAAUGUGAAUGAUCAGAGAGCAGAGCUCACAGCCACAACAGAGUUCGCAAUGUUACUUACAUUACAUGUCUCUGUGUGUUUUUGCUUAACAAACUCCUCUCUCCCUCGUUUUUGUCCCAUCAAUAAAUAAAAAGACGUUGUCAUUUUCUUUUAAAAAAAAAAAAAGAUAAUUGUUCUUAUUCUUAUAAUAGAAAAUAUUAUCUGGUUAGAUUAUUAUUAUAUUAUCUGGUUAGAUUAUUAUUCUUAUCCUUUAGAGAAAAACAAAAAAAAACAAAAUCUGGCCAGCUAACAGGAACAUGAUUUAUGCCCGAAUCGGACUCACAAUCUUUUAUUUAUUUAUUAUCUGCAUUGCAUCCAUCUUCAGUGUAUAUAUAUAGAGGCAGAUAUACACAUACUAUAUCAAACCAGAAGCAAAAGCAACUUAAUUACUUCCGAGUUUUGAUCUUAUCUCAUUUGAAGAAUAUGGAGUCUACUUACCCAGGUUUUUGAGCCAACUUCAUUUUUUGAUAUCAUUUAUAAUUCUUAUUUUAGUUUAUGUAUCUAUGAAUAACUUUUCUAAUAUAAAUUUUCAGGUAAUGAGUGGUCGGAGGGUUGGACUAUUCCACAUUGGCACAGUAUUGUGGAGGAUGACACUGCAAACGAUAAUCUUGAUCUUCUUGUUGUCCCUCAAUAUGGGAGAAAUCUUGACCACACUGGUUAAAUCCAAGAGUGUUACUCUUUUAUACUAUGUUUAAUUAAAUAAAAGGAUGGGUAUAGUUAUUACCUGUCAAUUAUAUGAGUUUCAAAUUUAGUUUGGGUUGUACUACUAAAAUCUCCUUGAGAUAUACAAGAGAUUUUCUAUGUUUGUGUCCGUGUAAUUUACUUUCCGUAAUAAAUAAAACUAUUGUGCAUCAAUGUGUUAAUUCACUUAGUCCAGCAAUACAUAAAGAUUUUUUUUUUUUUUUUUUGGAAUGAAUCCCACAAAUAUAGAAGGUAUUCAUCGGAUAAAACAAUCCAUAGGAAUUACAAAAUUCAAUUGCCCAAAUGAAACAAAAUUAACCAUGUUGCAGCAAAAACUAACCCAAAACACUUGUUUCGGAGUUCAAACUCAACAGCAAUUAAACUAGGUUGAUAAUGUGAAAAACACAAAGUAAACAAUACAGAAGUUUAACGGUAACGCCUGAGAGAGAGAGUUUGGUUCCUCUUCCAGGUUGCCCUUCUUGAAGGUCGUGCCUUGUGGUGCAAGUGACCCUUUCCUCGGAGACCUCUGUACUUCUUCCCAGCAGAAGUGAGUCCACGAAGCUCCCUGUGCUUGUGGACAGGCUUACAGAUCCAGUUGAUCCUGGGUCAUUGCGGAUAGCAUUGUGGGCAGCAUCCACCAGGAUUACCUCAAAGUACUUGUAAGUUGAAUCCUCAUUGAUCCAGUAUGAGUUGAGAACCUUAAGGCCACCAAGCUUACGACCGGCACGUUCCUCAGCAACUGAACGCUUGCUGCGCUGGAAUUUAAGCUGAGUGACACCCUGGUUUGUCGGUUUACCAUAUACAAUACCCUUGGGAACUGGUCUCUUUCGUCCUCCACGUCUUACACGCACACGAUAAACGACAUAACCCUGCUUGGCCUUGUAGCCCAAGCGGCGAGCCUUGUCGGGGCGAGUGGGACGGGUGACGCGGACGAUGGAAGGGUGCUGACGGUACUCCCAGCACCUCACCCUCUGCAAGAACCUCAUCACAUCCGACUGCUUCUUCCUCCAUAGCUCCGACACGUACUUGUAUGCACCCAUUGUUCGAUCGUCGAGCUCACCUGUGCUGUGAUGAUAAGAGUUUUGGCUGAGAAGUCGCGACUAGCAAUACAUAAAGAUUGAAUCAUGUGAUAUUAUGCAUAUUAAUUUAAUCAAUUAUGCUCUCUUUCUACCUGAAUAUUAUUGUGAAAUUAACUCUACAAAUUAAUUCGCUAAUUGUUGUAUUUCGGCUAUUUUAAAAUUUCUUUAUGGGGUAUAAAAUCAUUGUUCCAAAUUUUAAUGGAUGCAUAAAUAAAACAGAGAUCGAGAGAGUAAAUUACCAUCCAUCCUAUAUUAAUAUAAUUAGGUUCAUUUCGGACGUCAAUAAAGGCGCUGCUAUGCUGCUUGUUGGAUAUUGUAAAAUUGUAAACAGAAUUGAACCCACUAGCUCCUCUAUAUCUAUCUUGCAUCCCUUGCACAUAAAGGUAAACUUGCUGAAUCAAACAUAGGAAAAAGAACACCCCAAGGUUUGAAGAAAUAAUUACAAAGAACAUUAAGUUUUUAAUAAAGAACAAUAAGAAUUCUUUUGACUCUAAUAACCCCCAAAAUUUUAUAAUAAAUAAAAAUUGGAUUAAUUACCCCUGGAUGACACAUGUUUUCACAAAUUUCAAAAAGGUGACACAUUUUUAUAAAAAUACUCAAGCGGAUGACAAUAUGUUAACUUUGCAGUUAACUUUAAUGUAAACAGUUAAUUAAUUAUAAAAUAAUAUUUUUGCCCUUAGAAUUAAUUAUAAAAUAAUGUUUCUACCCCUAUAAUAGCUACAAAAUGACAUUUUUAUCCCUACAAUUAGUUACAAAAUAUGUUUUCGCCCCUACUCAAUUAUUUUUUAUUUUUUAAAUAGAAAAAUAUAUAAUAAAAAAAGUACAUCCAGUGUAAUUAACAGGCUUUUUUUGUUAAAUCAAACAAACCUUUUUAAAAAAAGCACUGUCUUCGUUGGGGGUUUCACUCCCUCACGAGGAGAAGGCUACGGUUACCUUAGAAUGCCAAUGCUUUUCACAGGUUUAUGAAUUUUUCUAUCAAUUCCAUCUAUUAUUUAUAUAUAUCGAUCUAUAACCGAUCAAAACCACGAUCUUAGAUUUAUAAUUUUUUCUAUCUCAGACUGUCUACCAGAUCAGAUCCAAUCAAAGCAGUCUAAUUGAAGCGAAGGGUCAUACCUCUCGUUCUUCUUGAAUCAAACAAAAUUUUCUUAUUAACGGCAAAGAUUGAUUCAACAAGAAAAUUUUUUAAAAUAGAUUUGUUUGAUUUAACCAAAAAAAAGCUCAUUAAUUGAACUUAGAUGUAAUUUUUACAUAUUUUUUAUUUAAAAAUAAAAAUAAUUGAGUAGGGGCAAAAACAUAUUUUGUAACUAAUUGUAGGGAUAGAAACGUCAUUUUGUAGCUAUUACAAGGGUAGAAACAUCAUUUUAUAAUUAAUUCUAGGGGCAAAAAUAUUAUUUUUGUAAUUAAUUUAUUGUUCCUGUUAAAGUUACAGCAAAGUUAACGUAUUGUCACCAGUCGAGUUUUUUUAAAAAAUAUGUCACCUGUUUGAAAUUUGUCAAAAUAUGUAUCAUCGAGGGGUAAUUACCCCAAAAAAAUAUGGUAUUAAAAUAAAUAUAAUAAUAUAUAUUUUAAAUUAAUUUAAUAUUUAAAAAAUGGACCUAUUUAUUAUAUUAAAAUAAUUUUUAAUAAUAAAUAGAACAAUAAUAUUAAAAUAACUAAAUUAAAAUUAUUUUGAAUAUUAUGUAAAAAAAUAAUUUAAAUAUGAUUAACAGGGAGAUUUUUUAAUUGUAAAAUUUAUUUAACCAAAGAUUAAUGUAAAAUCUUUAUAAUAAAUACAAAUAUAUUAUUAAGAUAAAUAUAAUAAUUUAAAAUUUUAGUAUUACUUUACGUUAAAAAUAAUUUGAUAUUAUCAAUCUACUACAAAGAUUAUAAUUUUAAAUUAAAUUUGUAUUAGUUAAAAGACUUUAAAUUCAAUUUUCUAAUUACAAUAUCCAAAGGGUAUUAUGGUCAAAAGGGGUCUUUAUGUCUCUUUUUGAAAACUUAGAGAUUUUUGUGACCAUUUUCCAAAAUUUUGAGAUUGUAGGUAUCCUUUUUCCUCAAAUAUAUAAUUAGAAGUUAGAAAGAUAAAUAAAACUCUUUUCAUGAUCUAAACUUUAAUCUAAUUAAGCAUAAAUAAACUCAUACUGAAAAAACAAUCUCAAGAAUUAAUGGUUAUCCCAAGCUAGCUUUUAUUAUUAGUAAGAUGAGUUUUGGUAGAGCCGUUACGUUAACACCUUUAUCAUGCAUGUAUAACUAUAACCAAUCAUGAUCAUACAGUAAGGUAAUGUGAAUCCACUCAUACAUGAGUUUUUUACUAUAAUACCAUAUAAAAGCCAUUGGCAUAAUAAAUAAUCUCCUCAAACUUACAUUAUUACAUUAUUUAGUGGUCAAUCGCUGUAAGAUUAUAUAAAAUUCUAUUAAAAAAAUAAACUUACAUGUGAACGUCCGUUAGUAUAGGGGAAAACCUUUUGAGUGAUUGAUAGCUCUUGCCAUUUCUUGAUAAUUCCCUUAUGUGAUUCUUAGAAUUGGAACUGUUCCAAAAGGGCAAAUUUUAUUUGUAGGUAUUGCUUCUAGUUGUUUCAUUCUUCUCGCUACAAAUGAUUGCGGUGCAUCUAUUUGAAAAUGAUAUUAAAAUUAAAGUUUGUAUUGUCGUAGUUAAGCCCCCUUCUAAGAGGAAUUAAUAAAUGAUAUCACAGAGGGAAAAAAAAUUAAAUAAUUGCCUGGAUCUAGUGAUCUUUGAGCAAAGGAUUGUCCAACGACGUUUGUUUAUGAAAGUCUAUGCAAUCAGCAACUUCACCUCCCUCGAGCUUUAAAUAUACAAAAGAAAAAAAGAAAAAUAACAGUUAAAAAAAAAAGGUCUUCAAAUAACCAAAAAUUUGUCCAUGUUUGGAAUUCAGUUUUUCUCAUAUCAGUAACUCGUAUUUGUUUUUUAAAAUAAAAGAAUUUGAUAAAUAAACAGACACACACACAUGUAUGUAUUUAUCAAAUUCUUUUUUAUAUAUAGGGUGUUGUUCCAGUCCGACCCUUAGAUGUAAAUUCAAAGACCAACAUUGGCUGCACAUGGUGGGCUCCAUCAUGUGCAGCCAACAAAAAAAAAAGAUUUGGGGGCCGUUAGAUUUCAAUCCAACCGCCCCCAAAUGAUUCCUGGACACUAUUUCAAUUCGGGAAUACCAGAUUAGAACAGUGGCCAUAUAUAUAUAUAUAUAUAUAUUUUUUUUUUUUUUUGUGGAGAAAUAUCUAAUUAGAAGCGUUUAUAUAUCUAAAAGAAUUUUCAAAUACUAUAGUGAAAAAUAUAUAUUUUGUCGAUAACUAUAUUUCUUCUCCAAAAUCUUUGAAUCAUUUUCUAUCAAUUAUCAUAAAUUAAGGAAAAAGAUAUUUUGGAAAAAGAAUGCUUACACCCCCGAAUACCUCAAGCUUUUUAUGAGGGGCACCAAGACCCUUUUCAACUAUAAUACUCUUUGACUGUAUAAACUAAAAAAAAUUGACCCCAAAAUUUAUAAUAAAUAGAGAUAUAGCAUUUAAAUAAAUGUAUUAAUAUAUAUAUAUAUAUAUAUAUUAAAUAAUUUUAAUUUUUUAUUUUACAAUCUAUUAGACAUAUUUUAUUAUAUUAAACUAAUUUUUAAUAAUAAAUAGAAACAUAAUUUAGAAGAAAUUAUUUUACUAUUAUUAAUACGGAGUAUUUUGUUAAUUUUAAAAUCUAUUUAACCUAAAGAUUUAUCUAAAAUCUUUAUAAUAAAUACAAAUAUAUUAUCAAAAUAAAUAUAAUAAUUCAAAAUUUUAAUAUUAUUUUAAAUAUAAAAAUAAUUUAAUAUUAUUAGUCUAUUGGAUGGAUUAUAUUAUUUAUAUUAUAUUUGCAUUAAUUACAAAAUUUUAGUCAAUGUUGUAAUUGGUAUAUUCAAAGGAUAUUAUGGUAAAAAAUGGGUCUUGGUAUCCCUUGUUAAAAACAUGUAGGUCUUAAUGGCAAUUUCCUCAAAUCUUGGGGUAUUGGUGUCCUUUCUUCUAAAUAUUUUGUACAAGUCUAAAUGUCUAUAUGGUAUGUCUAAUCUAAUGAUUAUAAGUGCUUAUUUAAUAUCAUAAGUUCUUAUCAAAUUUUUUUUGUUAUUUUAUUGUUUUUUAGUAGAAUUUUUGGAGAUUAAAUAUGCUAUUUUGACUCUACUAGCAAAAGCUCAAAUGUUAGACUUUUGAGAUUGGAAAUUGAAAAGUUUUUUUCUUAAAUAUUAAAAGUUCUAAAAUAUCACCUACUUAUUCAACAAUUUUAAUUUAUUUUUUCAUAAAAUUUAAAAAAUUUGCCUAUUAAAGUGUAAUUUUAUGAUUUUUUUAAAAAAAAAUUUAUUUACAACCAAACAACUAAAUUUUUUUAGGUAUAAAGGCUCUACUGACAAAGGCUCUACUGACAAAACCUCUACUCAAAUAAUCUUUACUUGAAAAGGUAUCAUUACAAGAAAAUAGAUAAUAGAUGAUAGGAAAUAAUUGUCAUCAAAGGAGCUGUAUGACAGACUAUUUAUCCGUCAUCUAUAUUACUGUCAUUAAUUUAUGACAAAAUAUUUUUUCAUCAUUAAUUUAUGAUGGUAUUUCACAGUCAUAUGUCCAUCACACAAUAUUUUGGCCGGAAUUUCAAUUAUCAUUGGCUAAUUUGUUAUUCAUUUUUGGUAGGAAUUUUUUUAUGAUAGACUUUAUGAUGGUUGUUUCCCAUCAUAGACUUAUAUAUAUAUAUAUAUAUAUAUAUUUGAAAAAGUUAUAUCGUAAUUAUAAUUUAUUAAUGAAUUCCUAUUUAUAGAUUUAAUUAAUAAAAUGAAUAUGGUCAAAAAACUAAAAAUAAAUAAUAUUAAUUAACAUCCAUUCAAUCCAAAAAAAUUAAUUUCAAAAUAAAUACAACUAGUAUCUAAUGUAAUCACAACCUUAUGUGUACGAAAGAAUAAAUUCAUGCAUUUAGUACACAGACAUUUAAUGACGCUACUGCCUUCAACAUCAUCAAUAGCAAACUUCAUAAGUUCUUCAACCUCAUCUUCAUACUCUUUUGACAUUUUACUACAAUGAAUUCAAGACUUAUUCAUUUUUUGUUUCAAUUAAAUCUGAUCCUGACACAUUAAGGAGGUUACAUAUAAAUAAAAAAUUAAAAUAUAUUACCAAUACAUAUAAGCAAAGUACAAAUUAACAAUGACUAAAAUACCCUUGCUGCAGCAUAAACAAAUGCGAUGAACAUCAAAAAACAAACAAAAAAAAAACAUACGGAAGAAGACAUAAACUGAAGUAGCAAUCUUUUCAACAUCCAAAGAGAAAAAAAGAGAACAAUUCAUUCAAAGAAUUGAAAAAAAAAAAGAAAAGAUUUAAAAAAUUAGUAACAUAUCCACAAACAUAACAAAUUCAACAGCACCUAUACAUACAAUUUUGAUGAAAAAAUGAUCACAUGCCUGCAUAAUUUUAUUGCGCAUAUUGAGAAGAGCAGUAGAUGAAAGGCAGUCGGGUAGAACAAAGCUAUUUACAAGAACUUCAAUGUUUGCCACUCUGCAAGUAUGUUGCUCGAGGCUUUGUAUAUGUCAAACACUGCAACACUGAAUUCGAAAAACAAGUAUUUCCAAGAUUUUCAAGACCAGCACCCUGUAAAUCAUGCAUGUCAUCGUCAGAAUUAACUUGCGGAUAGCGUCAGAGUAAAUUCAAGGUCCUACAAUCAAGCAACUAUAACUUAAAACUCAAUAUUAUCUUCAUAAACAAUUUGAACCAGUUUCAAAUAAAAAAAUACAGCAAAAUCAAAUCCCAAAAAGAUGUUUUCAAUAAGAACACAUUAAUCAUGCAGCUUACAUCAGUAAAAAGAUUCAUCAUUUAAUUAAAUUUGUGGUUCUUUGGAUAUACAUUAAUUUCUGUGUUUUGUAUCUUUAAUCUCUCUUGCUGUUAAUUAAGUUCUAGUGCUGCUGCUGCUGCUGCUACAGUGCUACUAUUACACUUCUUUUUCAUCUUAGUAAUUGUACUUUUAUUUUUUGUGCAAAUUGCUUGUUUCUGUUUUAGAUCAACUGGCUAUCUAGCAUAUACACUGAAGGACUAGAAAUGUUGACUAGUAUUAAUUAAUUAGUAUGCAUUCUCUUUUGUUGUGUGAUUUGCAGGGGUUUUGUGAUGAUGAAUCUAGUAUGAGUUUUCUUUAAUUUGAUAUUACAUUUCAUUUCUUAUGCAUAUGGAAGAAAUGAGUUUAAUAAAUCUCCUAAUAAUUUUUUAGAACAAAUUUGCUGAAUUUUUCUUGGCGCAUGCUUACACAUGUUGGAAGGCCCAUGCCAUGACCAUAUAGACUUAUCUAUAUUUUGUUCUGAUAUGAAUCAAAAUUAAGUCCAAAAAAAUUGCAUGAUCACAUGUUUGGUGCAGCAAAAAACAUCUAGAGUAUUUGACAUCUAGAACACUAUAAUAUUAAAAGAAACAAAAAAGUGUUCUACUAAUAUGCUUUGCCAAUGCAAACAUGGUCCAAGUCCUAAGAUUAACUAUUACAUUGGGAAGGAUACCCUCAAAACUCUAAAAAUAAAGGACUAGAAUAUAAGAUUGCUUUCAUGCAACUAUAAACUAACAAACUCUAAACUCUAAAAAAAUAAAUAAGGUACAAUUUACUUACCAUAUCAAAUUAUUUUCUUUACUGCAAACUAUUCCAACAAAAGAAAUGGCAACAAAUUGUGCAAGAAAGGAGAUGGCAGCAAGCUAUUCCAACAAAAAAAAAACAAUAUCAACUAUUACAUAAGGAAAGAUACCAUCUUUCAACAAAUUAAAAUAAAAUUUUGCAUCAAAAGUUGAAUUAGGUUCUAAGUAUAAAAAAAGUAUUAGAUGGUAUACAUAUGUUGCAAAACCAGUACUACCACAUCAAUUCCCAAUAACCCCAAGAUUUAAUGCAAACUUACCCCUAAAUUUGCAAAUUAUCUGGCUCCCGAUCCUGCUACUAGUACUAUUAUUAUUGCUAAAUAAUUAUCCCUUUUCUCUAAUCCUUCAUCUCCUAAAUCUACAUCACAACUGCUACUACUACUCCUAUUACUAAUCCUAACAAACCAACAUCCUUUGCUCUCUUUCAACAAAUUAAUUAAUCAAUUUUUUUAAUUAGGCUUUUCGCCAAAUUAUUUAUAUAAUUAAUUAAUUUAACUUAGAUUUAUGUGAAAUAAACAUCAUGCAAAAUGAGGACAGAACAAAAAUCAUACCAAGGGUUUUGAAAAGAUGACAGUGCGGAAGAUGGCAAGAUGAGGACAGAAAAUGAUGGCAAGGAUCACGAUGUCAAGGAGGACGAUAGUGAGGAAGACGAUGGUGACACCACAAAAUGCACCUUCACUUAGUCAAUUUCACAAUGCAAUCGGUAGCUAGUGCGCGAGGCAGACGAUGUUCAAGAUUCCGGCAAGAUGAUGGUGAAAAGGAAGUCAGUUUCAAGAGAUUCAGAGAAGUCAGUACCAAGGGUUUUAAGUUAGUACCCUUUGCCUUCUCUCUAUUUGUGUUGUGUUCGAUACUUAGAAAAAAAAAAUUAAGGAUUAGAAAUCGCCAAAACGGUGUUUUUCUUAUUUUUAAAUUUUAUUUUAUAAUUAAAAAAUUUAUAAAUAUAAUAUUUUAAAUUUAUGAUAAAAACAUUGUCAUUCCAACUUACUUGAAAUGACAACAUUUCUUCAUUCAAAUAAUAUUUUAUUUUAAAUAAUACCCAAAAUUUUGAUCAAAAACGCGCUAAAAUCAAGUCAACAUGAAAAUUCUAUCAUGCAUUAUUGAUGUAACAAUUUCCAUCACAAAGUCGUCCUAUAUCCUUAACACAAUUUAUUUCUAUCACGAAUCCGUCAUGAAUGCAUGAUAGACACAAAAUCUAUCACAACUCUAUUAUAUUUUUUUGACUUAUACCCUUUUUCUUAGAAUCCGCUACAAAAUAUCUGUUAUUUAUUACCAGUUUUGUUUUGGUGUAUACCAAACCGACCAUAAGAAUGAACAAUUUCAUACCUGAAUUUUUUUUGGCAAGAGGCUUAUUGAGAGUUUUUUGCAAUUCCCUUUCUCCCCCUCAUAUGUUGCUUUCCUGAGAGAUUUGCUACGUGGACUCCAUCGUUUCUUGAAGCAAUGCACAUUAAAAAUAUCGAUAUUGCUACCAUCUUUUUGGCAUCAUUACAGCUCAAAUCAGCUGUCUUGCUGCUUAGUAUUCGUUAAAUAUUUAGAUACUAAUUGACAUUGUAGUUAUAUAAUAGUAGAAAAGAAAAAGAAAAAGAAAGAUAAAUACGAACUUAUUGUAGCAUUAAUUGUUUUCGGAAAUAUGUUUAUUAAUAUGUUAACAAUAAAAUGGUGUAUAAUAAAGGCAUUGAUAUUGAACAUUAGUAAUGAUAUUUGCCCAUAUAUGUAUGGGGCCACAGAAAUACGGCACUAUGAUGUAAAAAUUUUUAAAUUAAGAAAAAAACGAUUUUAAGUGAUAAGAAUUAUUACUUUUUCUAUUGUCAUUACGAGUCCCUUAUGGACGAAUAUCAUUAGGGGGUUGUUAUGGAAGGUGCUCACAGCAAUAAAGUGCUAUAGAAGAGUGCUGAUGUUUGCCCCGGGUCAAACCCCGAAAAAUAUAAAACGUCGUCGUUUUGCUUUUUAUUUUUUUAUUUUUUGCUUCGCGGUUUCUUAUUUGCGUCGUUUUCUUUAUUUUUUUCUUUUUCGUUUCUUCCAUCCUUUCUUCAUUUCUUUUUCGUUUCUUCCAUCCUCGACCAAGAUCCACAGCCCUUGAGUCAACAGCAGAACGGGAUCUACUAAUUAAAGCUCCAUCCUCUUCGUCUUAAGCUGAACGAGAUCCACAGCCCUUGCAUUUAGUGAAGAACAAGACCAACAGCAGCUGCGUUUCGGCUGAGUUUCGGUUGCGAGCAAGAUUAGUUUCGGCAUCUACUAAUUAAAGCUCCAUCCUCUUCGUCUUAAGCUGAACGAGAUCCACAGCCCUUGCAUUUAGUGAAGAACAAGACCAACAGCAGCUGAGUUUCGGCUACGAGCAAGAUUAGUUUCGGCUACUCAAGACCAACAGCAGCUGCGAAGUUUCGGCAGAGCAAGAUUAACAUUGUGCCUGAAAGCUUGAAUUUCGGAAGCUUGAAAUUUUUUUUUCGGUACUGUCUUCUUUGUAGCAUUUUGUUUUUUAAUUUUAUUUUAAAUUUUUCCCUGCGUUUUUAUGAUCAGUAACAUUGUAACAUUGAAUUUGAGUUUCAAAAUCUAAUGUUUUGUAGCUUCGAAGUGUUAAAGAUCUUUGUUUUAAUGCGAGUUCUGAUUGUCAGUUUCAAGUGUUCUGGGCUUUUGAUGCAGUUUGUUGGCUGUUGCCUGUUGCUAUGUACCAUCAUUACAAUAUCAAUUACUUCCUGAUUAUUUCUGUAUUUCAUCUUCCGCAAAUGGUUUAAUUUUUCAAUAAAAAAAUUCAAGCAAAAACAGUGCCGUUAAGAGAACGAAGAAAAGGAAGAAGAAAUGGUUCAGCUGGGUUAAAGAAAGAGGAAGAAGAAGGCUGCCAUUUACAGACCAAAACGACUUCGUUGAAAGCAAAUCAGAACAAAUAAAAAAAUUGAAGCAGAAACAUCGUCGUUCAAUAACGCUUGAAAACAAAAAAAAUUAAGAGCCGAAAUGGCGUCGUUUGACGCAGUUUCGGGGUUUGACCCAGGAUUUGACCUCGGGCAAACAUCAUUUUCCGCUAUAGAAUGUCAAAUUUUCCCUCAAUCCAAGCAGUUAGUUGACUUGAAAUUGACCUUCAUGAGAGGCGAUUGGAUGUUCCUGCACAAGUACAUUGACAAUCUAGUCAAUUUGGAUAACGAGAGAGGGAGAGAAAAUAAGGAAGCUGUACCGGAAAAAAUUAACUCAUCAGAUUGCGCCUUCAUACCACAUGCCAAUAUUUUUAGUAUCAAAUGUUAGUGCCAAUAGGCUCAUAGCCCAUUUGCAGCACCGCUGCUUACAAAUCUUGAGGGAACUAUUUUUAGCAUCAAAUGUUAAUUAUUGAUAUUCGUAUUCCUCACAGACUGUAAUUGAAUAGCCGUGGAUAACUCACUUACGAAUAUGGACGACAUUCAAAAUGUAAGAGAUAUAAUAGCUUAAGCUUUAGAUUAAAGGGUACUAUAGUCAAUUGAGCAUGGUUAGUUACUUAUUUGAUACAUUUGGAUAUACUUUGUCCUCGAUUAAGAAAUAAUGAAACAACUGGGGUGGCAAUGUUAUUACUCCAAUUAAUAUUUCCACAAAUUACAGGGACAGCGUACGAUAGGAAAUGUGCGCAGGAUAGAUAAAAAGGUCCCCGUCACCUCCCUGCGCAAAUUAGGGCUGCUCCUUCAACAAUAUCUGAGUUUCAAUCAAAUGCGACAUCACUGGUUGGUUCGUUCUUUACUCUCUUUAUAAACUCUUAUAGCUCGAUAUUAUCACUCGUAUGCUUGUGAAUUUUGCUUUUACUGUUAUGUACAGAUUAAAAAUGUUAGAUGAUCAGAAAUUAAUAAUGUUGGUUGUGUGAUUAUUUGUUGCUGAAAGUAAAAUCCCAGUUGUGUUUUCCUGUUUUUGAAGAUAGGGCAGUGGUUGAAUCUGCAUAAUGUGUUACGAAAUGGUGGAAUUUAGCUUUGUCAGUGUGUAUAUGGGUGAUUGUUUUAUUGAUUGAGAGAGGUUUUGUUUGCAGAAUGCAAUUUCGAUUGGUGGGUUUGAGAUAAUGUGCAAAUGAGUGAACUGGGUAUUGGAUGGUUUGAUUAUCAUGGUGAAAUUUGAGGUUGUGCUGUGAGAAUGUGGAUUUUUGAGAUGGGUUUGUGAAAGAAUUUGGUGUUUUUUUCACUUUUGAGGAGAAUUUGCAAUGGGAGUUCUCAUGGAGGGAAUGACUUGUCCUGUUGAUUGGAUUUUUUUAUUGACAUAUGUUGAGAAAAGGUCGAGCAGGAGCAACCAGUUAUAUCUGCUAAGUUUAUAAAUCAUUCUUCUGUUUGCUCUCUUCUAGAACUUUGAUGAUUAGUUUAUUUUAACAAGAACAAGACGGAUUUGACUCGAUUGUCAAGUCAAGAGCAUGCCAGAUGAUUUUUUAGUUUAUGCAUUUGUUUCUUUCAUUUUGCACAGCUACAAAAUAAGGGAAAUAUUACAACGUAUUUUUCUUUUAAGACCAUAAGGUCUAGGAGGAUGCUUAUUAGUGUAUAGGUAAGCCCCUCAACGAUUUGACUUGCUUCUCUCUUUUUUUUUUUUUUUUUGGCUGUUUACAUGAGAAUUCAAAAACCUGAAAUGUCAUCAUGCCUAUCCAAUGAACGUAAUUAGUCAAGUGAAGGCUAAGUCGUGAUACAAUAUGGUUCCUUCUAUGGAAGCAUAAAGAUGCCAAAAUGGUAAAGCAUUUAGGUCUUUUUUGUACAUCACCAUUUGUGUUUAUAUGUACUUUUUAUUGUUUUUCCUUUGUGCUUCUCACCAACGUUUAGACUGACUGCUUAUCAUUUUAACAUGUGUUUUUGUGUCUUUGAAUAAAUAUGAAAUGAGAGCACCUUACAUUCACACACAUAUUACCAUUGUCCUUAUUCGUUGGAAUACAUUUGGAUAUUGAUUGAUGCAUUUUUGUUAUGUAACGGACAGAGGCUCUAAGGUCUACCUCAAGGGUGUUAAUGAGAGAAAUAUGAUGUCUGAUGAUGCCGGACAGAUGCUGAUGGUUUAUGAUGAUCCUUCAGACCAACGAUCAUUAUCUUUAGAUGAUACUAGCAGCACAGAGGAAUCACCUGAUGAAACAAGACUCUCUCUAGAAUCCACCAAUGAUGUGGUUCCAUACAUUGGACAAAGAUUUCCAACUCAUGAUGCAGCGUAUGAAUACUAUAGUGAAUUUGCAAAAAGUUGUGGUUUCUCUAUCCGACGUCAUCGCACCGAAGGAAAAGAUGGUGUAGGUAAAGGACUAACAAGACGCUACUUUGUGUGCCACCGUGCUGGUAAUACCCCUAUCAAAACCUCAAAUGAAAAUAAACCUCAAAGAAAUAGAAAAUCCUCAAGAUGUGGAUGUCAAGCAUACAUGCGGAUAAGCAAAGUUACUGAAUUAGGAGCACCAGAGUGGCGUGUUACAGGCUUUGCUAAUAACCAUAAUCAUGAACUUUUAGAGCCAAAUCAAGUUCGUUUUCUUCCUGCAUAUCGUACUAUAUCAGAAACAGACAAAAGCCGAAUACUUAUGUUUGCCAAAACAGGAAUUUCAGUUCAGCAAAUGAUGCGACUCAUGGAACUUGAGAAAUGUGUGGAGCCAGGAUACUUACCAUUUACUGAGAAGGAUGUGAGAAAUUUACUUCAGUCAAUUAGGAAAUUAGAUCCAGAAGAUGAAAGUGUAGAUUUAUUAAGAAUGUGUAGAAACAUCAAGGAAAAAGACCCUAACUUUAGAUAUGAGUAUACACUUGAUUCUAACAACAGGUUAGAAAACAUUGCUUGGUCGUAUGCAUCAUCAAUCCAGGCAUAUGAGAUCUUUGGUGAUGCAGUGGUUUUCGAUACAACACAUCGCUUAACUGCAUUAGACAUGCCACUUGGGAUAUGGGUCGGAGUGAACAAUUAUGGUGUGCCUUGCUUCUUUGGCUGCACACUUUUACGAGAGGAAAAUUUAAGGUCAUUCUCAUGGGCGCUCAAGGUAAUAGAGUCAAACAAUGUGACUUUUUUCAAACAGUAUCACAUUUUAUUCCUCACUGGCCACAUCCGAAAUUUCAGUAAGAUACUGCAACUGAUCUAUUCCUUUUCUGUUCUACUGAUAGUAGGACUGAAUGGGAUGUAGCUUUUGAAAUUGAAAACAAAUGAAUAGACUGGUAGACAGGCAAGGGUGGUGCACAAAGCGUAUGUUGGCUUCAUUAUUGAGUUUUAAAUGGGAUGACAGUGUAACAUCUUUUUACAUUUAUAACAUUGUAGUUAGUGUUUAUUAUCUUUGCUGUUAGAAUGGGUAGUCUAAAUGGUCAUGGGGCAUUUGAUUCGUACAAUUGCAAUUGCACUCAGAUGUACAUAUGUGUGCAUAUAACCUCUUGAAAAGCUCAAUAGUUCUCUAAUUUACUUUAGUGCUCUGUUUUGUAUUGUUUGUGCAGGCAUUCCUAGCAUUUAUGGAUGGGAAGGCUCCACAGACAAUAUUAACUGACCAAAAUAUGUGUCUCAAAGAAGCCAUAGCCAUGGAAAUGCCAGUGACUAAACAUGCACUCUGCAUAUGGAUGAUUGUGGUGAAGUUUCCGUCCUGGUUUAAUGCUGUUCUUGGGGAGCGUUACAAUGAGUGGAAGGCUGAGUUUUAUCGGCUUUAUAAUCUAGAAUCAAUUGAGGACUUUGAAAUGGGUUGGAGGGACAUGGUCAAUUCAUUUGGGCUUCAUACUAACAGGCACAUAGCCAACUUGUUUGCCUUACGCAUGCAGUGGGCAUUACCAUACUUAAGAAGCAAUUUCUUUGCAGGAAUGACUACAACUGGCCACUCAAAAGCUAUUAAUGCUUUCAUUCAAAGGUUUUUGGGUGCACAAACCCGGCUUGCACACUUUGUGGAACAAGUAAGUUGCUCUUUUAAUUUCUGUUGGUUCUAUUUAUUCUAUGGGAUGGAGGUUAGUUUUCUAAAAUUGAAAAUUCUUUUUGAAAUACGUUUUUGAAGAUGACAAAACCAAUGGGCAAAAAGAGGAUACGCUUGGUGUUGUGUUUCUUUGAAGGAUUCUAGUUCCUUUAUCGGUUACAGCUUGAUAUAAAUUGGACGUUAUUGUGUAUAAUAUCUAAAAAUGUACUUGAUUAAGCUGGUGUGGCAUAGGAUUGCUUGACAUCUUUACCCAUGCCUAAUUGAAUUGUUGUAUGGGAUUGGAAUUUUGGCUGAGCGGAACUUCAAGUCAAGUUUAUUGAAUCAAGCACCCAUGUUAGUAUGGGGUCACAACCUUUGUGGACUGCUGCCUUUUAUCUUGAGAAGAGUACUUGAAGUACUUGGUUUAGAAAAUGGAUUUAAGCCUUAUCUCUUUGACCAACCCCCAAUUUUGAAAAACUUUUGUAUCUUUGUUAUCAUAAUUCGAGUUUUGUUCUCACUUGAGAAAGUUGCACCUAACUACAUUCUUCUCCUUUCUUUCUUUAUGGGAAUACUAGUUUUUGCAUGUAUUGAAGUUCUAAUUGGAGUCUUGAUCAUUGGGGCCUUCAGAAAUUCUGCUUUCUGAUUUAGGUCAUUGCUGUGGUUGUCUGUAUUUUCUUUCCAUCUGCUGUCUUAUUUUUUUAAUGUCAAAGAUCUUCAUUUUGCUGACUCAGCUUGGCAUAAGCAGGUGGCUGUGGCUGUGGAUUUUAAAGAUCAAGCCGCCGAACAACAGACAAUGCAACAGAAUCUCCAAAACAUUUGCCUGAAGACUGGCGCUCCUAUGGAAUCUCAUGCCGCUUCAGUCCUCACUCCUUUUGCUUUCUCUAAGCUUCAAGAGCAACUUGUUUUGGCUGCUCAUUAUGCGUCUUUCCCCUUUGAAGAUGGCUUCCUUGUAAGACACCACACAAAACUUGAAGGGGGCCGGAAAGUGUAUUGGGCUCCACAGGAAGGCAUCAUAAGCUGCAGCUGCCAUCAGUUUGAGUUUUCUGGAAUUCUCUGUCGGCAUACCCUUCGUGUUCUCUCAACAGGAAACUGCUUUCAGAUCCCAGAAAGGUACCUCCCCCUACGUUGGCGCAAGAUCAGCACACAUUCUGUAAAGCUUCUUCAAAGUUCACCAAGCGAUCAUGCAGAAAGGAUUCAGUUUUUGCAGAGCAUGGUAUCAUCUCUAAUUGCCGAAUCUGUCAAAUCUAAGGAGAGGUUAGAUCUUGCAACCGAACAAGUCUCUUACCUUUUAUCUCGCAUUAGACAGCAACCAGUUUCGACUCAAGGUUUGAGAGACAUUUCCCCACUUCACAGGAAUCUAUAAGUCAACAAAUACCUUAAAAUAGUCAGCUUUAGUAUCAUCUGGAUUCUUGUGGAAAGAAAAAGGGAAAGAGGGAAAAAUUAAGAUUCAUGAUCGAAAGCAUUUGCAGGUCAAUUUUGUAUUUUUUGUUGCAUGCAAUCAACAAUGAAAUUAUACUCGCUCUUUUAUUUCCCUGGCAUCGAUGAUUCUGCCUGUUCCUAUGCAGACAGCAUUUUGCAAGGAUUCGAUAUGUACAAAUAUACACAGAACAAACUGUUUUUGGCAUGUACAUGAGUUUAUCCAUGUGGUUAUGUUAUAGCAAUAGUUGUUCACUUUAUCAAUCAGGUACAAGCUACAUAUUCUGUUGUGUGCUGUGCUUUGAAGCAAGUUGAAGACAGAAUAGAAGCUGUUUUAUCAAAAUCCCAGUACGCAAGUUUACAAUAGGAUGUGUCCGAAUGGAGUACACUCGGAAAGCACGUUGUGGAAGUGCUUCCUAGACUAAUAAAGCUGAAUGAUAUUUUAUGAUGAUGACCCUUCUAGCAACUAAUUAAUCUAUAUGUCUUGGUGCUUCCGUUAGCGCACUAGCUACAGAGUCCUUUGCAAACAAUUUUAACCUUUCUUUUUAAUUAAUUUUAUUAAAAGAAUAUAAAUAAUACACUUAUCAAUGAAUCUAAAAUGGAUAGAAUAAUUUAUAUCUCUAAAUUAAUCGAAAAUAUUGAUGAAAACACUUUUCUAAAUUAUACUUAUUUUUUAGAAUUCUAAUGAAAUAUAGCCAUAUUUUUAUUAGUGUCUAAACAAAAUUAGAUCAAAUAGUGAGAUCAAUUAAUAUAUAAUUAUAAUUUAUGAAGUGAUAAUUUAAUGACGAUAGUGUUUGCCCACACGAUGCUACAUGAUUAUUUUAUAGUUUAAAUACUAUUCACAAAGAGUCCUAAAAUUCUAUUAUCUAUACAUAUGCUCAGCAUGUAACAUACACUAAUGCUCACUUAUAUAAUUUGUAAUUUUCCCAACAACCUAAUUCUCAUGUAGACAUAAAAGGGAAACUAAAAAUAAAAAUAAAAAUAAUAUCUGAGAACACCACACAUAAAUGCUCAGCAUCCCACCCACUAGCAUUUCUAUUUUCUAUAAUUCACAUUCAGAGGGAUGGCAUCGACCAAAUCAAACCAGAUCAGACGACCCAGUCGACGCUGAUUAGUCCGCCGUUCACCGCUCGGUCGCUCUUUUCUCUCUCAACAGCUUAAACGGCUCUUUCCUUUCUCAACAGCUGAGCUCUUUUUGCUUCUUUUCAAAUUUUCGCCAAUACCCAGUUGGUGAUUCGGUCUGUUUUGCUUGAAAUUUUUAUUUUUUUUUUUGUGAAAUUGACCUGAAUUCUUCAUAUGGGUUUGUUGUGAAUUUGCAUAAGACUUAGGGUAAACAGUUGUGAAUUGGUUUACACCACUGACUACAAAGGAGAAAAAGAAGCACAAACAAACUUAAACCCUACAGAUAGCUUCUAAAAACGGUGCGUUUUUGUUAUAAAUAAUCCAAAUUUCUUUCCUAUUAUUACUUUACUGCAUGAUUUGUAUUUGUUAUUGCAGGGAAAUAAAAAGCUUGAAUUUUCAAUUUACUUUUCAAAGAAAACAUAAAAAUGCACCCUCCGUUGACGUUACAUAGGCAUCCGAUGUGUGCUGAGGUAAGUUUCAUUUUCCUUCCAUUUUGCUAUAUUUAAUUGUUAAUAGAAGUGGUUCUGUAGAAAGCUCUUCUCUAAUGGGUUCCUUUUUUGAGUGAAUAUUAUGCUUAGAGAAUUUUUGUUGGAAUAGAUUAUGCAUAUUUGGAGUGUCUUUUUAUGGAUGUGAUUUUUUAUAAAGCAGGUUUAGGCGCUUUUACAGAAAGCGCUUUUAUUUGAAAGCACUUCAUGUCAUAUACCUUAUGGUAAAAUGCUAAUGUGAGAUUAUAUAGGUGAGUAUGAAGAGCACGCAUAUUUUGAAAUGUUUUAGGAUAUGUGCUUUCAAGUAAGAGCGUUUUCUGUAAAAAUACUUGCAACUGUUUUAUAAAAAACACUUAUGAAAUGUUCUUCAAAAUGCAGUUAAAGUACUUUUAGUCUUUUAGACCUCAGUUGCUUUUGAAAAAAGUAGUUGAAAUGAUUUUUGGGAUCAAAAAAGUUGUUUUUUCUAUUUCAGCCGAGCACUAUAAAAUAGAUACAAUAUACUUUUGGUCUUUUAGGAUUGUUUUGGUAGUGACAAUAACCUAGCAGAACACAAUGAGACUUGCUAAUGUGACACUAGUCUCUUUGAGAUUCUGAGUGAAUAAUAGGGGAAGAGCAGGUCUUAUCCCUCUUAAUUCUGAGGAAGAGAAGUUAAUACAAACACUAAUGUUUUUGAAAUUCUGAGUGAAUAAUGAGGGAAGAGCAGGUCUUAUCCCUUUUAAUUCUGGGGAAGAGAAGUGAAUAUAACUUUCUUUACAAUUGAGUUCUGAUUUUAUAGUCUUGAUGAUAAUUUUAAUUUGUUUCACUAAAUCAAGUUACUGAUAUAUAGACAAGAUAGCAUAGUCAAACUGUAUCAAUGAUUGUUUUCGUCAUUGUGUAAAUAAUGUGUUAGGAUGGGUAGGAUGUUGUGGAAAAGAUAAUUGAGGAGUUGUUUGAGUGUCAGUUUGAUCAUCGAAUUGGGAAAAAUCUUUGGUGAAUGUAAGGUACUGUGGGAGGUUGGCUCUACAAUUUUUAAAUACUUGACCUGUUUUUGUGUCUAUUUUAUAGUGUUUAAUUGUAAUUUAAAAAAAAAAAAGUAAUUUAGGAGUACUUUCCAGAUAUAUGUUUCUUUAAAAGCCUUUUUUUUUAGUUGAAACAACUUUGAAUAUAAACCUUCUUCAGUUAUAUUUUUAUGGUCAAAUAUUAAUCAGUUUACGUAACUAUAGGGCUUUUGAGUAUCUGGUAGAAUACCAGCAGCACUCACAAAAGUGCAGUUGAUAUGUAGGUGCAUUUGGGCAUGUUUUUGCAAGGAGUGCUUUUAAAUAAAACCACUUUCUGUUUUAUAAAGCACCUUGAAAUGUUUCUUCAAAAUGCACUUAAAAGUUCAUUUUGACCUAAGAAGCAUUUUGUUCUAAAAAAGCAUGUAUCCUGUGCUUAUUUAAAAGUGCACCUCUUGCUUUUUCAGACCAAAAAGGUCCUUCUAUCUUAUAUCUCUAGGGUGAAACUUAACUUAGCAUCAGUCUCUUUGAAAUCGUUGAACUAUACAUUUGCCCAUUAGAUAAUUGGGGGAUGUUGGAACAGAAGGUCUAAUCAGUUUCUACAGUGAAGACGAGAAAAAAUUAACCAUCAAGUUUUAAACUUAGUCUUGAUGGUAAUUUUGUAUUUUUUGGCUUAAAUCAAGUGACUGAAGACAUUGUCGAUCAGAUUAUUGAGGAGUUUCAAAAGUGCCACUUGGAUCAUCCUAUCGGGAAAUUCUUUGGUGAUUGUACAGAGCUCAAAAUAAAGCUUGAUCGAUGUUUCCGUCAGGAAGUGAGUUUAAAUUUCUGUGCAACUACACUUUGUGUAUGAAUUUUGCUACCUGACAUGCAUAUCUGUACCUGAGAUUUUGAUCAAAUUAUUGUGUUUACAUUCUGCAGAAAGCUGUGAAGCGGAAGGCAAACUUCCAGCAGAGCAAGAAAUUGAAAGAAAGGCUCGAGUCAUUGAGGAAAGAAACUGCUGAGGCUGAAGCAAAAUUUUGAAUUUGAUUUUGAACUCUCAAUUAUAUGAGAUUUCAACGCAGCAUAAUGUGAUUGGUAUAGUGAACCUGUAAAAACUAAAAGGUCUUCUGUUGCGGUCACGCAAUUCUUAAAAUUCUGUUACUCUUUUUCUCCCUAUAAGAAAUCUAUUUCGAAUCCGACAAAUUUGUUUCCUUAAGGAAAAUUAUUGAUGCGUGCUCCAACAUAAAUAGCAGCUUUUAUUUUGAUGUCAAGAUUGCUUUAAACUUUUGUGUAAAAACUUCUGUAAAUACAUAAAAGUCGGUUUAUGGGAGACUAAUUAAAGAAUUCCGCAUUUUAUUCAUUGGUGAGGAGAGGAGAUAUCAUUUAUCCUCUGCAUAUCAUUGUUUUAACGGUUCUGCAUACAUACAAGAAGCUCGAAAAAUGUAACAAAAAACAUGGUGCUAAAAAAUUACAGCCACUUUAGUGUCAAUGAUUACUGUAGACGAAAGAAAAGGCAUGAAUAUAUGACAUGAAUCUCCUCAUUAGUAAACUUUGUUGCUUCAUUUUUCCAGAAUCUAAAUGACAAAAAUAUACAAGUACCAUAUGAAAUAAGUAGCUUAAACAAGUUUCCCUGAAACUGAAUUCUAAAGGAGUGCCCCUCAGGUAUUUGUUACUAGUACAAAAUGAAAUCUUAGUUAAACUUCAUGCCACUGCUUUUUACUUCACUCAAAAGCAACAUCCUGUACAAAACUUAAAAGACAAGAGUGAUAUAAGAUUAAGAUUGAUAAUAGCAUAUAGAUGAUUAGUUGUGCUUAACGAGAGGUUAAAAAUAAUUAUACCCAAAAUGGCAGUUCACCUGAUGAGUUAUGAAGAUAGCUUCAAACGCAUUUGCUCCUUCAAAUCUUUAAAUCCUUCUAGCACUUCUUUCAUAGUUUUCUUCACUUCUUGAAUAUCCUUUACAACUAGCUCGAAUUCAUUUGUUUGGUCAACAAGCACAGGGUUGUGACUAUCAUGCUCCGAGGAACUGCAUGCAUACUUGACUUGAAGCGAAAAAUAUAGAAACAAUGCAUAAACUUUAAUGACAAUUUAGAAACCGUGAAACUACUUAUGUCCACCUGCUAUUGUGCAUUUCAAUUGCCAUGCCAGACCGUUGAGCAACAUCAUUACUGUUUUCUUCACCCCUUUUGUUCAUUUCAGUCAUGCCUAAAACAAGAAGGGAUAAGAGAAAAAUAUUUUAGAUAUUUAGCAUAUUUAGUUCUAAAAUAAGUAGAGGUAGAAUUCUUCAAUUUUUAAUGUAAAUAAUACCAUCAGCAGCCAAGUCUGCAGCAGUAUUUGGAGCUUCAUUGCCACUUGGUUUCAUUGCACGAACACAAGACAGCCCAGAUCCAUAAGCUUCAUUAUGAGAUCCAACUCCAUAUUGCUGGCCACUAGGAGCAGUGAUUUGAGUCUUGUCUUCAGUCACCAUGGCUAUCAAUUACAUAUAUAGGCAAACAGACAGAUAUUGAGUACUGUCAGAGAGAUGAAGACGAUAGGACAAACCCAACCGAACAGCCAACAUCUAGGAGAAGCAUUAGCCUAUCAUUGUUCUUAAUUUUAAAAGAUAUUACACUUAAUGGCACACUGAAUCAUUCCAAGAACUGGUAUAUAAAAUUGUGUAUGGAGAAAAAUACUGUACAAGUAGAAAGGAAUUGAAUUCUAAAUUAAUCAAUUCCACUGAUCUAAAACAGAAUUGAAGUCAUCUCAGAUUCUAGAAGAAUUUACGUCCGCAUGCAUAUGUACUCAUUGACAAUUACAUUUGAUAUAGUUAGAGAACUUUGCAGUCAUUCAAAUAAACUAAUAUUGAUUUUUUAUAAGAAAAAGCUGGAGAAUGACAACCUGCAGUAUCUGUUGAGUCAUUCAAGUGGCAAGAGACUCCAUUGCUUUUCAGAUUCUGAGCAGGACUUGUAUAAGUUCUUUGAUGUCCAGAUUCCGGAGAGGUACCAAUAUUUUCUUUUUCAUCGAUCUGUGUAGAGUCCACACAAUCCGGUUGAAGCUCAAUUAUGUCUGCAAUUACUUCCGGAAUCUCAUUUAAUAAACGUGAUUGUUCUGAUGGCGUUUGAAGCUUCAGGAGUUUAUCCAUGUCCACAUACAGCGUAUGCGAAGAGGCAGGUUAAGGACGACCAAUUUUCCUUUUGCAAAUGCCAUUCCACAAAUUCUAUACUAGUGAGUUGUUUAAAUGCACAUCUAAUUGCAUGCAUAUGAGAAACUUACUAGUCCAACUUUGUAUGACCACUACAUGAAGGAUAUUGUCUCCUCCAUCCUUUCUCAUUUGCUCUAUCAACACACUUUCGCAGUAUAUCCAGCUCUCUUGCGAUCCACUAAUUUUAUUCAAAAAAGAAAAAAAAAUUGAAACAACAAAUGUGAAUAUGGAAAGCAGUUUAUGAAAGUUUUUUAAAAAAAAGGAGAGGUCCACCAAAUCAUAAAAGUAUACACGAGCAUGGGGUCAGCUGAAGUUAUAAAAAGGUCUUUUUGAAAAGUGACCAAAACAAGCACAUCUAAUAAUUACAAGAAACAAAAUAAGUUAUGAUAAAACACUACUUAGAGAAAAAUUGUAAAUCCACCCUUAUAUACUAAUUUAUUUUUUUCUUCUUUAUCUUUUAAUUAUCUGGGUCUCAUUACUGGCUCGAAUUCCACCUUCUGGUGUAAUUUAAGCUCAUUGCUAAAUGAAUUAAAGCCAUGGAAUUAUAAUUCUGGAAAUACCAAAAGUUUCCAACUCUUCACAUGUUAAAUGAAAAUACAUACAUGUUUGGUUAUAUCCUCAUGCAGACAAACGGCCUUCUGCCUAAGCUCCACCUGCAAAUCAACACAGUCACACACUCUGGUAAGGUCUGUAUAGUAUUUUCGUUAAUUAUUUUGAUAUGCAAAAGGAAGCUGCAAUGUUCUUUACACUUAUCAUUGAACAGUAUUAAACUCAUGCAUUUUCUUUGAAACUACUUUCUUAAAGGCCACAAAUUAUUUGUCGAAAGAAAAAGAGAAUUUAAAGAGCUAGACCAAGAAAAGCAACGUAAGUAAAAUAGUUAAGAUUAGGAUAAAGAAAUAGUCUGCCUUCCUAUGGUUUAAGAAAUAAAUUUCCAAAAUAAAUUCAUUUGGUUUAAAUCUUCAUGGCUAAAAUGUAACACAUUUCAGGAAUCAUGUACAAACUGAACAGCGUAUCAAGGUCAAAACAACAACGUGGCGUUAACAACAUGGCAACCCCUUGGAUACGAGAAGGCUGAUAUAUCAAGGUAAAAGAUUACAAUACAUCAGGGAAUGCUGCAUAAUUUCCCACGUUGUCCCAUUAGUAUUUUAGCAACAUUGAGAAUGAUAAGAGAAAUUUUUUAAAGCAAACUGGUGUGCAGUCAGAAACAAUACAUUACAAUUUAGAGGUACUUUUGACCGCUGCAAAGAUCUCCCCCAUGCAUAAUGAAAUCAGCAGUUUUGUGAUCCGCUAACAUUUCUGUAAGAAUUAUUUCUUGAUAACUAUUAUUUCUUGAUAACUAUUUUGUCCUUUCCAGAAAAUGUUACACCAUUAAAUCUUUUUUGUUUAUAAAUUAAAUAGUUUUUCAGCCACUACAAUUCACUACCAGAGUAAUCACUGCUAUACACAAGGAAUCUUAACAAACUACCAUGUAAAAUAGAAGUCUGUAAUGUGAGAAUGAGCAUAAUCUAAUACAUACAAUACAGUGGUUCUCAAAUCGUGCCACACUAAAAAAGAAAACCAAACAGCUAAAGUAUCCAAAACUUACAACAGUUGGCCUAUUAGCCAGGCCAUUUUUCACUCUCUGACGCAAAUCCUCACAUUCUUCCUGUAAGUAAUAGCACUUAAAAUAAGUAUCUACUUUUUAAGUAAAGAAAUUAGAUAAAUAAACCUACAUACUAAACAUACAACCUCAGAGAAGUCAUCAUUGGACAGAUUGCAUAUGGGUACCCAUUUUACUCUAUCAGAGAGUUCGAGGAGAAUUUCUGCAUUGACACUUGUUUUAUGUAUGCCUGUAAUGAUACAAAAUUAUAUUCUGAAGUAGGACAUGAAUUACCUAAGCCAGAGGAAACAGUUAAUGCAACGAGUAGCAUUCCAUGAUAACAUGAUCUUAUUUAAUGUCGAAGCAGGAAAUGUGUAUGAUUUUUGUCAAAUCAGAAAGCCAUGCAUUAUUUAUUCAGUGAUGCAUUAGUUGAAUUAUUGUAAUCAUGAUUGAAAUAAUCACCUGAAACUUGCACAAGCUGGUGAGAAUUUUUCUGCAGAUAAUCAUUUGGGUCUGAUCUUACUCUCACAAAACUUCCCAUUACUUUAGCUUCAAAAGUCUCGAGUUGCUUUGACAGCUCCUCCACUAAACUCUUCCUCAAGUAGACAUGCUUGAUAUUUUUAGGGACUACAGAUGCAAAACAGCUUUCUUGAACAUUCAUAACAACUUCCUUGGUAUGAGAAUUUUUUUGAACAUCCCCGACAACUUCCUUGGUAUGGGAUCUUUUUACUGAGUUUGAUUGCCUUUUACAUGCCUCCAAGUCUUCUUCAACCUCAAUUUCUGAACAACUUCCAAAUUCCUCCUCAAGAAGGUCCAAGUUCUCAGCUAGAUGAAUGGUCAGAAGUUUAGGUACACUAUUUUUAUUCACCGACUUCCGACCAAAAAGAGCCUUAAGCCUUGCAUCACAAAUGAUUUUUCUCUUUCUUUCUGGGUGAAAAAGUUUGUUUUCUUUACAAUAUCCACUAAUGAUAGUUGUAAUAGCAUCAUCUGAUAAUUCUCGGGUUGUGUCUUUGCCAAUGGAAGCAAGGAACUCCAAGAGAGGUCUCGAUCCCCAUCCAACAAACUCUUUUCUGCUUGACUUCACUUUCCUAUUUGCCACAGAUACCUUUCCUUUGGAUCUCUUCCUUUUCCUAAUUUGACUAUCGUCUUCAGAUUCAUCACUAUCGUCUUUACCUUCAUCAGAUUCAAAUGAAUCAGAAGCACCAGAAUAAAGUUCACCACUUUUCAGCCGGUUGUAUGCUGAAAUAACUUGUUCUGAAGUCAAGCGUUCCUUAUCCUUUAUUAUCUGCCAAUACUCAUAAAAGUAACUAUUUUCUGGAUCACUGAAGUCUAUCUUGCACUGUAGAGCAAUAAAGAAAGCCAUUGCAUAAAAAUGUUAGUGUUUAUGUAUUGCCUGUAUUGCAAAAACCAAGAUGAUUACAUGACUCAACCAGCUACNNNNNNNNNNNNNNNNNNNNNNNNNNNNNNNNNNNNNNNNNNNNNNNNNNNNNNNNNNNNNNNNNNNNNNNNNNNNNNNNNNNNNNNNNNNNNNNNNNNNNNNNNNNNNNNNNNNNNNNNNNNNNNNNNNNNNNNNNNNNNNNNNNNNNNNNNNNNNNNNNNNNNNNNNNNNNNNNNNNNNNNNNNNNNNNNNNNNNNNNNNNNNNNNNNNNNNNNNNNNNNNNNNNNNNNNNNNNNNNNNNNNNNNNNNNNNNNNNNNNNNNNNNNNNNNNNNNNNNNNNNNNNNNNNNNNNNNNNNNNNNNNNNNNNNNNNNNNNNNNNNNNNNNNNNNNNNNNNNNNNNNNNNNNNNNNNNNNNNNNNNNNNNNNNNNNNNNNNNNNNNNNNNNNNNNNNNNNNNNNNNNNNNNNNNNNNNNNNNNNNNNNNNNNNNNNNNNNNNNNNNNNNNNNNNNNNNNNNNNNNNNNNNNNNNNNNNNNNNNNNNNNNNNNNNNNNNNNNNNNNNNNNNNNNNNNNNNNNNNNNNNNNNNNNNNNNNNNNNNNNNNNNNNNNNNNNNNNNNNNNNNNNNNNNNNNNNNNNNNNNNNNNNNNNNNNNNNNNNNNNNNNNNNNNNNNNNNNNNNNNNNNNNNNNNNNNNNNNNNNNNNNNNNNNNNNNNNNNNNNNNNNNNNNNNNNNNNNNNNNNNNNNNNNNNNNNNNNNNNNNNNNNNNNNNNNNNNNNNNNNNNNNNNNNNNNNNNNNNNNNNNNNNNNNNNNNNNNNNNNNNNNNNNNNNNNNNNNNNNNNNNNNNNNNNNNNNNNNNNNNNNNNNNNNNNNNNNNNNNNNNNNNNNNNNNNNNNNNNNNNNNNNNNNNNNNNNNNNNNNNNNNNNNNNNNNNNNNNNNNNNNNNNNNNNNNNNNNNNNNNNNNNNNNNNNNNNNNNNNNNNNNNNNNNNNNNNNNNNNNNNNNNNNNNNNNNNNNNNNNNNNNNNNNNNNNNNNNNNNNNNNNNNNNNNNNNNNNNNNNNNNNNNNNNNNNNNNNNNNNNNNNNNNNNNNNNNNNNNNNNNNNNNNNNNNNNNNNNNNNNNNNNNNNNNNNNNNNNNNNNNNNNNNNNNNNNNNNNNNNNNNNNNNNNNNNNNNNNNNNNNNNNNNNNNNNNNNNNNNNNNNNNNNNNNNNNNNNNNNNNNNNNNNNNNNNNNNNNNNNNNNNNNNNNNNNNNNNNNNNNNNNNNNNNNNNNNNNNNNNNNNNNNNNNNNNNNNNNNNNNNNNNNNNNNNNNNNNNNNNNNNNNNNNNNNNNNNNNNNNNNNNNNNNNNNNNNNNNNNNNNNNNNNNNNNNNNNNNNNNNNNNNNNNNNNNNNNNNNNNNNNNNNNNNNNNNNNNNNNNNNNNNNNNNNNNNNNNNNNNNNNNNNNNNNNNNNNNNNNNNNNNNNNNNNNNNNNNNNNNNNNNNNNNNNNNNNNNNNNNNNNNNNNNNNNNNNNNNNNNNNNNNNNNNNNNNNNNNNNNNNNNNNNNNNNNNNNNNNNNNNNNNNNNNNNNNNNNNNNNNNNNNNNNNNNNNNNNNNNNNNNNNNNNNNNNNNNNNNNNNNNNNNNNNNNNNNNNNNNNNNNNNNNNNNNNNNNNNNNNNNNNNNNNNNNNNNNNNNNNNNNNNNNNNNNNNNNNNNNNNNNNNNNNNNNNNNNNNNNNNNNNNNNNNNNNNNNNNNNNNNNNNNNNNNNNNNNNNNNNNNNNNNNNNNNNNNNNNNNNNNNNNNNNNNNNNNNNNNNNNNNNNNNNNNNNNNNNNNAAGGGAGUAACACAUGAUCAAUAAAAUCAUGAUGGUUACAGCCUACAUCAUCUAAAAGAUAUAAUACACAUGUGACCUUAGGCAGAAAGAAUAAAGUCCUUAAUCAUGUUGUUUCCCCCCCCCCCCAAAAAAAAAAAAUGAUGAUAAUAAUAAUAAAGAGAAUAAAAGGAAAUUUUUUUUCGAAAAAAUCAAGAAUUCUAGUUCGAAUGAUGAUUAAAUCCUUUCUAGUUUCUUUUAUUUCUUUUGUCAAGAAAAAGUUAAAAGUAUAUCAGUAAAGGCUGCAAAUAUAUUAUAAGCCACACCCUGCCCUCAUCUGAAAUCUUCAGGUUUUCAAGAAAAAAACAGCAAAAUAAUAAUCUCAUCUAAAUUAUAUUUCUUUUUAUUAAUCUUUUUGUUCUUUUCAAAAAGAAAAUAAAAGAACCAAAAGUCUAUUUUUUACACUUGCAUUACUUUCACAACAACUCUAAAGGCAGCAAAAGAACAUGUAAAUAUGUAAAUGAAAAUUGCAACUGCAUCAAUCCACCAUUCUACAACCAAAAUAAUUUGAUACUGCAUUUAGUCUUCAUUAUUUUUUCUACUUUUCAAUAGGAAAUUAAAGUAAAGAAAGAAUAUUAUUCAAACUUGCAUUCCUAGACUCACCACUAUUUUGUAUCGACUAAGAAGGCUUACAUACAUGUGAAAACAGUUGAUGCGUGGUAAGCAAAUUAGCAACACUAAGAAAGCUACAGUAUUUAUUACAAACUAUGCAUACCCCAUGAGAGUCAACAUCCUUAUUUUCUUCUAUAAGCAACACAAGCUCUAAACACCCACUGCAGAGGCCUUUAUUCCCUUUAACUAUCGCAAACUCCGCAUCACAGAUGCAGUGUCCACAUAUGGCCUUUGGGGAACAUAGGCAAUAAAAUUUUGGAGCUUUGCCGCAUUCGUAGCAAGCAUGCAAAUCUGUCAUUAAGAACUUAUUCAGUCAAGGGUUACCACAGAUAUUCUUAAAAUAAUGCAAGAAUGACAAGGUAAACAAUAACCAUAUCUCAUACAAAUUAUGUGACUGGUGAAUUUUUAUAUGGAAAGUUUAUAAGGUAUUAGACUACAUAUUGAAAUUCCUUUGGAUGGAGACAGGAAUAAAGAUGUAGUUAGUGAGCGUGGGGGAGUGAGUAUGCAUGUUAUGGUAGCAGCGCCACCUCAUGGUGCAUAACUUUCACGCUGACCAACCAUGUGGUGCCAUGUUGCUAGGCUUCAUGCAUUAUGAUAACAAUGUCACUAUUGCUUUAUGUUGAGGCUCGCCUUUAAGUGAACAGCAUUACUGACUGAGAAAUGCUUUUCUUCUCCCUCACCCUCCUCUCUUAUCACAUAGAUGGAAGAGGGGUUAUCAGGUCACAUGCACAAUACAUAUUGAAAGGCUGAUAUAACACACUAGAAAAAGAAAUACAAUAAAGGUUCAAUGAGAAUUACAGAAUAAUAAACAGAAAAAGUGUCAUCACAAAUAAGAACAACUUACCGCACUUCCACUUUACUCCAGUCUCCAAUAGAGAAUCAUCCUCAUUUACACAACUGGGAUGAUAAGCUUUAAGACAGUCUCUACAGGCAAUGAAUAUAAAAAUUAGUAGGAUAGACAAUAUGUUAUAUCAAGAAACAGAAGAUAUCACUACUCUAAAAGAAUAUAUUACCGUAAGAUUCAUAAGUAUACAAAAUGACAAUAUAUAUAUUACACUUAUUUGCUUUUGAAAUUAUUUUGAUAAUGAGGACAAUAGGUCUUAAAUAUGUGUAUUACCCUAAGGUUCAUGCAUGCACAGCAUGAAUAAAUGGAACUACCAUGAAGAUCCUAACUGAGAGCUUUUUAAGCAACAUGUGAAAAUUUUAAAACUACAUAGUAUAAUGGUUGGGUAAUCAUAAAAAAAUUAAAAAGAUACUGGAAAUGUAACACACAAAAAUGCGGUGACAGAAUCCUACAUUGCCAGUUUAGAAGGGUUACUGGAUAACAUAUAUAAAAGCCCUUAACAAUAUGAAGCUUAUUGGGAGGAUCCAAAAACAAAACUGUUUAUAACUAGGACCAAUGUAAACCAUAUUAUACUGUGAGGGAGCAGGCUGUUACAAAUGGCAUCAUAUUGGGACCUCUCUAGCACUAAAGGCACACGCGGAACAAGAGAUCCUUGGGGCCUAUCGUACAUGAGGUCACGUCUUGGGUAGAUUGUAACACCCAAUGAUGAGAUGUCAAAAUCCCAAAUCAUCAAGUUAGAAACUAAGGGCUACUGAGCUAUAUAUGUAGAGCUCCAUCUCAAACAUCACGUCAUUUUGUGUGGAUCCAAAAGCAAAAGUUUCUGGGCCUAGGCCUAAAGCAAACAAUAUCAAUGUCAUACCAUAUGGGAGCAAGCUACUACAGAGAUACUUCUUUGCUCUGCAAAAAUUGUCAGUGUACGUAUAUUUCUAAUCUAAAUACAAUAUUCAACCUCCAAAUAACGGGGUUAUUUUAUUAUUAGUACAAUUUUUAAUUAAUGUUAAACAUAUUUGUAAUCUAAGUACAAUAAUCAAUCUCCCAAAUAAAACAAAAAGUUACCUUUUGAUAUUGCAAUUUUCAAUUAUUGUUUUGACAUCAAAACUAAACAAUGUUACAUUUUACUAACUUUUCCCAAUAACAUCAAGUUCAAACCAAACCCAACAUCCAAUAAANNNNNNNNNNNNNNNNNNNNNNNNNNNNNNNNNNNNNNNNNNNNNNNNNNNNNNNNNNNNNNNNNNNNNNNNNNNNNNNNNNNNNNNNNNNNNNNNNNNNGAAAAGGGCCACAUAAAUCUCAUUCUUUAAAAUGAAAUAAAAGUAAUAAGAAUUGUAUGAGUAUUUUAGAAAAAAGAAAUUGUUUCACAUUCAGAUUUUGAUAUGGAUUCAUUGAAAAGCCAAAAUCUACAAUAGAAACACACAAAUAACAGCUUCUCUUUUGUCUUGAUAAAUAUUAACAAAUCAAAGGACAUGAAAAAUAUACAUAAAGGACCCCAAGGGCCAAAAAGAAAAAUGAAAAAUGAAAAUCAAAACCAGAUGGGAACAGAACUGAACAUAAAUCAGGACAAAAUCAGCAAGCUUGGAGCCAAUAACCAGCUGACAAAGGCCCAAUGAAAAGACAGAACCAUUCUUCAUUUGCUAAUCUUGACUUUAUUCGGUACAGUGUUAAAAUGCCUAUCAGAAACUUUAAUCUUUCUUUAUAAAUACUACUUACUUGUGAUCACAAAGUAUGAGGGAUCCUCCAUCAUAGCAAACAAAACACCAAUCUUCUGCUAUUUUUUCCUUGUUAAAAUUCUUUUUUCUUCCCAUCUUCUUCAAAAAGCUCUCAACUUUAAACCCAAACAGCUGAUUUAGAAACAAGCCAAGGGCUUCACUCCCAAAACUCUCCUCCUGAAACCUAAAAAUUCAGAGGAAUCAAUAAAAAUGUCUCUCUCUUUCUUGAAAUUUACCACAAUCAAUCAUAAACCCAUUUAAGAAAGAAGCAAAAAGGAACAAUUUUUUUAACUUUAAAUUUCAGAUCAACAGUUUCUUAAAAAUUUAGUGAAACUGAAAGAAAGAUAAACUGCAUAUAGUCUAUCCAGAAAAAUUAUCAAAACCCAUUUAAAAAUAGAAAAAAGAACCUGAAAAAGAAAAGACUUUGAACUUACAAGCUCAAAGUUCAAGUGUUUCAUGUAAAAGAAAUGGAAGUUCAAUUCUUCAUAUCACUGUACAUGGCCUCGUUUGUUAAUUAUUACUUUCCCAUUUGGAAAAAUUUAUUAAAAAAAUCAAAAACCAUAACUUGAGCAUUUAAAAUUAAUUCAUAAUGUCUCACUAACUCACUUGAUCUAGAUCAAAAACCCAAUUUUUUUCUAUAAAAAUAAAAAAAAAAGAGGAAAAAAAAAAGCAUAACUUCUAUAAUGGACACAUUAACUUAACUCGAGUUAUUUUUCAUAAUGUAAACAGAAAACCUUUAAAAAAAUUAACAAUUUUAAGAAAAGUAAAGAACAUACCUUGAACUUCAGGAAACCAGGAAGUAAAAUGCGAAAAUGGAGCUUUUGAGAUGACCCAUUAAAGACAAGAAACUUUAAGAGUUAAAAAGACCUUUUUUUACCAUUGAAAUUGGUGUGGCAUAACAAAUGCUCCUGAAGCAGUGAAUGACGUAUUUUGGUCAGAGUAAAAAGUCUUCUGGAAAUUGUUUUUUCCCCAAAAAAAAAAAACAAUCACUCUCGAUGUUCGAUAAUCGAGUAAAACAAAAUAAAAUACAAAAAGAAUUUUUCUAUUUAUCACUUAAUUUAAUUCUUUAUAUUUUCAGGAAGUAUUAGAAAUUUAGAAUGAGUUAAUUUGUCUCAUUUAGUUCUUAAAUGAUAAAUUUCAUAACUUAUAAAAUUAUUUAACCAUUAUUUAACAAAUAAAUAUUAUAACAUUCAAAUUAAAAUUUAUAUGUUAGAAUGUUUAGUUUUGACUUUUGAUAAUCUUAAUUACCCAUUAACUCAAACCUAACUAACCCGCAAUUUAAAUUAAAUUUGCCACUUUUCUUUACAUAAUUACAUUUAUAAACCCAAUGUUUUGUUUGUAAUAAAUUUCAUUAUGCGGAGUUUUCAAUUUUAAUAGUUUAACAUUUAAUUAUUUUGAACUUUUCUGAUCAAUAUUGAAGUUGAUAUUAAUUAUUAAAUUUAAAUUCAAUGGAGAAUUAAUUUUUUUGCUAACCUUUUAAAAAUAUAUAAGUAGUAAAUAUUGAAUAAAAAUAUAAAACUAAUUAAAUCUUAACUGUUUAAUGUUAUACACACACAUGUGAGUAUAAAAAAAUUUAAAGAAUUGAGCACGAAUAAUCUUAAUACUAGAUCUAAAUUUAUUGUUAUUAUUCUCUCACUCUUAAAUAAAAUAUUUCUCUAAAAUUUUAGAACUUAAAGGUAUAUCUUAGGAAGAUAAAAAUAAUAAACCCACUCACUAACUUAUUUCCCAAAAUAAACUAUGGGAGCCUCCAAUAACAAAUCUGUAAAAACUUGGGCUCAGCGGAAAAUGGAACCUCUGCUGCUUGCUUUUUGCUUUCUGUAGAGUAGCUGUCUGAUGGCCAAAAAGCUUGGUCAACAUGCGCAUCCACAACCGUUGGAUUGAAUGGAAAGUUGAAUUGAAGUGGCUGUGGGAAUCCAACGGUUAUGAUUGGCCAACGUUACCAGGUUUUGUUCCCUUGAUCUAAGCUUCAUCCAGCGGCUGGUUAGAGAGGAAUUCGAUCAACGCUCAUUAAAACUAAUACCAAAACAGCCAUCGUAUUGGGUCAAGGGAACAAAACCUGGCAACUUUGGGCAUCCAUAACUAUCGGAUUCGGUCGAAAAACAGCACAUCCGAUGGCCAGAAAGCUUGGUCAAUGUUGUCAACGCUAUGGUCAACGAUGGUCAAACUUAUGAUGACGUGGCAAAACAUAGACGCUCGGAUCAGGAGUGAUAAACGGGCUUCAAAACAUGCGGAUCCUCUCAUUAAGAGUUCGCGGUUUGGCGGCGGUGACUUCUAUGUUAGCUCGUUGUCAGUGGCCAAUUAGUGUAUGGUCAAGCAUAAAGUCAUCAAAGCUGCAGGUAAUUUAUUGAGUGGCCGGUAAUUUCAAUCUCUACUAUUUUUUUUUAAUCCUAAAUAAUAUGUUAUUUAUUGAGUGACCGGUAAUAUUUUACGGGAUAAUUUUUACUUUCGUCAUCUGAAGUUUGGUGUAUCUCCACUUUAGUUGAAAGUAUUAUUGUAUCUCUAUUUUCCUCCCCUACAGUUAGUAUAUUGUUUAAAAAUCGAUUAAUUGACUGAGUAAAAGAUGAAAAUACCCUUGAUCCAUUAUAAUCAAAGCUAACAAAGAUCUGCUGGAUAAUAACUUGGCGCCAAGUGUGUAAACAAUACAAAAUGACCAUAUUAUCCCUAAUAUAAACUCAAAUUAUAUUUGUUGAUUUAGAAAUCAAAGUUUAACAAAACAAAAUGCUUUAAAAAUAUUAAAGAACACUGCCAAUAUUACCGUUGAAUCUAAACGGCUAUAUUGGCAGUGUUGGCUAUAUAUCCAUCAUCUCAAUAUUUACAAUUAACAAGUGAUUUGCUUGACAUUUGCAUCACAACCAAAACAUAAAACAAAACUCGUUCACUGCAAAACUUGAUACUUAUUUACACAUGAAGAAAAUUUUAAUGAUUUAUAAAUGUUCAUUAGAGAUUUCGCUCAUCUUGGAUAUUUGAGGAAAAGGUUAAGGAAAGACAUUCCAGUACGAAGUCAAUGACAGUUAACUAAAACACCAAUUUGAGGUAACUGAAACACCAAUUUGUGUUAUCUAUUUUCACACUUUAAUGAAAAAAUAUAUAAAAAUCAUCCCCACAAACCCACAUCACUAUGAACAACAACAAUCUUAACUGCAUUUUAACCGAUCCCAUCACCAUUAUAAGAAGAAAAAAAAAAGAGGGGGAAAGUUGCAGUUACCUGGCCCUUGGCUCUAACACAAGUAGAUGAUUUCUAAGUCGUCGCCAAUAUUUGCUAACAGCAGUCCUUUUAGUUGGAUCUAUUGAAUCUGUCCUAGGUGUUAUCGAUUGAGAUUGUUUCUUUUUCAUUUUGUUAACAACAGCUUCUAAUUUCUUCAAAUGAUUUGAGAAUAAUUGAAAUGGGUUAUGAACUUUUUGUGGUUUUGAUUCUGGUAGACGAAAGAGAAAAACUUAUGAGCUUUUUUGUGGUUUGGAUUCCAAUAGAUGAAAGAGAAACAUGGCUUUUGUUGUGAGCUAAAACACAAUGGAUAACAAAUUGUAUCUAUUGUUACUCGAUAGAUAUUAACAUGUUUCUAUGACUACACUAUUCUCAAAGUGAACUUUUAAAUUUGCCUAAAUAUAUAAUCAAUAAAGUAUGCAAUUACAAAAUUACCAUUAGUGACUAACCAUAUACGAAACAGUAUACUAACGGUAGGGGAGAAAAGUGGAGAUACAUCAAUACUUUCUACCAAAGUGGGGAUACACCAAACCUCAGGGGAGGAAAGUGAAAAUUAUCCUUUUUUAGCAGGUUCAAAGUGAAUUAUUUAUAGGGUAAAUUUCAACCUACCCCUCUCGCGAAGUGACAAUCUUCAAAUUGUCCCUUUACUAAUGAAAACAUCAAAUUAUCCUUCAAAAAUCGUUAUCUGUCUGUUAUUUUUAACGGCUGAAAGGGUAAAACAAUAUUUGUGCAUUCCUCCAAUAGUCAAAAGACAGAAAAAAAAAAGUCAAAUCUUUAUAUGGGUUAAUUUUUAUGAGCUCAAAUCUUUUUAAGUUUUUCAAAUCACACAUAAAUAUUUUAAAUAUUUAUGAUAUGUAUCCCUAGUAUUUUUAAAUAUUUUUAUUUUGCACCUAUAUGUCUAAUUUUGUUCGAACUGAUUAAAUUUUAAUUUUUGUAUUUACAAAUUUUAUUUUGGAAAUAAAUAAAGAAAUUAAUUAAAGUUAUAAAUGGAAAAAGAAUAGUAUUUUACAUUUUUAUAUUUAUUAUUAUUAUUAUUAUUAUUCUUUUUCCUUUUGUAAAGGUAUUUAAACAAAUAUUUGGAUAAAAAAAUCCAAGGACACAAGAAAAAUGCAACACAAACUUAAUCUACUUUUACAUGUGGCUGCACAAACUUUUUUUUUGUUGAAAAUAUUGAGAUCUUGUGCAAUAAAUUGUGAAGCUAUAUAGGCAAACAAUGUUACUCUCUAAGGAUAAUAGGUUCAAAAACUCGUUUGGUCUUUUCAUAACAUGUACAUUCCUCCAAAUGGCUUAAUCAAUUUCACUCAUCCAAUUUCUCAAUUUAUGUUUCAACAUGCAAAAGGAAAAACAUAGUGUAACACAACUCAAGGCCAAAGAUAAUACAAAUACCAAAAUUUGAAAAUCGUCAUGUUAUCCAAUGUUAAAAUAUCACACCGAAAAAGAAAACUCUUUUUUUUUUAAAGAAACACUAAAAGAAAUUGAGACUGAUUGCAUAAACUUAAGAGAGAUGAUUAAGAGAAAAAGAGAAAAAAGACAAAACAAAACAUUGAAAGACAUUUUUUUUUUAAACAAAACACUAAACUUAAGAAGAUGCGUUUCUAGAGACACUACAUUUUAUAUUCUGCCAUCUUCGACUCAAAUUUUUAUCCAAAGUUAGUCUUUACAACAAAAAUUAGUAAAAACGUCACUAGGACUGAGACAUUCCACAAUUAUUAAUUAUUCCCUCCCCCCAACCUUAAAGAGACAUUGUCCUCAAUGUCUAAAGAAAAGAGUAGAGUUUAGAAAAUAUCACCUGACCACUGCAGAAAAUAUUUACAAACNNNNNNNNNNNNNNNNNNNNNNNNNNNNNNNNNNNNNNNNNNNNNNNNNNNNNNNNNNNNNNNNNNNNNNNNNNNNNNNNNNNNNNNNNNNNNNNNNNNNAAUAUUCAAUGGGCCCAGAAGCAAAUGUAAUUAGCGCUCUAAAGUUGUAAGGUCUCUGGCAAGAAAUGAAAGUGUCAGCAUGCUUUAACAUUUCAGAUAUCUUCUGCAUAUAUGAGACAACUAACUCUUAUCCAGUUGGUGGGUCUGGUAGACAUCUUAAAGAUUUUAAGGCUUUAGGAAUGAUGCAUAGCACUUGGCUUCUUCGAACGAAAGCAGCUUCAGAGACAAGUUUUAAUAACCAUUGGCCACCUCCUCCAUAUACAAGAUUUAAUUUCCUCUUUGCUAUAGCACGACCAAGAUCUAUGGCUGCUUGAACGAACUCCUUAUACUUUCCAUAACGAAAUCUAGAAAGCACACAAAUGUUUUUAAGUUGACUGCUUGAAGUUGCUGCCAUUAGAACAAUUCUAAAAAGAAACAAUUUGUGUGUGCUUGAAAAGAAGUUCCUAUUUAAGGAUCUUGGUGAUGGACAUAAUAAUAUACAUAUGCAAAUGGGGUGGUGUGUUUGUCAAAUGACGCGUGAAGCUUUUAGCUUAAUAACUCAAAAGAAAACAGUGAAAAGAAAAAACAAACAGUGAUUAGAUAUAAAAAGACACACAAUAAUAAUAAUGCAAAAGAUAAAAGAAUAAUAAAAUAAAAGGAUAUUUACUGGUAGUUGUGAUUGUGGCUCACAUCUUCCUCUGGUUUUACGUCCAGUAACGGCUUGAACACCCUCUUUGGGUCGAGAAUAGGCUUUCCAUCCAGUUUUCUUAUAUACUGGCAAACAAGGUCUUUUAGAGUCAGAUUCCCAAGACUAAACUGUGCACUUUUCUUUUGGAACAUUUUCCAUAAAUUUUAAAUUUCACGUUGAACAUAUCCGCUCGGAUACGUCUCACGAGAUCAUAAGAUAUCAUCCAACAAUUCUUACCCAUGCCAUCCUUAACGAAUUUGAUUUUAUCUUCACGAUUUAUAGAAACCAUUCCUAAAGUUUUACAAAGUGGCUUUUUGCGAGCAAGUCUUACAUAGUGAGAACAUUCAGAGCUAAGUCGUUUAGCUAUUCUUUGCUUAGCAAAUGUACUUUUACCAAAACCAGACGUGUAGGAAAUGAAUGGAUCAGAAAACUCACCUGCCAAUCGGACCUUUGCUUCAAUUAACUAGCAAAUGUCAGCAGGAAUCCCAUUGAUCAUUAACAAACGCAGUCGUUCACAACGAGAUUUGUAAAUCUUCUUAAGAGCAUUUUAAGGAAGAGAAGGAAAAUAUUGAUGCAAUUUUCGUUGUAUUUCUUCCAUGCUUGACAUUGAGGUUUCAGUUAUUGUGGGAAACUGAGAAUACCGACUUAAAAAGUCACGGAGUACCAUUAUCCGCCAUUUAGAUGGGAGAGUGAAUCAAAACAAAACGAAUCAAAUCUGCAAAAUCAAAUCAAAAGUGAAAAAGAACAAAAAAACAAAACAAAAACAUACAAGGAAUAUAACUCACCUUCGUCCUUUUAUUGAAUUUACUUCCAGUUCCAAUUGCAGAAUACCUUCCUCUAUUUCCUUGAGUUGUCUUUCUAGAUCUUUCACGUGAGAUACUAACUCUGGUGGUUGUAGAUCCCAAAUGGGCUAACAUAACUCACUGCUAUGUUAUUUGUCACAAACAUUAAAAUCUUCAUACGAUGAAUCCUUUAAUUAACAAUAGAUUAAGUUGAUAAUUAAAUAAUGGCCAAUUACCUAAUUAACAAACAUAAUCAUGAAAAUAAUUCAGAGAAUAAACAAAUACCCAAAAGCAAUAAAACAAUUAAAGCAUAAAAUAGAUCUCAUAGUAGUGAUGAAUCAAAGCUUCAUUAUCCUUCAAUUAGAAAAAUAGGUUUAGUUCUUCAUAGAAAGAAGAGAAAAGUUUAGAUCUAGAGUUUCUUUUUUUUUCUUCAAUCCCCCCUUUUCACAAUAUAUUCCCCCCUUAAAUACUCUUUCUCUCUUCUCUUUUAGAGUUCUAUUUAAAAUAAAAUACUAAUAUCUGAAAUAUUAAAUUCGUAAUUACUAAACUAACCAAAAAUACAAAACACAUUAAAUUAAAAAUUGCAGGUCCGCAGUUGACAGCACACGCCCACGCCUUAUCAACAAAGUUCUUCUGACGCUCAUAAUUUCUCCAAGAGAACAAUCAUCUUUAAAUAUCAUCUUAUAGCUUAAUUUUAUCACCAAUCAAUAGAAUUGCACCUACAAAAGUAAAACUCAAGUAAAUCACUAUUAUUAAGUGCAAAACAUCGAUAUUAAGGGAGUAAACAAUGCAAAACUAGUGCAUAAAUUGCACUCUAACAGUGGUUUGCUUAGCUUAAAUUUUAAAAUCUCAAUUCACCCCCCUCUUGGGUUGCCUAGUUAGUAUUUCAUUUAGUAUAAGAGCAAAGUGCUCUUGUGUAGACUUAACCGUUUAGAGUUAAAGAUCUAUAACUAAACUAAAUUAGCUCAACUUUAAUGGAAGGCCAAUCUACCACUCUAAAAGUGAGUUGUUUGUUGUAAUUUUCAUUUCUCAUCAAAUUGUGAGUGUACAAGUGUGAAAAACACUUAGGUUGAAGAGAUUGGGGAGAUACUCUCUUGAUUGUAAGAGUUUAUUGACACAUUGGAAGUUAAUUGUAAAGAACUUGAAGCCUUGGGAGACUUGGAUAGUGAAAUCCUCAAGUUGAGUGAGCUUGGAGGUGUGGACAUAGGCGGGGGUUGCCGAACCACGUAAAAAUCAUUGUGUUUGCUCUCUCUUCCCUUACUAUCUUAUUAUUGUGCUUUAGUGAAUUGCUUGUUUUUUUAUUCCAUUAAGGCAUUAAAUUAAAUUGUUGUGUGGUUUGCUUAACUUAAAUUUUAAAAUCUCAAUUCACCCCCCUCUUGGGUUGUCUAGUUAGUAUUUCAUUUGGUAUCAGAGCAAGGUACUCUUGUGUAGAAUUAACCGUCUAGAAUUAAAGAUCUAUAGCUAAACUAAAUUAGCUCAUCCUUCAUGGAAGGCCAAUCUACCACUAGACCUCCAUUUUUUUAUGGUAAUGACUAUUCUUAUUGGGAAACUAGGAUGAGAGUCUUUUUACAAGCCAUAGACUAUAAAAUAUGGAAAAUAGUUUGUGAUGACUCAUUCAUUCCUAGGAAGAAUGCUUUAAGUGAGUCGGAUAGGAAAACGAUGUCUUUAAAUUCAAAGGCUAUGAAUGUUUUAUUUUGUGCCUUAUGUAAAAAGGAAUUUCAUAGAGUUUUAAAUUGUUCUAAUGCUUAUAAAAUAUGGAGAAAACUUGAAGUUGCGUAUGAAAAGACUACAAAUGAGUAGGAAUCUCAUGAAGUGUCAAAUUUGGCACUUAUGACAAUUGGAGAUGAAUCGGAUGAUGAACUUAAUGAGGUAAGUGGUCUUUCUACAUAUGAUGAAUUACAUGAUGCUUUUAAAGAGUUGCAUGAUAAGUGGAUAAAAAUUGGUAAAAAGAAUGUAUGUCUUAAAAAGAAAAUGGUAGAGCUCACAAAUCAAAAUGCAUCUCUAAGUGUAAAGAUAAAAUGCCUAGAAUUAAAGAAUAAAACAUUGCAUGAUAGAGUUUCAUUAUCAAAUGAGAACCUAGCAUUUCACAAGAGCAUUUAGAAUCACAUGUAAUUUUAUAGUAUUUGUUCAUAAUCAGAAGUAAAUUUAAAUUGAACUAUUUUGUUUGGUAACAAAUUUGAUGGUUAAAUUUUAUUGUAUAUUUAAUUAAAAAAUAUAAUGAAUGGGAUCAAGAAGAGAUAUAGAGAGUAUGAAAGCGACUGUGUUUUGGGUUUGUGGCAGGGUAUGUUUGGGAUUGGGUUGCCGGCUGCAGCUUUUUCAAACACUUGCUUUGCUUUCAAAGUAGAAGCACAUAUCCUAUCUGUGUUUAGUUGCAUAGUUUCUAUUGGCAAUUGCGUGGAAUUUAUGGUUCUGAUUUAAGUAAAGAAGGUAUUCUCUGUGGUGGUAUUAGUGUUUUGGGAUUCACUAAAAUUCUUAGGUUGUUGAAUGGUGCUGGUUGUACUUGGGAGGAUUUCUUAUCAUAUGAAAAGGUUUUCUUUUUUAUGUGAUUAAAACAUCUAACAUUGCAGAAAGAGGCAGAGGGGCUGCUGUGGAAGUGCAUAAUGAAGUAUCGAGUUCAACAGCAAAAGCAAAAACAACAAAAGCUGAACGGCGUGCAAUGCAAGAAGCUCAAAGAGCUGCCAAAGCUGCUACAAAAGGUUCAAACAGCGAUCUUAUCUUUUCUUCAUCUUUUGAAUGUUUGGAAGAAUACGCUAUUUUAACAUUAGAAUGUUUGGGUGAUAUUUGGUAUGUUGAUUGAAGAAGUUUUUUGUAGAGGUUGAGUAUCGAACUAUUUUUGGGAGCGUUAAUUUUAUAAAUUACAGGUUUGAGAAUGUCAUAAUUGUAAAGGAGACUUUGCCGGAUUUUUAGUAGACUCCUUACAUAUUAGAUUUACUAUUAGUUCGUUUAGACAAGAUUAGAUAGACUCGUCCUGGGGUUUUGGGGCGGGGCAUGUCAAGUAGUGGUGCAAUCAAUUAAAUGAGCUAACCCAAGAAUCAUAUGGACAUAUACAAUUUAAACUAGCCCAAUUAUUUAAUUCCAAAUCUACUCCACUGAAAGAUACCUCCAUAAUUGUAUGCUAUCUAACAUAGUGUUGUCGAAUAAUAAUUCGACCCAUGCCACACUGAUUUCCUUACUGAACAAUCAUUUGUAUCACAUCACUAAUUAAAUUGAUCUAUCAACUGUCCAAUCAAUUUAAUUACAUCUUGUUCCUUAAUAUUUACUGAUUUUCUCUAAUGAUCAUUUUCAACAUACUAAUUAUGUUGACACACUCUAACCAGAGAAUUCUACGAUCAAGUACCAAAAAACCCAUUAAGAGAAGUGUUGUACAAAUUCUAUAUUGUUAAUCUAUAAUCUCACUGCUCAUAUUUGCUUCUACCAAGAUAUCGGGUAAUCUUAACUAUAAAAGAAUGUCACGCCCAUUGGUAAUUCAAAUGAAAUGACAAUCACAAACAUGAAACUAUAAUUAACUCAAGAUUAAAAUUACAAUAAAAUCAAUGCUUAUGAUAUUUAAUAAGUUUAACAGUCAUUUUAAGGUUAAGUAAAUCUCAUAUGUGAUCUAGUUCAAUGUUGUCAAACUACAUUAGUAAAUUCAUAUGUGAAUAAGACAAAUCAUUUAAUGAAUUUACUACAGUUUAAAUAUAAAUAAAGCGCCUAACUCUAUUUAUCAAUUGCGCACUUAAUUUAUUUAAUCAUAAGAUAACUUGUAUUUAUAUUUUCUGUGAAUCACAUAAAUACAUAUAAUAUGAUUAAAUGGACAUUAUUCAAAAUAUUUAUGCAAUUAAGAUUUUUGAAAAAUAUCUCAAAUAUUGUAUUAAUCAGAAAAUCAAUAUGCUUUAAAGAGCACAUAAUCCCAAUAGUUUCAACUUGGCUGAAACCAUAUACAUAGGACAUCCGUGAGUCUCCAUACAGUUCCAAGUCUCUGAAACCAAUUAGGCUUGAAAACCAGCAUGCUUUAGCCAUAUUGAAUGAAACUUUGAACGGCUUAGGGCCGCUGCUGGAGUUGCAAAAGCAAGAAAUAAUCAAUGGCAAGGGAUCCGAAAGUUAGCGAGGUAAAAUUUUGAUAGCAAGUAGAGCCGCAAUGACCCAUCCAAUCUGAAUUACAUAAUUACAUAAUCUGAAUAUUAUUGCUGAUCCUUGCCCAAGAAUAUUGAAGCCCUGAGAAAGGAAGUUCAGUGAGACUAUAACCAUCAAUAAAGGCAAAACAAUUGGCACAAGAUAAAGAACCAGGAAGGUUACCGCCUUGUAGCAACACCAACAAUUCUCAACCUGAACCUUUGCCGUCACCUGUCGAGCAGUACAGGAGAGAAUACUGGCAUUAGUAAUAAAUUCUUCCAUUAAAACCCAAAGUUUGAAUGAAAACGCCGCGAAAAACGACUUUGCAUUGAAUCAAAAUCCACCCUCGGUUCAGAAAUAACAACAACGCAGGAUUAUGAAUAGAACAAACAAUGGCUAGUUCUUCUUUUGAAUUCGGGUUAGCCACUCCUCGACUAUUCCUAACUAAGAAUUUCAUUGAGGAUGCAGGCUGUCCUCAAUGCCUUUUUCCUCAGCACUUAAACGCCUUUUCUGAGAUUUUGAGAUCACAAUCUUGAAUUGAUCAGCAGUGGCUUUAGUCAGAGGAUUAGGAUUUUCUCUUUGAGCUCUGCUAAGCCUUUUAUUAAUUAUAUACCACCUGUCUUGUAGUGCUGGGGUAAAAUUAGACUUAAUCACUUCUAUUUUUAAUCUAUUUACCACCAAUUACUUAAGUUGAUUCUUUUUUUCAGGAAGAGAUCAAAUUAUGAGAAGAUCCUAGACCUUUCCAUAUCUAUAUACCAACGGAAUGUCAGGUAAAUCGACAAGGGGGGGAGGUGGCAGAGUAUUAUUUUCAACAGCCUCUUUAUCAAGUGGAAUGUCAGGUAAAUUGCUGUCAUUGAUGAAAGCCGUAGGAUCCGCUGAUCCGGAACAAGGUUCCCAGUUGGUUUAUAGACCUAAUGAGGUGAAUUUUUGGGGUGUUUUUCAAACUAUCCAGGAAUGCUCUUGUUCAAGCCACAUUUAGACGCAUCAUGGCCAACACAAGAACAAUAGCAUUGAUCUUGUUCAAAUCCAUUCGCUUUGGUAAUCAUCGUGAUUAACUUUAAUAAAUAAUUGGUCCCCUUUCAGAGAGGCAGAAGGUGCUGGCCCGGAUGCGAAGUCAAGUCUGGAAAGGUUGCCAAAAUGGAAGAAAAAGAUUUUAAUGAAUAGGGACUGCUGGUUUUAGUGAGGAAUUUUGUGAAAGUGUUGGAGUAUUUUCAAAUCGAUUGUGUUUUAUGAACAGAACAGGAAGUAAAAGAACGAACAAAUAAAGUAAAUAAUAUAUAUAGAAGUAACGGAGGUGUUAGAUUAAGCUUUCGCUGCAAAAGCAACUCGCAUUUUUAGUUCAAUUUACAAAGCUAAUAUGCGCCGGCUCUUUUAAAGAACACUUUCCGAAUAGUACGACAAGUGGCAUUUAUUUGCUGGGGGUAUAUAGAGUCUUUCACACUAUCAUAAAACCCCAAAUUCACACCCAAAACAUUCAUCCACACUUGAGAAUUUUCAUAAUAUAUAUAUAUAUAUAAUUAAGCAUAUGGCUCAAUAGUUUUCCCAAACUACACGGUAAUUCUCAGGUGCGGACGCCCCUUUUAACAGCGUAUCAAUUAAACCAUAUGAUUUAACAGUGUAUCCACAUAAACAAAAUGAAUGUGCUCUUAUGAGUGAAGGACGAUACAUUCACACUAAAUGAAGUAUAGGUUCAGAAUUUUACUAUUGAAGUCAAAAAAUAAAAUGAAGACUUUUUUUGGCCAAAGAAUAGAAUUUGUCAAUAAACUUGACAAAUUGGCAAAGAUUGGAUAAUUUGUCAAUUAACUUGAAAAAUUAGCCAAAGCAACACCUAACACCUUGACAAAUAGCAGGGUUGGUGCAAUAAUGCCAUUGUUUUUCCUAUAAAUAGAUGGCACUUCUAUUCUAAGCAUCCCAAAAUUUAAGAGCUUAAGAGAAAUUGCAAGUGAAGCAAUUCUAGAGUUCUGAGAGUGUGAGCAAUUGGAGAAUGUGUGUGUGAGUGCUUUAAGUGUAUUUGAGUUUUGGAAAGUGAGGUUUCUAUUCAAAUAUUGUACUCUAAUAAUUGUUAGUAAUACAAUUAUUUUUCCCUUGCUCUCGUGGACGUAGGCACACUGUUGAACCACGUAAAAUUCUGUAUCCUUUAUUUUUCUUGUGAUUAUUUGGUACGCUUAAUUCCGCAUUCAGUGCACAACAUUUACAACUGUAACAUCACAUAAUCUUAAUGUAUUUUAUCACUACUUGUUUAAUUAACUAUAAUAUCAUAUGGUGUUUAUCGAAUCUGCAGAUAUCUGCAAGAGAAAAGGAUAAGAUUUUCUUAUUUGAAGAGUAUAAAAUUAAAAUACUGUUAGGAAAGUGUAGCAAUAUUAUUUUAUACCUUUUCUAACACCUUUUCUAACAGUUACCAUUGAUUUAAAAAAGAAUAGUGUUAUUGAUUAAGUGGUAAUCAUAUUACCGGCAAUGUCAUAAAUACGAAAUUUGAUAACAUAAAUACUGGAAUCACGUUAAGUGAUUGAAAGAUAUUGUAUUCCUUUAAUAAUUAAUAUAAAAGGAUAUCAAAUCUAAAGGAACCAAUGCUCCCCCGUUAUUCUCACAAUUGAAUCAUAAGGCGCGAAUCCGUUUUUCACUCAUCUACAAUUAAACAUCAGCCGUUGAUCGUCGUCUAUUUCCGGCAAACUUGUCACUAUCGGCUACUUGAAUUUAUAUAUUUAUUAUGUACAUUAUAAACAUUAUAAUUAUUGCCGAUAAACUACUGUUAUUGCCCCAAGGUAAAGGAAUACAUAUAUUGACUUUAGAUUACAAUACCUAAUACUAGAGCCAACUAAUACUGCUAUUGCCCCCAAGGUAAAGGAAUACAUAUAUGGACUUUAGAUUACAAUACCUAAUACUAGAGUCAACUAACACUGUUAUUGCCCACAAAGUAAAGGAAUACACACACACACACAAGCACGUAUCCAUAUACACCUAAUAUUGUUAUUGCCCACAAAUUAAUGGAAUAUAGUAGCUCUAUAAACUAAUAAUCGUUAUUAUAUAAUAAAUUUUUACGGUUCCAACUUGAGCCAAUGGACUAAAUUAACAAUUUCGAUAUAAUAAGAUAAUACUUUUAUAUACAGAAAUUUUUCAAUCCAAAAUUUUAAAGUGCAGGAAAGUUUGGAAAAGCUUUAAAACAGUACGGUUUUAAAGCUUAAUUUUAAAAUGCUAUUAAACAACAUGGUUUUAAGGCUUUCUUGGAUUUUCCGGGACUUUCAAAUCCCAAACCAGAAAACUUAUAAGUCCGAGAAAGGUAUUAAAUAGAUGAUUUAUUAGUAUAAUCAUUAUGUUAUUAAUAUAUAUAUAUAUAUAUAUAUAUAUAUAUAUAUAUCCUUUUAGAGGCUUUAUAUAGAUUGGGACUUCACAAUGCUGUGAAGUGAUUAAAAAUGGUGUGAAAGGCUUUUACACCAUUACAAAGUCUCAAAUCUGCACGACAAUCCUUGCACGUGUCUACGCUUGAGUGUGCAUAUAUGUGUGUGUCUUUUUCCCUCGCGGACGCCCGCAAGAAUUUUCAUGUAGAUUUGAGCUUUCACAACAAAUAUAGGACAAUGUAAAAAAUAAAAAAAAAAUACAGAUUUCAUUACAUUAAGAGACAAAAUACAUCGCAUUAUAUUGAAAUCUAUAGUUUUUUGUCUUUUAACUUGUACUUUUCUUUGAUAUGGUAACAGAUUCACUUAUUUUAUAUUUGAGGAAGGAUCAAUGGUCCUUUAAAAUUACAUUUAUUUUUACAUCAUUUAUUAGUCCUCAGAUUUGUAACAAAUGGGUGACUUGGAUUAGGUUGAUUUAGUAACAUAGAUAUUUCAUAAUAAUUUAUUAACGGUAUAUAAUUAGUAAUUCUUAAUUAACAUUUCUCUCUCCUACUUAUUUGCUUUCCCUCCAUAGUUUUUAUUCUAUUUUUUUUUUGCUUAUAUCUUACUUUGUGUUUUGUUUCAUCUUCUCAUUAAUUGUUUCACUUCCAACCUGUUGACAAUAUUUUCGUGCAUUUGUAAUAAAAUUUCAGUAAAAUCAGCUGACUUGAAGUUGAAGAAAUUUUUGAUUUUAUAAUACACAUAUGCGAUGAUUGAUCUUCAAGUGUGCUUAUGGGAAAAAAUUCUUUCAACAAAAAUCAUUGAUUUUUAUUCAAGCCAAUAUUAAUUGAUCCACAAUUCCAUAGACAACUAAAAUUUUAGAUCAAUAAUGGCUGCUUAAGCUUACAUAAUAUUUGUGAUUUUACUAUUUACAAGCUCGCAUACGAAAUGCAGCUUUUGCCUUCUAAGGUUUCACUGUGUUCAAUUUUACAAUAAUAGAGAUUGAAAACAAAUAUUUUUUCUUCAAACAAAAAAAGGCAUAAAAGACUAUAUAUUUUUGAAGCAAUACGUAAUUUUUCUAUUUUUCUCUGCAACAAGCUUUUGUUAUACUGUUAAACCGUGAAGAAGAUCACAAGAGAGAUUAAAGAAAAUGAAUUAAGGAGCGAGUAAAUUGGAGAGAAAAAAAUCUAAGCCCAAAAAUCAAUAUUAUUAAUUAUUUAUAAAUAUAGUCAAUAUAAUUAAUUAGAUCUAAUCCUAUCCAUUGAUUAAUUAUAUAUCCAGAGGUCAGAAAAUAGUGUAAAAGUAAGUGUAAUUUAAGGACGUUGAAUCAUAAACUUGAUCUAAGAUAAAAAUUUUCGAAGCCCAAUCCAUGGAAGGUUCCAUGAGUAAGUACGGACUGUCAACCACUUGAAUUUAUAUAUUUAUUACAAACAUUACAAUUAUUGCAGAUAAACUAUUAUUGCAGAGAAAAUAAAGGAGAAUAUAUAUAUAUAUAUAUGGGUGCUUUUCCAAUCAGGGAUCCCUGACUUUAAUAAAGUCAGGGAUUAGCUAAAAGAAAAAAAAGUUGUGCAUUGGAGUAUGUGUUUAUUUUGUCUUUUAGCUAAUCCCUGACUUUAUUAAAGUCAGGGAUCCCUGAUUGGAAAACUACUCAUAUAUAUAUNNNNNNNNNNNNNNNNNNNNNNNNNNNNNNNNNNNNNNNNNNNNNNNNNNNNNNNNNNNNNNNNNNNNNNNNNNNNNNNNNNNNNNNNNNNNNNNNNNNNGACUGUUAUUGCUAAUAGUUUGUCUUGGAAUUACCUACGCCCCAAUCACCCACCUUGGCACUCUCGUUUACUUCAUUCUCUAUAUAUACCCCCCAUGCGUAUCGUAUCAAACCAGAAUCAAGAACUCGCAAAAGCAACUUCAUUACUUUGUAAUUUUGAUUCCGAAGUGAAUAUCUUUUCAGUUGAAGAUUAUGGAAACUACCUGCGCAGGUUUUUAGGCUAAGUUCAGUUGAAUAUCAUUUAUAAUUCUUAUUUUAAUAUAUUUAUGAUUAAUUUUUCUGUUAUGAAAUUUUUAGGUAAUAACAAUUGGUCGGAGAUUAUCAUCCUACUACUAUUUCCUCUUCUCAGCACUACUGAUGAUGACAAUGUGAAUGACAAUCUUGAUCUUCUUGUUGUCCCUCAAUAUGGGAGAAACCCUAACUACACUGGUUAAUUACACUUACUCUUUUGUGUUAUGUUUAAUUGAAUAAAGUAAUGGGUACUUUUACCUAUCGUUCUGUCAAUUAUGUGACUGUCGGUUUGGUUCAAUUCAACUGAUAAAAUCUCUUGAGAUAUAUAAGAGAUUUUAUUUGUUUAUUUACGUGUAUCGUGUAUUCCUGAAAAAGGAAAUAAAUAAAUAAAUAUUGUUGCUUGUCUAUGUGUUAACAUUAAUUAAGUUUGUCUAUCCUUGUUAGCUUAAUUAAGCUUUCUCUUCUUGAUUAUCUUUUACUAAAACAAACUUCAAAUAAUGGUUAACUAAUUCUUGGAGCUAGCAAGUGAUCUUGGAUCAUAAUUUAUUAAAAUACACAAUGCAUGUAAAUUUAUAAUUUCAACCUUUAAAAUAGCCAUGCCGUUUAGUACGCUUGGGCUAAUGAACAUAAUCUUCAGCCAUAAUCACUAUUAAUUUGUUAAUUAUUUUGUUAAAUAAUGCAAAGUUACAAAAAAUUUUCAAAUUUGUUGAUUUUGGUUAUCAUUUUUUGAAGACUUUGAAGACUUUUUGGGAACAAGGAUUAAAUGCAUGCAUGAUAUUUGGCUAUAAAUACCAAGCCAUUUAUUCUUUGUUCCCAAAAAGUCUUCAAAAAAUGGUAACCAAAAUCAACAAAUUUAAAAAAAUGAUUGGCUUCUAGAAAACCAUCACAUUUUUCUCCAUGCAACUUCAACAAAACCGUGCCACCAGCCUUGCUUUUUGAAAUUGGUAAACCCACCAACUUUACCUUUUGAAUUUGGCAAGCCGACCAAAUUUGUUUCUUUGAAAUUGGCUUUGAAAUUAGCAAGUCAUUAUUUGACUUUUCAACAUUUGUCUUGGAAUUACCUACGCCCAAAUCACCCACCUUGGCACUCUCGGCUACUUCAUUCUCUUUAUAUACUCCACAUGCGUAUUAUAUCAAACCAGAAUCAAGAACUCGUAAAAGUAACUUCAUUACUUUGUAAUUUUGAUUCCGGAAGUGGAUAUCUUUUCUGACUUGAAGAUUAUGGAAAUUAGCUGCGCAGGUUUUUAGUCCAAUUUCAGUUGAAUAUAUCAUUUAUAAUUCUUAUUUUAAUAUAUUUAUGAUUAAUUUUUCUGCUAUGAAAUUUUCAGAUAAUAACAAUUAGUCAGAGGGGAUCAUCCUAUUAUUUCCUCUUGUCAAUAUUACUAAUGAUGACAAUGUGAAUGACAAUCUUGAUCUUCUUGGUGUCCCUCAAUAUGGGAGAAACCCUAACCACACUGGUAAAUUACGAUGUUACCUUUUUGUGUUAUACUUAAUUGAAUAAAGUGAUGGGUUCUAUUAUGUGACUGUUGGUUUGAUUCAAUUCAACUGAUAAGAUCUCUUGUAUAUCUCAAGAGAUUUUUUAAUUUACAUGUAUCGUAUUUUCCUAGAAAGGGAAAUAAAUAAAUAAAUAUUGUUGCAUGUCAAUGUGUUAACAUUGAUUAACUUAGCCUAUCCUUGUCAGCUUAAUUCAACUCUCUUCUUGAAUAUAUAUAUAUAUUUUCUAUAAAACAGACUCCACAUAAUGUUUAACUAAUUCUUGUAGCUAUCAAGUGAUCCUGGAUCAUAAUUUAUUAAAAUACAGAAUGUAAACUUAUAAUUUCAACCUUUAAAAUAGCCAUGCUGUUUAGUAGGCUUAGGCUUAUCAACAUGAUCUUCAACCAUAAUCACUAUCAGUUUGUUAAUUAUUUUAUUAAAUAAUGCGAAGUUACAAAAUUAUUUGAAUGUGGAGUCAAAAACCUCUCAUCAUAUAUAUGGUCUUAUCAUCUGAACAUUAUAUGUCAAUGAUGAUGUAGACGGUCUAUUAAUCAGUGUAUUGAAACGUUAAAUAACUUCAAUUUAGCUUGUCUUGCAAGUACAAAAAUUCAAGCGGCUUUGGUGUCUGCGUAUUAGAUGGUUAAAUUAUUUGCGAUUCAUUCAUGGAAUACACUUUGCUAGUUCACACAUCUACAGAGUGGAGAAUUCAGUGGCUGAUAGUCUUAUUAAUUUGGGGUUACUUCUUAAUGCUUAUGAUUGGUGGAAUAUCCGCCUGUUUCAAUUCGUCAGAGUUUGCAUGACGAUGCUUUCAAAUGAAUUUUUUUGUAUUCUUUCUUCUUCUUUUUUUCCUUAAUAAAAUUCAGUGUCAUUUAUUAAAAAAAAUUCAAUUUUAAACUGUUACUGCCCGGUAACUAAAGGAAAAUAUUUAUCAAGUCAAAGAUUAUAUAUCUUCUAUUUGCUUUUAAUUUACAAAUUAUUGUAGGCAUUGAAAGAUGUUUCAGAAAAAAAGUCAAAAUUUCCAAAUUAAAAUAAUAAUAUUUUGAAAGAAAAGACUCUUUUUAUGCUAUUAGAUUAUCUCGUAACUACCUACUCCCCUAUCACCCACCUAGGCACUCUCGGCUACUUAAUUCUCUACAUAUUCAUUACAUGCAUAUUAUAUCAAACCAGAAGCAAGAACUCGCAAAAGCAACGUAAGCAAAUAGUCAAAUAAAUCUCUUUCAAUAUCGCUUCACGUGAUUCUCUCGUAGUAGGCGUUGUAAUCCAAAGUCAAUAUCAUAAUAUUUUAUGUUACCAAGUUUCGUAUUUGUGACAUUGCGCGAUUACCAAAAUACAGUCAAACCUCAAUAAAUUAAUCAGUUAUUAAUUUAUGAAGAUAUUGCUUAUUUUGAAAAAUAUGAUCAUAAUUAUAGUAUUAAUUUCACUUUGAUUUUUUAUUUAUUAAAUUUUACUUGAAUGUUAGAUAGUUGUCUUACAUCAGUAGUAAUAAGAUUAUUUUAGAAAUUUUAUUUUUCCAUCUUAAAGGUAGUUCUAUGGUAGAAUCCGUCUCCUGCAAGUAAGCGCUCAAAGCAAUACCAACAAUAAAUAAUUUAUUGUUGCCAAUGACAAUGCCAACUGAAAUUUGUUUUUGCAUUACAAAAAGUUAGAUAUGAGGUCUAAGUCAAAAUCAACUUCAGGAAGAAACAAACAACACUGAGGGCUUCUUUGGGAUUGUUAUUGGGAGAUUUAAAAGUGAUUUUGAAAAGUUAAAAACUAAUUUUGGUGUUUAGUAAUUUUUUUAGAAAUUACUUUUGGCAAAAUCAUACCAUCCUAUAGCAGAUUUUAAAAAAUAGCGAAGGAAUAGCUUUUCAAAUUCUGAUUUUGAGAAUUAAUUUUAUACCUAAUUCACUUUCAUUAUAUAUAUAUAUAUAUAUAUAUAAUGAGCACCAAACCAAAAAUAGACCAUAAGGUCUUGACCAUGGAUCCUCUACUCGGUAGAACAUCGUCCUUUUCUAGCUCUUCUUCCGGGAAGACUAGUGAUUCAAAGCAUGUUGUGAGUUCAGAAGAAUUCAUUAUUGAGAACUUUGAUAAAGCAAUUGAUUGUUGGGAACUUCCAAAAAUUUCCAAAGAAAAGAUUUACAAAACAAAAAUGCUUGAUCUUUUAAAAAAUGAUUAUAUUAUAAAGACUGAAGAACGUGAUAUCACUCUUUCAGAACCUUUUGAAACAAUUCAUUUGUUUUCAGAAAAAUCUUUAAAGAAAUUAAAAGAAAAGAAUUUCAAAUAUAUUCAUAUAGGUUUGAUCCAAGUAGGAAUAAAACCUUUGACCAAAGAAGGCUUGGAUACUUCUAUCCUUGCUGUCCUUAGAGAUGGACGAUUCAUCUCUUUUGCUGAUUCUUUACUAAGUAGUAUCGAAUCUAGUCUAUGUAAAGGUCCCAUAUCUUUUGAUUGUUAUCCAAACAUAACAAUUUCUCUUAAAGACAAGAACAUUUUAAAAAGCAUGAUUUUACAAAUCAAAACCCAUAAUUACCAAAUGGUUAAAGGGUCCAUCCCAGUUGCAUUGAUCUUCAAAAUUUCUUAUAAAGCUAUGGUCUCUGCGUUUUGUACGCAACAUAAAUUCCAGUCAAAAAGAGAUGAAACUCUUCUCUUACAAACUGACUUGUCCAGAGCUAACACUGUCAUUCCAAAAUCGAUCCAAUGGAAAGAUAUUAAUCUUCCAGAAGAAUGGAUACUUGAAGGAGCCGCCCCACCGGUGAUUCCGAAAGAACUUGAGCCCAAUACAGAGUUGCAAAAUGUAACUCAGUAUUCAGAUGGUAAAGUCAAACUAUCAUUCAGAAGGUCUACGUCUCACAGAUUUUCUGAUAAAGAGUCGUGCUCAAGCAUUCCUUCACUAGAAAGGAAAUUUACAAAAAUACCCUCUGUUAUAAAUCUUCCUUUCCAAAACACAAAGAGUCAACCUAGGUUUUCUACUUCAGAUUUACCUAGCACCUCUAUUCAAUCAGUUGAUUACACUACUAGUGUUCCUCAUUCUAUCUACACUAGUGAUCAACAAGUACAAAGUCAGGAAGAGAAGGAACUAUGAAUGGGAUUGACAGUUACCGUCAGAUGCAGGNNNNNNNNNNNNNNNNNNNNNNNNNNNNNNNNNNNNNNNNNNNNNNNNNNNNNNNNNNNNNNNNNNNNNNNNNNNNNNNNNNNNNNNNNNNNNNNNNNNNNNNNNNNNNNNNNNNNNNNNNNNNNNNNNNNNNNNNNNNNNNNNNNNNNNNNNNNNNNNNNNNNNNNNNNNNNNNNNNNNNNNNNNNNNNNNNNNNNNNNNNNNNNNNNNNNNNNNNNNNNNNNNNNNNNNNNNNNNNNNNNNNNNNNNNNNNNNNNNNNNNNNNNNNNNNNNNNNNNNNNNNNNNNNNNNNNNNNNNNNNNNNNNNNNNNNNNNNNNNNNNNNNNNNNNNNNNNNNNNNNNNNNNNNNNNNNNNNNNNNNNNNNNNNNNNNNNNNNNNNNNNNNNNNNNNNNNNNNNNNNNNNNNNNNNNNNNNNNNNNNNNNNNNNNNNNNNNNNNNNNNNNNNNNNNNNNNNNNNNNNNNNNNNNNNNNNNNNNNNNNNNNNNNNNNNNNNNNNNNNNNNNNNNNNNNNNNNNNNNNNNNNNNNNNNNNNNNNNNNNNNNNNNNNNNNNNNNNNNNNNNNNNNNNNNNNNNNNNNNNNNNNNNNNNNNNNNNNNNNNNNNNNNNNNNNNNNNNNNNNNNNNNNNNNNNNNNNNNNNNNNNNNNNNNNNNNNNNNNNNNNNNNNNNNNNNNNNNNNNNNNNNNNNNNNNNNNNNNNNNNNNNNNNNNNNNNNNNNNNNNNNNNNNNNNNNNNNNNNNNNNNNNNNNNNNNNNNNNNNNNNNNNNNNNNNNNNNNNNNNNNNNNNNNNNNNNNNNNNNNNNNNNNNNNNNNNNNNNNNNNNNNNNNNNNNNNNNNNNNNNNNNNNNNNNNNNNNNNNNNNNNNNNNNNNNNNNNNNNNNNNNNNNNNNNNNNNNNNNNNNNNNNNNNNNNNNNNNNNNNNNNNNNNNNNNNNNNNNNNNNNNNNNNNNNNNNNNNNNNNNNNNNNNNNNNNNNNNNNNNNNNNNNNNNNNNNNNNNNNNNNNNNNNNNNNNNNNNNNNNNNNNNNNNNNNNNNNNNNNNNNNNNNNNNNNNNNNNNNNNNNNNNNNNNNNNNNNNNNNNNNNNNNNNNNNNNNNNNNNNNNNNNNNNNNNNNNNNNNNNNNNNNNNNNNNNNNNNNNNNNNNNNNNNNNNNNNNNNNNNNNNNNNNNNNNNNNNNNNNNNNNNNNNNNNNNNNNNNNNNNNNNNNNNNNNNNNNNNNNNNNNNNNNNNNNNNNNNNNNNNNNNNNNNNNNNNNNNNNNNNNNNNNNNNNNNNNNNNNNNNNNNNNNNNNNNNNNNNNNNNNNGUUACAUUUUGCAACUCUGUAUUGGGCUCAAGUUCUUUCGGAAUCACCGGUGGGGCGGCUCCUUCAAGUAUCCAUUCUUCUGGAAGAUUAAUAUCUUUCCAUUGGAUCGAUUUUGGAAUGACAGUGUUAGCUCUGGACAAGUCAGUUUGUAAGAGAAGAGUUUCAUCUCUUUUUGACUGGAAUUUAUGUUGCGUACAAAACGCAGAGACCAUAGCUUUAUAAGAAAUUUUGAAGAUCAAUGCAACUGGGAUGGACCCUUUAACCAUUUGGUAAUUAUGGGUUUUGAUUUGUAAAUCAUGCUUUUUAAAAUGUUCUUGUCUUUAAGAGAAAUUGUUAUGUUUGGAUAACAAUCAAAAGAUAUGGGACCUUUACAUAGACUAGAUUCGAUACUACUUAGUAAAGAAUCAGCAAAAGAGAUGAAUCGUCCAUCUCUAAGGACAGCAAGGAUAGAAGUAUCCAAGCCUUCUUUGGUCAAAGGUUUUAUUCCUACUUGGAUCAAACCUAUAUGAAUAUAUUUGAAAUUCUUUUCUUUUAAUUUCUUUAAAGAUUUUUCUGAAAACAAAUGAAUUGUUUCAAAAGGUUCUGAAAGAGUGAUAUCACGUUCUUCAGUCUUUAUAAUAUAAUCAUUUUUUAAAAGAUCAAGCAUUUUUGUUUUGUAAAUCUUUUCUUUGGAAAUUUUUGGAAGUUCCCAACAAUCAAUUGCUUUAUCAAAGUUCUCAAUAAUGAAUUCUUCUGAACUCACAACAUGCUUUGAAUCACUAGUCUUCCCGGAAGAAGAGCUAGAAAAGGACGAUGUUCUACCGAGUAGAGGAUCCAUGGUCAAGACCUUAUGGUCUAUUUUUGGUUUGGUCAGAAUGGCUACAGGUAUGGAUUUACAGCCCUUAGCGGAUUCCUUAUCCUAAAACGGGACUUACAACCAGUAAAAAUUCACCACUAAAACAAAACUUCAAAAUAAAACACAAGAUUUUAAACACGAAAACUUUAAACAAUAAAACACUUUCCUCCCCUUGGCUCUGAUACCAGAAGGAAAUAGGAUCGAAGGAUGGAUGUGUUUUCGUUAAAACUCUUUAUUGAUUGCUUUAAUAAAAUAAUUGGAUCGUGGUUGGUUGAUUUUAAAUGAGCUUUACCAAGUUUGUUUAUGGAUAUAUAUAUAUAUAUAUAUAUAUAUAGUAGUUUUCCAAUCAGGGAAUCCCUGACUUUAAUAAAGUCAGGGAUUAGCUAAAAUACAAAAUAAACACAGACUUCAAUGCACUGUAUUUUGUCAUGUAGUGUAUUAAAAUCUAAAUUUUUUAUCUUUUAGUUGAUCCCUGACUUUAUCAGGGAUCCCUAAAUCGAAAACUACUCUAUAUAUAUAUAUAUAGCAUAAAAAUCCAAAAUUAUCCUUAUUAGUCAGAAAAUAAAAUUAUUAACUUUACAAAUAUUAUUAUUAUUACCAAUUAUAUUGAGAUAACAAAAUAAAAAAAUACUUACUUUAGUUACCAAUUUAAAAAUGCGUAAAUAAAGUUUAUUCAACAUUAUGUGCAAUUUACUAUUUAAACUGUUACAUCAAUUUAGUGGUAAAAUUUACCAAAUGCAUACAACAACUAUUAACUUUUAAAACUUAAAAGAGAAUCCAAGCUUCACCACCAAAUCUUUGCAUAAUUUUGUAUAAUAAAUUUCAUCCAUAAUAAUAACAAGACAUUUAAUUACCUGUCAACCAUAUAUCCCAAGGAUGUUAGAUAAAAGGAAAAAAAAUCAUGAAAAAAUUAAUGGAUCAUAUAUUCCAUUUUCGGAAUUAAGGAAAAUACAUCUAAUGAGUUUAAUCACCAUCAACAUAUUGAGUGUGACACAUCUUAGGCACCUAAAAUAAAAGUUGCACGUUUUUAAAGCCUGCCAAAAAUAAAUACAUUUUAUGAGAAUCAAUAGAAAAAUGUAAGCAAUUUCUUACAGAAAACUUUUGAAACCGAUUGAUCAGCUAUCAGCUGCAGGACUACGUUCAUUCGUACUUGAGAUUUUGGUGUGAUCAAUCAAACAGAUUGCUUCAGUUUCACCAUUGACAAUAAGGCAUAACGAUACUAAAUGACGAGAGUAGCUCUCAUGAGAUAAGUUUAGUCACAUCUUCGGAUGGAAUCAGAUGACUUGAUGAUUGUGAUUGUGGUACAUUUUCUGGACCAUUGCCCGGAGCAUGGUUAGAUAAAACAAGCAAAAAGCCUGCUAAAAUAAUUCAUCUAAUCUUUCCUAAGAUCUGUGGAAGAUUUCUACAAAUGAUAAUUAAAUAAUUUUACGGAUAGAACUAGAUCUAUUCUUAAUUUUCCUUAUUAAACACAAAAACUCGUCAUUUCGGCUACCUAAAAUUCUAAAAUUAACAACUAACUAACAGACGUUAACUCUUUAAUUGUUGUUUUGUUUACCUUUCUUCAAUCGUCACAGAAAGUCGCAAGAGAUCUGUUUGUUUCCGUUCAUCUUCAUAGCCAUCCUUCACUUUCAUUCCACUCCCUAGCAUAGCCAAAUCUAAAGGAUACUGGCAGCUGCAGGACAGGACUUCAACAUUUAAAAAAACAAAAAAUGGGGCAGAUCGUGAAUGGCAUUUUUAAUUAAUUGUAUUUAAAAUUUCCCUAUUAAACAUAUAUAAAAAUUAUUAAGAUUAACAACGAUUAGCGUAAAUUUCAGCUAUAGAGAGAUUUUCUGAUAAAACAUGCUACAAUAACUCACUUUAAAAUCAGCUUGUAAUUAAGGGGAGGGUGCUUUAGUGUUAAUAAACUACCAGCCAUUCCCAUACGUAAUCUGAAACGACUCGUCCCGCACCCCCAGAGCGAGUUUAUCUAAACUCGUAUAAUCAACUCGAUAAUAAUUAUGAUAUUUAAGAAUUCUAUCAAAAAUUCGACAGAAUCUCCCCUAUAAAUAAAACAUCCCUAAACUUGCAAUUUACAAAACAAUACUCCCAAAAUAAUUCAAUAUUCAUCCAUCUUUCAUAAUCAACUUCUCAAGUCAACAUACCAAAUAUCACCCAAAUCAUUCUAAUAUUAAAAUGCAAUGGUUAUCCUUAAUUACAAAAUAUAACAAAUAAAUACAAUUCGCAAUAUUUCAAAUAUCAAAAUAUUAAAUCUACGACUCCUAGCACCAUCACGUGGCCACAAUUUUAAAUCUAACUAUCAUUACUGGGUCGACUGAUGUACCUGUAAAUCUCCUGUGGGGGGGGGGGGGAAUAUAAUAAAAACGAGGUGAGUAUAAAACACAGUGAGCUCAUUAAGUGGAUAAUAGUUUUUGAAAAAUAAGUUUAUUUAAAAUGAUUUAAUCUUUCUCAAAUCAAUUUCAUCAAAAUAUCUUAAGAACUUAUAUAAACAAAUUCUAUUCAAAUCAUGCACUGAAAUAACUAUAUUACAUAAAUCUGCAUAAAGUCAAUGAAAUCAUAAUAUUUAUAAUAUCAAAUACUGAAUACCAAAAACUAUCACCAAACAAGUACCCAGGGGAAUGAUCUCAUCAUAUCCGGACCUCGACGAACGAGCAAUCAAGGAACCAUCAUGCCCCGGAGCUACAAUGGAUAGACGGUAAAAUCUCAUCUCAUAUCUCAUGUAUCUCAACAUCUGUAUUUCUGUAAUCAUCAUACUGCAUGCAUAAGCCCCCAAAAGGCAAAAACGCCCCCAAAAGGCAAAAACGCCCAAACACACGGCCCAAAGCCUCAAUGUUUGUUCAGACGGGCCCCAAAGGCCUCUAUCUCAUCUCAUAUGUAUCUCUGUAUCUGGAGGGGAAGGGUACUGUCCAAUGAUUUUCCAAACAACAUUUUAUACACAUGUACUUAAACAUAUAAUCACAUCUGAAAUCUCAUUUUCUUUUUAUUCAACAUAUCUCAAAAUCCACUCAAUUCUAAUAUCAUGCAUUUACUGAAAAACGAUAAUAAAAUCAUUAAUCAAACUCAUUCUUAAUAACAAUAAACACCAACACAUAGAUAAAAAUCAAUUUUCUAGAAAAUCAUUAAAUCGAAGCAUCAAAAACAUGUUGUACUGUAUAGCUCUUUUGUCUGUUUUGGGUUGCCUUUAAUCUUUCCUGAAUAAGUUGUAUCUUCUCAUUAGUAUUCUGAACCAAUUCGGGACCAAAAAGCUUCUGCUCUCCAACCUCAUCCCAACAUACAGGAGUUCUACAUUUCCUGCCAUAUAAAGCCUCAUAAGGUGCCAUCUCGAUGCUAGCUUGAUAACUGUUAUUAUAAGCAAACUCCAUCAAGGGUAAAUAAAUGUCCCAACUACCCUUAAACUCCAAAACACAAGCUUGUAACAUAUCCUCCAGGGUUUGAAUAGUACGCUCUAACUGACCAUCAGUCUGUGGAUGAAAAGUUGUACUAAAAUUCAACUUGGUGCCUAAAGCCUUUUGCAAGCUUACUUAGAAGUGAAUCAAGAAUCUCUAUUUGAAAUAAUAGAUACAGGUGCUCCGUGAAGUCAAACUAUCUCGGCCACAAAAAUAUUCCCUAACUUGUCCAUCGAAUAGGUGGUCUUGAAUGGUAAAAAGUGAGCAGAUUUUGUAAGUCGAUCAACAAUUACCCAAACACUAUCAUAACCACUUUGGGUACCUGGAAGUCCCGCUACAAAAUCCAUGGUGAUGUGCUCCCAUUUCCACUCAGGGAUAGGAAGCGGCUGCGAAAACCCUGCAGGUCUCUGAUGUUCAGCCUUAAUCUACUGACAAACUAAACACCGAGAUACAAAUUCUGCUAUCUCUCUCUUCAUACCUUGCCACCAGUAAUGAUCUUUCAAGGUACGGUACAUCUUCGUACUACCAGGAUGUAUUGCUUAAGCUGAACAAUGAGCUUCUUCUAUGAUCUCUUUUUUCAACUCCUUAAUGUCAAGUACGCAAAGUCGAUUACCUAUAACUAAAACUCCAUCAUCUCUCACCGCAAAAUCAGUUCGUAAGCCUUUUUGCACAUCCUUUUUCAACUUCAGUAACUGCAAAUCCUGAUCUUGCAUCUGAUGGACUUUGUCAAUUAAAGUCGGCCUAACUCGAAAAUUAGCUAUCAAAGUUCUGCAAUUUUCAACUUGCAAUUCAACUCCCAAAGAUCUCAGCUCGAUCAAUAAAGGCAUAUAUGUCACUCGCAAGUGAGCUAUAGAGUUGGAAGACUUCCUACUUAACGCAUCAGCUACCACAUUCGCUUUGCCCGGAUGAUAAUUAGUAGUGCAAUCGUAGUCCUUAGUGAAAAUCUAGCAUGUUGCUCCUUAUAAAUAAUGCCUUCAUAUCUUGAGUGCAAAUACCACUACUGCUAACUCUAAAUCAUGAGUCGGAUAGUUUUGUUCAUGCUUUUUAAGUUGUUUAGAAGCAUAAGCCACUACUUUCCCAUGUUGCAUUAGCACACAACCCAAUCCUUGUCUGGAUGCAUCAUUGUAUACUACAAACCCUUCAUUACCCGAUGGAAGUGUAAGAAUUGGUGUUGAAGUAAGACGUGCCUUGAGUUCUUGAAAGCUCUUUUCACAAUCAUCAUCCCACUGGAACUUAGCAUUCUUUCUAGUUAACCAUGUCAGAAGAGUAGCAAUCUUGCAGAAUCCCUCCGCAAAUCUAUGAUAAUAGCCAACUAAUCCAAGGAAACUUCGAACCUCGGUCACAUUUAUAGGUCAUUCCCAAUUUACAACUGCUUUGAUCUUUUGACAAUCGACAUAAAUUCCUUCAGUUGAUAUCACAUGGCCUAGAAAUACUACUUUAUCCAACCAGAACUCACACUUGUUGAACUUGGCGUACGAUUGUUUUUACCUUAAAGUCUGCAAAACAGUCCGCAAGUGCUCCGCAUGUUCCUCCUAACUCCGAGAAUACACUAAAAUAUCAUCAAUAAAGACAAUUACAAAUCGAUCCAGAUAAGGGCGAAAUACCUUAUUCAUAAGAUCCAUAAAAGCUGCUGGAGCAUUUAUUAACCCAAAUGGCAUCACCAAGAACUCAUAGUGUCCAUAACGGGUUCUGAGUGCUUUUUUAGGAACAUCGGCCUCUUUAAUUCUAAGUUGAUGAUAUCCCAAGCGCAAAUCAAUCUUAGAAAACACAUUCGCUCCCUGAAGUUGAUCAAAUAAGUCAUCAAUACGCGGAAGUGGAUAUUUAUAACAUACUAUAACUUUAUUCAACUGCCUAUAGUCAAUGCAGAGUCUAAGAGUACCAUCCUUUUUCUUAACAAACAAAACCGGAGCUCCCUACGGAGAUACACUAGGUCUAAUAAACCCUUUAUCCACCAAUUCUUGCAGUUGAAUCUUAAGUUCCUUUAGUUCAGCUGGAGCCAUCCUAGAUGGUGCUAUAGAUAUAGGAGCCGUCCCAGGAACUAAAUCAAUAGAAAACUCAAUCUCUCUGUUAGGUGGCAUCCUUGGAAGUUCAUCAGAAAAUACAUCUGAAAACUCCUAGACUACUAGAAUAUCCUCCAAUCUCAACUCCCGAACUUCAGUGUCUAUUACGUAUGCAAGAAAAGCCGAGUCACCCUUUCUUAGUAAGCGUCUUGCAUCAAUGGCCGAUAUGACAUAUGAGGGUAAAACUCUACACUCACCACAAAAUUUAACCUCAAUUUCUCUUGGCUUAUUGAACACAACUUCUUUUUUGAAACAAUCCAUAGUAGUAUGGUGAGAUGCAAGCCAAUCCAUGCCUAAAAUGGCAUCGAAAUCUCGAAUGUCUAAAAUAAUCAAAUUCACCCCAAAUUCAUGCUCACCCAAUCGAAUCAUGCAAUCUCGAUACACCCUCUCGGCAAGCAAUGACCCUCCGGUAGGUGUACUAACAACUAAAUCAUAAUCCAAUAAUUCAGGCUCUCUCUCUAUAUGCAUAACAAAUGUACGAGAAACAAAAGAAUGCGUGGAUUCAGGAUCAAUAAGAAUAUGAGCAUCAUGGCCAAAGAUAGAUAAUGUACCCAUAAUAACUUCUAGUGUAGCAUGAGCCUCCUGCUGUGUCAAGGCAAAAACUCGAGCCUGAGUACAAGGUUGACCAGGUUGACCUCUCUAACUUGGAACAGUGGCCUGACUCCUAAAUAUGGAACCCUCUAUCUGCAUACCCCUUUGACCUUGGGCUAAUCCAAAGUGAGAUUGAUACUGUGGGGCUGUCCUUCGAGCAGAACUGUAACCCUGAGAUAAAGUGGGGUAGAAUCUCUUAAUAUGUCCAUGUUGUCCACAUAAAUAACACAUAUUGUCUCCAAAACAACAUUGGCCUUGAUGGUUCUUACCACACAAGGGGCAAGAGGUUUGAUGUAUACUCAUGCGGUGUCCUCUACUAUUCCUGUCAUACUACCCCUGAGUCCUAACGUUACUCCCCACUGAUGGUUGUGCCAAACUCUAACUGACGGUCUGUCUCUGAUCUCCCCUGCUGCUUAUACUCUGAUUCUUUUGCACGCCAGCAGAGUAAUUUAUAUGUGAGCCUCACUUUGGCAGUCUACUACUCGAGCCACCCUCUGUCCAACUCUGGCUACGUUUUUGUUUCAGAGCUUGAACUCUACGCCCCUCAGGCAUACUAUGCUCUACUCUCUUGGCUGCCUCAACUACCUCAGCAAACUUAGUGUACCUUGAUGUCGUCACAGUUGUAUGAAUCUCAAAUCGGAGACCCUCCUCAAAACGCCUGCAUAUCUCUCUCUCAUCACCAACUGCUGAAGUGGAAAAUCUAGAAAAAUCCAAAAAUUUCUUCUCAUACUCUUCUACUAACAUAGAUCCUUGAACCAAUCGAAGGCAUUCACUCCACUUAAUAUCCUGAUACACAGCUGGAAAAUAAUGAUCAUAGAAUUCCUUACGGAAAAUAGCUCAUGUAAGCGCAACAUGCCCUUGGUAUCUACACUCUACUGUUUGCCACUAAUAAUAAGCCCUAUCCUCAAGUAGAAAAGUGACAAAUGAAAGUCUAUCCUCCUCUGAGCAUCUCAUCACUUCAAAAAUACGUUCUAAUUUAAUAAGCCACGACUCUGCCUCAGGUGGAUCACCAGAACCAUUAAAACUCUUUGCCCCUAAACUUCGUACAUGCUCGAUAGUAUUUUCAUGACCGACAUGCGGAUGAGUCUAAUUCUAUACCACUGUAGUCACAAUCUGAGCUCAUCUAUCAAUUGACUGCUCAAUGUUCGGAGCAUUUCUUGGUGCCUGUUGCACAACCUCGUGCGUUGAAGACUCAACUAUUCCCUCGUUUACAAGAUCAUUUUCCCCCGCAGGUACAUCUCCUGGAGUCAACCCAGCUACUAGCCUAGUACGGCCACGGCCACGGCCACGACCACGUCUGCGCCCACGUCUACUGCUACGACGAAUCAUGAUGGUGCCUACAAAAUAUCAAUUCUGACUUUAAUAACAAUAAAACUUAUUCUAUUUAUGAGAGUAAAGUCUAUAGAAUCUAAAACAAUGCUCUGAUACCAACUUGAAACGACCUUUCCCACACCCCCAGGAUGAGUCUAUCUAAACUCGUAUAAUCGAAUCAAUAAUAAUUAUCAUAUCUAAGAAUUCUAUCAAAAAUUCGACAGAAUCUCCCCUAUAAAUAAAACAUCCCCAAACUUGCAAUUUACAAAACAAUACUCCCAAAAUAAUUCAAUAUCCAUUCAUCCUUCAUAACCAACUUCUCAAGUCAAAAUACCAAAUAUCACACAAAUCAUUCUAAUAUUAAAAUACAAUGGUUAUCCUUAAUUAUAAAAUUUAACAAAUAAAUACAAUUUGCAAUAUCCCAAAUAUCAAAAUAUUAAAUCUACGACUCCUAACACCAUCACGUGGCCACAAUUUUAAAUCUAACUAUUGUUGCUGGGUCGACUGAUGUACCUGCAAAUCUCCUGUGGGGGGGAGGGAAUAUAAUAAAAACGGGGUGAGUAUAAAACUCAGUGAACUCAGUGAGCUCAGUGAGUGGAUAGUAGUUUUUGAAAAAUAAAUUUAUUUAAAAUGAUUUAAUCUUUCUCAAAUCAAUUUCAUCAAAAUAUCGUAAGAACUUACAUAAAUAUAUUCAAUUCAAAUCAUGCACUGAAAUAACUAUAUUAUAUAAAUAUGCAUAAAAUCAAUGAAAUCAUAAUACUUAUAAUAUCAAAUACUGAAUACCAAAAACUAUCACCAAACAAGUACCUAGGGGAAUGAUCUCAUCAUAUCCGGACCUCGACGGACGGGCAAUCAGGAAACAAUCAUGCCCCGGAGCUACAACGGAUAGACAGGGAAAUCUCAUCUCAUAUCUCAUGUAUCUCAACAUCUGUAUCUCUAGAAUCAUCAUACUGCAUGCAUAAGCCCACAAAAAGGUAAAAACGCCCAAACAUACGGCCCAAAGCCUCAAUGUGUGUUCAGACAGGCCCCAAAAGCCUCCAUCUCAUCUCAUCAGUAUCUCUAUAUCUGGAGGGGAAGGGUAUUGUCCAAUAAUUUUCCAAACAACAUUUUAUACACAUGUACAUAAACAUAUAAUCACAUCUGAAAUCUCAUUUUCUUUUUAUUCAACAUAUCUCAAAAUCCACUCAAUUCUAAUAUCAUGCAUUUACUCAAAAACGAUAAUAAAAUCAUUAAUCAAACUCAUUCUUAAUAACAAUAAAUAUCAACACAUAGAUAAAAAUCAAUUUUCUAGAAAAUCAUUAAAUCGAAGUAUCGAAAAGAUGUUGUAUUGUAUGGUAAAAUCAGAAUAUACUAUGAAAAUAAGUUUUGUAUAUUCCACUCACAGUGACGAAGUCCAGACUCGGUAUCAACAAUGUCUGCGGGUUAAUUCUCGUUCGCGGAUCCUCCUAAUCAAGGAAACGACAUAAUCAUUCUCCGUAAUUUUGAAAUACAACUAAUUUUACAUAAUAAUUCUCAAAACGAAUAUCUAUCCACAAUAAACUAUUCCCGCAUGCACAAAAUUAUCAAAAUACCCCUACAUGCCAAAAUUAUCAAAAUGCCCCAACAUCAUUAUUUUACCAAAUUAUUCUCAGAAUCUUCAAUUACUAAAUUGUCCUCAAUUUAAAUCACGAAAUUACCACAAUGCAGAAAUUACCAUCAAAGCAUAAAAUUACCAAAAUGUCCUUAACGACUUAAAUUACCGAAUUACCCUCGAAAUCUCAAAUUACCUCACUGCCCUAACCUAAAAUUACCAAAUUAUCCACUGAUUCCACAAAUUACAAAUUCACCCUAAAGUUUUAUGAAUUUAUCGAAUUGCCCCCGCGGGUCAACGGUGACCGAAAUUCAGUCAACGACGACGAGAAGCUUAGGUCUGAUAGUUCAGACCUCUAUGAGUCCAACGGUACCGGAGGUGACCUCCCACGCGCGGCGAUGGCGGCAGAUCGUGCUCCAAAAGCCGUGAGCUUUCCGGCGGUCGUUCACGGCCAAAACAGAGGUUUCAGGUGGUGGGGUUGGUCGGAAAUAAAAGUUGGUGACGUGAGGAGUCGAACCCAACCGGUGGUGCAACCUAGUUCCGGCGAGAUUGACGGUGAAGAAAACGGGUUGAGCUGCAGUCUUUCAAGCUUCGAUCACCGGCGUUCAGGCUAUUUUCUGGUGACGAUGACAGCGGGGAUAUGACCGGCGUCACUCAAGCUUCAUAUCGGUACCAAGCUUAACCGGUGAGGUGGCCGGAAUCGGCAGCUGGAGCCGGGUCAAGGACGUCGGUCGAAUCCAAACUAAACGGGUCAAUUUCUCUCUCUCUUUUUCUCUCUCACAUGCCCUUCUUUCUUUACUCUUUUCCUUUCCAUUUAUAGAAACUAGCUUCGUUUUGUUUUUUUUUUGGCACUUAAGCUUAAUACAAAUUAAGCUAAUACCGGACCGUGAUAAAAAUAAAAUCCAACUACCCAAACUUUUAAUUGCGCUCAAUUUAUCUCUAUUUAAUGUUGUGACAAUUUUAAAAUUAAUAUCGAAGAGAAAAAAUUAAAUCAUACACUUAAUUAGGAAAAAUCAAAGUGCAUAUGUUACAUAAUCGAUGUAGAAUCCUAACAAAUCAUUAGCUGCAAUUUCAUUCUGAAUUGAAGACAAGCGGUUCAUGAAUUCGUUCACAUUGUCAUGAACAUUUAUAGGUUCUGAAUUUCCAAGUAUGUAAAAACCCCCUAAGGUGUGUCAACUUGGCUUAAAUAUACAUAAGGCAUCAAUCCAAGAGUCUCCAUAGACCUCCAAGUCUCUAAAACUAAUUAGGGUCGAAAACUAGCAUGCUUUAGCCACAUUGAAUGAAAUUUGAACGGCUUAAAGCCGCUGCUGGAAUUGCAAAAGCAAGAAAUUAUCAAUGACGUGUGAUCCAAUACUGAGCGAGAUAAAAUUUUGUAGCAAUUGGAGCCGCAAAGGUCCAUCCAAUCUGAAUUACAUAAUCACUUAAAACUGUUAUUGCUCGCAAAUUAAAGGAUAUCGGGUCAAAGACUAUAUUGUAUAUAUAUUAAUUUACAAUUUUUUGUGGCCAUCAAGUGAGCCAUUGAAAAUUGUUUCUGAAAACAACCACAUUUUUGCAGUUCCGGCCACAUUCUCCAAAUUAAAUUAAUAAUAUUUUGAAACAAAAGACUAUUAUUGCUAAUAGUUUGUCCUGGAGUUACCUACACCCCAACCACCCACCUUGGCACUCUCGGCUACUUCAUUCUCUGUAUAUACCCCACAUGCUAUUAUAUCAAACCAUAAUCAAGAGCUCGCAGAAGCAACUUCAUUACAUUGUAAUUUUGAUUCCGGAAGUAGAUAUCUUUUCUUAUUUAAAGAUUAUGGAAACUACCUGCGCAUUCAGUUGAAUAUCAUUUAUAAUUCUUAUUUUAAUAUAUUUAUAUUAACUUUUCUACAAUGAAAUUUUUAGAUAAUAACAAUUGGUCGGAGGGGAUCGUCCUACUAUUUUUUCUUGUCAGUACUGUUGAUGAUGACAUUUGCUAAUGACAAUUUUAAUCUUCUUAUUGUUCCUCAAUACAAGAGAAAACCCGAUCAUACAAGUUAAUUGUAGUGUUACUCUUUUUUGUUAUAUUUUAUUUAAAUAAAAAUGAGAUCAAUAAGUUUUCAAAUAUAUUAGAGACAAGUUAUGGAAAAGACUUUAAGGGUGGAGUACGCGGAUGCUAUCUCGGGCUGGUAAGGGGAUUUUAUUAAAGACAGUGGCACUUACUAUGCCUAAUUAUGCUAUGAGUAUUUAUUUGCUGCCAAAAGAGCUAUGUAGAGAACUAAAAGUGAUGAUGAAUUCAUUAUGGUGGCAUAGCAAUCACAUUGGAGGGAAAGGAAUUACUUGGGUUAAAUGGGAAUAUUUGUGCAAACCAAAGGGGUGUGGUGACCUUGGUUUUAAACAACUUCACUUCUUUAACAUUGCGAUGUUAGGAAAACAGCUGUGGAAGUUAUUAACCUAUCUUGAUUCUCUAAUGGCUAAAAUUCUCAAAGCUCGCUAAUAUCCGCGAACUUAUGUUGUUCAAGCUUCUUUGGGGCACAAUCCAGCUAUGUAUGGCGUUCUAUUUUGGCUGCAAAGGAAGUGGUGAUCCAAGGGAGCCGAGUGCAGGUUGGCAGUGCCUAUACGCUUUCCAUUGGUAAGGAUCCUUGGCUUCCAGAUCUCAAUGAUGGGUUUGUUUCUUCUAACCUUAAUGAGGAGCUUGCUGCAGCUUCUGUCAACAGCUUAAUGAUGCCUAACCAACGAGUAUGGGACUAUGAUGUUGUUUCGAACAUCUUCAAUUCAAGAGAUAAGGAGUUGAUUCUGAAAAUUCCUCUUAGUUCCCGCCGAGAUGAUGACGUGUGGUACUGGUUGGCUGAUCCCCGGGGUUGCUAUUCGGUUCAUAGCUAUUAUAAGGUUUUAACUCCUACCACUCCUGGUUCCUUUGCGGGUGUGUGGCGAAAAUUGUGGAACUUGAAUGUGCCGAACAAGGUUAAGAAUUUCAUCUGGAGAGCUGUAAAAAAUGUGUUGCCUACAUCAAUCAAUUUAAUCUCUAAAAUGGUGGAUAUUCCCUCUACUUGUACUGUGUGUAAUGCCUAUGAGGAAAAUGUUUUACAUUCCUUGAUUGCGUGCAGCUUUGCUAAGUCUUGCUGGAUUUCUUCCCCUGUGGGUUUUGUUGGCUAUUGCUCUUCUUUCUUGGAUUAGCUUGCUCAUAUUUUUACACGUUACAGUAAAGAUGAGUGCAAUAUUGCUCUGAUGAUUUGUUGGCGGAUUUGGGUUAAUCGCAAUAACAAAGUUUGGAACAACACAGCUAGCCCAACUUGUCAGAUUCUUAACUCUGCUGGGCACUUUCUCUAUCAGUGGCAAGCAGCAAAGCAGCAAAGAUUUGAUAUUAACGAUGAUGCUCACAGGCUGGUUCAUGGGGCAUUGUGUUGGGAGAAGCCUAAGUUUGGUUGGGUAAAGUGCAAUGUGGAUGCAGUUGUUUUUGCUUCUCAAGGGAAGAUUGGGUUNNNNNNNNNNNNNNNNNNNNNNNNNNNNNNNNNNNNNNNNNNNNNNNNNNNNNNNNNNNNNNNNNNNNNNNNNNNNNNNNNNNNNNNNNNNNNNNNNNNNNNNNNNNNNNNNNNNNNNNNNNNNNNNNNNNNNNNNNNNNNNNNNNNNNNNNNNNNNNNNNNNNNNNNNNNNNNNNNNNNNNNNNNNNNNNNNNNNNNNNNNNNNNNNNNNNNNNNNNNNNNNNNNNNNNNNNNNNNNNNNNNNNNNNNNNNNNNNNNNNNNNNNNNNNNNNNNNNNNNNNNNNNNNNNNNNNNNNNNNNNNNNNNNNNNNNNNNNNNNNNNNNNNNNNNNNNNNNNNNNNNNNNNNNNNNNNNNNNNNNNNNNNNNNNNNNNNNNNNNNNNNNNNNNNNNNNNNNNNNNNNNNNNNNNNNNNNNNNNNNNNNNNNNNNNNNNNNNNNNNNNNNNNNNNNNNNNNNNNNNNNNNNNNNNNNNNNNNNNNNNNNNNNNNNNNNNNNNNNNNNNNNNNNNNNNNNNNNNNNNNNNNNNNNNNNNNNNNNNNNNNNNNNNNNNNNNNNNNNNNNNNNNNNNNNNNNNNNNNNNNNNNNNNNNNNNNNNNNNNNNNNNNNNNNNNNNNNNNNNNNNNNNNNNNNNNNNNNNNNNNNNNNNNNNNNNNNNNNNNNNNNNNNNNNNNNNNNNNNNNNNNNNNNNNNNNNNNNNNNNNNNNNNNNNNNNNNNNNNNNNNNNNNNNNNNNNNNNNNNNNNNNNNNNNNNNNNNNNNNNNNNNNNNNNNNNNNNNNNNNNNNNNNNNNNNNNNNNNNNNNNNNNNNNNNNNNNNNNNNNNNNNNNNNNNNNNNNNNNNNNNNNNNNNNNNNNNNNNNNNNNNNNNNNNNNNNNNNNNNNNNNNNNNNNNNNNNNNNNNNNNNNNNNNNNNNNNNNNNNNNNNNNNNNNNNNNNNNNNNNNNNNNNNNNNNNNNNNNNNNNNNNNNNNNNNNNNNNNNNNNNNNNNNNNNNNNNNNNNNNNNNNNNNNNNNNNNNNNNNNNNNNNNNNNNNNNNNNNNNNNNNNNNNNNNNNNNNNNNNNNNNNNNNNNNNNNNNNNNNNNNNNNNNNNNNNNNNNNNNNNNNNNNNNNNNNNNNNNNNNNNNNNNNNNNNNNNNNNNNNNNNNNNNNNNNNNNNNNNNNNNNNNNNNNNNNNNNNNNNNNNNNNNNNNNNNNNNNNNNNNNNNNNNNNNNNNNNNNNNNNNNNNNNNNNNNNNNNNNNNNNNNNNNNNNNNNNNNNNNNNNNNNNNNNNNNNNNNNNNNNNNNNNNNNNNNNNNNNNNNNNNNNNNNNNNNNNNNNNNNNNNNNNNNNNNNNNNNNNNNNNNNNNNNNNNNNNNNNNNNNNNNNNNNNNNNNNNNNNNNNNNNNNNNNNNNNNNNNNNNNNNNNNNNNNNNNNNNNNNNNNNNNNNNNNNNNNNNNNNNNNNNNNNNNNNNNNNNNNNNNNNNNNNNNNNNNNNNNNNNNNNNNNNNNNNNNNNNNNNNNNNNNNNNNNNNNNNNNNNNNNNNNNNNNNNNNNNNNNNNNNNNNNNNNNNNNNNNNNNNNNNNNNNNNNNNNNNNNAUUGGAAAUUCAGAAGGAUGUUUCUUGGCAGCAAGGUGUGCGGUAUGGCAGGAAAUUUGGGAGCAAGGGAGGCUGAAGCUCUUGGCAUACGACAGGCUCUUAGUUGGCUUAAAGAAUUACAAUUCCCUUGUGUUAUCAUAGAGAUGGACUGCCUACAAGUGUUCCGAACUUUGGUUGAGAACUUUUCAGGUCCAAAUGGUUUUAGUUUGAUUAUUGAAGAUUGUCAAACUUUAGCUAAAUCUAUAGGAGAAGUGCAUUUUUCGUUUGUGCGUCGAUAUGCGAACCUUGCUACUCACUUUGUUGCAAGGGCAGCAGGUUCUAUGUUAAGUCCCCAGGAGUAGAAGUUUGUUCCACCUUUGUGGUUGUUGAACAGUUUAUAAGUCUUUUUGCUUAAUGAAAUUUCUUCCUUUCAAAACAAAAAAAAAAAAAAGAGAAGAUCAAUAUGUACCACUUACCCCUACUAUUUUUAAAAUAAUUAAUAACCAUCUUCGCAACAUAAUUUUACAGUAUUGCCCUCAUUUUUAAAUAUACUUUUAUUUAUAUUUAUUAUAAAUUAAAUAAAUCAUAUAAAAGAAAACAAAAAUAAAAUAUUUAAGUAUUAAAAAUAAGAAAUAUAUGUUUUGAUGUGAAUAAAAAAUUAAUAAUAAGAUAUUUUUCUCAUACUUUUUGUUAUAUAUUUAUUAUAAAAUAUAUACUUAUUAUAACAAAAAUUUUGAAAAAAAAUAAAAAAGUAGAAGAAAAAUAUCCUAUUAUUAAUUUUUAUUCACAUUGAACAAAUAUUUCUUAUUUUUAAUACUUAAAGUUUUUUAUUUAAUUUCCAUUUAUAUGAGUUAUUUAAUUUAUGAUAAAUAUGAAAUAAAAGUGUAUAUGAACAUAAGGGAAAUACCAUAAAAUUAUGUUGUCUUGGGGGUAUUGACGAUCAUGAAAAUAAUAGCAAGUAAGUGGUAUAUAUUAAUUUCAAUAGGAAAAAUUAGAAAUCUCCCCACAUCUCAUGGAGACAAUAAUUUGUAACUAAUUAAACAAUAAUUGAAGAUAUUGUAUUAGUCUUUGACUCGAUACAUAUGUAUUCAUUUAAUUUGCUAGGAAUAAUAGUUUGUUGGCAAUAACUAUAAUAUUUAUAUAAAACAGAUUAAUUGUCCAUGGCUCGAGAUCGAUCACGGUCAGCUACCAUGAAUCGUUAUUCAAGAUCAGUUUCGAAAUCAGCUAGAUUACAAAUUUAGGGGUGGGCGUGGGUUGGUUUGGGUUGGGUUUUAUGUCAACCCAAACCAAACCAUAAAAAUUUGAACCCAACUCAAACCAAUCCAAAUAUUUUUAACCCAACCCAAACCAACUCAUGUUUGAAUUUUGUAAUAAAAAUAUUUUUUAUUUUGAUAAAUUUAAUUAUAUCAAAAUUACAAUAAUUAUUAAAUUAAUAUUAAAAUAUGAAAAAAUAUAGUAAAAAAAUUAUAAAUAAUAGAUUUCACAAUAACUUCGUCCUUAAAUAUUAACCAUAUUACAAUACAAAUUCUAAUAAUGUCAAUACAAAUCAAAACAAGAUAAGACAUCCAAAUCAAGUAUCAAAACAAUCCAUCAUAAUCAUUCCAUCUGCAGCACUUUAAUCAAAAGAUCCCAUGAUCAACUGAGUCUGCUCCUUCACCAACAAAUAAAUAACAAAAAAAGAAAAUUAUAAUGUUGAAUAGUUAUAAAGAUGGGUAAAUUUAAAAAGGAACAUGAUUCAUACCAAAAUCGUAAGAAUAACAUCAAUCUAAAGUCAUUGCCUCCGUUGUUGCACUUGAUCCAAACUCUACAUUAAAUAAAAAUAAAUUAAUAAAAAAAGACUAAUGAUAAACAAAUAUAUAAUUUUUUUCGCUUGUUAUGAUAAAUAGUAGUUACUUUAUAUCAUGGCUUCAUAAAACUCAAGCUCCUCCAACGUUGGUUCAUCUUGUAAUGGGACAAAAGUGUUACGUAACCAAUUUUGUGAGCAUAUCAAAGCUUCCACCAUCUUUGGACUUAAAGAACUACGAAAUGAAUCAAUGAUGCGUCCUCCAGUACUAAAUGCAGAUUCUGAAGCUACUGUAGAUAUUGGAAUUGCAAACACAUCCUUUGCAAUAUGUGAAAGAACUCGAUAUUUUAUUGAGUUCAUUUUCCACCAUGCCAAAAUCUCAAAGUCGUCGUCAUUAACAUGUUCACAUGGCUCCAACAAGUACCUCUCUACUUCAUUUUUCAUCUCAACACAAUCAUCUUUUCCUAUUCUUUGUUUGAACUUUGCAACACUUGAAAGUUUAGAAAACCCCACAUUUUUAUCAAAUUUCCUACUAUCAACAAUUGACGACUUACUAGCAAUGCUAGAUGAUCCACAACCAUCAAUCUUAGUCUCAAGAUCUUUAUAGUAUUCAUAAAGACGUAUUAAAAGAUUUUUCACCUCUUCAGACUUCUUCCCAACCUCAUCAAUAACAAAAAUGUCUUCAAAGCAAAAUCUCACAUAUUUUAACUUAUAACGUGGAUCAAGAAUAACCGAAAUAAGCAACCAAUUAUUUAACCUAUGAAUUGAACCCCAAUAUUUGUCAUACUUAUUUUUCAUACUUGUUGCCAUUUUAGAUAAAACAAGAUCAUCACCACUUUCAAUUAAUGAUGUCAAAUCGGAAUGAAUUGAGCACAUAGAUGAAGAUAUGCUUCUUAAUUCGUUCAUUCAGAUUUAAUAUCUUUUUAUAGUAAUUGUUAAGCAAAUAGUCAAAUAAAAUCUCUUUCAAUAUUGCUUUACGUGUUUGUCUCGUAUUAGGUGUUGUAAACCAAAGUCAAUAUCACAAUAUUUUAGGUUAACAAGUUUCGUAUUUGUGACAUUUGCGAUUACCAAAAUACAGUCAAACUUCAAUAAGUUGAUCAAUUAUUAAUUUAUGAAGAUAUUCUUUAUUUAUAAAAUAUGAUCACUUUAAUUUCUAUUUAUUUUAUUUUAUUUAAAUAUUAGAGAGUUGUCUUACAAUAGUCGUAAUAUGGAUUAUUGUAGAGAUUUUAUUUUUUCAUGCUAAAGAUAGUUCUACGAUAGCAUCCAUCCCCAUAUAAAUAAGCACUCAAAGCUGUACUAACAAUAAAUAAUUUCUUGUUGCUAAUGACAAUACCAACUAAAAUUUUCUUUUGCACUACAAAAAGUUAGAUAUGAGGUCUAAGUCAAAAUUAAUUUCAAGAAGAAACAAACAAUACUUUGGGAUUACUUUUGGUAGGUAAGGAGUAACUUUUCAAAUCUAAUUUUAAUAAUCACUUUUAUACUUAAUACAAUUUCAUAUAUUUCCUCUUAUAUUUAUAUGUCAUAAAAAUCUAAAAUUGUAUUUAUUACUUAGACAAUAAAAUCAUUAAUUUUAAAAAGAUUAUUAUUAUUACCAAUUAUAUUGAGAUAAUAAAAAAAUAAAAAAAAUAUUCAUUUUAGUUAUCAAUUAUUAUAUAUAAAAUAAAUAAAAAUUUCAUACAGAUAUUUAGAAAUGUGAAACUAAAUUUUAUUCAACAUUAUAUAUAUUUUAGUCAUUUACAUUCUUACAAAAGUAUAAUAAUAAGAUUUACUAAACACAUAUAAUAUCUUUUAAAACUCAUAGUAGUUUUAAAAAUAAAUUUUUACCAAGCGUCUAACUGAGUUUCUUCAUAGUUGAUUAUUUUUACAAUACAACUAACAUCAAUUAUUUUAAAAGUACAACAUUACCAAUAGGGCCUGAGAACAUAUUGACGAAGCGGGAUCGUAGAGAUAGAGAAAAUAAGUUUCUGAAUAAAAAGUUGAUUGAAUAAUUGAGUCUGAAAAAAUUCCCCAAACAAUGACAAGGUCUCUCUAUUUAUAAUAGAGAAAACUCACUUCCCUAAGUUAACUUAAAAACGGAAAUUAAAUCACAAUUAUAAUAGAAAUAAAAUAUAAUUUCCCUAAGUUAACUUAAAAAUGGGAAACUAAAUUUUAAAAUUCCAAAAAUAAAAGAUACUUUACUAAGUUAAUUAAAUCCCAUACCUUAAUUAACUCUAAUAAAAAUAGAAAGUUCUAAAAUAAUAAAAUACCAUAAUUAACUCUAAUUAAAAUAGAAACUCCUAAAAUAAUAAAAUCCUAGAAUCUUAAAAUUCCCAAAAUAACUCCCUACAUCACAUAUUUUAUGAGAGCCACAUCGACAUUUUAUAUGGAUUUAGGUACAAACUAGAUCAUUAUUAUUUCAUAUAGUAAUGGGCCCGAUGGGAAAUAUGAAUUUUUUUUAAAAUUUUAUUAUUUUAAAAAUUUAUCGAAUUAUUAAUUUACCACGUUGACCAUAAGUUAGGACCAAUCAAAAUUAUUAUUUAAUUGAGGCUACCAGAUUAUCGAGUAUUAAUUAGUAGAAUUGUAUCAAUGUCAGGUUUAAUCAAGAACUCCCCGUAUUAAUGAACUCAAAUCUUGACACAAUCCAGACUCUAGAUACAAUGGCAUGUUGGUAAUACCGAAAUUGUUACAACGCGAUAUGUGACUAUUAUAAAAUGAAUGAUAAAACGAAAAUAACUUGGAUGUUAAUUUGUUUUCAUCGUAAAUAAUAAUUAUUUAUUAAAUUAUUAUGGCCUGUGUAAAAUAUUUUGAAUUUGUUGAAUAUGGAAGUGCUGGAUUCAAACUUAAAAAGAGAAUCCAACCUUCACCACCAAAUCCUUGGAUAAUUUUCUACUAUAAAAUUUCAUCCAUAGUGAUAGCAACAGACAUUUAAUAAAAAAUAACAAAAACAUGGCAAUCAUAAAUCCCAAGGACGUAAGAUAACAGGAAAAGCAAAAGACAAAGAACAAUCACGAACAGAUUAAUGGAUCAUAUCUUGCAUUUUCAGAAUUAAGGAAAAUAUAUCUAAUGAUUUUGAUCACAAUCAACAUAUUGAGUAUGACACAUCUUAGGCGCCUAAAAUAAAAGUUGCACAUUUUUAAAGCCUGCCAAAAUAUAAAUGCACUUUAUGAGAACCAUAGAAAAAGCAAGUAACGUAGCUUUUGAUUUUCAUUAUUUGGAGUCUAGGAUUUUCACUAAAGAGAGAUAUGAAAAGGCUUAUUUUCUCUAAAGAAAAAAAGAGCAGUCACUUUAUACAGAUUAAAGAAAAAGAUUUUUUCUCUCUAUUGUUGAGAGAACACUUUUCUUGUGCUAGUUGCUUUAGUGGUGAUAAAAGCGUUCACACGUCAAGUGCAGAUUAAACUUGAGUCAUAAUCUAGAAGAUUAUUUGGUGGCAGAUCAUGAUCUAAUAAGAGUGGUAGUGACGGAUUGUGAUCUGUGAGCUUAAAUCACCUCAGAGGAAAAAGUCAAAUCAAAUUUUCAAUGUACGAUUUCUAGAUUACAAAUUCUUAUAUAUUGUAUGAGAGGAUCCUAAAAGUUUUUAUAAAAAUUUAAAAAACUAAUUUUUCUCCAACAAAAAUAUAUAUCAUUAGUUGAUCAUAAAUAUUUGACAACAGUAAAUUUUAUCACAUUUUUAUCAUAAAUUCUUAAUAGAAAAUUUUUUUGUCACAUGUACGUCGUACUUAUAGGAUAUAAAGCCUUUUACUCAAAACCGUCACAUGAGUAACUGUCAUUAUAAGUCAUUUUUCUUGUAGUGCUUGAGCUUAAUAAAAUGAUUCUUAGCUUCUAGAUUUUCUCUCUUGACUUGAAUAUUUUCUUUCCUUUUCUUUGACUUUCUCAUCAAACAAAUAGAGCCUUAUAUUUUAACUAUGUCUGCAACCUUUUUAUCAAAUUACUCUCUUCAAUCUUUUUAUCAAUUGUUUAGGGAGAAAUAGAAAAAAUAGCAGAGCGCCACAUGUCGACAAGCGGAAUAACUCCAAUAUAAUUCGAGGUACCCCGCUUAAUUUGAGGUAUCUCUCAUAACUCGAGAGUAAUUCGAGGUACCCCUCAUAACUCGAGAGUAACUUAAGGUACCCCACUUAAUUCGAGGUACCCCGCAUAACUCGAGAGUAACUACCUCGCAUAACUCGAGAGUAACUACCUCGCAUAACUCGAGAGUAACUCAAGGUACCCCACAUAGCUCAGGGUACCCCGUAUAACUUAAGGUACCCGAUAGAUCAUAUGCAGGAGAAUCCUUUGAAAAAAUCUACCAUGAGAAAUGUCUCCAUAUCUUGAAGGAUAAUAUUUGAUUUUGUCAUAAUUAAAAUAUCAAAAUGUCAUACUGAAAAAGUGGCGACAGCCACCUGCCACCUCUGCCAAAAGUGAAGGACAUUGUCCCAAGGACAGUGGUUCUCAGUCGCCUUACCCGACAACCACUGUAGAGGUACCCUGGACCACUCUUUAGUGUGAGCCACAUUCCCAAAGGAUACGAUAUGCCGCGAACGCCUUCUUGAUUCCCAAGAAUGCACAUAACGGCCCAGAAAUCAUAAAAAGGUAAAAUGACGUGAAAGGCCUAGAAAAGGAUAGUCAAUAACCAUAAAAGAUACGCCAUGUGGCAAAUGAGGUACUCCAUAUAUAUAAAGAUGUCCAGGUUUUAUUCUCUCGGGUCAUUCAUUCACUCAUGAACACUUACACUCCACAAAAUAAGCUUUCUUCACCUUAAACCUUGAUUUACAGAGGCUGGCAAGCUCUCUUUACCAUAAAAAAGCUUGAGUUACUAACUUGAGCGUCAAGGUGUGAACGUCGGGUACCCCGACUUCACCUCUAACGUCUAUUUCACUGUUUUGUAGGCGUGAAGCUCGUUUCGAAAGCCAUUUUUCUUGGUUCAAACCUUUAACCAUUGUUACCACUUCCUCAUCCCUUCUCACCUCCUCCGAAUUCAAAGAUACCGCACACAACAAAUUUGUGAGAUACCCCGUUUCCCCUAAAAACACAAAUUCAUUGUUCUAAAUAGGUUUGUCUUUUUCUACCCCCAAAAGCUAUCUAAAACAUCAAUAAUACAUUUCCUUGUAUUUAUUUAAACAUAGCAUGAAAGCGUAACAUUGCAAUUAUAAAAUGUGUAUUCCAUAUAGACAAAAUGAUAUGAAAGGACAUUUUGAGGUACCACAACAUCACUUUAAAAUCAAAUUAUUAUAUACUAAACCAGUUUCUUUAGGAUUUCUCGUGUAUUAAGAGACUACAUGAAGAUCAAAAUUAUCAUACACUACCUCAUCGGUAGUUAUACGGAUUGAUUCAAAAAAUGCAUCCUUCUUUUAACAAGCGUUUCAAACCAUUUAGUCUUACUUAAAAUUUUCAGACUAGAAAAUUAAUUAAAACAUGAAAUAUAUUAUUUAUAUAAGAAAUAGAAAUGGAGUUCACAUGAAGCAUCUGCAAAAGCAGCUUCCACAUUCUUCCAAAUUAUUCAAGGAGCUAGCACUUGUGUAAGUUCUUGGUUCUUGUAUGAUAUACAGUAUACUAUACACAUUCAAGUAUCCCGCAGCUCUUAAAAGUUGAUAUUUAAUUUCCUACGUCGAUCGCGUUUCUCUGUAAAAAAAGAUUGAGAUUCCGACUUUGCCUGGGAAGAUGGUUGGCUACAAAUUUCUACAUUAAAUCAAAUUUUAAAAUAAAUUUGUUCGUUAUUUUUUUCUUUUCUCUCUCGUCUGCGCUCUAAAUCCAAUAAGUAAUCGAUCUUCUGUUGCUAUUAGUUAAGGCUUCUUAAGUUAGAUUUAAGAUGAUUCAGAGCUCUCUUUGGACAUAGUUUAACUUGUUUGCCAAACAAGGAUCGAGGGAGACUGCACACUGGAUACGGAUAUCAAUGCAACAUCAUAUAAUAUACCGGCUUUUGAAGUAUAAGCAAUAACUAACAAAUUACAAAACCAUGAAUUUCUUCACAAAACCUACAAAUUCAUCGGACCAUCCCAAUGAACUGGAGUAAGAAACCAUCCGCAUCAACCUUCUGUUCUUUUAUACGCACUUGAAACAUUCGUGAUGCUCCAAACACUAUUCAUAUGUCCAUCUGUUGUUGCUAAUUAAGACCUUAGUCAAGGCUUGAUAUAUAUAUAUAUAUAUAUAUAUGUAUGUAUGUAUGUAUGUAUGUAAACUUUGUAAUUUAAUUUAAGGGUAUUGUUGCAAAAGUUUAGAAAAAGUAAAAGUAAGAGAGUAAUAUAAUUAAGAAUAGAGAUGUUUUGAAACAUCCUUUAAAAUAUAGAAAUAACUCAAACGCUUAACCUAAAAUAUAGAAAUGAAACAAGUAUUUACCCUUAUUAUUAAUAACAAUAUAUACUCAAACAAGCUCAUCUUAAUGAUUGGGAAAAAAAUUACUUCUGUAAAAUUAUUUUUGGCAAAUAUCAAAAUAGAGAAAACACUGGAUCUCAACAAAAAAAAUAGAGAAUACUAACAAGAUGUUAUAUAUGCAUACAUAUGUAUGUAUGUAUGUAUGUAUGUAUAUGUUUGUUAAUUACUAUCAUAAUUGGUUAAUCGAAAUAUUGAAUAUAUUUUUAUCGUACAAAUUAGAUCUGUCAUGCAUCCUGAUUAGUGUUCUUGACUAAUUGUCCCUCGUUACCUUUUAUCUUUAGGGUGCUAAUUUUAGGGACUUACCAGGUAUAUUGGUUUGAUAAAAACAAUAAGCUAGGGCCGUAGAGUACUUAUAAUUAAUUAAAGUACUCCACAAAUCCAGCAAUUAACCUCGAUUCUAACUUUUGUCAUAAAUUAUUUAUAAUUACAUCAAUGUUUGACUAGAUUACAAGGAUAAAUUCCCCGACUCCUAUCAACAUUUUGGACCAAUUAAAGAAAGACAAGUUACAACUCAACAUUUUUUCACUUAAUUAUUCUAUUGCCAGUGUUUCUGCUGAUGCACGCUAUUUGAAAAACAUAGAAGUUAAUCUUAGUUAUGAAAGUCCUGGUUCCCUGCGAGCCGCAACAAUUAGCUAACUAAUUUAUACAGUGUUUAAUAAUAAUGUUUAAGAAGACAGAGAGCACAGUUAAUUAGAAUAUUAAUUGGAUAUUAUCACACAAUUUUAUCUUUCUUGUUGGAGUAAUGGAAUGAGGACAUUAACAUAUGUUAAUUUUAUUUAUUAAAGAUGACAAAUUACAUGGACCCAAAAUUAAAAAAAAAAAUCUCUUGCUUACCUCAAGAGAUCUUAAUAGUUUAAUAAAACCAAAUUGACACUUACAUGAUUGAUAAGUAAUAACAGUACCCAUCCUUUUAUUUAAUUAAAAAUAACACAAAAGAGUAACAUUGCAUACACUUAACCAGUGUAAUCAGGUUUUCUCCCAUACUGAGGAACAACAAGAAGAUCAAGGUUAUCAUUAUUCACUUUCUCAUCAUCAACCAAGCUUAUAAGGAUUGGAGGAAGGAUACCCUCCAACCACUCAUUACCUGAAAAAUUCAUAUUAAGAAAUUUAUUCAUAAAUGUUUAUAUUAAAAUAAAAAUUAGAAAUGAAAUUCGGAGUUGGCCUAAAAACCUGUACAUGGAGUUUGCAUAUUCUUCAAAUGAAAAGAUCUCUGCUAGUUUCUGAUGAUGAAUUGUCAUAGACCUCAGAAGUAAGUUGCUUUUGCUUCUUGUUGGAUAUAACAAUAUCCAUGCCUAUAUAUAGAACGAAGGUGGGGUGAUUGCAGCGUAGUUAUGCAUGCACUGGAGAUAAUGGAUCAACGGCUGACGUUUCCCCAGAGUUGAUCGACGGCUGAAGUUUCCCCAACGGCUGAAAUUUAAUUAAAAGAUUAUGGGGUUUGCAACUGUUGAAUGUUGUUGAAUUCCUACCCACAUGGAUCAGAUCUCUGACAAAAGAUUGUGCUUCCGAUGAGGGCAGGAAUCAAGUUGACAAGCUACUAUCAAUUAAUAAUAAAAUAAAUAAAUAAAGGUAUGGUUAUUUAUACCAUAAAUUUUAGUCGGAUCAGUCUAAUUUUUAAUAAAAAUAUUAUUAUCACAUCAAAAAAAUUAUUAUAAAAAAAUCUUCAAUGUAAUUGACUAAUGUGAAUAAUUAAGUUAAUAAUAGAAUAUUAUUACUCUUGAUACUGCUUAAUCACUCACUGAAUUCAAUAAUCCUAUUAUAAAUACUAUAAUUUUUUUUAAUUUAAUUCAUCAUUGUAAAAGGAAACAUAAUACAUACCCAACAAAUUUUGUUUAUCUGGAAAACAAAAGGUAACGUUACUUUGUUUUUUUUUUUAAUAUAAAAAAUAAACUAAUAGCUGAUUGUUAUAAAUUAUUAGCUACGUUAUUAUUAUUUUUUAAAUUUCGGUUUCUAUUAAUUAACAGGUUUUCAGUCUCUCCACAUGGGAAUUGAUUAAAAAUUCGGAAGAGAUCAUCAACUUGGAACUUGGGAAGAUGGUUGGCUACAAACUUCUAGAUUAAAUCAUAAUUAAAUUCGAUAACUAUCCGUUUUCGUGGAUACGAAUUAAUACUUUGCUUGCAAUAUCAUUUAAUUUAUUUUGUCUUGCCCUGCAGGCAAUAGAGAAAAAUAAAAAUUGUUUCCUUUUAUUUCUUCGUAUUUGGUAGACUGAUAGUAAUCCAAUUUCCAGAAAUUGAAUACAUAUAAAAUUACCGUAUGAAAAAGAAAAAAAAUAAUAAUAAAAUAGCAAUUUCUAUCUUCAGAAUGCAGCCACAUUUAUCGAUUUCAGUGAUGGUGAUGUGGUCCUUUGAUAGAUUGGAUGAUCUUAUUUAAUAUUGAGGGUAGGUAAUUGUAUCUUAAAACUUUUUUUUUUUACACAAAAUUGUAUCUUAAAAUUUAUAAUACUAAAAUGUCUAAGAAAUACUGAUUGUAAUGCUUUGAAAAAGUUAAUUAGAUUUUAUCAACCUUUUAUGAUGAAAAGCAUAUAGUUAGGGAUGACAAUGGAUCAGAUCUAACCUAAGAUCCACGUGAUCCAAAUCCAAUCGGAUCAAAUUUGGGUUGGUCUAAAAUGAAUUUGGAUAUCGAUGCGCGGAUCUAAAAUAGAUCUGGAGUAUAUAUGGAUUUAUCUUAAUAUUAGAUCUAGAUCAAUAUCCACUUACUAGUUUAUUUUAUUUUAUUUUUAAAAACUUCUUAACAAUUAUGUAAUUAUAAAUGAUAAUAAAAUUAUUCAUAACAUAUUAGUCGUAUUUAAAAUGUAUUUAAAAAUAUUAAAACUUGAACGUAUUUAAAUGAUAAUAAGAUAAAAAUUAAUUAAGUGUACAAUAAAAUUAGGGCAUCGGCCCUAAUUUUUUUAAGUUCUGUUACUCUUUAAUUCAACUUCUUUCUUUCUCUCUAGUCUACUCUCGCUUCUCCACUUCAUUUGAAUACUUGUAUCAAUCCUUUAAUUGCCAGGUAAAUCUUUAUAUUUGAAUUUUGUUUCCUAUUAUUUUCCCAUAAUCUUAUUCAUGUUGUAUACUCACUAAUAUAUAUAUAUAUAUAUGUUAUAGAAAUGAUGAUGGCGUACCGUAGAUAUCAGGAUGGUGAAGGAAAUAUUAGAAUAUUACAUUAAUCUUAUUCCUACAAUUACUUUUGAUGGAUAUUUCAUUAUCUUAUUGGUUUAUUUUGGUGUUAUAGCAGAAGAUACAAUAUUUAUUAGAUUUUUUAUGCAAAUUAUAUAAUUUAAUUGUUAUCAAUGCAUUUUAGUCUUUAAUUUUCUUUCUAAAAAAUAAUUGCUCUUUUAUUGUUAAGAUUUAGAAUUCAAGACGAAUUUAGAGUAGAUUUAGAUUUUAAUUUUUCUUUUUGGAUUUGGGGCAGGUAUAGUUCUUUUUUUUUAAUCUGGAUAUGGAGGAAAAAUAUGGAUCCAUGAUAGAUCUUAAGGAGAUAUAAACUUGAAUUUUUAUUAUGGAUUUUGAUUAAGUGCAGAGUAGAUCCAAUCUAUAUCUACCACAUUGCCAACCCUACUAUAGUAUCAAACCUAUAAUUUUGUUAAAAUUAUUAUUUAAAAAUCACAUGUAUUUUGCUCUACUAAAUCUUAUUUCAUAAUUAUAGUUUUCUUCCAUCAUAAUUCUAACUUAAAAAGUUACGGCACCUCAAUACCAAAUAGGGUAAUGGACUUAGGGAGAAGAAAAAUGAUGUAAUUUUGGGGGAGAGAAAGCGUUUUUACCCAAAAAAAAAAAAGAAAGGAAAAAAGAAAAAGAAAAAAACUUGGGGAUAUAUAGGAGAGAAAAAAUUGUGAUGAUUAUUUCUUGAUUCAUCCAUAAAGUAAUUAUCUAAAUGGUUCCGCCUCCAGCAGAUUCAGUUCAGGCAAGGGUUUGAGAUUUGGAUAUUCUUUGUAUGUCGCGUUCAUGCAUGUUUUCCUUUUCUUUUGCUAUCUGAUUGUUUUUAAAGGAUAAGUCUUAUUAUGUCCCUCUAAUUAGGUGUAAUUUUGCUUUCUAUUUAUUAAUAAAGCCUUCCUCAUGCCAUCGCGAUUACCUAAAUAUAUAUAUAUAUAUAUAUAAAGUUUAGAAAAACGUUAAAAUUGUUAGUUUAAUAGCCACUAAAGGAAAAAAAAGGCUCUUAACAACGUAUAAUAUUCGUUGUUAAACACUUUUGACAGCCGCUUGCUGUGAAUGUUAAUGUUGUCAUAAGUUGAACUAUUUUUAUUAACAUUUAGUGAGCGUUGUGUUAUAAGUCUUUUAAAUGUUGUUAAAAUUAGUUUAAUUACUGUUGAUACCAAAAUCCGGAUGAGUUGGUCAAAUCUCAGAUCCCUGCAUCAGCAUUAAAAUUGUUUGGUGGGAAGCUGAUGACUAGUUAGCACCAUGAGCAGAUUUUCUAUGAGCAGACGAUCCACGAGCAGAGAACCCAUGAGCAGACAAUCCAUGAACAGACAACUCAUGAGCAGAGAACUCAUGAGCAGACAAUCUAUGAACAGAUAACCCGUGAGCAGACUAUCCAUGAGCAAAUAACUCAUGAACAGACGAUCCAUGAGCAGAUAACUCAUGAGCAGACGAUCAAUGAGCAAAUAACCCAUGAGCAGACAAUCCAUUAGCAGACGACUCAUGAGCAGACUAUCCAUGAGCAGACGACUCAUGAGCAGACUAUCCAUGAGCAGACGAUCCAUGAGCAAAUAACUCAUGAGCAGACGAUUAAUGAGCAGAUAACCCAUGAGCAGACAAUCCAUUAGCAGACGACCCAUGAGCAGAUAACCUGUGAACCUGUGAACACAACCAACAGUCAGGAGGUGCCGGAAGUUUUUCCGACGAGAACCCUCCGACGCUCAAGUCAGCGAUUCGGGUCUUACUUGGAAAAACUCAUACCACAAUUCAUGUGGCUUAAUUAUGAUUGCUUUAAACAAAAGGCUUUUAAGUAAAUUUAAAGGAAAAGAAUUCAAAAUAAUCAAUCUUAAAGAAAUCACAGGCGAAAGAGAAAUUUCUCAGUGGUAGAGAGAGAAAAAGGUCCAAUGGGUUCAGUUGCUUAGAGAGAGAGAGAGAGAGCUAGAAGAAUCCCCCUUUUUCCUUCCCCUUCCUAGGCUUUUUAUAGGAAACUAUAGCGGUUUUUAUCCUCUCCCCUAGAAUUCUCAAGAAAACUACUAAUUUUCAGCCCACUAAGAAUAUGGUCCCUAAUAUUUCGGAGAAAAUAUUUUGACUGAAUCGUGCUUUCUGGUAACUUCCUGGUCGAGGUGAGCAAUAACAUCCUGGUCGAGAUGAUCUGCUCGAGGUCACCACAUAUUAUUCUGGUCGAGAUGACCAAUAAUAUCCUGGUCGAUGUGAUGUGCUUGAGGCCACCACAUAUUAUUCUGGUCGAGAUGACCAAUAACAUCCUGGUCGAGGUGAUCUGCUCGAGGUCACCACAUAUUAUUCUGGUCGAGGUGACCAAUAAUAUCCUGGUCGAGGUGAUGUGCUCGAGGUCACCACAUAUUAUUCUGGUCGAGGUGACCAAUAACAUCCUGGUCGAGGUGAUCUGUACGAGGUCACCACAUAUUAUUCUGGUCGAGGUGACCAAUAAUAUCCUGGUCGAGGUGAUGUGCUCGAGGUCACCACAUAUUAUUCUGGUCGAGGUGACCAAUAACAUCCUGGUCGAGGUGAUCUGCUCAACCAUUUGCUCGCUUUUACUUUGGAGGAGAGCACGAUAAUGUAUGAGCAAACACCUUUAUCUUGGUCACCCUAUUUCAUUCCCUAAACAAUUACAUCCAGUAAACGUGGUUAAAAGCUUCACUUAUAUAUUUUCGACAACAUGCAAAUGCAAGUUGUGAAUAAUAUUUCUCUUAAGAAAAAAAAAUUAUAUACACAUACCAGUUACAAGCUCUGUACAUCUAUCAAUAAUAAUAAUAAAUUAACACAAACUAACUAUCAAAAAAUAAUCAUGUAAUAAUAUACAAAGAAUUAAGUAACAUUAAAUGUACAGUAAUUGCCAAUGUACCAUUCUUGACAAGUAUAAUCUACAAGAAAUUAAUAACGCAAAACAAAUUUUCUUACAUUAAUUAAUCCCGUCCUUUCUCAGGGAUAAUGCAGAAUAUUAGCAAAAACUUAACCAAAACAUUUGUGAUGAGUUUCAAAUUGUCACAAAGACCUGCACUAGCAAAAACUAAAAUUCAUAAAAAAUUAUGUUGCAAUUUCUUAAGAAAUUAAAGUAAAACAUAACUGAUACCAAAAAGUGUCACAAGAUUUACAUUAAAAAUCAUCAAAGGAGAUUGCUAAAUUCCAAAAUUAAUAUAUAACAAUUCCAUCCCCCUGAAAUAUAUAAAUACCAAUUCCAUAGUUCCACACCCACCUAUUUUUUACGGCAUCGUUUUGGUCCAAAAUCAAGUAACAUAAAUUAAACAAUUAGAAAAUUUUGGCUCUACAAUUUCCCUAUCUUCACAAAUUUCGUGUGUUUAGUCAUGAAGAAACUCACUAAAUUAGAAGAAAAACAAAGAUUGAAGAACGAAGAUCGAAGUUAAAAAAAAAAAAGAAAAUUGACGAAAUCAGAAUCGAAAGUUGAAAUACCUAAAGCACGAAAAUGAUCUGAAGAUUGAAGAAAGGAACUGUAAAACUCUAGGUCGAAGCUCUCUCUAUGUGACUUUUUUUAGCACAAUGGUGUUCAACAAAUAAUUCUCAAUUUGUUGUUCAUCUAUCGGUUCCAGUUUACCUCACUUCACAUGUGUGCAUGCGCGCAUGGACCAAAGAGAUUGAUUUUUUUUUUCUUUUCUGUUAGUUUCUUAACUUUACUUAAAAAAUAUGGUAAAGAUCUUUCGAUUUAUUCACUUCACUUGUAAGAUAUGAUAAAGAAAAAAUUAAGUUUUUGUUUGUUUGUUUUGGUUUUUAGGGAUUGGUACCCUUUAUGCUUUAAAAAUCAUGGAUUUGGUUUAGCUUUAAUAAUAUAAUUCACGGCCACACUAAGGAAACUAAUUAACAUUUCUUUGUGUUGAUCAAGUUAAGACUAAUCAUAGAUUGAUGAAUUUUUAAAAUCAUUUACUUAUGCCAAGAAAUUUGUAAUUAUUUAACCAAAGUUGAACUUUAAAAAAAAAUUAUUUAUUCAGUAAGAUGUGUAAUUGUUUCUGCAGUUUAAUGCACUUUUGAACAGAAGAAACAGCAGUUGUUUCUACACUUCAGAAUACCAGAAAAAGCUUGCUGAAUUAAAUCAAGACAUAUGAACAACUAAUUCAUCUCAUUGACUAGGUUUCAAACUAAUAAAUCAUGUAAAAAAGAAAAACGAUUUAUUGAGUUUAAAUCUAAGGUUUCAAUAACUGAGUAUUUUUAAGAAAAGAAACAAGAUUCAGUUCAAAUCUAGGGUUAAUAGAUUUUUUAUUGGAAAGAAAAAAAAACUUAAAAUGAAUGAAGAAGAAGAUUUUUGUAAAUUACCCACACGAGCUUUCUCCUCUCCUUGAUGUCCAUGUCGAUUGAGGACUUUCACGGGAUGCUAGCGAGAGAGGCGAUUUCGAAAAAGUGUCAGAUGAAGUUGGGGUUUCAACUGCUGAGCUAUCUCAGCUUCCACUAUUCGGCGACAAUGGCUGCUCUUGUGGGUCUUUGACUUCUUCUUCGUCUGCGGCUGCAAGGUAGUGAGGGCAGCCACAGGUGGCCAUUGGAUUUGAAUCCAAAGGCCACCAGCCUCCCUCCCGGACGUUGUUCCAAUCCGGAAUCCCGGAUUGAAACAGCACUCUAUAUAUAUAUAUAUAUAUAUACGGCUUAGCACAUUAUUCACUAAACAUUUCUCAAAUUUCUCCUUAUAUUUCUCUAGCUAAUUGCUUGUUUUUAAAGUUCUAAAGUUUUGGCUUGAAAAUUGUAAUGAAGAGCUUGACAGAGUUUAGUGGCUAUCAUAGUGUAGUGAUCGAGACCUGUGAAAAUAUGUUAAUGAAGUGCAUAAUAACGUAUACGGACAAACUGGUAUUCUCAUGGCGAAGGUUUAAGCAUUAGUUGUCGAUGUUCGAAGACUCAAAAUAUUGAAAACACGAAGAGAAAGAAUAAUACUCCUGCCAAAUAAUCCACUGCCAGAAAAGUUUUUACAGCAUCAUAAAAUUAGAACUGAAGAAUUAACGAAACCUUUCAAGAAGCUUUGAGCUUUCAAUUUGAAACUUGGUCCAGGAGUCAUCAAUUUCUUUCAUGUGUUGCUGGCUGCUUUCCUUACAUUUCCCCAGUAUCUUAGAGCUUCGAAUUGAUUGAGAAAGGGCCUCGUGGGGUGCUAAUGAUGAUUGAUAAAUAAGUGUGGAUUCUUCCCUUAAACUAUCUUUAAAUUCCCCUUUCUCUCUUAACUGUUUUUUCAGCUUAUCAAUCAUGUCAAGUGUAACCUCCAUGGCAUGAAUAAUCUGAUGAAAGCGUAGAUUCUUUUCCGCUAAUUCUUUCAUCAAGGACUUAGCACGUUCAUUUUCCUCAUCCGCCAUCCUGACAUUCUCGAGGCAGCGAGAAUAUAGGCUUGUGUUGCUUAGAAACUUCAACUGUAAACUAGUGACCAUGCCGAGCAUGCUUUCAGGGAAGUAUCCGGAUAUCAGCAAGGAGUUUAUGGAGGAAAGAAAGCAAUGCUUGAGAUCAUGAUUCAUGAGCUGCUCAAAGCUCAUGGAACAGCACUGUUGUAAGCAAUCCAAAGCCUCGUUUUGUUCAGGAGUGUGUGGUGGCUGUUGAGAAGAACCUGGAGGGUCCUCAAGCGACUCAUAAAGCAUAGACUGAAGAUUCGCGAAGAAAGCUUGCUGCACACUUAAGGGGUCAAAGUCCUUUGUCCCCUCAUCCUUAACAUGUAUUGUUACCAUUGGCACAACUUCUUGAUGAGACUGAGACGCAGCAGCUGAGAGUGGUGAUGACGAACCUGCUUUCAGAAGAAGAUGAAAAAAAAAAAACAAAUUUAAUUAAUUUGUAUACAGCUUCUCUUUAAUACUGUUAUCAGAAAUGACUAAUGAACCUGGCAUGCCUGCAACAUCAAGUGAAUAAUUCAUGUGGCAAGCCAUUCCAUUGCCUGCAGACAUUCUUCUAGGGGAUUCUCUCAAACAAUCAAUAUGAUUGUGAUCAUCUCCUCUCUUAGGUUCCUUGCCGAUAGGUUUGGCACCUUGUCUGUUUACAGUUACUGAAGGAACCUCAUACCGUGGUUGUUCUGAUGGGACAAAGCAAGAAGUUUCAUUUCCUUCAUAAGAACUCUGGUUUGAUUCUGUCAAGCCAUCAUUAUGAUUGUGUUUAUCUGCUCUCUUAAAUUCCUUUACAGCUGAUCUUGCGCCUUGUGCGUCUGCAGUCACUAUGUGAUCCUCGGUACCCUCGUGUUGUGUUUCUUUGGAAGGAAAGUGGGCGGAGGUUCCAUUGCCUUCAGAAUUUCUUGCUGGGGAUGCUUCUACCAAGCCAUUAUCACGAUCUUCUUCAUUUGUACUUGUCCAGUCCUUGCAAGCAGGACCAACAUCUUGCGUAUCAGUAAUUACCCCUCUAAUCUCGUGAAAUAACUGUGGCUGCUGUAAUGGUAUCAGUGUCUGCUCCCGUGAAUCGGCAAUAACCACAGGAACCUCUUGUUCUCGUUGUUCUGGUUGCAUGCAGCAAGAAGUUCCAUUGGCUUCAGAAGUUCCUCCAGGAGAUGAUUCUUGUAAGCCAUCAUCGUGCUCUUGUUCGUUCGUACUUGUACAGUUCUUGCAAUCAGGUUCAACACCUUGAGCUUCUGUAAAUAUGAAUGGAACCCUGUAUAAUAACUGUGGCUUAUCUGACGUCUUCUGUGGCUUAACCUCAUGCUGUGGUCGUUCCAAUGGCACCUGGUAAGAAGCUGCAUUGCCUUUAGAAGUGCAUCGUGGGUGUGAUUCUCGCAAGCCAUCGCUAUGUUCUUGUUGGUUCGUCCUUGAGAAGUCCUUGCAAGCAGGUUCAACAUCUUGUGCAUUUCCAAGUUCUAACAGAACCUCAAGUAAUAACUCUGGCUGCUCUGAUGGCAUCUGAAGUGGUGGCAGGCUAUCGAUGCAUUUGGAGAGCGUAGAUGAAAAGUGCGAGUUAAGGGUCCAAAUUUGAAUGUUGUCCACAAAUUCAAAAUUGCCAAUCCACAAUGUCUUCCUCAAAUGUCAGAGUAUUGUACACAAAUUCUAAACAAAAGCAGUUAGUUGACCCAUAAAGUACGUUGUUUAGUCCAAAUUUGAAUGACAACACAUUAUCAAAGGAUAUCCUCCUUUCCCCGCUAUCUCAGUUGCCUUAUCAACAGGAUUCUGCAAUUGAACAAGCUUUUUGACACUGGCCUGUUUUAUUUUUCCGAAGUAUGCAUAGAACAAACAACAUCAACACACAGGAUACUUAGUUUUAUUUCAUCAGAAUCGUAAAACAGAAUAAUCAGCGAUGAUUUUUAUAAUAAAUUUCAGACAUCUUAUAAGCAUUUACCUUUUCUUUCUUCCUGGACAUCUUUCCAGUGGAUCUCUUCCUUUUAUUAUUCCAACGAUGUGGCUGCAGUUUGCAUUCUUCUGUAUCAAUUGAAUCACUAAAAUCAGAUACAUUAAAUAGACUUUCGUCUUCAAAUCCAUCAAUGUCUUCUUCACCUUCGUCAGAUUCAAAUGCAUUAGAAGCUCGCUUAUGCAUCUCACCCUUCUUCGACAGGUCAUAUGCUAAGAUAACAUUUUUUGAAGUUAAGCCUUCUUUUUGUUUUAUUGUCUGCCAAUACCCAUUAAAGAAGUAAUCUGUUGUUUUUGGAUGAUUCACGUCUAUGUUGCACUGCACAAUAAAUUUUAAAAAGAAAAAAAAUUUCUGAGCAAGUCAAAAAAUGAAAUCAAGAUAUCAAACAGAAAUUUAACUAUAACCUAAAGUUCCAAUUAUGAACUAUAAAUUAUCCAUACCCCAACGGAUUUGACAUCCUUGUUUGUUUCUAUAAGCCAAGCAAGCUCUAAACAGGAAUUACAAAAUCCUUUGUUUCGUUUAACCACUGCAAACUGAGCAUCAUACAGGCAGGUUUUACAUACUGCAGAUGGGCAGCAAAGGCAAUAAAACUUUGAGGCUUUUCCGCAAACAUGGCAAUAAUGCCAAUCUGCAAUGUUGAACAUUUCAUGUUACGGGCUAGUCAACUGAUGUAUCUCGUAAUUGAUAUCAAAUAAUGAGCUUUUUUCCAAAAAUGGAAGAAUGUAACUUACUGCAAGUCCACUUAGUUUCAGCUACCAGAAAAGAUUCAUCUUUGUCAACACACUCUGAAUGAUAAACUUUUGGACACCUCCUGUAGACCAUGGAUAUGAAAAUUAAAAUUAAUUAUUGGGACAGCCAACAAUCUCUUUAAAGGCACUCAAAUAUUUUAUCCGAAUGAAAAUAAAAUCCAGGAGUCGUUGGUCGUAUAGGAUUGAAUAAAAGAGCAAGUACUGAGCAUUUCAUUUGAAUGCCCUGCCCUAUUCAACCAAAGCAUUGAAAUGACUACUUUACCAAAUCUGGUAUUUUCAGCAAACAAAAGGGAGUCAAGCAAGUAAUAUAUUAAUACUAGACAUUAAUGAAUCAAUUGGUGAGAAGACAACAGGGAACAAAAGGACUGAUGCAAAUUAUUAUUAAAAACAUUUUUGAACUUACAAGUGGUCGCAGAGCCUGAGCUUGCCUCCAUCCUUGCAAACAUAACACCAAUUCUCGGAAAUUUCUUCCUUGGUCAACCUCUUUUUUCUUGGCAUCUUCUUCAAAGUUCUGAUACACCAACCCCGGCAGUGUCAAAGAAAAAGUUCUUUUCUCAUGUUAGAUAUUUCAAUGAUCAAAGUAUUAUAGAAAUCCCAUUUGAGGAAAUCAUGAAAAAGGAAAAAUGUUUGAACCCCAGAUGAAGCUCAGGAGGUUUGCAUAGAUGCACUAGAACUUUACCAGAUGAAGAGGAUCAUUAGAUUUCACUUCAUUCCUCUCUAUUGAGGCUCGAAAGCUAGUACCUUGGCUCUAGAGAGGCUGUGCUCUUACCACUUGAACUAGGCCUUCACCUCUAGAAACUUGGAACUCUAAAAAUGAAGGUCGAAAGAACGGAACUUUAACUUUCAAAAAUCCAAGAAAACAAUGCAUUUUUACGGAGUUUCUGAAUGCGAUUUGCUGAAAAGAAGCUAAAAACGGAAUCUUGAAACCUUACACGAGAAAACGUGGACUAAAAGUUUAAAUUUUUAAUGAUCAGUGCAAAACAUGAGAUUGAUCAAAGAAAAAUCCAAGUAUGACAAAGAAGAAUAAAAACCCAUGAUUCUUCAUAAACUUCAAAUUAUUCUUAACAAAACUUGAUUCUCAAAACACAAAAAGCAAAAGCAAAAACCAGGCCUUUAAACUUCAGCAAAACCCAUUCAACAUGUAAAGAUCAUACUUAGAACUUGAAGAAGCUGACAGAGAGUACGCUUAUUGUCUCAUUGUAUAAUUGGAACAACCAAAAAAAAAAAAAUUGAUGGGGAAAAGACAUUACUCUUCACGUAGAAAAUCAGCAAGUACUACAAUAAUAUUAACUUUGAAUGUCUCAUUUCUCAAAAAGUGAGGGAGGAAAAAGGAGAAAUCAUCAAAAAGGAAAAAAAUCUUUAAACUUCAAAAGUGAAGAUCAGGAGUUUUACAUUAACGCCAAAAAGGAACAAACUUUUGAACUUUAAAAUCAAGAUCUAGAGUUAUAUCUUAAAAAAACAAAGCAAACUUUGAACAUAAUGAAAAAAAUUUCAGAACUCUGUAAUCAAGCUGAAGACUUCUUGUUACUUGUUAAGACUUCAAAUUCUUUUGAGCAAGAAAGGAAAUUUGCAAAGGAAACAACAUUACACAUUAAAGUUUUGAUUUUUCAUGCAUUGUUUCUCUAAUUCUUUCUCUUUCACACACCAUUAUGCAAUUCUUCUAUAAAUUGGAAAAUAGAAAACAAAAACGAAAAGCAAAAACCACUUCAGAGAAAGCAUAAGAACAUACCUUUAAGCUUGUGAGAUGAUCCUUUUGCACAGAAGAAGCUGAAAACAAAGCAUAGAAGCCAUGUCAAUCCAAGUAUGAAAGUUCAAACUUUUGACAAGAUGUGCAGAUGAAACAUCAAAAGAAAAGAAAAGUACAUGCUUAUGCAUGAGCUCCAAAUGAUUUUAUAUAGAAUUCUCUCUACCAAAACUUAAAACUCAAAACACAAAAAAAAAAAAAAAAAAAGAAUAAACAACAAAACAGAAACAAAAAUUCAGUUGAGAGAAAGCAAAAGCCAGAUCUUUAAAACUUAAAGAAGCAGAGAAAAACAAAUGCAAGCAAAGCAAAUUUUGAGUUUUUGAGAUUCCUAUAUCAAAGCAAAAGAUAAGAACAGGGGAGGGACCUUUUAGAGAGCAGACAGAAAAGUAGGAAAAUAAUGUGAAAGGAAUCAAUAAUCAAUUCAAUGUUUGGUCAGAGGCUCUGGAAGGAGUACAGAUUGUUCAGCAAAAGGAAAGAUCAAAUUGGAGAAAGAGAACGAAAAUAGAAUACUUUAGCUUUUGCUAUUAAUAGGAAUGGAUCAAUGUGAAAUUUAGUGUGAAUUAUUUUUUCCACAAUGAUUUUUUUUUACUUUAUUUAAAAUUAAACUAAUUUUUUUAACUAAAUUUAAAAAAUAAGAAGGAAAACAAAUAGAGAGAGUCUCCUAAUCUAUUACUUUUUUUGUUGUAAACAUCUUGAACAUGAUUUAUGAAAUUUGAAGUUGCUGCGUUAUACAUAGUUCAUGCAAAAUGUAUGUAUCAGAAGAAAGCUGAGGGCCAUGUAAUAUGAGUUUUAUUUUUGGGGUAAUAACACUUGGAGUGCCCAAGUCUUUAUGCUUUCUCAAAAAAUUAAGAAAAAAAUAUGCAUGUUAUAGUGUCCAAAUUUCUUGUUAUUAUUACUUCAGGGAGGCUAAAAUAUUUUUAUUACUUAUAAAAAAAUGUUAUGAUUUAGUCUAAUUGGGGAAAAAAAAGUCAAUAUGUUAUAAUAUCGUUAAUAUUAGAAAGUUACAAAACGACACCGUAACAAUUAAUAACAUUUUCAUAAUUUCAUAGUUUAUUUCUUUCAUAAUAAUAUAUGCUUGUUCUUUUUUUUUUUCAUAAUUAAAUUAAUGGUUUAUUUCCUUCAUGUUCUCUAUCACUAAAAUAAAAUAAAUUUCAUAAAUAAUCUUUAGAUAAACAAUUUCAAUAAUUUAUACUAUAAGCUUAUGGUUGCAUUAUUGUAAUUCUCUCUCUCUCUCUAUAUAUAUAUAUAUAUUAUUUUUACUCUCCUAUAUAGACCCUCAUUCACACAAAUAUUUACAAUAAAUUAACUUAAAAUAUUAAAAAGUAUUGGGUCCGUACCUGUUCUUGCAUGGUUAAUAUCGAAUGAGACCAAUUUACUUUCGUUAUAUUAUCACCAGCAGUCAUUUAAUCAUACAAUGACACAUCUUUGCCAUGUAUGUGUGUGUAACAACUCAUGAUACUUAUAUCUUUUUACCUAAAAAGAUAAUCGUGAAAAAAAUUCUUUAUUUUGAUUCAAAAAUCAGAUCAAGUUUUUUAAUUAAUUUAUUUAUUGGCCUUCGUUUUCUUAUUAUGUGAUCAUCUUCUAAGUUUCAAGGGCAUGACUGCUGCCAACAUUAAAAAAAAAUGGUUUAUGCAACUCAUUCAUGCGUUUCUUACUUAUAAGAUCAUGAAAAACAUGCUUGUAUAACUUCCAUGAGAAGGGAUUUAUUUUCAUGUGUAACACAUUGAUUGGUCAAGUGAAUGCCACGUGGCACAUAUUGGGUUUUCAUUCUCGUGUCAAAAUCUUAACGGUAAUAACGACUCCUAACUCCUUACACCUACAACCCCAAAUUUGCUUAUCAAUUAUCAUGCAAUUGCACACCUUUUGAUUAUGGACCCCCAAUUAGUAGUAAAAUUAUAGAAAUUGCUUUAUAAUGAAACCAUUCAAACAAUUUGAAGAUAAAAAUUGAAAACCUAUUUCAUGUGUGCAAAAGACAUGAAAUAAAUAUUAAGUGCUUCUCUUAAUGAUUUUGUCAACCAAAAGACAUUCAAUUCCUUCUACUAACUAACCUCCAGGAGUAUGACCGCGCUUCCGCGACAAUUGAGUAGUUUCUUGCAGUUUUAUUUAGUUGGUUACUUAAGUUUGAAUCUUGAAAAGAUAAUAAUUAAAAAAUUGAUUUGAAUUUUAACCAGCUUCCCAAAAGAGUACUUAUCAAGAAGUACAAAAAGCACAAAAUAAAGACCAAUGCGAGCAUUGUUACCUUAUCGAGUAUACAAGGCAAAGCAUGAACUCAUUGUCCAUUAAAUCAAAAGGCGAAAACUUCAGUCACAAGAUAAUGAAUGUACUCAUUCAACCACGCAAGUAGCCAUCGAUAUAUAAAAAUCUGAAGCCAUCAUGAUUAACCGUGCAACCACUUCAUGGAUCCAAGGGUAUUGAAAUAUUAAUAUAAAUUCUACGUAACAAGAAAUAAGAAGAUUAAGGGUCCCAUUUUGCGGGCAACAAAAGCAAGGCUAAUGCUGUUCACUGAUGAUGAAGCAUUAAGGAGAGAUGCCAAGCAAAAGAUUCAAGAUUUCAGUUUUGGCGCUGUUCCACGAUUCGUCAAUAUCUUUCAUGAGUUGCUGCCCUGUUCGUUUUCACUGAUGAUGAAGCAUUAAGGAGAGAUGCCAAGCAAAAGAUUCAAGAUUUCAGUUUUGGAGCUGUUCCAGGAUUCGUCAAUAUCUUUCAUGAGUUGCUGCCCCGUUUGUUUGCUCAUCGCCAAGGUCUUGAAACUUUGCAUGUACUGAUGAAGGGCACCUUUGGAUGUUUCUAAUGAUGCCUUUAGACUCUUGCAUUGUUCAUCAAGUCCGUUUCUUAAGUUCCUUGCAUCUCUCAACUGAUUUCUCAACUCCUUAAACCAGUCAUCUGCACCUCUUUUUUUACUUUCAAUCUCACUGUAGAGUCGAUAAUUGUCUGCCAAUUCUUGCUUUAGGGACAAAGCACGUUCUCUUUCCUCGUCGCAGCUCUUAACACUCUCCAGACACUCAGAAUAUAAAAAUGUGUUGCUCGAAAAUUUCAAAUGUAAAUCAGUUACCAUGUCGAGCAUGUGCCUAGGGAUGAAUCCGUGUUUCAGCAACAAAUCCAGAGAGGAAAAAAACUGAUCCCUUUCCGCAUGAUUUGUUAGCUGAGCAAAAUUCAUCAAACAGAACUUAUGCAAGCAACGAUUCACCUCCAUAAUUUGAUCAGGACUCAAUGUGUCUGUGACUGGUGGCUGCUCUGAAGGCCCUGAAAGGUCUUCAAGGGACUGGUCAAGCAGAGAUUGAAGAUCUUCAAAGAAGGCAUAUUUUUCGCGUAAGAGGUUGAUCUCCUCUCUCUCUUCUUUAACAUCUCUUUCAUCUAAGAGGUCAAUCAUUAUUGCUUUUUGCUCAGGCUUGCAGACAGUAGUUGCAGGUUGAGAUGGUGGAGCUGAUGCUUCAGGGAGCUCGGACUGAAAGGCAGCAGUUGACGGUUGUGAUGGUGGAGCUACUGUUACAAGGAUAACAAUUUAAAAGCUUACAAUUGUGUGUAUACAACUUGUAUUCAGUGCCGUAAUCAGAAAUGACUAGAGAAGUUCCAAAAGACAAAGCAAUUAAUUCAAAUAAACAAGUGAGCAAAUUGAAAAAUACUAGUACAGCCAGACAAACCUGAAAAAUCAGGUAGCAUAUCACAAGGAAUUACAUGUCCUUCAGAAGCUCUACUAACGGAUAAUUCAGGAAAGCUAACUUGUUCUUUUGCUCUCGCAAAGUCCUCAGAUGCACGUUGCACAGGUUGUGCAGUUGCAAUUACUUCUGAAACCUCAUUUGAUAACAGUGGUCGUUCUGAUGGCAUGUAGGAAGAAACUCCAUUGUGUUUAGAAGUCCUUGCAAGUGAUGAUUCCUCAGAUACAGAUUCCACAUUUUCCAAUGGCAUGUUACAUGAAGCUGCAUUGCCUUCACAAGUGCUUCCUGGGUAUGAUUUCGGCAAGCCACCAUUGUGUUCUUGUUGUUUUGUUCUUGCAAAGUCCUUGCAUGCAGCUUCAACAUCUUGUGCAUCUCCAAGUACCACCGGACCCUCAUGUAAUAACUGUGGCUGCUCUGACAACAUCAGAAGUAGUGGCAGGCUAUCUAUGCAUUUGGAGAAUGUAGACAAAAAAUGCAAGUUAAGGGGCUACAACCUUUUGGAAAUUCCAAUCCGCAACACCUGUAAUAAUGAAUAAUUUAUAUUGUCCAUGUCUUCUACAUGAGACUGUUAUACAUAAAUAGUAAAUAAACGCAUUUAGUUGAAUUAGAUAUAAUGUUGCUUAGCCGAUAUUUGAGUGAAAAAGCACAUCAUCAAAGGAUAUCCUCUGUUCCCUUGUAUCUCUGUUGCCUUACCAACGCAGUUAUGUAUUGAAACUGGCUCUUUGACAUUGGCCUGUUUUGAUUCCAAAUUAUGCAUAGACCAAGCAACAUGAAUACACAGGAUAAUUAGUUUCAUCAGCAUUGAAAAAAGAAUAAUCAGAAAUGAUGUUUUUAAUAAAUUUCAGACAUGUUUGAGCAUUUACCUUUUCUUUCUUCCCAGAUGUCUUUCUGUUGGAUCUCUUCCUUUUCUUAUUCCAACAAAGUAACAGGUUGUGUUCUUCUGUAUAAAUGAAAGCAAUGUAAUCAGACAUAUGAAAUAGAAUUUCAUCUUCAAAUCCAUCAAUGUCUUCUUCACCUUCAUAAGAUGCAACUGUGUUAGAGACAAGCUUAUGCAUUUCACCCUUCUUCAGCAGGUAAUAUGCUGAAAUAACAUUUUCUGGAGUCAAGCUUUCUUUUUCCUUUAUUUUCUGCCAAUACCCCUUAAAGUAGAACCUGUUUCUUUCCCCUGCGUCACUCCGGUCGAACUUGCAAAGCAGAAUAAUAUAAACCAAUAGAAAGCAAGUCAAAAAAUGAGGUCAAGAUAACAAACAGAAAAUUUACUAGCUUAAAAUUCCAUUUACCGACUGUUAAUCAUCCAUACCCCAUCGUAGUUGACAUCCUUCUUUGUUUCUAUAAGCCAAGCAAGCUCUAAACAGGAAUUACAAAAUCCCUUAUUUUCUUUUACCAGUGCAAAUUGAAUAUCAUACAGGCAGGUUUUGCAUACUGCAGAUGGGCAACAAAAGCAAUAAAACUUUGAGGCCUUUCCACAAACACCGCAGAAAUGCCAAUCUGCAAUGUUGAACAUUUCAUGUUACAAGCUGGUUGACCAGAUAUCUCAUAAACAAUUCAAGAAAGAUAAAGUCAUGAAAAAAAGAAGGAAAAAUAAGAAAAUCGAGAUAACCACUAUCAUAUAAUGAGCUUUGUUAUUCUUUUCAACAGCCUAUUGCAAGUCAAGCAGCUUUUACGUUGUUACAUUGUUAAGGUUAUAGGGAAAUACAUUAAACUUCACAUUCAAAGGCAGAGAGUUAACAAACAUAAGAGAAUAAAACACAGAAACAUCAUUAUUUAUGUUAGUAACUUACUGCAGAUCCACUUAGUUUUAGCUGCGAGAAAAGAUUCAUCUUUGUCUACACACUCAGGAUGAUAAACUUUCAGACAUCUCCUGUAGGCCACGGAUACGACAAUUAAUUAAUGGGAUAGCCAAUAAGCUUUUUCAAAGGCAUGCAAAUCUGAAUGCUCAGCCCUAUUUCAUUUGCCAAAGCUUUUGGGAAUCUGAGUGAUGUAUUCUGAAACUAAAGCAACUACGUGACUACUUCACGAAAUUUGAUAUUUUCACCAAAUGAUAGGGAGUUAAGUAGAUAAUCCUAAAUAAUACUAAAAAUUUACGAAUCAAAUGGUAAAAAGACAAUAGGGAACAUAAGGACUGAUGCAAAUUGUUAUUAGAAACCUUUUUGAACUUACGUGUUGUCACAGAGCCUGAGCUCACCUCCAUGCUUGCAUUUAAAACACCAAAUCUCUGAAAUUUCUUCCUUCUUCAACCUCUUGCUUCUCGCCAUCUUCUUCAAAGCUCUGAUGCUCCAAACCAGAAAAAGUCAAGGAUAUCGGUGAAAAAGGCUCUCUCUCAUGUUAAAUAUUUCAAUGAUCAAAGCAUUAUUGAAAUCCUAUUUGAGGAAAUCGUGAAAAAAAAAAAAAAAAUGUUUGAACUUCAAAUGAAGCUUAGAGUUUUACACAGAUGGACUGAUAGUUUGAUAUAACUCAAACCAUUAGCGAAAAAAGGUGGAAACUUUGAAAUUUAAAAAUCAGGAUCAAAAGAACAGAGCGUUAACUUUCAAAAAUCCAAGAUUUAUAAUGCAUUUACGGAAUCUUUUAGACAAGCAUUUGCAGAAAAGAAGCUAAAAACAGAAUCUUGAAACCUUAAAUGAGACAUUAACUAAAAGCUUAAACUUUUAGUGAUCAGCGCAAAACAUAAGUUCAUGAGUUAGAUCAAACCAAAAGUUUAAAUUGUAUGAUCAGCACAAGUAACUCCAAAUGCCUCUUAUCAAAGAGAAAAAAAUCCAAGCAUGAAAAGAAAGAAAAUAAUGCAUGAUUCUGCAAGAAUUCCAAAUGCUUAUUAAUAAAACAUGAUUCUAAAAACACAAAAAAAGAAGAAAAAAAAGAACAAACUUUUAACCUUUCGAGAUGAACCCUUUGUAGAGAAGAAACUGAAAGCAAAUGAGAAAACCCAUUUGAAACGUGAACUCCAAUGCUUUUAAACAGCAUUAUCUCCACCAAAACUUAAAUCUCAAAGCACGAAAAACAGAAUAAACAAAAAGCAAAAACUUAAACCCAGUAGAGAGAGAAGCAAAAACAGACCUUUAAACUUAAAGAAGCUGAGAACAACAAUGAUAGUAAAGACAUAAAGUUUUGAGUGUUUAAGAUGACUGUUUCAAGGCUGAUGCUACAAUACCUGUUUCAAAGCAAAAGCUAAAAGCAGAGAAGGCCUGAGACGUUUUAGAGAAGUGAAAAGGUUUAGAAAAUGAAUCGAUUCUAUGUAUGGUCAGAGGUCAGAGGUCAGAAUCAAGUACAGAUGGCAAAAUGACAUCAAAUUGGAAAAAUAAAACACUGUAACUUUUACUAAUAAUUGAAAUGGAUCAAUUUGAGAUUUAAUGUGAAUUUUUUAUUUUUUUUUUGUAAACAAUAUGAACAUGAUUCAUAAAAUUUGAACUUGCUGCAUAAUGAAGUUGUUUAUGUAUGAGGAGAAAACGUAGGAUUAUUAUUAUUAUUAUUAUUUUGGGCAAAAACGUAGGAUUAUUAUAAUUGGAGUCCCCUCAAAAGUUAUUUUUGCUUAGUAAAGUUUGAUUUAAGUAAAUAAAAUUCCUUUAAAAAAAUGCUUUGAAACCUAAAAAUACUCCAAACAGAGUCUUAUUUAGGCUCACCAACUCCAUUAAUGACCAUAAAUAGAGGUAGCAAGGUAAUUUAGGUAGAAUUAAGAGUUAAUUAAUAAUUAAGGAGUUUCUCAACCUCCAGCAGCUUGAUCGAGUGGAUAUAACUUGUCCAUUUGUACCAAAUAAACCCUUUAUUUUUAUUUUUUUAUUUUAAGUUACUCACCACCUUGUUCCGCGUAUAUAUAUAUAUAUAUAUAUGGGCUAUGAAUAAAACACACACACUUUGUUACAAGAAAAUAAAAGUGAUCAUUGAACAGUGUAGGUAAGAAAAUUUGGAGCCAUCAGAAUUAAUCAUGAAACUGCUGCAUGUAUAAAAGGGUACUGAAAUAUUAAUAUAAAUUCUACAUAACAAGAAAGACGAAGGUAAAAGCACAAGUUACUGGUCUCAUUAUGUUGGCAAAUGGAAACAAAAGCAAAGCUACUGCUGUUCAAAGAUGAAGAAUUAUGGAGAGAAGUCAAGCAAAAGAUUCAAGAUUUCAGUUUUAGAGCUGUUCCAGGAUUCGUCAAUAUCUUUCAUGACUUGCUGACCAGUUUCUUUGAUCAUCGCAAAGGUCUUGGAACUUUGCAUGUACUGAUAAAGGGCAACUUUGGAUGUUCCUAAUGAUGCCUUUAGACUCUUGCUUUGUUCGUGUAAACCGAUUCUUGAAUCCCUCGCAUCUUUCAACUGAUUUUUCAACUCCUCAAUCCUGUGGGCUGCAACUUGUUUUUUCCUUUCAAUCUCUUCAUAAAGUCGAAACCUGUCUGCCAAUUCUUGCUUUAAGGACUCAGCACGUUCUCUUUCCUCGUCUGCCCUCCUAACACUCUCCUGACACUGAGAGUAUAAAAAUGUGCUACUCGAUAACGUCAAUUGUAAAUUUGUUACCAUGUCAAGCAUGUGCUUAGGGACGAAUCCAUGUUUCAGCAACAAAUCCAGAGAGAAGAAAAACUGAUCCCUUUCUGCAUGAUCGAUUAGCUGAUCAAAAUUCAUCAAACAGAACAUGUGCAAGCAACGCUUCGCCUCCAUAAUUUGAUCAGGACUCAAUGUGUGUGUGACUGGUGGCUGCUCUGAAGGCCCUGAAAGAUCUUCAAGAGACUGGUUAAGCAGAGAUUGAAGAUCUUCAAGGAAGGCAUCAUUUUCACCUAAACAGUUUAUCUCCUCUCUCUCUUCCUUAACAUCCCUUUCAUCUAAGAGGUCAAUCAUUAUUACUUUUUGCUCAGGCUUGCUGAUAGUAGGCACAGGUUUAGAAGGUGGAGCUGAUGCUUCAGGGUGCUCAGACUGAAAGACAGAAGUUGAUGGUUGUGAUGAUGGAGCUGAUGCUUCAGGGAGCUCAGACUGAAAGAUAGUAGUUGACGGUUGUGAUGGUGGAGCUAUUGUUACAAGGACAACAAGCUAAAAGCUUACAAUUGUGUGCAAACAACUUGUAUUCAGUUCUGUAAUCAGAAAUAUCUAGAGAAGUUCCAAAAAACAAAGCAUUCAAAUAAACUACCAAGCAAAUUGAAAAGCACUAGUAUAGGUGGACAAACCUGAAAGAUCAGGUAUCAUGUCGCAAGGAAUUGCAUUUCCUUCAGAAGUUCUGACAAGGGAUGAUUCUGGUAAGCCAACCUGUUCUUUUGCUCUCACAGAGUCCUCGAUUGUAGGUUCCACAUGUUCUGCAGCUGCAAUUACUACUGGAACCUCAUUUGAUAACAGUGGUUGUUCAGAUGGAAUGUGAGAAGAAACUCCAUUGCUGUUAGAAGUUCUUCCAAGUGAAGAUUCUUCAGACACAGGUUCCACGUGUGAAACUGCAUUUCCAACCGGAAGCUCAUUUGAUAACUUUGGUUGAAUUGAUGGCAUGUGGAAAGAAAUUCCAUUGCCAUUAGAAAUCAUUCCAGAGGACAAUUCUGGUAAGCCUUCACGGCAUUCUUCUCGAUUUCUUCUUGAAUACACCUUCCAAGCAGAUUCUGCAUACUCUGUGUCAGCAAAUACUAUCGGAACCUCAUGUAAGGACUGCAGCGGCUGCUCUGAUUGCAUCUGAAGUGGUGGCAAACAGUUCAUGUUCUUAGAUAAUGUAGAUGAAAAAUGCAAGUUAAGUUUUUCUUCAUGGCCAGUUUAGGUUAUCCAUAUCUUGCACACAUGCAGAAUGUUUUGCCAUAAUAGUAAACAGAAAUACUCGCAAUGCUUUAGAUAAUUUUCAGGUUUUCAUUUUUCAUUCUUUCUUUCCAAAGUUUCAAUGAUUAUAUUCCAUUGCUGCCUAUUAAUAGAGUGAUAUUUUUUACUCCAAAUUUGUAUGUCAAAAAUCCAUCAAUAAAGAAUUUUCUCUCUUCCAUUCCAUCUUUUCUGCCACAUCAUCAAAAUUUUGUAGAGAAACUACUUUUACUGCAUUCCACUAUUUUGUUCCCAUAAUAUGCAGCAUGCAGAGGUAAACAAACAGUAUCAAAAAACAAGUUGAUCAGUUUAUCAGUGAAAUUAAAAAAUGAUCUUUAGAACAAAUUUCAAAAAUAGGUACAUCCUUGAGCUUUUACCUUAUCUCUCUCCACAGACAUCUCUCCAUUGGACCUCUCCCUUUCCUCACACCAACGAAGCAAAUGAUUGUACUCCACUAUAUCCGUUAAUCCAUCAUACAGAGAUGUGUUCAAUUGAGGUGAUUGUGGUACGCCAACAUUAUGUUCUUUCUCAUUUGUUCCUGUGGAGUCUCGGCCAGCAGGUUUUGCGCCUUGUGCUUCUGCAGUUUCAUCAGCAACUUCUUCCUUGCUAAGUGCUUUUUGGACUGAGCUUGAAUGCAUCUGUCGUUUACAAGCCACUGAGUCGUCAUCCUCAUUUUCUGAACUACAUAAAAGCUCUUCCUCUGAACAUUCCAAGUUUUCAGCAAAAUGAAUGGUUAGAAGUUCACAUAGUUUACGUUUUUCCACCGACUUCCUUCCUAGAAGAGCCUGUAGCUUUGCAUCACAAUAUAUCUCCUUUUUAUCUGGGUGGAAAAGGUUGUUUUCUUUGCAAUAUUCUCUAAUGAUGGUUGCAACCACUUGUUUUGAUAAUUUUCGGGUUGUGUCUUUCCCAAUGGAGACCAGGAACUCCAAGAGAGAUUUCGAUCCCCAUCCAAUGAACUCUUUUCUGCUUGAUUUGAAUUUACUUUUCAUUGCAGAUUGCUUUCUUUUUGGUCUCUUCCUUUUACUGCUCUUCUUUUCUUUCCCUAUGUCAUAUUCAUCUGAAUCGGAAGCAAACUUAUAAUUUUCACCCCUUUUCAACAGGUUAGAUGCUGCAAUGACUUCUUCUGAAGUCAAGCAUUUCUUUUUCUUUAUUAUCCGCCAAUAGUCAUAAAAAAAGAACUCCUUAGUGCUUGGAUCACUGAAGUCAUUCUUGCACUGUAGAGCAAUAAAGAAAACCAUUGCAAAUAAAGAAUAAAAAUAGUAACAUUUACAUAUAAAGAUGAAAGAGAGUAAAAACACCAUCAAAAAAUAAAAUAAAAUAAUGGUAGUCAUAGACUGCAUCUAAAAGAUAUGAUACAUGUGUGACCUUUGGCAGAAAGAAUAAACUAAUUAAUUACCAAAUAAAAUUCUCUGUUUUAUUAUAGAAGUAACAAGCACCGUCUAAAGUCGGAGAGAAUUUGUUUCAAGAUGAAUGCGGACAUAAGCAUCAGAUGAAGUACGACUUUAAAGUUUGCAACAUCAGUAAACCAUGCGUCCCUUUAUCAGGGAUAACAAGCUCAACCUUUAAAGGGUUAAUCACAAGUUAAUCAAUACUAAGCUUUAUAAAUAAAUUAUUUACAAUGCUGAUCCAUAACUCUCCGGUCUAGAACCACAAUAGUAUGAUCCUUCAUCUUCAUCUAGACAUCAUAAUUUUUUUUUUCUUUUCAAGGGAUUAUAGUAAAGAAAGCAUACAUUUCAUUUUUGCAAAAAUGUGUAGAUGGAUGAUGCUGAACAAACUGUCUAAAUGAUUAAGAUAUUUUAUAGUCUAUGUAGCAUCUUAUAGAGUCUAUGUAGCGUCUAAUAGUUUUGUAAGCAAUAAGAAACACUAGAAAGUUGCAAAAGCUUUGCACGGAUGCAUACUAUAUUACCAACUAUGCAUACCUGAUUAGGGUCAACAUCCUUCUUUUCUUCUUUACGCAAUACAAGCUCUAAACACUCAUCGCAGAGGCCUUUAUCCCCUUUAACUACUGCAAACUCAGCUUCAUAGAGGCAGGGUCCACAUAUGGCGGAUGGGCAACAUAGGCAAUAAAAUUUUGGAGCUUUAUCACAUUUGAAGCAAAUAUGCAAAUCUGAAAUUUAAUACUUAAUUCAAUCAAGGGAUACCACACAUUUCUAAAGAAAAAACAAGAAUCAUAGGUAUUAACUGAAAAGGAGAACAAAUCCGUGUUAACUUUUUUGACCGGUAAGCUUCAUACGAAAAGUGUACAAGACCGGUAAGCUUCAUACGAAAAGCGUACAAGGAAUUAUGCGACAUAUUGAACUUGAUAUGCUGAAGAGAAAGAAGACACCACCUAGUCAUCUGUAUUUUUCUUUCCCGCGUAAGAUUGUAACAUAGAUGUAUUUAAUAUAUGCAUUAGUUCGCACAUGUCAGGUGUGCAUGUUAUGAUGUGCAGCAAUGCCACUUCAUGGUGCAUAAUUUUCCACUCUAACCAACUAUGCGGAUGCCAUGUUAUUAGGUUUUGUGGAUUGUGAUAAGUGAUAACAAUGUGAUUCCUAAGUUUCUCUCUUAGGAUAUUCUUAUGUAUGAUAUAGAUGGAAGACGCAUUAUGAGCCCUCAGACGCAUUACUAAAUUAUGUUAUGACACAGUUAAAAAGAAAUAUAAAAUGUUCAAUGAUAAUGACAGAACAAUUCCCAGGGAAAGUUAUCAUCACAAAUAAGAAUUACUCACUGCAAGUCCAUUUUUCAGUAGUCUUCAUUGCAGAAUUAUCUUUAUUUACACAACUGGGAUGAUACGCUUUAAGACAAUCCCUACAGGCAAUGGUUACUACAGUUAGUGGGAUAAACUACAUGCUCUGUUGAGGAUUAGCUCUGAACGAAGAUCAAACAACAAAGCACUGUCAUAUUUAUCAUAAAAUAUGCACGGCCAAGCUUAUGGUAAAGAGAGAGGAAAAAAAUGAAAAUAAUUUGCGAGGCAUAUACAUUAUAAUAACAAUAAUAAGAAUAAGAAUAAGAAUACUACAUUCAACCUCCAAACAAAUAUGUUAAUUCAGUUCGAGCAAAAAAAUCUGAAUUUUUUCAUUCUGAUAUUAAAUGCUUAUUACAAUCUUUGUAAACACUUACUUAUGGUCACAGAUCAUGAGGGUUCCUCCAUCUUUGCAAUCAAAACACCAGUCUUCAGCAAUUUCUUCCUUCUUCAACUUCUGUCUUCUUCCCAUCUUCUUCAAAGCUCUUAACUUUAAGCCCAAAAUGCUAAUUUAAGAACAACCCAAAUGCUUCACUUCAAUAUUCUUCUCUUGGAAACCCUACAAAAUCAGGGGACCAUCUAAGAAAAAGCAAAAAGAAACAAACUUCGUACUUUAAAUACGAUGAUUAGUAGUUUUAAACAAAUGAACUGAAAGGACCAAACUUUGGAUUUUAAUGAAAAAAGAAAAAAGUAGAGACUUUGUAAUCAAGCUCAAGACUUUAUAGCAUUGUCGCUCUAAAACUUUCUCUUAGUGUUACACCAUUAUGCAUAUCUUCUCAUAUAUGAAAACAGAAAACAAAAAUGGAAAGCAAAACCCAUUUUAAGGGAAAGCAAAAGAACAUGCAUUUAACGUUUUUUGAGAUGACCCUUUUCAGAGAAGAAGCUAAAACCAAACGCAUAAAGAACAUUUUUCAGACACAAAGCCCAAAAAAAAAAAAAAAUCAAACAAACCUUUGAACUUCACAAAGCUCUGUUUCAGCAAUGGCAGAUGGCGUGUUUGAGAAGUUUUGCAGAGAAAACAAGAAAUGGUUUUGCCCUUUUCAAAGGUAUCAAUUCAAUGUUUGGUCAGAGUAGACAGAGUAGAGUACUGACCGUUCAGCAAAAGCCAAAAACAGAUCAAAAUUCGAAAAAGAGAACAAAAAUAUAAUAUCUUUGACAAUACUACCAAUAGAAAUGGAUUAAUUUGAUUUUUUUAAUCUCAAUUAUUUUUGUAAUAAACAUCUUGAUCAUUAUACUUUUUACGCUAGAAGAAUGCAUAGGACCAUGCAAUAUGAAUGUUAUUAUUAUUUUUUGGGCAGCACAAUCCUUGGUUCCUAAGUUUUUAGAUUUUCUUACUUUCAUUAUCCAUUUGUGAGUAGCAGUAGCUCAAGGCUCAUUAUUUUAGUUGGAUUCAAGUCAUUCUUUUUAUAUUUGUUUGAAAUAUGAUAUUUUUAGGUUGAGCCUCAAUUAUGAUACAUUAAAAUAUGUCAGUAAAUUUUGACAGAUUUUAAUGCACAUAUUUUUUUUAAUCUAAACUUCAAUGAUAAUGUACGGAGACAGAUUCUAACAUACUUAUAAUAGGAUUAAAAAAAAAACUUUGUGACUUUCUUUGUGAUGUACAUUUAAUUAUUUAAAAAAUAUUAGGACAAAUCUAUCCAUUUGUUACAAAUAAAUAUUUAUCCCUGCAGAAAAUGUAUAAGAUAUCAUUCAUGAUAGUCACACUCAUUAUUACUAGAGUUUUCCUAAUUUAUAUUUAAUAUAACUUAUAAUUAUUAAAAAAAAAAGCAACCAUUAUUAUUAUUAUAAAGAUACUUAUUUGAGGUGAGGUGAAGCGAUUCAGGUGAGGGUCCUAUUUCAUAAAACGGAAAAAAAAAAAACAAUGUCUUUAUUUGGCAAGAAUAAAGUAAAAUAUUUAAAAUUAAAAUGUUAUCGCCUUGUUAAUUGUCUGGAUAAAUGGACACAUUUUAUGCAAUUAUUAGUUGGAAUGAUUUUAUGGGUUGAUUAAAUGUUGCUUCUUAUAUAUUUAAUGCAUAAUAAAAGUUAUGGUGCUCCACUAACAAUAAAUGAAUAAAGAACAAUAUUCUUAGAACAUCAAAAAACUCUCUCCUUUAACUAAUACUAACAGGUUAAUUUAUUUAGGGUAAUUACUCAAUAAAUUUUCUCCAACGACCUUUUGUCCUUAUUUUGGCUAUAAACAUUGUAAGUGGUUUCGGCUCAAGUUCCCUUUUCUCUUUGGUACGAACUUAAACCGACUCUAUUACGUAUCAAAUAAAAAUGAUCCAAAAUUCUUUAAUGCUAUAAAAAAUUUGAACUUCAAGACUUUAAAAUAUAGGUGUUAAUUGUCUCCAUUGGCAAAAUUCGCGAGAUUCAAUUCAGAAACACCUGGAUUGAAUUGAAUUAGAUUACACUACUUCUUUAUAUCGAAUUGAAAAAAAAUUAUAUACAAUUCAUAAAAUGGACUGGAUUUAUAUGUGCUAACAGCCCUAUUAUCAAAGUUCAGAGCGUACGUAUAAUGAAAGUUCAAAUGUCAGACUAAUAGUCUAAGUUAAUGGGACAAUAAAGUUCAUCAUAAUUCAUUUAACGAGCCACGUAGCCAAGUAGAUCAAACAAACCUUUGUACGUAUACAAAUUGUUAAAACUUUAAACUUUCAAGAAAUGGAUUUUUGAUUUUUGAAACUCAUGAGGUCGGUUAAUCUCAUGCAGCAGCACUUCAGUAGGAAUUUGCCAUUUGUUGACAAUAAUGGUUCAAGUGUAAAGACAAGGUUCUAUCGGAGGCAAAUAGGGACAUAAAUUUUACAUGGCUGUAGAAUAAAUAAGUAAUGAAACUACUAGGAUAUACGGUGUAUUUGAGAUUGAAGCUGGGCAGGUGUAUUUUAAAAGUUACAUCAUUAAAGUGUUUGGUAAACACUACCUACUAUAAUUUGUAAGCGAUGUCGAUAUAAUUUUUCACUUGUAUAAUAGAAAAUCUAUAAUACAUUUAAUAAUUUUGUCAAAAUUAUUAUAGUUUUUUUCUACAACAACUGUAACUUGAAAAGUAUAACACCUCUGUUGUUGCAAAUUUUGUCCCAACUUAUGAUGUGAAAAUUUCGAUUGAGGACGACCCCCUUAGGACUUGGGUUCCUCUUUAUUGGAUUUUAUGAUAGUGAGUUUAUCCUUUGGACUAAUCUUAAUGGGCUUUUAUAUAUCCUCUUCUGAGUUCACUUCCUUAGGCAAUUAGAAGGUCCUUGUCUAGUGAUAGUCUACAAACACAAGAAAAAGAUUAGAGGGCCGGCUUUACCAGCAAAACCCUCCGACGGUCAAGUUAGUCACCUGACGUUUGGAAAUAUAAAUUUAGAAAGAGAAAGAUUAGAGGAAGAAAGUUAGCAUUUUCUACUUUUUAGUCUUUUUUUUUCUUACCUUUUAGUGAGAAUGAAAGACAUAUUUAUCGGCCAAACUGAUUUGACUUGAAUCCUAAUUAUUUUGAUGACAAAUGUCUUUAUUCUUAUGACAUUUGGCAACAUUUGUCUUUUAGUGCCUAUGUUGAUUGACACAUGAAUAUACAAACUUGUCUACGAAUUAAAAGAAGAAACGUUUUAUCCUUAGGUUAUUUUUACUAAGACCUUGGGAUCAUAUGAGCCUUUCAAACAUAGAAAGUUUGUCCUAUGAUAAAAUAUGAGCCUUUCAAACAUAGAAAGUUUGUCCUAUGAUAAAAACCUAGAACCUCGGCACGUUUUGGGUUUUGAAUCCUUACCACCUAGUUGAUUUAUCCUAAAUAGUCUGUCUUAGGAUAAAAAUCUAUGAUCUUGGUUCCUUUUAGGCUUUGAAGCUUUAUUAAUUAGGAGGAUCAUUUUAAGUGAUUUGUCCACCAUUUUGUGGGCUUAAUUGAAAGAAAAUUUAUUAUAUGGGUCUUAUUGAGAUUAAAUUUAUUUGGGUCUUAUUAGGUCUAUUUUAUUUUUAGUCCAACAGUUGCCCUCCCUGUCUAAAAUUUUUAAAAUAAAAAAUUUAGACUUUCUUUUUAGUUUUUUAAUAUCUUUAAGAGGAUUUUCUCCAAGAAUUUCAUCCUUAGGAAAAUUUUAUCGUAAGAUGAUUUUCCUUAAAUUUUAUCCUUAGGAGGAUUUCAUCCUAUGAUGAUUUUCUUUAAGGAAAAUUUCCUUAGAUUUCAUCCUUAAGAGGAAUUUUCCUUAAAUUCUAUCCUUAGGAUGAUUUUCUUUAAGGAAAUUUUUCUUAGAUUUCAUCAUUAGGAGGAAUUUUCCUUAAAUUAUAUCCUUAUGAGGAUUUUAUUCUAGGAUGAUUUUCUUUAAAGAAAUUUUUCUUAAAUUUUAUCCUUAGAAGGAUUUGAUCCUAAGAUGAUUUUUCUAAGGAAUUUUUCCUUAAAUUUCAUCCUUAGGAGGAUUUUUCCAAGGAUUUUUAUUCUUGAUUUCCAUCCUUAACAAGAAUUAUUUCAUUUCCUUAGGAUUUUUUAAUUUUUUUAUUUCAUUUCCAUCCUAGGGUCAUUCCUUCCAUCUUUGGAUAAUUUUAAUUCCAUCCUACAAUGAUAAUUUUAUUUCCAUCCUAGGAUGAUUUUUGGAGAUUUAAACUAUCUUAGGAGGAUUUGAUUCCUUUUUAAGAAUAUUUGAUUCCUAUCAUUAGUUGUCUUAAUUGCAAAUCCUCUUUAAUUGGCUAAGGUCCUCUUCCUCUCAUAUGUAAUGCCUCAUUUCCCAUUAUCCUAUCUCAUGCAAUAGUUUACAAGAUAAAAGAGAAGAGGUUAGAGAGAAAAGUUCUCAAGGUGCCCGACAGUGGUGUUCAUAGUGGCUGGCAACGAAUUUUCGGCGGCCUUUUGUCGACUCUCUGGUGAUUUUCUUGCGACUUUCCGACGACUUUCUAUGAGUAUUUAUUUAUUUAUUACUUUUAUUAUUUAUUGCUAUCCUUAGGAGAGUAAUCAUAGUCAUUUUCACUUUGUAGGUUUUUCUUAGUUCAACAAGACCUAGUAUCAAAAUGACUAAAAAUAUUGUGGUGGAUGCUAUUCCCUUUACUACCAUUCACGCUACUACGAGUGAUGUAGGUAGUUGUGAGUUAAAGAGGAGAUAGACGAGGAUAGCAGUGGAUAUGUAGAUGACAUUAUAAAAAGAAAGGAGGUGAUUAACUUAGAAAAUUCUGAGGAUGAGGAUGAGCCUGUAGUUGAGGAUACCUAUCCAUGGCAGAUGAAGACGAUUAAAUAUAGAUUAGGUGAAAUGUCCUUUGAGAUAUUAAUGAUUAGAUAUAGCAUUCCUAGAUCAAUAACACUUCGUCUCAUGUUGUUGGUAAUAAGAGUAAAGCAAUUGUUGUUCAUUAAAACUAAAUCGUCAUAAAGAAUUGCAUUCUUCCAUAUCAGCUAGAUCAUCAUAAGUAGUUGUGUUAAAUUGACAUUCAUCUUCAGAACUUCUGUUAGGAGGAAAUUCUGGUAUGUCAACAUUAUGUUCUUGGUCAUUCAUUCCUGCAGAGUGUUUACCAGCAGAUUUUGCACCUUGUGCUUCUGAAAUUUCAUAAGCAACAAAUUCAUUAAUGCUGUGAAUUACGAAGCAAAAUGUUGAGCCAAAUGUUGUGUAGAUAUAAUGUUUAUACAUUUUUUGUCACAGUAGGAUUAAUGUAGCCUUUUGUUUUAAUUAUUCAUGCAAAAUACUUUAUGUCUUUGAGUUAGAAAACAUAAAUUUAACUAUUCAUAUUUGUAAAUUACGGACUAAAUUUCAGAUAGGGCCAUAGGGGUGGAUAUGGGAUGAAUUGUACAGAAUUGGUGAAAAUCCAACUCACUAUUGAAUGGGCUGAAAUAAAAUCAACCCAACCUAGGUCUUUAGGAUUUUAUAAUCGAGGAUUAAUAUAUCAUCGUCGUCGUCGUCGUCGUCAUCAUCAUUAUUAUUAUUAUUAUUAUUAUUAUUAUUUAUGUGGGUUAGGUUACGUCGGAUUAUAUGGAUUCAUUAUAAUUAACUCAAUCCAAUUAUUAAUUAGAUAAAAAUUGACUCAAUUAACCAAUAAUAAUCCACUCAACCGAUCAAAAUUAGAUUAAAUUGAACCGGGUCAAUUGAGUUGAAUUGGGUUUAUCCACCCCUAACAUAAAUAUAAAUGAGAUGAUCCUCAUCAAGAUUCCAAUAACUUUAUGAUCCUCAUCAAGAUUCCAAUAACAUUAGGUCUCCAAUCUUUUACAAUUUAUUAAAAAAACGAAUAUGUAGCUUGCUGAUUGCAUGCAUGCGCCCCAUUCAGUUGCUUCUGCUUCUGCAAACAGAACAUCGCCCUUAAAAGUGGCAGUUUUAAUGGAUGAAACUGUGCCUUUUCUUGUGGAGUCUCUGAUUAUGGCCCCUAAUCCAAAGCAAUUUCUCUUCGCAUUAGUAGCUGCAUCAACAUUAAUUUUUAGCCAGUGGGGGUUAAAAAUUAAUACUUGUGGAAACUUAUUCUCAAGCAAUAGCAUAUUUGAUUAACAACAAUAGGGGCAACAUGACAGAGAUACAUUGAAUCAUUUUAGAUAUUCAAACUUUAAAGAAGCAGUUUAGUUGUCUUGUGGCAAAAUAUAUACCUAGGUCUUGUAGUACUUGUGCUCACUCUUUAGUGAAAGUAGCUCCAGCCUUUAGGUAAGGCUGAUUCUUUUGUUUGAAAGAGAAAUUUCCCUUAAGAGAUUAAGCAUGUUUUCUACCUUUCUAUGAAUUAAUGAAAGCUCUACUUUCCUCUAAAAAAAAAAAAAAUGUAGCCUGUUAAUGGAAAGUUCGCGGGCAACGAAGGACAUUUUUAGUGCAUUCAAUAAUUAUUUAAUUAUUGAUUUAACAUAAUAUAACAUAUCGAAUGUAUAUUAACGAUUUAAAUUUUAACCAAAAGGACUAUCUAAACAAAUAAUUUAUUUUACUUAACAAUUAUAUAAUUAUUAAAUUCAAUAAUUUCAAAACAAAGUUUAUUAAAGUGACUUUUAUACCACAGAAAAUGGAAUUUAACAAAUACUUCCAAAACCCAUCACGCCUUAAUUUAAAUUUUUUUCCUCAAAAACUUAAGUGAAGACAAAUUUUCUCCCAAGAGUGGAGUUGACGUCCCUUAAACCAAAAGUGGAGUUGACGAUCCUUGAAUAUUUAAGAGAAUUAAAAUCUGAGUGGUGCGACUGGAAUUAACGUCCCUUAAACCAAGAGUGGAGUUGACAUCCCUUGAAUAUUUUGGAGGGUUAAAAUCUGAGCGAUACCAUAUAAGAUUUGAUGUAAACUGGUCUCAGUAAAUAUAUGAUUGUAAAUAUCAUGAACAAAAGUCUCCUAAAAAAAGGUAAAAUUUAAUUGAAUGUGACUUUUAUUUUUCAAAUGGAAGGUGAAAUAACUGUUUGGUUUUACUUCUGAUAAUGGAUGUUUUCAUUUUUGCAAAAUGAAAAAUGAAGAAAACUUAUUAAAAGGUACUAUUAAAUGUGCUAUUAAAUAUAAGAAAUAAAAUAUAUUAAUUUUCUAGAAAUAAAAUUCACAAUAUAAUUUAGAAACCAAUAAUAAAAGAAUAAAUGAUAAGGGGUUAAAAAGUUUUUGAAGCCAAGGUCUAGUUCUGCAAGUAAAAAAUGGCCUUUCUUAGACUUUGGUCCUAGAUUUGAGCUUCAAUGUCUGUGAAUUAAUAAUAAUGGAAAAAAAAGAAUAAAAGAUAAGGAAUAAUCUCUAUAAAAUGAAAAGGAGAAAAUGAAAGAAAAAGAGGAGGAAUAAUCUAUUAAUAGGGAUGGCAAAAUCCGGAUCUAGAAGUAGGUGUAUUUGGAUCUAGAUUCGCAUCUGCAUUUUUGGAUCUACAAAAAAUAUAUAUAUAUAUGCGGAUCCAAAUUCGGGUAAUAUAUGUGUGGAUUGCUGGCGAAUUUUUUUGAAUAUUCUAAUCCACAUAAUGCUAAAUUCAAAAUUUCAAAUAUAAUUUAAAAUUCAACAAAUUUACCUAAUAAAAUUAAAUAAAAUCUAAUCUUAAUUCAACAAUCAACAAUUCAGUACCUAGAAUAAUAUUGAACAACACUAUUUAUCCACAAAUAUAAUACCACAACAUAAAUAAAAUAUCAAAAAUAACAUAAAUCCAAAUCUAACACGAUCACAUAUCAACAAAUAAAUUUAUAAAAACACCACAAAUCCACAUAAAAUAAUAUAGAUCCUAAUAUAUUUUUAAUUUAAUCUAAUUUAUAUAUUUUCUAAUCAAUCUUAUUAUUUUUUUCAUUUAACUUAUAUAUUUUUAUUUAAUAAAUAAUUUAAUUUAAAAAUAAUUCAAAUUUGAAUAUCUGCUUUUUCAGAUAUAUUUGCAUCCAAAUCUAAAUUUAAACUUGUAUAAAUUUUAAUUUUUAGCAUCCGAAUCUAUAUUUUUUAACGUACAUAUUCGAAUUUUUUCUGAAUUUGGAUAUUUUGGAUCUUUGUCAAUUCGAAUCGGACCCCAAUUUUUUUUUUUGCCAAACUUGCUGUCAAAAAACUAGAGAUGGCAAAAUAACCAGGACCCGGUCCGGAUCCGGACGAACCCGGAUAAUCCGGGCCGGGUUGAACCCGUACCGGAAUAUAAAAAAAUCCGGGUCCGGAAUAAAUUUUAAUAACCCGGAUAUAUUCGGGUCUGGGUUUAGGUUAACCCGGACCCGGAUAUCUAAUUUUAAUAUUAUUUUUUAAUUAAUUUUAUUGAUUAAUCUAGAUGUGUUAUUGCUUGGAAAUGUAUUAAUUUUUUAUUUUUAGAAUUUUAGAAAUUGAUAUUGAUUCAUUAAUCCAGGUUCAAAACCCGAAAUCCGAAAACCCGAAUUUUUUCGGGUUGAACCCGGACCCAGACCCAGGUGAAAAAAUCCAAGUUAAAAUCCGGGUCCGAGAAAAGAAAAUGGUAUCCGGAUCCGGAUCCGAAAAGGCCAAACCCAGACCGGGACCCGAAUUUUGCCAUCCCUACAAAAAACUAACCAAAUAUUAUAAGAGUACGAUUUUGCCCUUGAAUUACAAAAUCUCUCGUUUUGCUCCCAGCCGGCCGGAGCAAAAUAUAAUAUGCUUUCAAAAAAAAAAAAAAAUUGUCUCGAUUUGUGUUCCCCAAAAGGAAGAAGCCCUAACACUCACCAAUUUUUGCUCGCUCAUUUUCUCACAUUGUUUGCAAUUUUUCAAUUGGACAAAAGCUUUACAGCGCAAAAAAUCUCAAUUAAAUCUUUAGAAGACAAAAAAUCAAGAUUAGAACUCUAAAUUGCCGGCACUUUGGUAUGUACUCAUUAUGUUUAAUGUUCCUUGUUCCCUUUUCAUAUCUCGUUUAGAUUCGAAUAUUGUUGUGGGUUUCUGCGGUUUUGUUGAAUUAUUGACCUUCUUAAUGGUUUUAGAAAAUCUUUUGUUGCAUGCAAAGUGCUUGCUGAAAUGCUCGUGAUACAUUUCCUUUUUUUUUUUUUUUCAAAUGAUAUAGGGAAUUACGUUUUAUGAGAAUAUGAUUAUGUAGUGUGAUUGUCCAUGUACAUGAUGUCAAAAUUUUGUUUAUUUUUAACAAGUAAUGCUACUUAUGCAAAGUUGAAAUACAAACUUUGUGCAAUUGUGUUGGUAUUGUUUGUUUUUCAACUGAUUUAGAAAAUGAAGUGGGUACUUUCGUUCAUAGGUGAAUUUAAUCGCACAUUACCAAUGGGGUAACGAAAUGCAUAAUUGUUAUUGAUAGUUGCUGUACCAACUUUGCGAUUAAAGUGUUGUUGUUUCAAUGUUUUGCCAUAGCAUAUCGGGGAACAGAGUAUAUAGUAGUGAUGGUUUUGAUAUGUGGGCAUUUUGCUUGCUUUAAGCCUAAAUAUGCUAGAACCUAAAUGUAUUUUUUGUAUUGUCUCAGCGUAAUGGAUCUGGUUCGGUUUCCGGUUGUGUUUGAUGGGGAAUGGGUUAACGUGGACGGUAAAUAUAAGUUCAAUGGCCGUGAAUGUAAAGGAGUUAUGCUGCCCCCUUCAACCACUUAUACAGAGUUGUUGAAAACUGUGGCUCGAACUAUCAAUGCCAAUCUAUCAGAUUCCAAAAUCACCAUGAAGUUUGCAUGGAACUCACCAGAACCAUUGCCACCCACAGAAAUAACGGGGGAUGAAGAUGUGCAAUUUUUCAUGGCUGAAAAUCGUGUAGCAAGAACUCCGUUAUAUGUUACUUCUGAAUCUAGGUCUGGCUACAGGUUAGGGAAAGACUGUGUUGAUGUGGUACCGGAGCCGAAGUAUAAUCAACAUGAUGUAGGUCCUAGGGAAGAGAUGCCUGCAACUUUUGAUCAUGUAGAGCCAUUAUCUAACGUGGACGUGGAGGGUCUCUCUCCUAAUAACUUACCAAAUGAGAUUGAAGUGCCUCCUGAUGAAGUUCCGGAUACACAGCACACACAACCCAAUAAAUCACCACCGAGUGUUUCCUCUCGAAGCAGCCGCCCGGCACCCUAUAAGGAUAGACUGCCUAGGAUUAGUUUGUUGGCGAGCAGUAAGAAAAUUGUUGUAGAUCCUAAUGCUGUUCGAAAUAUUGUUAAGGUCAAGGAUGACUUUGUAAGUCACAGUGGUCACAAUGAUGGUGUGUACGUAAAAGCAUUGUUCAAAGACAAGGAAGAGUUGCAAAUGAAAAUUGGCAUGCUGGCCUUGCAGAAAAACUUUGAGUAUAGAGUGACGCGCUCCUCAAAGGACAUUUUGGUUCUCAAAUGUGUUGCUAAAGAUUGCAAAUGGCGUCUACGUGCUGCAAAGUUGAAAGGUUCUGAUUUUUUCCAGGUGAGGAAGUAUUAUCCUGUGCACAAUUGCUCUCUGGAUAUUAGUCAACGAAAUCACCGACAAGCAAGUUCGAAGCUAAUUAGCAAGUUUAUUAAGUCUAAGUGUGAUGGUGUUGCACGGUCUUACAAACCUGGUAGCAUAAGGGAAGAUAUCCUAAAGCAAUUUGGUGUUAACAUAAGUUAUGACAAGGCUUGGAGGGCCAGAGAAUAUGCACUGCUCUCUGUAAAGGGUUCGCUUGAGGAAUCUUUCUCUUUACUUUCAGCAUAUUGUGAAAUGCUUGAAAAGAAAAAUCCAGGCACCAUUACACAUAUAGAGACUGAUUUAGAAAACCACUUCCAGUCUUUCUUUAUGGCACUUGGUAGUUCAAUCCGUGGGUUUAGAUCUUCAAUCAGACCAGUAAUUGCUGUGGAUAGGGCAUUCCUCAAAUGUAAAUACCAAGGCAUCAUGUUUCUUGCUACUUGCAAAGAUGGAAAUGAUCAAACAUAUCCUUUAGCAUUUGGUAUUGGUGACUCAGAAAGUGAUUCAUUGUGGGAUUGGUUUUUGACUAAGCUUAGAGAUUUAAUGGGUGAAGUUGAUGAUCUUGUAUUCAUAUCUGAUGAUAAUGUAAGCAUAAGGAAAGGUAUAACAAAUAUUUUCCCACAUGCAAAUCAUGGUGCAUGUGUAUAUCAUAUCGGACAGAACCUUAAGGCUAAAUUCAAAGAUGUUAAUGUGCACGAACUUUUCUUCAAAGCAGCUUCCUUAUAUCGUCAAUCAGAGUUCAAUGAUUUCAUGGCUGAAAUUCGUAAAGUUGAUCAAAGAGCUGAUCAGUAUCUUGUUGAAAUUGGAUAUGAGAAUUGGGCACGUGCAUAUUCUGAUGGGCGACGGUAUAAUAUUAUGACUAUUAAUACAGCUGAGUGCAUGAAUGCUAUUGUAAAGGAUGCCCGAGAGCUUCCCAUCACAAAACUAGUUGAUCAUAUUAGGGAGCUGUUGCAAGUGUGGUUUUGGGAACGUCGGAAUGAAGCUGUGAAUAUGAAUAGUCAAUUGACAAAUUGGGCUGAAGGCGAACUCCAACAAAGGCACGAUAAGUCUCUUUCAUAUCAGGUCUUAGAGUCUGACCUGAACGAAUUCAUUGUCAAAGAUGGGUUUGUGGAGGACAAGGUUAACUUACAUGACAGAACAUGCAGUUGUCAAGAGUUUCAGCUUGAGCAGCUGCCAUGCGAGCAUGUCCUUGCCGUUUGCAGAAUUCAUAACAUUUCCUGUUACACUUUAUGUUCAUCUUUCUACAGUUCUGAGGCUUUGGUGGCCGCAUAUGCAGAGCCUAUUUACCCUGUUGGCGCACCAGAAGAAUGGGAUGUUUCAGAGGAAGUCAGAAACCAUAUUGUCCUACCACCAGCUAAGCAUCGGACAUGUGAGCAUUCUACAAAUAAACGAAAACAGUUGCAGAGGGAAGAUAAAAUGGUGCGUAAAUGUGGGAAGUGUGGCAGUCUAGGUCACAACCGUCAAACAUGUAAGGCAGCAGAAGCGGUCAUUCCCAGCUCCAGCAGUUGCUGAAGACCAAUGCUGUAUCUGAUGUAAAAAAGAAUCAAAUUUUCUGAGUUUUUUUGUAUAUUUUGUCUUUAAUAUUUGACUCAUCAUAUUGAUGCUUCAUUUCUUUCUGUAGGCAUUCGAACACUAAUUUGUAGGGGGGAAAAAAAUGAAGUAUCCUCUAAUUUUCUCUAACAAAUUUUACACUUUAGAAUUGGUUGGUGCCGCAAUCUAUUCAGUUUUGCCUUUCAUGCUUUUCGCCAAUGGCAAGUUUCAUUGCCAAUGUUAGUCUAAGGUUUUACUUAGUCCCGAACCAAGUUAUGCUGAAAGGAGUUAUGUUCUACUGUCCAGAUUAAUAGUCUCCAGUUAAUCAUUAUGCAAUUUGAUUUUGUUUUUUGCUCAGAAUUAUAAUGUCUUGUGGAAACGGGUUUUUUUUAAACCUAAAUGCAGUGUUGCUGUUAAUAGAAAAAAUCUAAAAUGUACAGCGACCAAGAAAAUUUCUAAAGUGCACAAACGUCCGUCUGGUUUGCUAUAUUCACAUGUCCCUACAAGUUGGGAGUAACGACAGAUUACUAACUUGAUCUAACGGUAAUCCAAUCCCCUGAGGAAAAGUCAGUCUCUGGCUCCAGUCGUCUUACCACUCUGUAUCUGUUGCCACAAUGCCUAGUUGAGAAUGGAUUUCUGCAUUAAAACUCAUCCUCAUCCGGAGAAUUUGAUUCAUCAGAAUCGCAUUCGUCUUUAAAAUCUAAGAUGCUUGAUGGUGAGCAUGCUCAUUCCUCUGUUGAAUUUUUCUUUGCAUUCCCUGAAAUAAAUGUAUGGUUGAGUAACUCCUCUGCUGACCACCUCUUCUCUGGCUUCCUCUCCAGGCAUUUAGCCAAGAAAUCGAGUACCUUCUUGAAGAACUGAGUAGGAAAAUGAGGCUUCUCAUUGCUACAUGCAAUCUUUAGAAGAGUCGCAGCUCCAUUAGAAAUUCCAGUGGCCAUUUCAAUUACCAUGCAUCCCAAGGACCAAAUAGCUGUAGCAAAAUCCAAUCCUUCAUUUCUCAGGACCUCAGGAGCCAUCCACAAUGGAGUCCCCCCAAUAGAUUGCCAAGACUGCUUCAAGUUUCCGUUGUUUUUCAAGUCGUUUACCCUCCUUGCACAUCCAAGAUCAGGCAAUUUAACGUCCUCAUGUGAUCCCAGGAGCACGUUAUUGCAUUUAAGAUCACAAUGCAAAAUCCCAUUACCAUGAAGAAUCUCUUUCGUAUACAACCGAAUGACCCCUGCAUCUAAUGUUCCUCUAAACUUCUCUGCCACAUCUAAUAAGCUUCCUCCGGCCAUGUACUCCAUGAAUAUAUUAACAGUUUUUUCACCAUUUCUUCCCUAAGUGAAAUCUAUCCCUAGACACUGCACAAUGUUUGGUGAAUUAAGACUUUGACGGAUUUCAGCCUCAUUCCUUAAAGCUUGAACUCCAGCUUCGGACUCUGCAGAUUUUACAACGAAAAGUGCACCCGUGCCCUUGUUCAUUGCCUAACAAACAGUAGCAAAUGAUCCUGAACCAACCACUUUUCCCUCCACCCAGUCCCCGCAUUGAGAACACGAAUGUUGAUGAUUUGCAGCCAUUAUGCUCUCUUUUUUCAUCUAUGGAGAAAGACAGUACGAUAAAAGUCCUCGGUGAUCAGCAACGAAUCAGGUACAAAACCCAAUUCAGAGGACACUUUUGAUCCCUUUGAAUGCAUGUACCUCACAAAAACUCUCUGCCUUUCAAAACCACCACCAACAACAACAGCCUUAAUACUAUGUCUAUAAAAUGAAAUGUAAUGCACUGCGACGAGCGGUUUCCUGAGGAGCAGAAAACCGCCCUUACAGGCACAAUUUCUAUCUCACCAAGCAGUUACUAGUAUUAUUAUUAUGACUUCUUCCAAAGCGCAAGGAAUAUUUGAGGAAAAUUGAAUUUAUAUGCUUAUGAAGUUCAAUGAAACGCAAAUGGUUUGUUGUCCUAGCUUUUUUGGUACAGUUUGAAUUUUGACUGAUUAAGAGGCCUAAACAUAAGGACUAUUGUUCCUUCUGGAGAAUAGUGCUUUUCUAAGAAUCACACUUAUAUAUAAUAGGUUCCUGGUUUUGUAUUUUUAUUUAUUCUGAAACUGAGAGUUGGGUAUUACACUUGACAUCAAUAAGGAGAAUUUUCCGGAGCCAUCAGUUUUAUUUCUGAAGGCAAACAUUUGAUGGCAAUGGAUGAUUCAAAGGCCAAUUGCAGCAUUAAAGCAUGCCUUGAUACUCUUCUUCCUUGAAAGCUGUGGUUUAGACAGUACUUUCUUCGCGAGUUAUUUUGGCCAUAAAAUGAGUUAGCAAUAGUCUUUGGUUUAUAAAGCUGGACGUGACGCCAAUCAAUCACUGCUACGUGUUGGUGUAUUAUUAGUGUGACCGUUAUGUAAUGUCCAUUAGUAAAUGAGAUAUCUUAAUUUUGUAAAAAUAGCAUCACUCACAAAACUGGAAGUACCAUUGGGAAAUUUUAAGUACAAGAUAUCAGAUAAAUACAACUACAAUAACAUUCAAAAUGGCUUUAGUUUACCAUAUACAAAGCUCCAAAAGCACCAACGUUCUCUUAUAUUUCUAUGAUAAUCUCCUCCCUUACCCUAUACAAAAAUCAAGUAAUGUAAAAAGUUAUAAAACAAUCAAUUUAUAUAAACAUUCUCCUGCAAGUGUGAUCAAAUAAAGACUGCAAAAGACUUUUGGCUCCUUGUUCUUCUGGCAGUUUCAGAAGCCUUGCAACUUUGGAGAACCCAGCAUGAUACCUAAGCAGAGAUUCGUCAGUUACUUCGGGUUUCGUCCAUUUUUCCAAAGUUUUGGGUUUCGGCCUUGUUAAAGCCCAUUGCAUGGCCCAUAUGGCCAAAGGCCUCAUGUAGCACAGUGAUCUGUAUUGGUCAUCGGUGUUCCAAGCUUCUGGAGUUUGAAAAGCAUAACUGUGAAGAAAACAUCAAUUUGUUAGUGAUUGAAGAACAGUAAAUCUUGAGCAGAUUAUUGUAGUUCUGUAGAAACUGUACAGACUUCCUAUUACUAUAAUAUUCAUAAAAUUUUCCAAAACUGAGUAAUUUAACAAUAGGGUCAGUUGUAAUUAUCUUAAAUUUUAAUAACUAGAGUACGAUGCUUUAUGAGUCCAUGAUGCUCUGAAAGAAAGCACUAGGAAAAAAAUGAGGUGCAAGCAAACAUUAAAUAAGAUUAUCUAAGAAUGUUAACACUAGCCUGCUUAUGCUUCAUUGGCAGCACUGCAUUUCGAACGAAAAGCUAACUUACCCAAGUCCAGUUCCAGACCAUGCAGCUUCAUAGAUUCCACAGGCAGUUUGAAAUCCUAUGUCUGCCAAAUCUUCAUGAAUCAUAGAUGCAGCAACUGCAUAUGUGACGCCGGACCAUAUUUCUCUUGACUGCAUUGAUGACAUGUCAACUCUUCCAUCAGGUAGCAUCCCAUUAACUGCCCCCCGCUUCCCACCCAUCACCUUUAAGACAUUGUAAUUAUAAACCUUUUCCAAUGCACUUCUUGCUUUGUCUUCAUCAACAAUCGGCAAAAGACCACAUGCUCGGGCAUACCUACAAUAGAUCAACAAAGUACAUUCCACUUUCAGAAGAAAAAUAUACUUACAAUAACCAAAGCAUUUUUUGUAUUCAUAUUUUUUCUAAAAGAUUAUGAAGCAUAUUUUUAUCCGAAAAGAUAAAUGAAGCUAACAUUUAGUUCAACACACCAUUGUCCAGCCAAUUGAUCAGCUUGAAUAGACGAACUUUGACUGCUACCACUGUUGUCAUAAUUGAAGUAGGAACCAUUCCACAAUUUCUCGUAUACAACUUUUGCUUUCUGAAAUUUGAACCAAAAAUAAUCCUCAGAGCCCCUGUCACCUACUUCACGAGCCAGAGCUGAUGCAGCUUGUAAAGCUGCAACCCAUAGCCCUCCACUGUAAGCACUUAUACCGGACACUGACCAUGUAUCAUAUGUUUGAUCAGGAAAACCAUCAUUCUCAAUCAUACCAUCACCAUCCCUAUCAAAUUGGUCCAUAUAAGCCAUUGCAACGUAAACUGAGGGCCAAACAGCUUUUGCAAACUUCUUGUCUCCUGUGGCAACGACAUCCCUGUACACUUGUAGAACAAAUUUCGGAUUCAAGUCUUUCCACCUGGCAGUGUCAUAAAGGCAGUAGGCAUUUACUUCAAACCAUGGGUCACAAAUUCCAAUAUCAUGAGGAACAGCUCCAAGAACCUUUCUUGAGACCCACUGCCCGUCGUCUAGAAGCUUCAUCUUACUGGGGUCAUGCAUCAUUACAGCUGCUGCAAAGUCUCUUUGGAUACUGAGUUGAAUUUUAGGAAAUAACAUGAUCAGUGCAAAAGAAGAGUAGAAAUGAACAUCAUAGGUGUUCCACAUUAGAUAUUCAAUUCCUUCAAGAUAAAGGAAUUGACCAAUGUUUUCUUCUCCAUCUUGAAGCAAAUUAGUUCCAAAAGCAGAAUUGAGUGCAACUGGUGUGUAUAUUUGCUCGAGUAUUGAACUCAUCCUCUCAAGAAUGUUGACAGCAGUAUCAUUUUGAUUCGGUACGUCAACAAUUCUCUUCAAAUCUGAUUGUGACCAAUCAAGGGAAAACUUUCUAUGGCCAAUAGUUACUAAACUAUGGACAGGAGGUGAUCCAUCUGCUAGACAAAUAAAAGGUUAACUCAUGUCCAUCAAGUAAUCAAAUUUCAGAAGAGUAGACUGUACACUGUACAUACCAGUCCAAACUGAGCCUCCAGCAUUUAGAUAAUAGAGCUCAUUAAAGAGAGUGAUGGGAUACCUGCAAAAGAAUCUUCGGAAAAACUUUAGAAUCUUAAUAUAUGAGAAAUCAGAUAAAAGACAUUGGCAAACGCAUCUCAGCUCACCACUCAGGAAGCCUCUUGUCUUCAAGAAUAGGUCUUUGCCAUGCUUCUAUCUGUAACUCCCAACUACCAUGCUCUUUGUUUAAGAAAAAAAUGAGUCGGUAAAAAUAUAACUGAGAGGGUCUUAUAAGUUAAAAGUAGUGACAAGUACACAUUUAAGAUUUGAAAGAAAAUAAUUGGACAAUGAUAAUUGAAACAUACCAAGAAUAGCAUCACGGGCAAUAUUUGCAGCUGCAUUCUGAUGAGUACCAUAGAAUUUUGUGUAACGCCUGAUGAUGAAAGCCUUUCAGCAUACAGACAAAUUUUGGUAUCUGAUUUUUCUCAUGCAAUCUCCAGCUUACCUGUAAUAUGUCUUUCCACUCAUAAAGUUCGCCUCAGGGCAGUCCCAUGCCAAUGAAAAUGUAACUUGGCCCUCUGAAUCUGGGGGAACGGUCACAGAAGCUGCAAUGGCUGCCCCUAUGGAUGAUCCCAGUUCUGAAGUUACCGAUGUUUCCAUAGAAUUAAGGCGAUCAAAGGAUCCAUGCUAUUACAAUAUAAGAAUAGAUAUUAUUCUCUGUAGUAAUAUGAUAAAAGAGGCAUGGAGAGCAUAAGAUAAAUAAUCUGAUGCAAUCAAUUCCCUGCUGAAUUCCGAGGUAUAGAAAGACUUUCUUUGAAAGAAUGAACCAAGAGAGAAAUUGCCAACAACAGAAAAUGUAGCCCAUACAAAUUCUACGUAACCUGAACAUAGUAGUCACUAACGGGUGAACACUAUUUCAGCGAUAAUUUAAUUGCAAUGCACAUCUUGUAAAUCCAAAUCCGAUGAUCAUCCUUCUUAGAAUUUUAUUAACUUAAGCAUAUUGCCUUACCAUUUAACUUUCUACAGAAAAAAAAACUGUGAGGCAAAUGUCUAUAACCUCACCUUUAACAUGAUCUAAAUGUAGGAGACCUCCAUGGUCUGGAAAUAUCAGUAACCCUUCUCCAUUGGGAUGUUUUUAACAAAUUGUGAUGAAAGGUUUUAAAACAAAUCUCAUCAUUCUUCAGGGAGGCAUGUGAUGAAUUUUAAAGCCAGGGUUUCAUAUAUACAGUGCCAGAUAUUGCAGAAACAGAAUAAUUCAUAUGAUGGUCUCUUCUGCUGAAUCCAUAAUUGGGGUAAGUUGCAAAAACAAAUAAUAUCAUGUACUAACCUCUUUUAUUUCGUGCCACAUGUCCUUUGCUGUUAAACCUAGGGAGUUACCAGAUAUCACAAAAUGAGGACACAAUGAGACAUGGACACCAUCAGUCUCCUGUGCUGCAAGUGCAAAAGUCACUGGGGGUAGCUGAUGUGAAGUCCUGUAAUGACGGAUGCAAGAUGUUAUGUUAAGUUGCACAAGAUAUAGCAAAAUGAAAUUUCCUAUCCAAGUCUUCAGUUCUUUUUCCCAUCUAUAUCAUGGAAAGAUACUUGCUUGUGAUGUAAAAGAACAGCAUGCACGCCAUCGUUCAUCCUACAGGGAUUAAGAACUAUUAGUUAGUACAAAACCACGGGCAUGAAAUGUAUGUAUAGAGUAAAAAAAUAAUGACAAAGAUUGUUACUUUGUUUUUGAAUUGUAGUGUUGACCAGUAAAUUCAGAAUCCCCUCCAACAGAAUUCUGAGGCAUACAAAAUUCAGAGGUCAUAUUCUUGUCCAAAAAUCAACAUUGUAUUAUCGAAGAACCCAUGCAAGGAUAAAAGGCACCUACUGUCCACGUAAAAAGCAAGGUGAUGUCUGCAGAAGUCUUUCCUGAGUUAUAUAUCUGAAAGAACAUAAAAACUAGCAGCUUAAUCCCAAAAAACCUUUAUCGAAUGCCCAACAAACAAAUUUCUCAAGGAGCUCUUCCUACCGUGUAGGUAAAAACUGAUACAGGGUAGCUGCUCUCCUUAUAAUUAUGUGGUAUAAUUGGGGAAAUUUGGCGACAAACAAUUCUAAGUUCUGGAUCAGGUUCGCCUGCAUUGACAGAUAAACCUAUCUAUAAUUAUAUGUCCAAUUUUAAGAUGCGAACACUCUCAAUGAUACCUAUAUUUAAAAUCAAAUUACCCUCAUGUACGGUCCAAGCUCUUGGGUAUAAAGCAUGAUAUGUUGACUUAUCUCCCUUCAGAUUCCAAUCCCAAGAUCCAAUCCCUGCAGCUGUUGUAUCUCUGUUUACGUACAUCAUCAAGUAAGCCUUGAUUUUAGUUUUAUUACAUCUUGAUUCUUUUAUGUCAGAUUUCAAAUGAGAGGAAAUAUGAUUGAGAAUAAAUUACUAUGCAGUAGAUUGAUGGCUUACUUCAGCACCUCUGGUGUCUUUGGACACAGCACACUGGAAUAUUUUUGGCCAUUUGAGCGUGAAACAAAAACCUGCAUGUGGUGUUCACAUAAACAAUACAAAAGAAUAAGAUCAUUUCACAAAAAAAAAAGAAAAGAAAAGAAAAAGAAUCAGCAAAAGUAACUGCCUCAACAAUCAUUCAACAAGAUUUGUAUCAAAAGCUAGAGAAAACCACUAAAAUCCAGUAACCAAAAACCUACUCAGUCGGGGAUUGAUCAUCUUUUUCUGAAAAAGGCUAUAAUUUGGGGACAAGUGAACAACACAAACUCCAAAUUGGAGGUGCUGAUCAAGGUUCUUAUUGUUAGUUGAGACUGAUUAUCAAGAUUUUCUUUGAUUAGAUUAAUAAUCACACAUAAACAAGAGAACAGAAGAAAUUAAAAAAUGUGUAAUGCAAAACAAUGUAGUCUCAACAAGCUUUUACUAUCUAGCAAACAGAACUUUUCAUAGUGCAUGUGAAUUUAUUUAGUGGAAAAAAAUAUAUAUUUUUUUUCUUCUCUUCGUGAGAGAUAUACAUAAGACUUACAGAAAAUUGAUUUGCUAAAACUGGUUUAUCUUCACACUCUCUAGGGAAUAUUUGCCAGCGCUGAAAUUCACCUCUAUAACUUCUUCCAAUGCUUCCUGAACUGAAGGUUUCAUUUCCCCCAAAAGAAGACAAAAUAAAAUAAAACAUCAGAGGAGAUGCAAAAUAAUUUAUUCAGGUUCUACAACUGCUUCAAAAUAAACAAGCAACAAGUAGGACCAGACAUUAAGAAUCGAGGGGAAUGUCUCCAAUGGAAAUGUCAUGAGAACGUUAACAAGGCGCUACGCAAUUUGGAAAACAAAAUCUGAAACACUCAGGUGAAUGACUAAGGAGAAAGAGUUACCCAACACCACCAAGGGGAACACCAUGAGAAGAUGUUAGAUGGCGCUUGAUAAAUGGAUCAAUGAAAGCCCGCUGCAAAAGAUAUCAUGAAGACAAACAUGGACCAAGAUUUUAGUAUUUUUAAGUUGUAGACAAUAUUCUUAGAAAUUUUGAAACACCACAGUGAAGUGGAGACUGAAGAUAUUAAAAAAGAGCAUACCUUUCCUUUUGCAGCUUCUUCCCUAAUAAGGCACAAAAUCCGAACACCUAUGGGAGCCUAUCCAACGGAAAAAGGGGAAAAAAAUUGACAGGAAGUCAACAUAACUUUCUAACUUUCAAAUACAAUACGAAGAAUUGGUUUUCAGAAGCUUUUGAUAUCUAAACCUGUAACAUACCAACUGAACCGUUUCCUUCCAAUUCAAUGUAAACUGUGAAAGAGGGAUUUCCUCAGUACUUAAUUUUCUCUGCCAAGUAAGUGAUGCAGGUUUCCCCGGGUCAACCUUAAUACAGGCACAAAGAGAAAAUUAGAUAUGAAGCAUACUUUAAAAAGGCUCAAAGCACCAUCUACAGAAUAAACAAAGAGCUCAAUGAAUCCCAAAAAAGAAACAGCGACAUCAAUUGUCUCAUGAACAAUAUCCCAUAAAGUGGUAAAGAAAACUUCUCUCACUCUCAGCAUCAAAAGAGAGUGUGAGCAUAUGUAUGGUUUUUCUGAUGUAUUCUGUACAAGAACUGUUGCAUAAACGCCAAUUGAAGAAAAACAUUGUCUAACAUACUUAAAUCUUUUGAAUGUUUGAAGAGAAUGUCUUAUUGCAAUUUCAUAGUGCAGAUUGGAAAAUUUAAAAGCUUUUUCAGAAUGCAUCAAGCUUACCUUAUCAAACGAAGAAUUCAACGGUUCCUUCUCUUCUUCAUGAAGGCCAUUCUCCAAAAUCUUUCCUUCAAACAUCCUCUUCCUGUUCAAAAAACAUGGUUAUCAGAUAAUAAAACUUUGCUAAUUAGACAAUACAGUCCUUAAAUGCAAUUCACUUCAUGCAAGAUUGUUUGCCAACAAGUUAGAUAACCAGAAUGCCUUGUAUCCUAUAGCAACCAUUCUGGUGAUGCAAGAUUGCAAGUUCUCUUCUCCAUCUCUCCAUCUUCUUAGCAACCAAACAAGAACUAAAUCCUCAGAAAAACAUGAAUUAAGAAAUUCAAAGAUAAGAUUCCCUCACAUAAUUAUUACACAUCAACAUAGACAAUGGAAGAAUUGGAUGAGUAUAGCAAAGACACAAUGCCACACUGAAAUUCAACUCAAUACAGUAUAACUGAUUGCUAUCUGAUUAAUCAAUUGCUCUGUCAAAUACCAACAGAAGAAGAAACUGAACUAAAAAAUCAUAGACCCCAAUCCAACUAAACAAUGCACAAACAAGUACUACCUUCUAAAGAAAAGAAAAAUUCACAGUUUCCCAGAACUGAUAUCACCAAGAUCACUCAUGUCCAAUCUGCUGAGCACACGUACAUACACACAUAAGUAAAUACAUGCAUGCAUGGACACAUGCAUCUAACCACAUAAUUACAUGUACAAUGCGAAAAUGAUAAAAAGCUUCAAUGUCAGAGUCCUUUACGACCCAUUUGACAAACUCAUUCCAUCAUCUAAAUUCCAAAUAAAGUUCAUCAAAAAAGUCUCUCCACACACAUGUUCAUUCAUUUAUUGAUACACAUACAUAUAUUGAUAUACACCUACAUACACAUAAACCCGUCCAUCCAGCCAACAACAAAUAAAUACAUACACGCAUAGAUCAAUGGAUGCCAUACAUACAACCAUAUAACUACAUGUACAAUGUAUAAAUCAAUCAACAGCUCCAAUGCCAGAUUCAUUCACAACCCAUUUCACUAAUUCAUCAUAUAAUCUGAAUUCCAAAUAAACGUCAUCAAAAAGAUCACUCAACACCUAUUCUCACACACAUACAUAUAUUCAUAUGCCUGCACAUGAAAUCUUGGUGCUGACUAUCAAUCAAAAGAGCCUCAAAGCAAUCAAAGAUCGAUCAAAAAGAGAAAUGGGAUUCACAUUAUUAACUGUAACUGACCUGAGAAAAUUUCGUCAGAAACUGAAAACGUAGAGACCUGUUUUUGUCUUAGUUCAGCAAGUGUAAGAAGCAGAAAGAACUUAUGCAACAACCAAGGAGCCCAAUUUUUGCAAUAAAAUAAGUAAAUUAUGAAUAAUAAUUUCAAAUUAAUUAAAACGGAUUGUUGAUUGGUCAAAAAUAUUGAACCGUUUUUUUUUUGGACUUUAUUUAAAUUAUAGUUGUAAGAGUUUGAUUUUUUUAUUUAAUUUUUUAAUUUUUGGGUUACAGAUAAUUGGAUAUUGUUUCAUAAUUUCCGUACGGGAUUUUAUGCCAUAUAAAUGAAAUUCACACUACAAUAAAUAUUUAGAUUUUCUUUGUCAUAUUCGUAAUAUUUAUAGGAAAAAUUAUAAAUAGUGUUAAUUUAUUGAGGUUAUAUUGUAUAAUUAUAACAUAGUUCCUUUGUUUUGCCUAAUAAAGGAGAAUUUAUUAACUUUAAACUUAUAUCUUUUUUAUUAAAUAAAAAUUAUAUUUAUUUAGAUUUCAACCAAUUUUUAUUUUCACAUAUUAAUAUGAGUUUAGUUUCUAAUAAUGUUAUUCAUUAAAAAAAAAUGAAUAAAGCGCAAUGAUUAACGAAUGUGAGUUCUUUAAUUUUUUUAAAUUGUGAAUUCUUUUCUAUAAACAAUUUUUAUAGUUAAUUCUCAUAUUUUUAUUCUAUUAGUUUCCUCAUAAAAUAAUGUUCUUUCAUUUCCUCAAUCAGAUUAUAUUUCAUAUCGUGAGUCGUGUCCAUAUUGUAUUGAAAUUUUGACAAAAUUUCAACUCCAACAUGACGUACGUGGCUUAUUUAGUUACACAAAUUUUCCAUUUUAAAUCCACUUAAUUGUUUUUUGAUACAAAUUGACCAAAAUUAAUUAUGUAUUUACCUAUUAACAUACAUAUUUUUAAAAUUUAAACACAUAAUCAAAUAUGAAAAUAAUAUUUGGUUUGGUAACGCAGUAGCAGGUAAUUUUGUCAAUAGAGGAGCUUCUAGUUCAUUUAUCUGAUUGGACAAACCACCAAUAUCUAUCUGUAAGAGCUUACUUGAGGAUUCACGAGCUCUCUCCAAAUAUCGUUUUUCACAAUUUUAUAAUUCAUCUCCUUAGCUCUCAUUUUUUUUUUUUCCGCUCAAGAGUACUUCACAUAUUGAUAAAUUUUAUUAGCUUCAAUCAUUUUUAUAAUAAAUUUACACUCUAUAUAUAAUACAUAUAUUUAACUUAAUAGAGUUCAUAUGAAUAAGUUAGUCAUGUAAAUAUAUCAAUUUUAAAUUAUUAUACCCCUUUAAAAUCUAUCAAAAUUUCACUUUUUAAUUAUUAUACCCAUUAGUCAAUUAAAUUUCACAUAAGAAAAUUAAAUUAAAUUAUAAAUACAAAAGAAUUAAAUAAAAUAUAAACGCAUUGAAAUGUAGUUGGAAUAGUCCAUAGAUGGUAUUGAAAAUUACUAGGCUUCCACCAUUCUACGAUUCACCCAAAAUUAGAAAAUUAAAGUAAAAUUUGUAAAUCCUUGUUUUCAUGUAAAAAAUUUAAAUUAUAUAUAUGUUAUGUAGGAUGUUAUUCUAACACUUUAAAAUUUUAUUGUUUUAAGUUUUUGGUAUUUUUUAUUUUAAUCAAAGUUAGUGUCUUAACCUUUUUUUUCUAAUAUAACGACACUUCGAUUAAAAAUUAAACAUAACCUAAUCGCAUUAGGUUGGUCCUAUAUUAAAAAGAUAUUAGUAUUUUUUAUUUUUUAUUUUUUAUUUUUUAUUCUAUCCAUUUCUCUUCUCCAUCAAUAUGCUAAUGCUUCAAUCAAUCAUUGCAGAAAAUUGUUUUGAAAAACUGAGAAUUUAUUUCCGUUUAUUAAAAUUUAAGAAAUAGCUGAAGAGUUAGUAGCAAGUCUUUUUCAUUGUUUACAUUUGUCUGCAGCACGUAUCAUGUAGAAUAUUUCAAUCCGACGGCAAAGGCUUGUCUAUAUUUAGAUAGCGAUGUGAAAAUAUCAAAGUUUUUUGGAAUCUUCUUCUCCAAAAGGUUCUGGUGAAGAUCUUUCUUUUUGUCCCAACUUGAAUCAAUGGCGAUUAAGAAACAAGCAUAUGUAUGAUAGGUCCCUCAAUGGGACACGUUCGUCUUUUAGAUUGGAUAUUUUAGCAUAUUUGAGACCCAAUCUCAUAAUGAGCAGUAUUAGAGAAUCAAACUUUACAUUUGUAGUGGAAAUUUGUUGGUGAAAUAAUUCAGGUAUAUUCAGACGAAAUAUUUAAAAUUUAAAGAUAGUUUCGUCUGAUAAAAGUAUUAUUAAGCUAUAUCUCAUAUUACACUUAUUAGACUUAUGAUCUUUUAAAUCAAAUAUCUCGACAUCUAAACAAAAAAUUUAUUUUGUUUUUGGUCUGCUUUAUGUGACAUUAAUUAUAUGUUAUUUUUCAUCAUGUUGUAUAUAAUGAUAUCUAAUAUUAUAUAUUAUUGAACAAUUUAUGUUACCAAUUAAGUAGCACUGCAGACACAAUUAAUCAUAAAUAAAUGUGAUAACAAUUACCACAUGUUUCGUCAUUUUUAGAGAAUGUUAAAAUAAAUGAAGAAGAAACAUAUGGCAUUAAUAUUCAUGCUACGUCUAUUCUGGUAUCUUCACUGUUAGAAGUUUAACAACACUAAUUUCGAAAUUACAUAUGGCCUGUGUUGGAUGUUGCCUUAUAAAGAAACCCUACGCUAGCCAACGGAGCAAUAUUUCAACCCUGUUUGAUACUGUGCUUCUUAAAAUUAUUAUUUCAAAAGAGUUGGAUUAUUGGCACUCCGUCGUUAAUCUUACAAAAUCCUUUGUUAUAUUACAAUUAUAUUUCCAUUUAUAUGCUCUCUCUUCAAAAUUUAUUUUGCUUGCACAAUAUAAAAUUUUUUAUUAUCAUUAAAAUAAUUCGAAUUUAAGAAGUAAUCUUCUAAACUAAAAUAAUAUUCUUGUAAUAUACAUAGCAACAAAAUCAGGGUACAACAUAGUGGGAAAAUAAAUUAAAUGAAAUUUUAUAUCGUUAGAAAUAAUAUUUUAAAGAUUUUCAAACUAAUUGUUUCACUCAAAUUCUACAAGUAUGAUAAAAUUUCAUUAUACCCAUAAGAUAUUCAUUAUUUUCUAAGUUUUUUUUUUUUUUUACUUUUUUUAGAUAUUUUUCUAAUAACAAAGAAAGUUUAAAGAGAGGAAUACAAUUGUUCAGACUGAAAGAGUGAGAAAGUUAUUAAGAAAUAUAAGAUCUGCAAAUUAAAAAAGUAUUUAUUUAGAAAAAUGAUAUUUUUAUUAUUAAAUGGAGUAUAAUUAAAAAAAAAAAGGGAUUUCAAGAGGAUUUUAGAGGACUGCUAAUAAUCGGACUCAAUUCAAAAUCAUAUUUUACACGUAAUUUUAAUAGUUAUUUUAUAAUUAUAAUUUUCUUAUUUCACCAAAUCGCAACACCUCAAUAUUAAACAAGGCGUUAAGCACAAUUAUCCUUCAACGAUAUUUUCUACACAUGCCUCCAUUUUAAUACUCUUUUGGUGGUGUCAGCAGCAUUUGGGAUAUCAUCCACGUCAAAUUCUCUCACUGCUUUAACAUACCCAUCAGAUUCAUCUCCUAGGCUUUGACACCAAAAUUUCCUUCGACUCUUUGUGUUGUCCCCACGACAAUGAAACUUUAACUUGAGUUACUGUAUUAACUUUUAUCCCUCGGCCAGCUGCUUCAGUUCAUUCAAGGUAGGAUCAGUCUUUAAUAACUUCAUUGAAAGAUACCCACAAGCUCAGCUACCUUUCAGAUAUUCGGAUCAACCUAACUCGGUAGGGGAAAAGUUUAUUGUUGUCCCUACGACAAUGAAACAAUAAACUUUGCUGCAGACAGAAGAAAAGUUUAUUGUCGAUCACCAUUAUUAAUUAUAAGGUAACAAUUAAGCUUCCACUAUUUAAAGAUGUGGCUAACAAGCUUCCACUAUUUGGGUGAAAUUUGCGCACCAUUGAACCUUUUUUUUUUUUUUUUCUACCGAAUUUCGUAAAUUAUAAGAUUUUAAAUUCGAAUAUAUAGGUUGGGGCGGAGUCAGGGUUUAACUUUAGGGGUUGCCGAAAUGUAUAAGAAAAAAGUAUUGUAACAAAAGCAAAGUAAAUGCUAUUCAAAUGUUAAAUUAAGGAAGAUAUAAACUAAUUAUUUUUUAUACCAUCUAAUUUAAUCAUAUAGCAAAAUAAAUACAUUCUGAAAAAGUUUUUGUUGCCGAUUUUCAAAAAAAUUGGAGAUUCAGGAAGAGAUGUUGCUAAAUUUUCUCCACGAUCUUCUCCUUGAUCUUCUCCUUCAUUAGAUCCUACUUGAUUAAUUCCUCCAGCUUUUCUUCCUCGUUUAACAAACUUUCAUUGGACUUUCGGUUAGAAGUAUCAUUGUGACGGAAUAAUUCUAAGGUUUUAUAACUUGGAAAAUGAAUCCUUUUUGUCGGAUGGCUGUACAUUAUUUAUAGAAAACAAAGGUGGUGGUUUCAAAGAAAUUAAAUAAAGUUUAUGUAUUAACAAGAAAGCAAAAUCUAAAUUUGAUCCGUAUAAAUCUUGAAAAUCUCUACCAUAAAGAACCUAUGAGCAAAUCUAUAUCCGAAGAAUCCGCUAUAAAAACAUACAAACAAAUUUAAAUCCCGAAGAAUCUGCUAUAAAUUUGGCAAAUAAUAUUGUAAUUAUGAAAAAAAAAUUGUAAUUUUAUAGAAUAAGAUUUUUUUUCCUUAAUCAGUUACAUUUUUUCAUAGUAAUAAUCAAGUUUAUAAGAAAAUAUAAAUUUUUUUCAUGAAUUAUAAUUUCUCCCCUCUAUUAUAAGUAAAAUAAUUGACUGAUGUGAUAAUUUAGAUAAAAUUACUGCAUCAAUCGUUUGGACUUAAAUGAUUGGUAACCUCUCUAUUUUUAGUUUAUUGAAAUAUAAUCAUAUAAAUCUUUUUUGGUUAGCAUUUGGCGGGAAAGUCUAUUGCUGACAGGACCAAUAAAUCAGUGACACGUGGUAAAGCAAGUCAACAAAGUGAAAUCUACUUGUCUGAUGGCAUGUCAGUAUAGCUCACAAAGGUCAAAAGAUAAGUUUUAUGAGAAAAAAGACAAUUUCGAUAAAUAUGUCUAACAUUAAAGGGUAUUAUUAAAACCUAAAUUUUAUUGGUUAGAGCCAACACGUGAGCAGUGCAUGUGAUCAUGAGAAAAAACAAAAUAUCUUCUUUUUGGCUAAGGAUGGGGACCGCGUUAGUUAUCUUUUACUGUUCUUUGAAAAACAAUAGGAUCCCACUACCUUACAAUCAAUGUAUGAUAUAUUCCUCACAUGAACAGUGAGUGGGUCCCACUCAUACACUGUUUAUGAAUGAGGGAUGUACCAUACAUUGAUUGUAAGGUAGUGUUUGCCAAAACAAUAGGACAAUAGGGUUGGGCAGCUAUUACGUGCCCAGCUGUGGUGGCAAAAAGGUGGUUAGAGGUUUCAUUGCCUCUCAAGCUCAUGAGUCUCACUAUCAAGGAACCACAAACAAAAUUACUUAAAUAACUCACCUAAGGGAUGCUAUCCAUUAAAUGAAUGCCACGAGUCUAAAAUUAUCAAAGUACCCUUAGGCACACUCCACAAAAGAUUAAGGGUUUAUCUGAAAAUUGGGAAUUUCUUGUUAUUCACGGAAAGAGUCAUCUUCUUCCCAAGAACAAAAAUGUCAUUGUUAAAGUUUUAAAGUCCCUUACACCUUGAGGCCGCCACUCUAUCAUCCAAAUCUUGGGAUCUCGAGCUUUAUCUCUCUCUUGUUGCUCCAUCUAACCUUAGGCUCUUUUUUUCAAAUCUGAUUUCUUGAGACGCUGUUUCAUCUUCUUUUCCCUCCAUUUUUAUACAUUUUUAGAAGAUUUUUACCAUCUCAUCUCUCAAACAAGCUCUCCCAUUAUUCUUCUCUAAAAAAACUCUUUAAUCUCCAUAAGACCACAUCUUCCUCAUGUUAUUACCCACCAUAUACAACCUUUAAUAAGGUUUUGUUCAUAUCAUACAGCAAAUCAUGUAAUACUUCACGUACAUAGUGGAUUGGAGAUAAUUACUCCCACGGAGGUAGGCCAAAAAGGUGAAUCACGUAAAAUAUUAUGUGUGUAUUGAGCUCCACAGAUGAGCUCUCUAGAGCUAUCUUUGAGUUCACUAGAGCUAUUCCUUGAGCUCUUUAAAGCUCUUCAUGUCAACUCUUGAAAUUAACUCUCAUAAACUCCAUUGAACUCUCCAUAUCAAUUCAUCUCCCAAAUCACCUCAAUUCACCUCUAAAACCACCUCAAUUCACCUCUCGGAUCACCUCAAUUAUAUCUCAUGCCAGAAAUAAUAGAAUUACAUAAUAAACCCAAACUAAUUAGCCUAAUCUCUUCACAAAAUAUAAAUUUUAUUUGUUUUAAUCGAAUUUGACCUAGAUGCGAUGAGAGCAACCACCUAAUGGUUCAAAAUGGGAUUCUAGCGAAAAUUUGGUUAAAACAUUUAGCAUUUCUUUAUACGAUAUAAUUCUUGGUCUAUAUCAAAAUUGAUUAGAAAACCUUUUCAAUUUAGGACCAGCUUGGUAACAUUAUACCUUUUGAAAUAAUUGUUACCAGUUGCACUAUAGAAAUAAUUAGUUUUCAAAAGAAUCAAUUAAAAUGUUUGAUAAAAUUUACUUUAAAAGAGCCGUUAGUUUUAAAAACAGUCAUAUAUGUUUGGUAAAUCUUAUUGCUUAACUAUUCUAAGAAUAUAAAUAAUUAAAUUGGACAUAAUAUUGAAUUAAAUUUAUUUAAAUAUGUAUAUAAAAUAUUUUUUAUUGUGUAUAUGUAAUAGCUGAUAACUAAAAUAAAUAAUUUUUAUUUUUUAUGUAGCUAUCUCAAUAUAAUUAGUAAUAAUAAUAAUCUAUCUAAAAUUAAUGAUUUUAUUUGCUAAUUAAUAAUGAUAAUUCUUAGAUUUUAUAAUAUAUAUGAGAAUAUAUAUGAAAUUGUAGUGGUAUAAAAUGAUUCUCAAAAUUAGAUUUUGAAAAAAUAUUUAUUUCCUUCUUUUUAAAAUCUACUGUAAGAUGUGAUAAUAUUGAUAAAAAUAAUUGCUAAAAUAAUUUAUCAAGUACUAAAAUUAACUUUUAAUUUUUUAAAAUUAUUUUUUAACCUCCAAAACCAAUUCUAAAGGCCUUUAGUACGAUUCUAUAAAUCUAAUACAAUUAGAUAAAUCCUAAAUUAUAUUUAUUCAAUUAAAAAGUAAAAUCCAAUAAAUUUUAAGGGUGACUAGAUUUCAAAGACGAGAAUUGUCGAACCAAACCGAUAAACCGAUGGGUUUAUCCUAAGACAUUAAAUCAAUCCGCCACACCCUCACUGUCUUUCACUCUAACGACAGUGAGCCGACAGCGGCUCCUCUCUGACGCCUACGGCCACCGUCUCGCGGCAGUCAGCCCGUCGCAGUAGCUCAUCGCCUCCGUCCCUGUCGCAGCUCGUCUUUUCAGCCGUCGGCGUCAUCUCAUCUAGUCGCCAUUCGUCGCUUCAGCCAGCCGUUGCCGUCGCGUGGGUGAGUUAAUUAAUUAUGGGAGUAGAUAUGGAAAUUGAUAGCAAUAAUCGAAGAAUUAUGGAAUAUUGAUGUAUUUAUGGAAUAAGUUGUAAACUUCAUUUUAUAUUUAAGGGGCUGUGGCCAUAUGGAUGGUAUUGAAUAAUUGUAAUUCGCCAAUGUCUGUGGAAAAAUUCCUUUUAAAAUUCCGUACUUCUUCCCUAUUCAUAUCAAAUUACUAGAUUAAUUUUUGUAGCAGCUAUUAGAUUGUUUGUGAGCUGUUAGUUGCUAAAUUCUAUCGUUAUUGUAUUUGGGGAAAAUUGCAAAACCUUUACAAAUAAAUAUAUUUAUGUUUUUUUUUUUUGGGAGGGGCAGCUUUGAACUUGUUAUUGAAAGAAUUGUGAUGCUGUUAUUAGCUUAGAAAUGGGAUUUAUUGUAUUGGCAAGUAUUUUAUAUAACUUGAAUUUUUUUCUGUGUCUGAGAGUUUUGUUGGGUGUUUUGAAUGAAUCAAGAUUACUUAACUUUUUUUUUUUUUGGUUUAAUCCCUUUCAGAUGUCAUCGAAACCGCCAUUACCAAAAAAGAAAUAGCUUAAAGAUCAGUAGAGUGGCAGCAGUUCACUAGAAUUCCAGAUGAUAGUGACAAGUGCAAAUGCAAUGUCCAAAUCGAAAAGAUUUGAAAAAAAGGAGAUGAUAUGAUAAGCAAAAGAAAAGAUAAAAAGGGAUUGGUAACCGUAAACUGCCACAAAACAAUCGCCGACAGCCCACCGCUAAGUUUCUCAGCGACUUUCUCACAGACAGGUACUAGACGUCUCUCCAUUUUACACUACAAAAGUCAGAAGCAAUCCCAAAUCUCAACAAAGAUAAAAGCAAACUAGUUUCUCAGUUCUUUGUUUUCCUUGUAGAAUAAUUUUCUUUUGUUUUAAUGGACUUGCAUAAUAAAUCAAACAAUUCCAAUUCAAUUGAAGUCAUCUUUGACUCUUCACUGAACCUAGAGCAGACACAUCUCAAAGAAGGCUAUGAUGAAGGCUACACUCACGGCCUAGCCACCAGAAAAGAAGAGGCUAAAGAUGUAGGCCUGAAACAUGGCUUUGAAACUGGCGAGGAACUAGGCUUUUGCAAGGCUGUCUCGAUGUCUGGAACUCGGCUAUUCAUUUCAAUCCGACCUAGUUGUCGGCCCGGGUCGAAAAGAGCAUCAGGCAAAUGGACAAAUUGAAUGAGAAAUGUCCAGUAAGUGAUCCAGAGAAUGAGAACAUUCAAGAGACAAUGGAGGCUUUGAAGCUUAAAUAUAGAAUUAUUCGGGCUGCAUUAGGUGUGAAACUGGAGUAUGAUGGGUAGCCUAAACCCAAAGAGAUUGCAUUUUGAGUCGAAAGCUAGUUUUUUAUGUAAUAAUCUUGGUGAUAAUGCAUAGUUACAUUAAUUUUCCCCCCCGUUUUCGUAGGAGAAUUUGAUAUGAUAUAACUAUGUUGCGUUUUAGUCUCAAGUAUUUGCUUAGUUGGUUUGUAUUGUAGUAUUUUGGUGACUACUAUGGAUUGCCUAGAAGGUUGAGGGUCAGCAAAAUUUCUACUAGGGGGUGUUUCGGUUCGUUUGCAUUCAUUUAGUUUUGAAGAACUGAAUUGGAUACUGCUCACCCCCAAUUUCCAGUAACACUUUUCUUAUCAUAGUAACCCCAUCCAUGCAGGCACAUGCGUGCAAAAAUGAAGAUACUCAGUACAUUGAGACUAUAUGUGUUGGUAUUCUAUUUGAGCAUGAUUAAAGAAUGACAGGACAUGAAUUUCUUGCUGGAACACUCAACAUGUUUAGCUAUGUUGUUGACAUUGUGAUGGAACAAGUGAUGACUUUCUAUAUUUCUUGCAUCACUGAUCGAGUUGAAAUUGUUAUGUGAGAAAAAAUAAACAUUGGAAUAUUUUAUUGGAUGCCCUGGAAAAUGAAACAGAGCUGAAAGAGGCAGUUUGGCAUAGCUUGAACUAAUAAUGUGAGGAUGAGAGACAUGCAAUUGUAAAUUUGCAUAUUGAGCAGCAUAAAAAACUAAUGUAGGGCUAUAUAAUUAUGCUGAGCUUUGCGGACUCAAAUAUUGAUUAGGCAUAAAAAAAUCACCAGGUGGCUGUUCUUAUUUGAGUUUAUACAGGCUUUAAUUUGCAAUCCAAAAUUGUAACAAUAAUUAUGAUAUUUUUCACUUGAUAUAGUUUUAGGCAGUGAUUGCUAUUCUGUAUUUCUAUGUUGACAUCUAUGUUUCUGGUUUGUCUUCAGCUUUAAUUUGCAGCUAGCUAACACUAAUGUUUUACUAGUUCUAGAAUGUUGCUUGAAAAUUUCUCUUUUGAAGUUGCUAGAGUGUGGUCCCCAACUAUUAUGGCCACAUAAAUUCCUGAUAAUGCCAUUUCAUUAUCCCAAUCUUUCUUUGUUGUGCAAUUGGUGGCAGGGAGCAAAGAGAAGAAAAAUGUUAAAGCUGAUGCUUGCUUGCUGCAAGGUAUAUAUAUCUGAAAGUCGAAACAAGGCUGCACUGGAAUCAAUUGAACAAGCUGCCAAACUAUUUUCAGAAGCUGCUAUUGUCAACAAAUUUGAAGAUGUAACUUACAAUAGAGUUGGUUAUACGGUGGUCUCCAAAUUGGCUCCAAAGCCAUCUUCAAACUCUCAUCCUCUGAAAAGUACUGUAUUUGCCAUGGUUAAAGCUGCUUUUGAGAAUAUUGACCUAGAUAUGCAUUCUGGAAGUCAUCCUAGGCUUGGAGUCGUGGACCAUAUAUGCUUUCACCCUUUGGCUUCUGCACCUUUGGACCAAGUGGCCGAGAUUGCAAAGUCUUUGGCAGGAGACAUCGGAUCUGAUCUUCAAGGUUUGUUUCCUAGAAAGUCCAAUGAAUAUAGCUACUAGAGAUUCUAGCAAAGCUGAAAAUAUGAAUUGGUACUUUUGCCUUCUCUAAAUUCCUGCACAAAUUCAUAACUGUGAAAGGGCCAGAUAAGCCUAAAAUAACAGCAUGUUUUGUUUUGUACCUUAUCCAGCCUGAGGGGUGUGUCCAACACAAUUUAGUGCUUUAUCCUAUUAUCUUGUUUAAGCAAAUUUCAGAUGCCAGAAUUAUUGAUAACCAAGUGCUUUGAAGUUUUGCACUGAUACAAAACAUUAGAGUGUUCUGAUGUUUGUGGUUUCUUUUGUAUCCUUUCUUGUUCAGGACAAAGGACGUGCAUUGAGUGAGCUCUUUUCUCAUUUAACAUGGGAGUGUUUCCAUUGUAUAUUGCCAAUUCUCUAUAUUUAGUGAGCCUAAAUAUAGAAUUGGGUUACCAGAAUGCAUCUCUUAUCUUACUACAAUGGUUACAAUUAGUAACUCAUGAGCAUGUUUUAUUCUCUUGGGAAAUUUCCUUUGCGCUUGCUGAUGAUCCUCAAUGUAGCCUGCAGUUCCUACCUUCUUAUAUGGAGCUGCACACGAAGAGGGAAGGACACUUGAUUCGAUUAGAAGAAAUCUGGGAUAUUUUAAGCCUAAUUCAGCUGGAAACCAGUGGGCUGGAGGGUUAAAUUCAGAGUCUUUAUUAGUGAAGCCAGAUAGAGGUCCUGAUCAAGUGACUCAAUCAAAAGGUGUCAUUGUAAUUGGAUCAACGAGGUGGGUUGAUAACUACAAUGUUCCUGUCUUCUCCACAAACAUUGCUGCUGUUCGCAGGAUAGCAAAGCGAGUAAGUGAAAGAGGAGGUGGACUUGCUUCAGUACAAGCCAUUGCUCUUACACAUGGUGAAGUUAUCACUGAGGUAGCAUGUAAUCUGUUGGAACCCAGUAAAAUAGGAGGAGAUAAAGUUCAGCUAGAAGUCAAAAAGCUUGCAGGGGAAGAGGGUAUGGCUGUGGGGAAAGGAUACUAUACUGACCUUUCACAGAAAGAAAUAAUUGAACGUUAUAUGAAAUUGAAUUCACUUGCUUAAGAUGUAGAUGUUCAUUUUUUAUUUACUUUCUGUCUAAGAUAUUAUGUAUUAAUUCCAAACGAUUUUUAUUUUCUCUCAAUUAUCGUUGGCUGAUUUUAGUUCAAGCAAAGAAGAUUUAAUAAAAUAGGUUACUUUUUCUUUUUUAUUUUUAAAAUUUUGUUCGAAGAGUGGAGGAGAAGAUGAAGAACAAUAGAAUGCGAAAAGUGAGUUUUAAUUGGUGUAGGUAUGAAUAAAUUUUUAAAUUAUGACAAUUGACAAGUGGUGUUGAUUGGAAAUAUUGGGUGUCAGCUCAAGUCGGCAUUUUUCAAAUUCUAAGUUAACACAAAGCAAAAAGUAUCGAAAUGUAUUUUUUUUUCCCCUCAUCCAAAUUAAUUGUGAAAAACAACGGGAGGGAGUCUUUGCAUCCAUUAUUAAAACUUAGAAUGUCUCCAUGAUAUUGUUCUAAACCAUGGGAGUGCAAUUGUCAUAUUCCAUGUUUGUUUUAGUCAUUUUACUGUCAUUAUUUGAAGUAAAUGCCAUUCGCUGCCAUCUACCUUGUUUACUUCUAUUUUUUUGUGGCCGUUUAUUUGUAUCAUAUAAUCUAAUGCAUUUGCUAUUCAUUAUAACCUUAUCCUACAUGUAAGUAGAUAUUAAUAAGAGUAGAAAAUUUUGGUUGCAUUUUAUAAUUUUAAUAUAAAAUAAUUUAAGUUUGAUCGUAAAUAUAAGUAGUCUUUUGUUUGUAAUAUCAGUAACAAUAAUAGUAAUAAAAAAGUGAUCCAAUGCAGGUCAAUUUUUUUUUUAAAGUUCUAAUAAAUUUCGUAAAAAGGUCCACACUGCUGCCUUGUGAAAGGGUCUACAAACACAUGCAGCAUCUCGUGGGCGGGCCCUUGUCUUUGACAAAAGGAAUACAAAGAUCAAACACAUGUCCUGAUGAACGUGGGUUAAUUGACAAUGAGUCACAGUAAUCUAUUUCACGUGCCGCUUACCUAACACGAAACCACUUAAAUCUUGCAAGCUAAAUGGCACAAUUCCAUUUCUGUGAGCCUUUUUUUUUUGGUCUUUUCUUUGAAAAAAGGAAGAACCGAAAGGAAAAGGCGAAGUGAGGAAGAGCCUGCCGUUUUGAAACAUCUUUACGUGUAUACGGGAUGCUUCUUUCAUAGUUCUCUUGCCUUACAAAAUUGAUUAAAUAAAAUAAUACAAGUCAUUUUUUGCACGCCCUUAUAAAUUUUGAUGGUCGGUGCACCCGUCUGGUGGUGUGACUUUAGAGAUGGACAACGGGCCCCCCCAAUACAGCUUUGUCCGUUAAGGAAUGGUCUAGUUUUGUUACUAGGCUGAUGUGGCAGAAAGUUUUGUAUAAAUUUAUCUUAUAUAAAUCGAUCGAUGUUGUAUGAUAAGAUUAGUUAAAUUAAAUAUCUCUUGGCCUAUAUGAUUUAUUUUUAUUAUUUUGUAUUUUCAUUCAAUCAAUGAGUUAAUGUCACAUCAGUUUGUAUAAAAGAGAUUUAUAUAAGAGUUUGUGAUAGUAUCAUCACUCUAAAAUAAUUUCUGUUUAUACACACACAUAUAGGCACAAAAUCGAGUGGCCCUCUUUAUAUAUACAAUUUUUAACACAAAUUGCAUUAAAACUAAUGAUCAGGAUUAAAUCAAACUUAAUUCUGUUUUUUUAAGACUAAUUAAUAAAAUAAUGAGACCGCACAAGUAACAAUUAAUUUUUUUUUUCAGUCUCCCCCCGAAUUCUUCUUUCGACGUUUUUCUCUCUUCCAGGAAUGCUUUUACUUUGUUAUUAAUUAUGUCCUCUUGAAAUUAGAUUAAAUCUUAAAAAAUAGUUAGGGACGUGGCUCAACCGUUUAUAAUUAUGGGUCCUUAGGCGAAUUAUGUCAUCACUUUCAUAUAUUAGAUAAAAUCCACGACACAAAGCUAAUCAAUUGCAGUCUAUUUUCUUGCUUGGUUGUUCAUUGCUUCUAUUAAACAAAGCCAUUAAGAAUUUUAUGGAUGUUUCCCGAGAAGCAAGCUAUUACAGCGAGCGGCUGGAGCUGUAGGGAGCCGAGGAGCAAGGCAGUAGAUAAGAUGGAAGAAGGGGCCAGGCUCCCGGUGGAGCAGAGGAGUUUGUUUAAAUAAAUUGACUAAUCAAUUAUCUUCAUCUAUAGACAAACCUAUGAUCUUAAUUAAUUGCGUCUGUCCAAUGUCCAAGAUGGAUCCCCAAAUCCGAGUUAUUUGUCCAUUCAUGUGACAAUUAUUGGCGUCUAUCUUCUUCUUGGCAGUGUUACAAAAUGAUAAAUUUGAUUUGUACAUGAGCUUUAAGUUUUUCAGUGGAAAGAAAUUUAAUGCCAGUUUGCUUGUUACGUUUAAGACUUUUUGUGGUUAAUGAAUAUUCCAUUCCAAAAAAUAUAUUAUUAUUGUCAGAACUGAAAAUUUUUAAAAAUAAAUAUGUUUUUUUAUUAAACAUUUUUUUGUUGUUAAAAUUUAUGAAAUAAACUACUUAGACAUUUAAUUCUCAAUUUUGAAAUGGAACCUUAGGAGAUGUGGCAGAUUAUAGACACGGAGAUGACGGAAUUACCCAUCCAAUAGGAAGUGGUCAUAAAGCUUAUUUUAAAAAUGAGUGAUGAUAGAGCCAUAAAUUUUUGUUUAAACUUAUCUUGUAUAAACUGAUGUGACAUUAAUUUAUUGAUGAAAUGGAAAUAUAAAAUAAUAAAAACAAAUCAUGUGGGUCAAGUGAUAUUUAAUUCAAUCAAUCUUAUCAUGUCACAUGAGUUUGUACAAAAUAAAUUUAUACAAGAAUUUAUGACUAUAUCAUUAGCCUUUAAAAAUUUAGUUUAUGUUGAUGAUGCUUUUAUGCCUCAUUAAGCUACAAGAAACAAUAGACCGAGGAUAUCGCACAGAUGGGACAAGAGGUAAUAUUUCUGAUGAAAGAGAUUGCGUCUUUUAGAACAACCGAUGUGUCAAGUUUGUUCUAGAAAAGGAUUAAGAGAGCAUAAUUAAGUUGACAUGCAUAAACUAACUUAUAGUGUGUUUGGGACAGCGCUUAAUCAACACAAUAGCACACAUACAUUAAUUUUAUUUAUUAAUUUCUUCUUUUAGGAAGAUAAAGAGUACAUGAAAAGGAGCAAAGAAAAUUCUUUAUAUCUCUCAAAAAAUCUUAUUGGUUGCAAUUAAACUAAAUUGAUACUCACACAAUUGAUAGGUCAUCAUAUACCUAUCUUUUUAUUUAAUUUUAAAAAAAUAUUUCAUGCACUUUAACCGAUGUAGUCGGGCUUUCUUCCGUGUUGAGGAACAACAAAAAAAUCAAGAUUAUCAUUUGUAGCAUCAUCAUCAGCAAUACUCGAACGUACAUCUAAUAUGUGCCCCUCUGACCAAUUCCUCUUGUCUGAAAAAUUCAUAUUGAAAAACUUAAUCAUAAAUGCAUAAGUUAAAACAAGAAUUAUAAACAAUAUUUAACUGAAGUUGGCCAAAAUACCCGCGCAGGGAGUCUCCAUAUUCUUCAAAUUAAUCAGAAAAGAUCUCUCUAGCUUCCGGUGAACCGUUAUGAAAACACAAAAGUAAUUAAGUUGCUUUAGCGAGUUCUAGCGUUUGAUAUUUAUAGAAUGAAGCAACCAACUGUAGAUUCAAAAAAUAAAUCUUUACAAAUAUUGCCAACAAAUAUAAUUGAAUAUUUAAUUUUCGACUCGGACGUAUGGUCGGUCGGCAAUCAAUUAUUAAAACAAGACAAACUAUUAGCAAUACUAAAUUCUUUUCUUCACAGAUGUUAACUUCAUUUUGGAAUGACUGGACAGAACUGCCAAAAUAUUGAUUGACUUCUGAACAUUAUUUUUUUUAAAACGGCUCAAAUUCAUGCAACGUACCCUAAUUUUUCUCAAUAUUAUCAUCAAUUUAGGUCUUGAAUUUUGAUUUUAUAAUUACUUCUAUAGGGUCAGAGAUUCAUCACACCUAAUAAAAAUUCAAGUUUCUAGCGCCUUCAAUUUUUUUCUGUCAUAUUUUGUUGAUUUCAUGAAAAUUAAUUCUAAUAAUUAUUCAGGAUUAGUAGUGGCUAAAACUAUGAAGACCUAAAAUUAUAUAUAAGUUUUCCCUGAUUAUUGAACUUUGGAAUUGAAAUUGCGCAACGAGUAGGGUUAGUUGUGCGGCCAGGCUGUGUUCUGUAGAACGUAAAAUGCUUCUUAUCCAGUAAAAUAUAUAAAGUGCCUGCACCAAUCAUUGAACAAUGAGUACAUGCGAAUUAAAAAUUGUGCAUUCGCCUAUUAUAUUCAUACAUUUUAAGCAUAAAUAAUUGAUUAGUCUAAUUAUUUGUAGCUGCUCGAGCCUGUAUCGGUUGUGAUCACUUGGUUUCCAUCCUUAAAAUCUUUGGGGGAUUCAUUUUUUUUUUUACUUUUUUUUAUUUGUUGGUGUUUUCAACAGAUUUUGGGGUAAGAAAAGCUAAACCUAUUUAGAACAAUGAAUUUGUAUUUUUGGGAGAGAUGGGGUACCUCACUGGUUUGUUGUGUGCGGCGCGGGAUAUCUGAAAUUUGGGGGAGGUGAGAAGGGGAGAGGGAGCGGUAACAAUGGUGAAAGGUCAAAACCAAGAGAGGUGUCCUUCCAAAUGAGGUUCACGCCUGUAAAACAGUGAAAUAAAGGUUAGAGGUGAAGCCGGGGUACCCCGGCGUUCACACUCCGACGCUCAAGUUAGCAAACUCAAGCUUUUAUGGCAAAGAGAGCUAGCUAGCCCUCUGUAAAUUAGGGUCUAAGGUUGAACAAAACCUAUUUUUUUGGAGUGUGAGUGUUUAUGGGUGAAUGAGAGCCUCCUGGAGAAUGAAACCUAGGCACCUUUAUAUAUGGAGUACCUCAGCUGCCACGUGGCGUACCCUUUUUGGCUAACGUCUUUUUACUUUUUUUUAUGAUUUUUGGGCGGUUAUGUGCAUGUUCGCGGCGUAUCUCAUCCUUUGGAAACGUUGCUUGCGCUGGAGAGUGGUCCAAGGUACCUCUGCAGUAGCUGUCGGGUAGGCGGCUGAGGACCACUGUCCUUGGGACAGUGUCCUUCACUUUUGGCAGAGGUAGCAGGCGGCUGUCCCUCCUUUUAGCACAUCAUUUAUGAUUCCUAAUUCUGACAAAAUCGAAUAAUAUCUUUUAAGAGGUGGAGACGUUUCUCAUGGCGGAUAUUUUCGGAGGAUUCUUUUGCAUCUGUUCUGUCGGGUACCUUGAGUUACGUGGGGUACCUCAAUUUAUGUGGGGUACCUCUAAUUGUGCGGGGUACCUCUAAUUGUGCGGGGUACCUCUAUUUGUGUGAGGUACCUCUAAUUGUGCGGGGUAUCUCAAAUCACGCCGGGUACCUCGGAUUGUGCGGGAAUCAUUCCAUUUGUCGACACGUGGCGCUUUACUGCCUUUCCUAUUUUUCCCUCAAAUAGUUGGUAUUCCUUGAUGAAUUGUAAUGUAACUAAGGACAUGCUUCAGAAAAAAGAGAGAAAGUUAUGAUGGCAUUAUCAUGCUGAUACACAUAAUUGAAGAAACAUAAACAUUCUUAAUUAAUUUACAGAUCUUAAUUCCCUUAUGAAUUGCCGCAAUUACCAAACUAGUACAUCGGGUUUGUUUAACAAAAAUAUCCAAGAAGAAAGAGAGCAUGUUUAAUUAAACUGAUUUGGACAACAGCACACGAUUUUAUCUUCAUUAAUGGACUAACAUAAUUAACACAUUUACAUACCAUAAUUUUUUUUAUUAAUGACAAUGACCGAAGUUACCCUAAUCAUUUUAUUUUUAUUUUUCUAUAUUUAUAUGUUACAAUAAGAAGACCACAUUAAUAUUUAUAAUUAAACAAACUAUUAAAACUAAUCUGAUCAAUUCUAUUAUAGCACAAUCUAGAUAUAACUCUAUUUUUGGAACCCAAACAGAAUUAGUAAACGAAUAGAGGGUUCGCAGAAGAAAUUAGUAGGUUCACAUAUAAAAUAUUAUUGUUUAUAUUUAUUCCUGGGCCGUUUUGGUCUUGACCUGCUUGAAAUAUUUUACUGUAGAUAACUCUUAUAAGUAAUUGAAACGGUUUCAAGAAAUCAUCUGUUAUUUAUUUAUUUAAAGAGUAAAACCAAUUUACAUGCAGCUUAGAUAGCUAGAAAUAAUUUCUAGGUUUCUGCGACCGAUUUUUCUCUGGAACUUGAGGAGAAACAACAGUUGAAAUCAAUUUCUUGAAAUUGCAAAGUAGUUGGAAGCAAUUUUACGGAAGCGAUUGGAGAGCUAAAGACGUGUUCAAAAUGCAUUAUAUUUGAAUUUUGAAUUGUAAAACUGAAAGUGGCAUGGUUGUGAUUACUGUAAAUAUAUUAUAUAUCGAUGAUGUUUUUAAUUUAGAGAGUCAAUGGAUACAAGACACAAAAAGCUAAGAGUAACGUGUCAUACUCAUAAUGAAUGAUUGACCCCUUACACUCAUUUUUUUAGUGGCUCUCACGCUUCUGAUGGCGACAAUAAUUUGAAAAAAAGAAGGAAAAGUUAAUGCUUAAAUUCAAAGUGAUGAUGCUUAAAGACAAACAAAGUAAUUAAAUACCAUUACCAACAACCAAACAGAGGCCAAGCAAUAGUGCAUGUUAUUGAUAACACAACAAAGAGAUCAAGAUUAUCAUCUAUUAUUUCAUCAUCAACAAUAUUAAGUCUGUAUGAAUAUUUACCCUUUGACCAUUCGUUUUUACAUGAAAUAUGUAUAUAUAUCAAAAUAAGAAUUAGAAACGACAUUCAAGUGAUGUUGGCCUAAAAAACCUGCAUCAAUAGUUUCCAUAUUCUUGAAAUCACAAAAGAUCUAUUAUUUGAAUGGUUGAAUUCUACUGAUCAUGUCAAAAAAGAGAGCAUCCUUUUUGUUGGGAAUGAUCCGGUAGAUAAUUUUGAUUUCUUUUUGUAUGUUUCACUAGUGAUGAUUAAUUAGGGGAAUUAACUAAUUGUGUUGGUUUGGCUCACAAUUAUUGUAUUAUUGUAUUAUCAAAACAAGUGUAUCAUAAUUUACUCAUUGAGAUAAAGAUGAUUGAGUAAGAAGAAAUAACGUAAAGACCUCCAAAAAUACUGUUACAGCAGUCAGCACUGCUGACAUUUUCAAUGCUACAGUAUUUCUUACAUCAGGAUAUGCUUGCCAAAUGUUUUCUGGAGCUUGCAGCUUAUGUUAGGUCUUUUCCUGCUUUGUAUGACUUUUUAUCUGUUAUAUUGGUUCCCAAAUCUUCAUUUUUGGGCUAUGAUUUUGCAUUCUUUUCACUGUUGACAUCAAUUGUUCUAUGAUUAUUAUGUUUACUGUGUGCUCUAUUUUAGUUUACAAAAUGUGUUUUAAUGGUAAGUUUUGCGAACGCCUACCGUAAAGACAAAUAGUUUGUGGUGCUAAUACUUCUUUUAUCAGAGAUUUAUUAGCAAGCAUUGUGUGAGUUCUAUUCAGGUAUAUAUUUUCACCACCUAAGUUAUGCCUCAGUAAUAAAUGGAAAAAAGGUAAUCCGAUUGAUUUGCACUUGUCCAAUGGAGUUCAUUGGCAAUGUGAUGGUAGAAGUCAACUUAUUGGUAGUAUAAGAUUCUUUGGAGAAGAAAGCAGAAGGGGACUUGACAAUGAUUUGUCAAUAAUAUCGGGUUAUUAACGUUUGCUUGGGGUCUUGUCUAUUUAGUGAUUGAUCUAUAUAACAGAAGUUUUUGUUUCUGACUUAACUAAUAGAUGUGAAGUGUGUGGUGGGCGUCGAUGACGUUUCAGGAAUAAAGCAGCAGCAAAGGGACAGAAAUGUCAGCACACACAGCAGUAUGCUGACCUGCUUCCUAUCCAAUGUACCGUACAGUCAUAUACCAUCCUCCAGAAUGACACGGGCCAAACCAUUGCGUGAACAGUAUACAACUUUCGGUUUCUGCUUGCUUCAGUCAACAUCACUGGGAAAAGCCCAGUAAGUGUUGGCUGCGGUCCAAACAUAAUUAAUAUUUAAUAGUAAACACAAUCAACCCUAUUGAAUAUGACAACUCCUAUCUAGAAAUGGAGAUUUGAUGAAUCAAAUUUGGCCUUGUUCUUAAGUCGCUGUUUUGAGUUUGUAGGGAUAAUAGUGAAUUGAAUUUAGUCUGUUGAGAGUUUUGUAGAUGUUUAAAGAUUUAUCUUGUUAGCCUGGUUAUUUUUUAUUGGGUUAUAUAGUUUAAAAGUUGCUUAGACCAUAUUUUGACAUAGACGUGUCUUCUUUGUAAAAUUUUGCAGCUUUAUAGUUUAUAGAACAAUAAGAAGAUCACUCACGAGGAUCAUUGAGAACAUUUUUGAAGACUUAUAUAUUUUUUUUCCAAUUUAAAGAUUUCUGGAUUCAUUUUUUCUCGUCACCAUGCACAAUUUGUUACUAACUUAUUGUUGUUUAUCCCCUUUUGGGAGGUAACAACAUGUUGACUUUUACUGUCGAAGCUACGAAGCUACCAACUAGCUGAGUUUUACCACCGAAGCUACCAUAGCUACCACAAGUGGUUUCGUGGCACUCAUUAUGCUCCCGUCUUAACCUACCGGUCCGAUAUUCCCAUUGAAAACUAAAGCAAGAACUGCAACUGCUGGAUUUUCCUUGUCAUACAUACACUUGUGACUAUAUAUCUACUCUGGGCGUUUAGGCUUGUUUUAAUGAUAUUUCUUUUUAAUGAUUAAAUUUUUAACUUUUGACCAACUGCAACAAUGAAAAAUGAAAUGAAAUACAUACAUAUUUUGAAUGAAAGUGUCUUCAAUAUAUUCUCUUAUGCAAAAUACAUCAAAUGAGAAGAAAGGAUAUAUCAUCAUUCCCUUUGCAAAAUAGCAGCAGUAUAACUUCAACAACAUGAAUAAAGGACUGCAAAUAAAAACGAACACGUUACUAUUUAUGAUGAUAAAAUAAAUAAAAAUAUUCAUAAUUUAUGAAUACUUGCAAAUUAUUACCAGAUUUACCUAUGAUUAGAUCAUCCUUGGUAUGUAUUUGUAGGCAUGUACGCACACGUAACUGGAUCAAUUUCAGAAUUCUAUAAUUCACCCAAAAAAAAAAAAAAUUAUAGAACUAAAAUAAAUUAAAUAUUUACAAUUUAAAUGGGAAUUAUUGAACAAAUAUUACAUACCUCCAUGACCAUGCUUUGUUGUGUGCCAAAGAUAUCUUUAUCGCAUAAUGGCUCUAUGAAAUCAUUCUAAGUAGAGUAUAGUACAAUUACGACAAAUAAUAAAUAUGAUAAAAAUUACAAUAAAAAAGAAGCCGUUGUAAAGAUUUUUUAUUUGCUUUCCUUUUUCAUCUUUUUACCAUUUGAAUUAUUUUGUACUAUUUUUCCUUUCAUUUUCUGGACAACUUUUUCAAGCUUAGAUUGCUUCCCCUUGAAUUGAGGACGACCUUUAUUUUGGACUACCAAAGGAGUGAGAAUGGUUGAAGUGCCAUCAUUUGAAGUGCCAUAAGGUUUUCCAUUAGUUCUUGUUCCAUCAAUCGAACUAAUCUUACUCUGUUUUCCAUUGACAAAAUUUUCACUCAACGUUGUUUCCAAAUCAUUUAUUGUUGACCCCACCAAAUUGCACUUUUCUUCACUAUGGAAGCCAAUUCUGCCACAUUAUAGAAUAAAUUACACAUUUUAUCAAAGCGAUGGCCCUCAGGUUUGAUGCUCCAAUUAUCAUAAUUUACCUUCACUUUAGUAUGACAUCUUUUUACAUCUUUUCUCCAUCGCCUGAGUAUAUAUUUCCUUAUAUUUCAAUGGGUCAUGAAAGAUACUUUUAUGAAAUUUAUAGCGCCGCAAUUGCAUGUUGCCAUAAUAUUCCUUUAAAUUCAAACAAUUGGCAGUUACAAUUAACCUCAUGAGAUGCCAUAUUCAAGAAAACAAUAAAAGAAUCACGACAUAGAGUUUCUCCAACCUUGACGUCUUCAUUCACAGUAAACUCCAAGGUCACACCAUUCUCUUUAUAUAAAGAUAUUUCACAAUAUAUUUUUGCUGAUAACUCACAUUGAAACUCUUCAAAUUUUGCAAUUGUAUAAACAUCUCGAAAUUGCUUCUCAACAACAUAAUGAGUCACACAAGGGAUUUGCGAAUUGAAAGAAUUAAGCUUGAUUCUCCUUUUCCACCUUAUCUUUCAAUGCACUCUCAUAUUGUUCCACAAAUUGUUUCAAGGUUGUUUUAGAAUUUACAUACUCACCAAAAAAUGCAUGCAUGCUUUCAUUAUGUUGAGUUGUAGACAUUCCUGUCCAAAAAGAAUUUCUCACAAAUGAUGGCACCCAACGUCUUCUUUCAUUAUACAACCCAAGCAUCCACUCAUUACUACUCAGAUUAUAUUUUUCAAUGAAUCUAUCCCAACGUCCUUCAAAUGCAGCAGGUGUUAAUGAAUCAUAAACAACAUUUUGUAGAUUAAAUUUCACUGAAUCAUUUUCCUUCUAACCUCUUAAUUUGUAGACAUUCCUGACCAAAAAGAAUUUCUCACAAAUGAUGGCACCCAACAUCUUCUUUCAUUAUACAACCCAAACAACCACUCAUUACUACUCAUAUUAUAUUUUUCAAUGAAUUUAUCCCAACAUCCUUCAAAUGCAGCAAGUGUUAAUGAAUCAUAAACAGCAUCUUGUAGAUUAAAUUUAAUUGAAUCAUAUUCCUUCUAACCUCUUAAUUUUUCAAGCAAUUUCUUCAUUAUAUGCCACAAGUGUUGUACAAAUUUUAUUGAACUCGCAAGUGCACAAAUCUAUUGUAGAAUAGAUCAAUGGUGACGAGUGUUGAUCCCACGAGGAGGUGAAUUUUAAUUGAGUGUAGAGUUAAUUUUCUGAGUGGGUGGUUGGAUUUGUGGUGAACGUGACUUAAACUUAUCCUAAAAUUUAAAUUAGAAUGACGGAAAUAAAUUAAAUUAAAAUCUAUUGAAAUGAAGUGCUUGGGUAUCUGGAUCUGCAUCAACAUGCACCAUGGACUUAAUAUUCUUUAUUAGUGCCAAUUAAAUCAUAAGAGGAAUUUCCACUCCUCAUGAACCUCAUUCUAAUCAAUAUGGUGCUAAGAGCUUAUCGUGCCAAAUGACAAUAACAUUGCACCAGACAAGAUUAUUAUUAUAUAUCGACGAAAAGUUAAAACAUCCACAAAAAUCAGAGGGGAAGAGAAAGUAAAUUUACCAAAUUAAACCCAUAGAACAUAUUGAGACUUCACCUUCAACCCAAGCUUGAAAGAAAAUUAGCUACUUAUAAUUGAAUUAGGGAUAAAAUGAAAAUUUAUUAAAAUACGUAGAAAUGAAUUAUAGAAAAUAGAGCUCAAAAAUGAAUUCAAGGGUGUCGAAUUAUGGGGGAGCCCCCUUUUUAUAGAUACAAUGAGUAAAUCAUGGUCAUCAGAUUAAAAUAAUUUGGACGCUUAUGAUUGCGCCACGUGACAAGUUUUGAUCGGAUAGAACACAUCGUCAGGGUUGUCAUUUCGUGUAUAUGCAUGUACCGUAUCCAUGUUUUUUUAGUCCACUAACAUACUGCCAUGUCAACGGUCAACACCACAUCAACAUUUUAGUCCAAUAGGAUCGUGACACAUCAUCGGUCAACCCCAACUCAUCAGUCAACGCCACAUAAGCAAUCAAUGCCACAUCAUUCGUCCAACUGAAUGCUGCCACAUCACUGGUCGAUGCUACGUUAUUGGUUAAUACCAUGUCAUCGGUCAACGCCAUGUCAUUGGACCAUAUAUGUGAACAAUGUCAUGAACAAUACCAUGAACAAUACCGUUUACCCUUGUAUGGUUCUCCAAGGUUUUCGACUGUGCUGAGUCUAAAAUUGUUGUCUAUUUUGCUCUCUGAUCUUUCGUUCAUUGUGAAAUGACCAUGAUGCCCCUAAAAUACAUAACAUACUUAAUUAAAAUAAAACACAUAUAAUUAAAUCACAAGGGACUUAAAUAUAUAAAAGUAGGGAUGUUAGUGAGACUUGAAGUAUAAAAUGACAAUUUUCUCCUUUAUAAAUAUACACUUUCUAGCACUCAACAACAAGCACCAUCAAUGUCGUGUAUUUGGAAAGAGAACCUCAAUUGCUUUCUGCAUAGAUUUAUCUUGAUUAGUAACUAUUGCUUCUGGGGCAAUACCCAUCAUACAUGUAUGCCAAGACUCAAAAGCCAUAUGAAAGUCUCAGUAUCCUCAUUAAAGAUCAAUCCACAACCUAAAAACAUUGAUUGUUCAUGAUGAUUCACCCCCACAAAGGUAGUAAAAAGCAUAUCAUAUCUAUUAGUUAAAUAUGUUGUAUCAAAUGUAAUAAUAUCGCCAAACUCCUUAUACACGACCUGACUCCUUGCUUCAGCCCAUAAAACAUUCUUUAAUCGACCCUCUUAAUCUAAAUCUAUACCAUAAAAGAAAUUUGAAUUGUUACCUUGCAUUUUCAUCAAGCAGUUUUGAAUUGCAGUGGCAUCUCCAACUCCAAGCUAUUAAUGUCUUACUUUAUCAACAUGAUUUCUACAAUCUCUCUCCAAAAAAGAUAAAUUCUCCUAUCCUCCUGCUUCAACUGCUAAAGAAUUAAAACUCUUAUUCAUUUUUGUCCUAGCCCUAUCAUUUAAUUCAGGCUUCCUCUAUACAUAUGUCUUCAAUAUGUUGUUACUCUUUAAAAAUCGAGCUUUCUUUGGAGUAGUAAGUUCAUGAUUGUCGUCAAAUAUGAUAGAACACACCUGCCACUUUCCAUCAGGUCGUAUAAAAGCAACAAGCCUUGCUUUGCAAUCAGUAUUUUUCAUUGGACACAUCUUGAAGGCAUUUGCAGACUUUGAUCUUGGUUUGCCAUAAUGCGAACAACACAUUGUCACAAAUUUCAGUUGCCCAUCAUCUCCCUUUCUCGAAGAUCUAAUCAAACCUUCAAACCCUAUACCUUUUCCAUAUUGCUUAUGAAAGUCGAAAACACCCUCAAAAGAUUCAAAAACCAUUCCAACCUCAGGCAACUCAAAUUUUUCUUCUGGACUUAUUGUAUCUUCCAUUUGCUUAUCAUUAUUGUCCUAAUAUACAUGAUAUAAAAAUCCAAAUAAAAAUAAAAUUGAUGAACAUUAAAAAAAAUAAUAAUACGAAUUUACCUCGACAAGACGAGAGUCUGAGAUAAUGUCUUCAAUAAGUUUUGACUCAAAGUCCUACAUCUUUAUAUUCAAUAAUCAAUAAUUAAAGGAAUUAAUCAGUUGAUGUCAAUACAUGAUGAAGGUAAAAAAAUGCUGAUAAACAAUAAAAACCAAAAAGCCCUCACCUGAAAUAAGAGAACUAACUUUUGUAUCCGUACAUGAUAAUUAUAUUUCCGAAGGAAAAGUUCCACCAACAAUCUAAAAAUUUAAAAGAUUAUUAUGUGAAUUUUGUUUAAGCAAAAUUUUUCUUCAAACCAGGUGUUACAAACUAAUCUUGAAAAUUUUCCAAUAAUUGUUGUAAUAAAUACAUGAUUCAAACUAAAGUUCCAGAUUGUUCAACUAUAAAUUUACAGAACAAUUAAUAAGCAAAACUCUGUUCUUGUUCCUAGAGAAGAAAUACAAUAAAAAAAGCUUAUUGAUGAAGUCUUUGUUGUAGUAAAUAUAUGAUUCGAAUGAUUUUGUUUGACUUAAAAUUAAAAGGAAUUGACUGAUUUUCACAUAGCAAAAGCGGAUUCAAUUCUCCCAAAAAAAAAAAAAACCCAACUUCAAUUAGAACAAAAUUGAAAACAAUAAUGACACAGCAUGGAAGAUUGUAAAGAAAAUACCCUUAAUCUAUCCGGCAAUUUUAUAGACAUACCCAAAAAAAAUAUGGUCGCAAAGGCAGAUUGUAAAGAAAGAGAAGCCGAAGCCAUAAAAGGAGCCCACGAAGUCCAGAGAAAUAGGAAAACAGAAAUUAAAAAAAUGCUUUUUAUUUGAAUUUACAACGUUAGCUUAGGUUGACUUAACUUGGUGAUGUAUCUAGAGCCACAUUAGCCGCCAACUCAUGCUGUACAAAAACGUUUGUACAAUAAUUUGUGAUUGCAUUAUUAUUAUAAAAAAAUACUCCAUGAUCCUAGAUUUGUUAAAAUUCGGGAAAGCUAUUAAGUCCUACGAAUUAAUUGUAUAAUGUUUGUGAAAGUUAAUAAGCCGUGAAAUUUAAUAGUAUAGUGGCAUAAAAUUACUAAACCACAUGGCUUAAUAGCUUUCUCGAACUUUAAUAAAGUUCAGGAUCCUGGAUCAAAUUGAGAUUAUGUAUACAUAUGUGUGUGUGUACGUACUGUUCUUAUAUUUUAAUCUCAAACCUGAAGCUAACUCUGUAUAUAAACUAAUAAAAGGGAUCCUGCAUUUUGGGCCAUCUGAUUUGAAUCCAAUGAAUUAUUUUUGUUUAUUUUUAAAUCUAUACAUUGUAGGACCUACCUUUUAUAUGACCUUCAUAAAAAAUUUGAAAAGUUUUUUAGAAAUGGUCUAAGGCCUUAGCCAACCGCCCAAAUGGCAAAGGAGAAGAGUUGUGUGUGAGCGUGAGAUAGUCAAGGAGGGGGAAAAAAGUUUCUUAUUCCUGUGUGUGGUAGUGUGUGCAAGCUGGCCUUUUUACUUUUACUUAUCACAUGAAAUGGUAGUGUGGGCCCUCACCACCCUUAAUCAUGUGUGCAGACUGGCUUUUUUUACUUGGUAUUUAUCACGUGCAAAGAUAAUGCAAGUAUAGUCAUUCAUGAGUAGAACUUUGAUACUGGAUAUCGAAGUCUAUAGGUUUACUCAUGCUCUAAAACUAGCUCAAGAGAAGAUGGUUUUCUGAAUCUUACAUUAUUACCCUGUUGUUCUCACUUCGAUGUAAGAUAAUAUUGUUAAUAAUUGCGUGAUAUGUUACCAAUACUCAUCGAACUACAUAGACUGUAAGGGUAUCAAAAAUACUCGCCUAGCUUGUACAGGACUGGACUCAGGCAAUUGGGGCCAGGUAUUACCUAGAUUGGGAAUGAAGCUGAGCCGGUCUUGAGCAUCAGUUGAUAAGCCCGACCCUGCUCGAAAUUGGAAUUUUAUUAAAAAAAUUAUAAAAUAUAUAGUAUUUUAAAUAAUUAUAUUAAUUUGACCUAUCUAUUACAUAUAUUUAAAAUUUUAAAUAUUUAAAGUUCAUAUUUACAUGUCUAAUUUCAUUAAAAUAAAUUUAAAAAUUUAAAAAUUAUAAAAUAAAUUAAAAAUAUACGAUAUCAUAAAAUAUAAAAUCUGAGCGUAAAACCCUAGAUUAAAAAACCCAAUCCAGUCUAGGUGUUUAGAAAACAUAUCUAUGUUAGGUUUGGACACUCUCAUAUCUGAGCCUGGACCUAGAUUUUACCAUUCCUAACAGAUAGUGUGUGUUCUUUGAUCUUUCUUGAUUUGAUUGUUGCUUUGUUUAUUUACGACCCGAUUGUAUCGGUUUGAUCUCAGCUUCAAUUAGAUUUUGAGGCUCAAAGUUUAACAAUAACAAACAAUGCGGUUCUUAGCAUUUGCCAAGAAAAUAAAUCUAAAUUCUGAAGAGUCGGCUAUAAAAUUCGAACCCCCCAAAAAAAAAACAAAAAAGAGAAGACCUAAAUCUCGAAGAAUCAGAUAUAAAAUCUGACUCUUUAACUUUUGACGCGAUACGUAGUUUGUCGGCUAAUGGCAAUUAAAUUAAUGUUUAUAAUUUAAUUACAAGACAAACUAAUAGCAGUUAACACCGUCUUUUCUUUCGAAAUGGUUUCUAUACCAUGUUAAAUUAAUGUUUAUCAUUUAAUUAUAAGCCAAACUAACAGCAGUUAUCACCGUCUUUUCUUUUCAAAAUAUCAUUCCAUUUGGAAAAUGUAGGUGUCUUCUGAAGAGGUGACUCAUUCUCUCAUUGUGCAUUCAACGCUUGUCCUGCAACACAUUCCUGAUGCUUACUCACGGAACACAGCUUGUAUUUUUGUCGCUUGCAUCAUUGUUUUAUUUGACUUAAACAUCACCGAAUAUGCCUCAUGGGUGUUAGAAAAUUGGUGGAUGAAGCAGACACACAACUAAAAUGAAAUUGAAAGAAAAAUAAAGAACAAGCACAAAGAGAACACCAGAAAUUACGUGGUUCGGCUUUUAGCCUAUGUCCACGGGCGAAGAUAGAAGAAAAUAUUUUACUAGUGAAAAGGAGUUACAAGUAUUGUAGUAUUUUAGCUCACUUCCCAAAAUCCUUAUACACCCAAACUCUCAAAACACUAAUCACUCAAGAGUUUAUUAAACUCUUAAUACUCUUAAUUCUAAAUGAAGGAAAUGCUUCUCUCGAUGGAACAAAUUUGUUCAUUCUCUUCGUUUCUAUUUAUAGAGAAAGCUUUGGCACUAUUCAUCAAUUAUAUAUUAUUUUAUUAUUUUAUUAACUUUUUUCUUUGCCCUUUACGGCCUGACACUCAUUUUUUCUUCUUUCUUUCUUCUUAUUCUUCUUUCUCUUUUGUUUCUUUCUUUGGGCGGCACCUCCUAACCAUGAUUUUAACAUUCUCCCACUUGGAGAUUUGAUUUAGAAUCAAUUAAUCUCCACACCAUCCUUUCUGCUUCGCCAUAAUCAUGUUGCCUACGUUUCUGCUAGGCCACAAGAGGAUCUACUUCGGAUAAACUUGUCAGCAUUUAUCGGCUUGGUCAAAACAUCUGCUAGGUUCUCAUUCGUAUGGAUUUUCUGUAAAUCCACACUUUCAUCUUCCACUACUUCUCGAACGAAGUGAUACUGGACUCCUAUGUGCUUUGUCCUAGAAUGAAAGGCUGGAUUCCUUACAAUAUAUAAGGCACUCUGACUGUCACAAAACACAAGAAUUUUCUGUUGUUUGUGCCUGAGUUCCUCCAAUAACUUUUGUAUCCAAAUAGCUUCCUUGUAAGCUUGUGUAGCUGCCAUGUAUUCUUCUUCUGUUGUAGAUAAAGCCACAACGGUCUGCAGUUCGAAACUCAGCUUACAGCUGCUCCCGCAAGUGUAAACACAUAACUAAUAAUGGAUUUUCUUUUAUCAAGAUCUCCUGCAAAAUCUGAAUCCACAUAGCUCCUGACAGUAAACUCUGAUCCUCUAUCACAUAAUGCAACAUAUGAGGUUCUUUUGAUGUAUCUCAGAAUCCUCUUCACAAUUAUCCAAUGCUCUCCACUAGGAUUCACCAUGUAUUGACUGACUGCUCUCACUACUUGUGCAAUGUCCGGUCUAGUACAUAUCAUAGCGAACAUCAAACUUCCCACUACUGAUGCAUACGGUACUCGAGACAUCUCAUUCCUCUCUACUUCAUUGCUAGGACACAUACUUGAGGAUAAUUUGAAAUUAACAGGAAGUGGGGUAGAAAUUGACUUACAAUCUUGCAUGUUGAAGCGCCGUAAAAUUUUCUUCAAGUGAUUCUUCUGUGAAAGCCAAAUUUUCGUGUUAUUUAUGUCUCGGUGAAUUUGCAUCCUUAGAAUCUUGUUUGCUGGUCCCAAGUCCUUCAUUUCAAACUCCCGUGCCUUCAAUUCUUGGAUUCGAUCUUUGUUGGGGCCUGCUACUAACAUGUCAUCCACAUACAACAGCAAAAUAAUGAAAUCAUUAUCUUCAAACCUUUUGUAAUAUGCACAAUGGUCUGAAUUGAGUCUGUUGUAUCCAAGGCUCAUGAUGAAGGAAUCAAAUCUCCUAUACCAAUACCUCGGCGCCUGUUUGAGACCGUAUAGAGAUUUGUUCAACCUUCAAACCAAGUUUUCCUUUCCUAUUUCUGUAAAACCUUCUGGUUGGAGCAUAUAUAUUUCUUCUUCAAGUUCUUCAUGAAGAAAUGCAGUUUUCACAUCUAACUGCUCUAUAUGUAAGUCAAAUGUAGCACACAUCGCCAAAACUACUCUGACUGUUGUGAGUCGAACUACCAGAGAAAAUAUCUUGUUAAAGUCAAUACCUUCUUUCUGAGCAUAUCCUUUCACUACCAAUCUCGCACGAUACCGCUCCACUUGGUCAUAUUUGAUCUUGUAGACCCAUUUGUUUCCAAUGGCUUUUCUUCCGUAUGGUAGUGGUACAGGUUCCCAUGUCUUGUUUUUGUGUAGAGCCUCAAUUUCUUCCUACAUCGCUGUCAUCCACAAAGCAACAUCUGAGCUUUCUAAAGCUUCAUGGAAAAUUGAUGGCUCUCCAUUCUCUGUUAGAAGACAGUACGCAUUAUUAAUCUCUGUGACAUACUCCGAGUGCCACGCUGGCGGUCGUCUCUCACGAGUUGACCGACGAAUUUCUGGAGCCUCAGACUCGAUUGAUUCUUGUUGUUCUUGCUCUGGUGCUGCUUCCGAAGAAUCUGAAUCUUCCACAUAUACCGGUAUAGUCUCUGGCUUUUCUUUUACACUGCUAUCAUCCUCAUCUCUCAUUUGCAGUUGAUCUUCUAUAAAGAUAACAUCUCUGUUGAUGACAAUUUUGUGGACAGUGGGGUCCCACGGACGAUACCCAUUUACUCCAUCAACAUACCCCAAGAAGAUACAUCUUCUAGAUUUUGGAUCCAGCUUUGUUCUUUCUUAGGCAUUAUACAUCACGUACACAGGACAUCCAAAUGCAUGUAGGUAUGAAUAAUCAGCUGGCUUUCCAGUCCACAUCUCCAUCGCUGUCUUCAGCCCAAUAGUUGUAGAUGGCGACCGAUUUAUUAUAUAACAAGCAGUUUUGGCUACUUCUACCCAGAAUGAAUUGGAUAGACCAGCAGUCCUCAACAUAGCUCUUAUUCUUUUUGUAAGAGUUCUGUUCAUCCGCUUUGCCACUCCAUUUUGUUGAGGAGUGUAUGCUACCGUGAACUGUCUCUGAAUACCUUCUUGCUUACAGAAAGCAAGAAACUCGUCGUCUGUAUACUGUCCACCAUUAUUUGUCCUCAAGCACUUGAUCUUUUUAUCAGAUUCAAGUUCCACCAGCGCUUUGUAUUCUUUAAACACUGGAAAUACGUAUGAAUUUUUCUUAAUUGGAUACAUCUAACAUCUUCUAGAAUAAUCAUCAAUGAAAGUCAUCAUAUACUUUGCACCUCCCAUGGAUAUAUCCAGUGAUUCCCAAACAUCAGAAUGAAUCAAGUCUAAAAUACAUUUACUUCUAGCAACAGAUCUACUGAAUUUUAAUCUAUGUUGCUUACUUGUAACACAAUGCUUGCAAAAUGCUAAAUUUAUCGAUUUGAGCCCUGGAAGCAAUUUUUGUUCAGAGAGAAUCUUCAAACCUUGUUCUGACAUGUGGCCAAGUUUGAGAUGCCACAUCAUUGUUGACUCUUCUCCCUUUGAUGCAACACAUGCAUCAGCCUCCUGUAGUAUCUCUCCUUUAAGCAUGAAUAGAUUAGCACCGAUCUUUUCUGCCUUCAUCAAUACAAGCGCUCCUUUAACAAUUUUCAUAAUUCCAUUUUCCACAUGAGUUUUGCACCCAUGAUUGUCUAUUUGUCCCAAAGAUAAUAGAUUUUUCUUCAGGUCGUUGACAUGUCGUACCUCCCCAAUUGUGCGAAUUGUAUCAUCAAACAUUUUUAUUUUGAUAGUAUUAAUACCAGCGAUCUCCAAGGCAUGAUCAUCUCCCAUACAGAUCCUCCUGAGAUAGGUUCAUAUGUGUAGAACUAUUCUCUUCGAGAGGUCAUGUGCCAGGUAGCUCCUGAGUCUAUAAGCCAGACAUCAUAUAGUCAUUUUUUACCUUCUAAAACAGUUGUUGCCUCGCUGUAGAGAAUUUUGCCAUCAUCUGAGGUAUUUUUUACACACCCCUGAGCAUUUGAUGACUCAGGUUCUUUGCCCUCUUUUCUCUUCUGGUUACUCCAAUACUAUUUUUUGACGUGCCCUUUCUUGCCACAGUUGUAGCAUUUAACAUUCUUCUUACUUCUGGAUUUUGAUCUACCAUUAUUGUGACUCCCACUGGGGCCACGUUCCGUUGAUCUCCCUCUCGUCACCGAUAGCGCCUCCGCUUGCUGCGAACUUGGUUGUCUGUUUUCCUUAGUUUUCCGUCUGCUCUCCUCAUUUAAUACGGAGACUGAAACAUCGUCGAAAACUAGACUGUCCACUGGAUUGUUGUUCGUUAGGUUGAUGAUGAGUUGAUCAUACGAAUCUGGUAGACUUUGAAAUAGAAGCUCUGCACGUUCAUUUUCCUCUAUAUUAUGACCCAACGUUGUGAGUUGUGAAAAUAGAGUCUUCAAGGUGUUGAUGGGUCGGUCACUAUUGUAGAUUCCGCCAUUCGAAGAGUAUAAAGUUUCCUCUUCAAGAAGAUUUUGUUGUGUAGUGACUUGGCCUCGUAUAAUUUUGUGAAAGUAUCCCAUAUUUCUUUCGCUGUAUUUUUCUUUGCCACAUUGGAUAAUACUCCAUCCGCAAGUGCCAAGUGUAGAUCAGAAAUGGCGUUACUGUCUACCUUGUUCCACUUGUCAUCAGUUAUCUCCAUGGGCCUUUCUCCAAUUGCUGCCAAGCAAUUAUUUUUCCUCAAUACAACUUUCAUCUUCAUUUUCCAUAACGAAAAAUUGUUUCCGUUAAAUUUCUCAAUUUCAUACUUUGCCGCCAUUUUGUUGAUAAAUACCGCACACAAGCUAGUAUACCACCUUGAAUAGUUGUGAGUAUGUGUGAGAAUGCACACCAGGAAAGUUCUCAGGAAAGACUGAAGUGGUCACAAUGGUCCCACUUAAAACCCAGACUCUUUAAGUUCUUAUCACUUUUGUGACAGAACUUUCCUAGACAUGUACAAAACCACACAGUUGUUUUAAUCACACCACUAUUCCCUACUUUGCACCACAAAAUUCUUGGAUCGCUCCCACCGUUUCACAUGAAUAGUAUCGUAUAUGUGAAUAGUACCCCUUACGUGAACAGUACCCAAUUAAAAAAAAUACAACCAAUAGCUCUGAUACCACUGUUAGGAAAUUGGUGGGUGAAGCAGACACGAAGCUAAAAUGAAAUUGGAAGAAAAAUAAAGAACAAACACAAAGAGGACACCAGAAAUUACAUGGUUCGGCUUUUAGCCUACGUCCACGGGCGAAAACAGAAGGAAAUAUUUUACUAGUGAAAAGGAGUUACAAGUAUUGUAGUAUUUUAGCUCACUUCCCAAAAUCCCAAUACACCCAAACUCUUAGAACACUAAUCACUCAAGAGUUUAUUAAACUCUUAAUACUCUCAAUUCUAAAUGAAGGAAAUGCUUCUCUCUCGAUGGAAUAAAUUUGUUCAUUCUCUUCAUUUCUAUUUAUAGAGAAACUUUGCCACUAUUAAUCAAUUAUAUAUUAUUUCAUUAAUUUUUUUCUCUGCCCUUUACGGCCCGGCACCCAUUUUUUCUUCUUUCUUUCUUCUUUUUCUUCUUUCUCUUUUGUUUCUUUCUUUGGGCGACACCUCCCAACCAUGACUUUAACAAUGGGGUCAGAGUUUUUGUACAAAAUUUUUAGUGCAUGUUUGAUAUGGUUAUGUAAUGUUUGAUAUGAUUUAUUUAAUGACUAUAAAUACUUAUUUAAUUUUAUAAAUUCUUUCCAAAUUUUUUGUUGUUGUUUGUUUUAUUUUUAAGUAGAGCUUUUAAAGAGUAAAUAAGUUAUUUUACCUCUAUUAACAAAAGUUUAAAUUUUAUGUUUUUGGGAGCAGAUACAAUUUUAUUCUUGACUGAUUCAACAAUUUCAUGUUAAAAUGCAUAAAAUAUUCUUUACUGAUUUGACAAUUUUAUUUCAUUUAUUUCAUAUUAAAAUAAUUUUAUAAUUUUUUAUAAAAAUUGUUAUUGACAACCACACAACUAUUAUUUUUUUCCUUUGUGAAAGCUCUACUUAUCUAGUUAUAAUAGCUCUACUAAUAAAAUCUUUACCUAAAUAAAUUUUACUUAAAAAAUUAUACCAAAUGAGCGUUAGUCUCAAAAGAUAUAUCAUCCCAACAAGUAUAUAUAUCUAUAAUAAAUUGAAUAUACAUUUCACAAUAUCACAUGAAUUACAUACACUAGUGUUUUUUAAUUUAAAAUUUAAAAUUAUUUAAUGUUCGUAUUUUUUGAUGAUUUGGGAAUCAUUGUAUGCGCUAAAAGGCUGUGUAUUUAUUUAUAAUUAUAUAAUAAAAUUUAUUAAGUUAUUUGGUCCUUUUUAUUGUCAUUAAAAAUAACGCUUCAACAAUAAAUUCUCACACAGUAUGGGGAGACCCGAACUCUCCACGUUGAAGUUAAGGAGAGGAAGAAGGAAUGUAGGACCAACCAAACCAAGGCUUUUGGCUCAUCAAAUUGGAAUUAUUGUUAUUUUUAUUGCCCAAACGCAUGCGAUUAAAUAAAUUUUGUAAUUUGUUAAGACAUCUAUUUUAAAACAAUUUUCAGCACACAUGCAUUUUUCUUAACUCUUAUUUAAAAAUAUUCAAGAAGAAAGAGAGGAUAUACAUAAUUAAUUAAAGUCAUAUGGAUAGUAUCACACGAUUUUAUGUGUAUUGACCAGCUAAUUCAAUCAAUCGAUUGGCACGCGAUGCUUUGCUUUAUUAAGGAACGCAAAGUAUGUGAAUGCAAAAGAAAAUCUCUUAUUUAUGUUAACAGAUCUUAACAAUUGAACUGAAUAAAAAUGACACUCAUAUGAUUGAUAAGUAAUAAUAAUAUCCAUCUUUUUAUUUAAAUAAACAUAACACAGAAGACUAACAUUACACGUAUUGACUUAAUCAGUGUGGUAAGAAUUUCUCUCAUAUUGAUGGACAAUAAAAAAAUUAAAAUAUUCACUUUUGAUCUCAUCAUUAACAAUACGGGUCCACUAGAAACCCUAUUAACAACAAAUUUUACCGGAAAAAUUCCUAUUUGAUAGAAAUCUUAAUAAAAAAUGCGUAUAUUAAAAUGAGAAUUAUAUAUUAAUGAUAUUCAGCUCAAGUUAGCAUAAAAACCAAAACCCUGCGCAAAGAGUUCCCGUAAUCUUAAAAAAAAAAUAAAAGAUCUACUUCUGGCGAGCCGUAAUAAAAAAUCAAAAGUAGUAAAAUUGCUUUUACGAGUUUGUGCUUCUGGUCUGAUUGUAGAAUGAAGUAGCGAAUGGUGCCAAGGUGGAUUAAUUGUAGAUAAUUAGAUAAUGUACUAAUUAAUUGUAGAUAGUUAAGCAUGAGCCAUAUGGCUCACUGAUUAGCUUCUAAUAGAACAUAGUUUCUAAAUAGAUAAUCGAUAUUCGAGUUUGUCCGCAAUCUUAAUUGAACAUAAUUUUCUUUCAAAAUAUUAUUUAAUUUGGGAAAUGUGGACAGAACUGCCAAAAAGUAGUUGCCUUCUGAAACAUUUUUUAAUGUAGUAGUUGAAUAAAAAGGUUGCUCUGACUGUUGAUUCAUGAUCUUUGCCUGUCAACUGCAAAAUCUGUGAAUUAUUUACUCAAAUUCUAAGGGUGUAAAAUAAUAGCAAAUUAAGCUAAAUGCUUGUUUGGUUACUGAGAAAAUAGAUGAACUCUCUGGAAUAUUUUCUUUUUCAUUAACUGAAGCAAUCGUUACAGACUGUUUAUAUACACUUUAUUUCCAAGCUACAAUAGAUCAAAUAAGCAUUGCACUAAUUAACCAAUCAGAAUCUUGUAUCACUAACUAAAAGCUAAUCAACUAACUAAUAGUCACGUGAGCUUUCAACAAUCUUUAACAGAAUUAGCUGACUCAACACUGACAUGGCAUUACUGAAGAAUCUUUGACUGCUGGCUUCCUUUCUUGUUUUAACUCAGCACAGUGAGCUCUCUUCACAAAGGGCCACAAUCUUAAUUGAACAUAGUUUUCUUUCAAAAUAUUAUUUAAUUUGUGAAAUGUGGACAGAACUGCCAAAAUGUAGUUGUCUUCUGAAACAUUUUUUAAUGUAGUAGUGGAAUAAAAAAGUUGCUCUGACCAUUGAUCCAUGAUCUUUGCUUUGUCUUCCGCAAAAUCUGUGAGUUAUUUAAUCAAAUACUAAGGGCCACAAAUCCCGGUAAAUCAGUUUUACUGAUAUAAUAUAGCAUUGCAGGUGAUAUCCAUGUACUAGCUGGGAGCCAGAAUUGAAAGCUUAGAUUGAGAGGCAUGAGAGUAGGCAAUAGCAUCUGAUCUGCAACAUUGUUUCUUCAUCUGGUUUAUUUAAUGUUGAUUCAUUACUUGUUAUGUGGAUCAAGAUUCAUCGAACAAAGAUUGCUUUAACUUGGAUCAAGCUUAAUUAGGUCCUUAGCUACAAAAUAUCAUGAAUAAUGCUUGGAAAUAGCUAUGGCAUCCACAUGCAGCAUGCAGUGGACGUAUUUAAAUCUCUUUGUAAAUAAUCAAAAUAUUAAAGGGAAAAUUACAUGUUUCAGAUGAAUAUGGUCUCAAAACGGAGCUUUACAUAUAAACUGAAUCAAACCUAAGGUAUGGCAGAAAUCUCCGAGGGGAUAGGGAACUCAAAAAUUUUCUUUAUUUGGGGAGGGGACGGUGACAAUUUAAUAUUAAAACUUUCAUUCGAAAAAGAGACAAAAAUCAGGUGAAAUACUCAUCCAAUUCCAGUUUCCCCUAUUUUUUAAUUUUUAAUACUUUGGUGAUUGUAUUUAAAUUGUAUUAGCAUAUAGAGUCAAUGUGAAAAAUCCUAUUGUUUAUGAAAGUAAGAUAAAUAAACGAUAGUAAAAGAACUUGAAUGAAAUUUGUCAUUGCCUCUAUUAUUUGGACAAAAACUACCUUUAUUUUAUGAACAAAUCACAAAUGGAAGUGCCGCAAUUAUAAUGCUUUCAUUUCAUUUUUUAAAUAAAAGAAAUUUCCCUUUCUUUUGUCAACGGAAUCUGAUGAUUCACAAAUAUAAUCUUGUUGAUGACUUUUAUAGUAUGACUUUUAGAUAAUUUCGUAGAUUAUGUUGUAAUGUUAUUAAGACUGACUGACUUUGGCUGAAAUAUUUUUAUUUGAGUUUGGUUCAUAUUUUUGUGUUGAUAAUAUGAUUUUAUAGUUUUAUUGUAAUAAAAUUAAUUCAAAUUUAAAAAAGAAAAUAAUCAAUUACUCAAAGAUCAAGUACCCUCAUAUUUUCCUUUUUGUUAUUCGAGAAUCCUCAUAUUCUCCUCUCAAGUGAUUAUUCUCCUCUCAAGUGAUUAUGUAAAUGAUGGGCAAAAAUUAGUACGGGAAUAUCGAUCCUCUCCCCUUGCCCCCUCUCCGUUGCCAUCCCUAUUCAAAUCCCAAUGGUGGAACGGCCACAGCUUUUGCUACUAAAACUGUAAUAACUGAUAUAUACGAUUUGGUUAUAUAUUUCUAAUUUCUUUGUUUUCGGAAAUAUUAUUAUUAUUUUUAUUUCAGUGUUAUUAAAUUGUGUUUCUCGAAGUGCGUCACAAUUAAUAGUUGAAGGCUUGAAGCUUAAUACGUAAUAUACCAAAAUGAGCUCGUAUGGUUUUUAAUUUAUUUUGUUUUUCACAUCCUCGUAAGAAGAAAUCCUUUUGAACCAAAAAAAAAAAAAAACAGCAAAAGAAAGGACGAAGAAAGUAAUUAUUCCACAAGAUUGACAAACAACGUUUUAACUUUUGGUGGCUCGAAGAAAACAUAGUACAUAUGAUGAGGGUGAGGCUAUUUGCAUCCUCAAAAUUGCAACGAAUAGCAACAUUUUAAUAAAGUUUUGUAAUUAAUGAUAUUAUCGCAGUAAUGCACGCCAUUCCGGAAACAAAAGCAUGAUUAAUUAGUUAAGUUCUACCAUUGUCUUAACUUUGCCUGUGUCAAUAACAUACUUAUAUGCAGGUUAAUUUAUUCGAAAAAGGAUGAAGCUAUUCCAAUAAACACAUUCAACCAACGUUGGUGCUUGUGACGCAGCUAAACAAAUCAUAAUGCAUGCUACAGAUAACGGAUCAACCUCUGGAGUUUUAUCGUACAUAAAUUGUCAAGAUUAAGGGCUAUGGUUAAAUGAUUGUAAUAUGUGCUAAACAUGGUCAGGUCUACAAAAUAACUAAUUGUGAAAAAAGAAGACAAGCAAAGUAAUUAGCUACCAUUAGCAACUACCAAACAAAGGCUGAGUAAUAAUGCAUGGUAUAAGAUAACAGAUGGGUAACAUUAACGGCUAAAUUGAAUUCAACCCUUUUAAGCCAGAUUAAAUUCACUCCAAGACCGAAAUCUACACUCAAGAUACAAGAUUACCAGAUCGAGAAACUCACACAAUCAAUGAUCGACCAAGAACAGAAACAAAGUAAAAGCAAACACACAAGAUUUUAAGUGGUUCAGCACCUAUUGAUGCUGCCUACAUCUACUGAGAAUACGAGCUUCAAGCUUUCACUGUAUUGAAUCCAAGGGCUACAGAGAACACGAGAUGAAUAGAUAGAUUGCAAACAACAAACUUUUUCUCUUCCUCUCUCUCUCUCUAUUCUUACGAAUAAAUCUCAAGAGAACACACUAGAAUCAACUUUUUAAAGACUGUUUCUGGAUUUGUUAGCCUCCAGCCGGUUCCCGCCAAAACUAACAGCCGUAACUGCCUAUCACAUGUGACUUGUUUAAGUAGCAACAAAACUACGGCAACAGCAAGCCAUUGUAACUUAAAUAAUCACGUGUUAUACAAUAUGACAGUUUAAUGGCUGAGGACGACAUUACAGACUGUCGGUUUGGCUCCAGCGAUACAGAAAACGACAAGUCCUAUGAAUUUUUUUCUCAAAACGUCAUGUCGGUCCGUUGAGUUUGAGUUCAUUUUCAGCAAAAAUUAUGAAAAAUUAUCGGUCACUUAAUUAAUAAUAAGAGCAUCUCCAAAAGGCUCUAUAAAUUUUACUCUUCAAAUACUCAUUUGCUUACCUAUGUGGCAAAUAGAUGAGUGAAAAAAAAUAUUGUUUUCCAAAAGACUCUUCAAAUAGAAAUGAGUUAAUAUUAUUUUAAUUAAAUAACUAUUUUAAAAAGGAAAAGUGAAUAGUAAUUAAAGCACAUUUCUCUUUUUCUUCAACAAAAAGUAAUAAAAUAUAAAUUGAAGAGGGAGAAAGUAACUCUUCAAAUUUGAAGAGAGAGGAUCAUUUCUUAUUUGAAGAAUCUUAAUUGGAGUGUCUUUUGAAGUCUUAAAUGUUGAUGUAACUCUUUAAAUAAGUAAUAAAAUCUUAUUUGAAGAGUCUUUUGGUGAUUAUCAUCACCCAUGCUUAAAUGAUUGUAAAAUGUGUGAAACAUGAUUUUGAAAGCCACUUGAAUAAUUUAAUUAACUAAAUAAAAAAAAACAAAUUUUGACUCAACGGUCCAAAAUAAUUUAAUUAAAUAAAAAGUAAAUUCAAAGCAAUGCAAUUUCCAUCGGAAAGCCAUAUGAAUUUUCAUGAUUGACAAAAAUUUAAUCUUUGUUCAUAAUUUUAAAUAUAUACAUAUAUACCCACACACAUAUAUAUGGAGUCGUUUUCUAGCCAUUUUGAGAGUUAAGGGUUACUAUAUCUCUUCCUAAAUAGGAGUAUAUUGUUCUUUAUUUUUAGUAAAGUUGCCUCGGCAGUUCAGCUUUAUUAUAAUAGGGAAAAAAAAUAUGGAUUUGUUUUCAAACUUGGGAAUCUUUGAUUUUAUUAAAAUUUGGGAUGAUUUGAUAACAAUUCUAAAUUUUAAGUUUGGACUCAGACUCAGACUUAAAAUACAUACACAAACACACACACACAGACAUGUGCGCACACACACACAAAGAGAUAAAUUUUUGUCUAGGCUAUCUUUCUCAGCAUAUAAUAUAUGUAUAAUUUUUGUCAUAUCUUAUUUAAUAAAUUUGGACUUUUUUAUAUUAUAUUAUAUUCAUUCAAAAUCCAAUGUAAUCAAUAUCCACUUAAAUGUAAAACAAACCCAACAUAUUAAAGUCCCAUACAACUAAAACAAGAAUUGGACUACUUUUUAGAAUGGAACUAUUAACACUCUAAAAACUUCUUCUAGAAUCCCUUUAUCUCAAAUUUACAUUCUUAACUCUUAAUUAAAUUAACUCAUUCUACAUUUCCACCGCUUAUCAUAAUUAAGAUAAAUGUGUGACAUUUCAUCUUUUUGCUUUGUCUAAAGUCUAACCCCACCAAACUUUUCCUUUUUGUUAAAUGAAAAAAAAGGUAAAUGGAAAACACUUUUUCUUUUCCUUUUUAUAAUAAAGAAGCCUUUCUAAAAAAAAUAAAUAAAUAAAGAAGCAUUUUGCAUUGAAAUUGGCACUAACUAUAACAAAAGAGAACCUCAUAAUCAACUUGAAAAAUAGAAAAUAAUAAAAAAUCUCAAGACGUAGGAAGUUAUUUUAAGAUUUUAUUAAUUUUAAAUUUUUUAUUUUAAUUAGAGUCCAUUAUGAUAUGUGUCUUAAUCUUUUAUUUCUACUGUAAUUGUGAUUUAGUUUUACUUUUUAAGUUAAUUAUGAAAAUAGGUUCAUUUUAUUAUAGAUAGAGAUGCCUUAUUAUUGUUUUCAUAACUUCGACAUUCUAAUUAAUAAAAACCGCUUUUUUAUAAUUCUUUUUGGGGUUAUCUUUUAAAAAAAAAAACUCUUUGGUAGAGUUGUUUAGAUUAGAACGUCAUCUAAUCUCGCUUAACACAUUAUUAAAAAUCUUAUUAAGUCGUUUCGAUUAGAGAAAAAUCUAAUUACAUUUCGAUUAGAGUGUAAACUUACAUUAUCAAUUCUGCUUCUGUUCUCCUACUUCAUCAAUUGAUAUUAGAGUGACUCAGUACGAAUCUCAUAUCUUUCUUGGCCACCAUAUCUGUCCAGCACAAAUCACCCAAAUCCUCUAAAUCCUUCACAGCUGUUUAUCCAAAAACAAAAUAAAAAACAAAAAAAUAAAAAAUCCUAAAAUUUGAAACCCUAUCCGUCGCAACACGUACCACAACUACUGCAGCUAUAAUCCAGCAACUAUCACCACUUGCCGCUACCAACUCGCCAUUAUCCGUCAAUCGCUGCCAUCAUAAACUAUUGUGGGCACCAAUGCACAAUAGCCACCCAAACCCGUAUGCUCCAUCAUUCAACCCACUACUGUUCAGCCGCCUUCACUAGUAGCCAAUACCACCAUAAAACUCACCAGCCAUCAUUGACAAGCCCUAGCCAAUCCCGCCAUCAACUGCCGCUUGUGCAUGCUGCAAAUCAUCUAAACACCUGAGCACUUCACUAGCCACUAUCACAAAUCCAGCCACCUUUACCAUUGACUGAUAGCACUACCUCAUUUCCUUGUUCGUGGUAUAUACUAAUUGUGGGGAAUGAAAAAUGUAGAAAAAUACAACAAUAAUGGUGGAACUUUACUGUAUAAAGCAAUGUGUUUACAAAAUAGUAAUAAGUAAACUGUAAAAAAUUUGUGUACUUCAAGACACGUUACAAAUGUCACUUUCCUUAAGACGUUAUUUGCCCCCACUAAUUAAGUGAUGUACAUAGUUAAGCAAAUACGCCUCUAGGAUGCAAUAAAGCACUUGUUUGUUUGCUUGCAUUGUGCAUCAAUGAAAGCAAAUCAGAAUACUCCUGAAUGUUGCAAGCCUGCUAAGAAACAAUAUAUUGUUCCUGCAGAAAAUAAUAUAUUGGAUUUUUAAUGCACAAAAGAAAUGAAUGUUUAUGUUGAACUUCGUUCUAGAGAAGAAGGUUAAGAAAAGAGUGGUGUUGGAUCAUUAUUUUCUUGUCUAAAUGGAUUAAACAUGACCUCUGUUUAUAGAUAUACUUGUGCCCCUUCAUUCGGGUUGUCAUCUUUCAUUAUAUCCCUUUAUUCAUGACCAUUGGAUCUAAAUUUAAUUUUAAUCAAUGGUCCAAAUUGAACCAUCACCAUUUCAAAUGAAAUGUCACCAUGAAAUGAUUCAUUCUAAGUGAAAUAUUACCAUGAAAAAUUAUAUCCUUUAGUAAAAAAAUACCUUUUCUAUAAAGCACAAUUAAAUGGACUUGUCCUCCCAACAAGACAUCAUUCAAUUAGAUAUGUCUUUAGUGAAAUGUACCUUUUUCUAUAAAGCACAAUUAAUUGGACAUGUCUUUACCAUAAGACACCAUUUAUUUUGAAAAUUUUCCAACAUUCCCUCUAGCCAAAAAUCCAAAACCAAUUGCCAACAACCUUUUUUUCUUUUCUUUUGUAAUUUCACUACCAAAAUUCAGCCAUAAAUUGCCACAAUCCACUAUAAACCGCCGCCACUUAAAGUCAAUUUUUUGACCAAACUACUGCGAAUUUGGCCAAUCCUCGACCACCAUUGUGCUCCUAACCACCAUAUCUACUAAAUUCAACCAUCACAAACCAAAUCACGGCCACCAGUCGCUGACCACAACAAACAUGAAAGUUUAGCCUUAUUUAUAGUUUUGCCAUUGGCUUUGUAUUUGUGAUGAAAAAUUUAGAAGGCGUCAUGUUCUAAAUGCUUGAUGAAAAUUGCUUUCUUGGAUUUUUUUUUCAUAGUUAGAUAAGAUUGAUCAAGAUUAUAAAAUUAGAGUGUCGAAGUAUGAACAAAUUCAAUUUAUAGCUGAUUUUUUUUAUUAAUAAUGAAUGUUUUAGAAUGAUAGAUUAGAGCGCAACAACACAGAUUGCUUUGCAAAGGUCCUCUUAAAACUAUUCAUGCAAAUGUAUGAAAGAAUGUUGAGAUUGAGAUUCAUUCCACCGAGUUAUUGUUUGAUACAACAAGAUAUGUGAUCAACUUCUAAUUAUGCUUCUAAGUUAUAGAAGCAAAUAUUAUUAUGAACCUGAAGAGAUACAAUUACAAGAUUUGUGAGGGGGCUUGAUUUACAUUUUCAAAAUAAAAUGCCGACAUACACUAUCUACACUUUACAGCAUGCAAUUCAUUUAGUUAUACAUAAAUCGAGUUGAAAAUUUAGGCAUAGAUUCAAAGAAACUUAGAUAAUGUGCUUAAAAGAAUUGACGAGGAUUUAAUCAAACAAUGGUGUGUGUCUAUGAUAGUGCCUUAAGAUGUACCAACGAGUUCACCUAUUGUUGCAGUAGAAGACUAACUUGUGAUGCUAAAAAAUGAUUUAAAGUUUCAAUAUGACUAUUCGUAUAAGAAUAUACAUGAUGUUUCCUUAGAGGACAAGACAAGUGUUAAAAUGAUCAACUAAUAAUUGAUUUGAGUACUGAGCUUAAUAAUAUAAUCAACAUUGUACUGUAAAAUCAAGUUGAAGAAACUUUAGCAAUGAUUGCCAUGUUUAUGUAUCUAUGUUGAAAAUCAAACAGUUAUUCUUGAAGAAAAUUUGACUGCAAAGAUAAAGUUAAUUGGCAAAAACAUUGAGUGAGAUUUGGCAAAAAACUUGAGAGGCUUGAAAAUUGUUUAAGAAUGAUUAAUUUUUUACUCAAAUUAUUUUUCAUACAUUUUAAAAAAAUCAUUAUUUUGAUAAUAUAAGGGUUUUAUACUUAAAGGAAAAAUAAUUUUAUAAAAUUAGUUAUUUUUUAAGUUCAUAGUCUAAUUGAAAAAGUUUUAAAACUACAAAAAGGACUUAUUUGUAAAUUUUUAUGAAGAUUUGGGCUAUAUUAUAAUUAUAGAACAAUUUGGGAUAAAACUAUAAUUUUUGGAAAAUAGUUUUACUGUAUCAGUCACUGUAUCAUACGGCUAACUAUUUGUGGAAAACGACGAACUGAUAAUUCCUAGAAAGCAUGUUCUACAAAGGAUUGUUAAAAUGAUAAUGCUAGAAAAUAACGGUGAACCGUUUACUGAAAACGGUAAACCGAUUAUUUGAAUUUCAGCCCAACGGUCACUUGGACUAAUCAAAACGGUAAACCGAUAGCUGUUAAUGGCGAUCCGAUUUGUUACAGAAAGUCAAUAACGGCUAAUUUUCAGCUCCAAUUAUAAAUAAACUCAAUCAAAUUCAAAUAAGAAAAGAUCCAAGAGUUAUCAUUGAGCUUGUUAUUGAGUAUACAACCAUUAUUGAGCUCUAAACUUGUUUUUGUUUUAUUCAUUCACACAUUUACCUUUCAUUUGUAAUCAAACAUAUUGUCUGAGAGAAAAUUCAUGUAUAAUCUUGAAUUUUGAGUGAUAGGAAGUGUUGGGAUACACUUGGGUUAAGAGAUUGAGGAUAAUCUCUUGUUGUAAAGGUCUAUUGACCCCUUGGAAGUCAAUUGUAAGUAUUUGAAGCCUUGGAGGCUUGGAUAGCGAAAUCCUCAAGCCCGAUGAGCUUGGAGGCGUGGACGUUGAUAGAAAUUACCAAACCACGUAAAAAUCAUUGUGUUUAUUCUCUCAUCCCUUACUCUUUUAUUAUUAUGCUUUAUUAAAUUUUUUUAUUUUAUUUCAUUAAAGCAAUAGAUUGAAUUGUUGUGCGGUUUGUUUAGCUUAAGUUUUAAAAUCCCCAUUCACCCUCCUUUUGGGUUGCUUAGAUAGUAUUUCAGCUUAAUGCGUUAUUAAAAAUCUCAUUGAAUUGUUUGGAUUAGAAUGAGAUCUAAUCACGCUUUAAAUAGAGUAUAACCUAAUCAUGCUUGCUUUGUUUGGUACUGAAACGAUAUCUAGUUUUUACUACCUUAUCAAUUCUGCUUCCAUUGCCUCGCUCCAUCACCAAAAAUCCCCGAUGGCCAUAUUUUGAAUAACAAUAUUGCAAAAGAUUGGCUUUUUAAGACAUUCUGUGGAUAUUUUCCUUGGCUUGAGUUUGAGAAUCCUCCUAAUCCUUUGAGAAACAAGGGUAUAAGAAUAUUUAUAGAACUAAAGGGAAGUAAUUAGUGGGAAAGAGAUUCUAAUUAAUUUUUAACGGGUGUGAUUAAAAUAGGGAUUUAUGAGAGCAAUAGAAUAGUUAUACAAUUCAAUACAAGUCCAAUACAAUUGAAGCCCACUUAAAUGUAUAAUCAACCCAACGAAUACUUAGAAUAGUAAUAAACUACCAUAGCGAAUGGGAAAACUCGAAUUCUUUACCUUAUUGUUAACAAGAGAAAUGCCAACCAACGAAACCAAGGUUUAUUGGCUAAUCGAAUUGGAAUUAUUGCUAUUUUUAUUGCUCAAAUGCAUGUGAUUAAAAUAAUCUUUUUAAAUUUAAUAAAAUAUUUAUUUCAAAACAAUUUUGAGCAUACAUGCAUAUUUCUUAACUCUUAAUUUAAAUAUAUGUGAUUUAGGUACCAUUCAUUCUUUAUUAAUAAAAGAUCACAAUUAUUAAUAGAAUGGCCAUCUCAUUGGACCUAGAUCCAUUUGAAUGUUACAAAUAUUGGGAUUAUGUGCUCUUUAAAACAUAUUAAUUUUCUGAUUAAUAAAAUAUUUGAGAUAGUUUCAAUUGCAUAAAUAUUUUGAAUAAGGUCCAUUUAAUCAUAUUAUAUGUUUAUGUGAUCAUCAUAUGAAUUCACAUUAGAUAUAAAUACAAGUUAUCUUAUGAUUAAAUAAAUUUAAUUUGCAGUUGAUAAAUAGAGUUGGGCGCUCUAUUUAUGUUUAGACUGUAAUAAAUUCAUUGAAUGAUUUGUCUUAAUCAGGUAUGAAUUUAUUGAUGUAGUACGAUUACAUUGAAUAGGAUCACUUAUGAAAUUUAAUUAACUUUAUAAUAACUGUCAGACUUAUUAAGUUUUAUCGGCAUUGAUUUUACUGUAAUCUUAAUCUUGAGUUAGUUAUAAUUUCAUGAUUGUAAUUGUUAGUCCAUUUGAGUUACUAAUAGGUACGACACAUACUUGUAGUCAAGAUUAUCCGGUAUCUUAGUGGGAGCAAUUUUGAGUAUUGAAGUUAUAGAUUAACAAUAUAGAAUUUGUACAACACAUAUCAUAGAAUUCUCUGGCCAGAGUGUGUCAACAUAUUUAGUAUGUUGAAAAUGAUCAUUAGAGAAAACCUGUAAGUAUCAAGGAAUAAGAUGUAAUUAAAUUGACUGGAGAGUUGAGAUACCAAGUAAAUUAAUGAUGUGGUACAAAGGAUUAUACAAUAACGAAAUCAAUGUGGCAUGGGUCGAAUUAUUAUUCGAGAAUACUAUCCUGGAUAGCAUACAAUUAUAGAGGUCAGUUCCAAUUUUUUAGUAGAGUAGAUUUAGAAUUAAAUAAUUGGACUAGUUUAAUGUUAGAGUGCAAUUUAUGCACUAGUUUUGCAUUGUUUACUUCCCUUAAUAUCGAUGUUUUGCACUUAAUAAUAAUGUUUUACUUGUGUUUUACUUUUGUAGGUGCAAUUCUAUUGAUUGAUGAUAAAAUUGAGCUAAAAGAUGAUGUUUAAGGAGGAUUGUUCUCUUGGAGAAAUUUCUGAGCGUCAGAAGAACUUUGUUGAUAAGGCGUGGGCGCGUGCUGUCAACUGCGGACCUGCAGUUUUUAGUUUAACGUGUUUUGUAUUUUUGGUUAUUUUUGUAAUUACGAAUUUAAUAUUUCAGAUAUUAGUAUUUUAUUUUAAAUAGAAUUCUAAAAGAGAAGAGAGAGAGAGUAUUUAAGGGAGGAAUCUAUUGUGAAAAAGGGGGAUUUUGGAUUGGAGAAAAAAAAACCCUAGAUCUAAUUUUUCUCUUCUCUCUAUGAGGAACUAAACCAAUUUUUCUGGUUGAAGGUUAAUGAAACUUUGAUUCAUCACUACUGUGAGAUCUUUCUUGUGCUUUAAUUGUUUUAUUACUUUUUGGGUAUUUGUUUAUUCUCUGAAUUAUUUUCAUGAUUAUGUUUGUUAAUUAGGUAAUUGGCCACUAUUUAAUUAUCAACUUAAUCUAUUGUCAAUUAAAGGAUUCAUCGUAUGAAGAAUUUAAUGUUUGUGACAAAUAACAUAGCAGAGAGUUGUGUUGUGAGAAUAAACAAUCUAAUUUAAAUGAAUCAUCAUAUGUGUUGAUUAUGAUUUGGGUCUCUCUGGUUUUUCAGGCUGUCAAUUGAUUAAAUUCUAUGAUCGUAUCUAGGGUUGUCUAUUGAUUAGGGAAAUAACCAACGGUCGUACCUUGGUUAUCGACUAGUUAAGGAGAGAUUGGCUAUUAGAGGGUCUCAGUAGCUAUAACCGGUCUAUUCAUGAGUAAUAAUAAUCUAUAUUUGAAUCAAUGAUCAGUAGUCGAAUCAAGCUGAGUUAAUUCCUUCAACCAGAGCUUUCUCCAAUUUGAAUUACAACUUUAAUUUACAUUCUUGUUAUUUUAAUUUGAUUUUUAUUAUUGUCAACAAUUCCCCUAUUUUACGUUUUACGUUUCAAAAGGAUUUAAUUAAUUACCGAUCUCUGUGGACACGACCCUGCUCAAUCACUAUACACAAUUUAUUUAGAGUAGGAAUUUAUUUUUGUUGGCUUCGACACCCAUCAAAUUUUGGCGCCGUUGCCGGGGAUUGGUGUCAUUUAUUUAAUCCUUUUUACGUUUUACUUGGUGUAUGGUUCGUUCUUCUCGUACAGGUACACUUUCGUUUGAUCCUGAAAUUGAGAAGACAGCUCGCCAGCUGAGACAGCAGACUAAGCGAGCUAAGCAACGAUCCUCGUCGCCUUUGCUUUUUGAAACAGAUACGGUGCCUAAUUUAGUUGAAUCAUCUAGCGAUUCGGAAGAACAAGUGAUGGAUAGACCUGCACCUGUAGAAAGAACUCUUAGAGAGUUAGCUGAACCAGACUUGAAUCAGCAACCACUCUGCAUUCAAUAUGUAGAUUUGGAGGUAAAUUUUGAAUUAAAGUCUGGUCUUAUUCAUUUAUUACCCAAGUUUCAUGGUUUUGCAGGUGAAGAUCCUCAUAAACAUCUUAAGGAGUUUCAUGUUGUGUGUUCAAGUAUGAGACCACAAGGCGUGACUGAAGAGCAGAUUAAGCUGCGUGCUUUUCCGUUCUCUGUAGAUGGGCUAGCUAAAGAUUGGUUGUAUUACUUGCCUCCUGGAUCGAUUACAACGUGGAAUGAUUUGAAGAAGCAGUUCCUCGAGAAGUACUUUCCUGCUUCAAGAGCUGCUAACAUCAGAAAAGACAUUUGUGGGAUCAGACAACUUCCUGGGGAGACUUUAUAUGAGUAUUGGGAGCGAUUCAAACAAUUGUGUGCCAGCUGUCCUCAGCAUCAGAUUUCUGAUCAACUUCUUAUUCAAUAUUUUUACGAAGGAUUAUCAUUGAUGGAUAGGAGUAUGAUAGAUGCUGCUAGUGGAGGCGUGUUGGUGAACAAGACCCCUACUCAAGCAAGGGAGUUGAUCUCAAAUAUGGCUGCCAAUGCACAACAAUUUGGCAGCAGACAAGAUGCCACUUCAAGAACGGUGAAUGAGGUAAAUAUUUCUUCUGUUGAACAACGUUUAGAUAAACUUACUUCUCUUGUGGAAAAGUUUGUUGUAGGUAAUGUGCAACAGGUGAAGACUUGUGGCAUUUGUUACAAUAUGGGUCAUUCAACCGAUAUGUGUCCUACACUUCAAGAAGAACCCGCUGAACAAGCCAAUGCAGUUGGAGGAUUUCCAGGCAUGCCUCAGAGGAGGUAUGAUCCUUAUGCACAAACAUACAAUCCGGGAUGGAAGGAUCAUCCCAACUUCAGCUAUGGAGUUAGGCCGUCAGGAUUCCCACAACAGUAUCCACCAAGACAACCAACACCUCCACAGUCAAACUCCAAGUCAGGUAUAUCUCUUGAAGAAAUUGUUAAAUCACUUGCGACUAACACUCAACAAUUUCAGCAGGCAACUACAACAAGCAUUCAGAACUUGGAGAACCAAAUGAGUCAAUUGGCGACUACAGUGAGCCGUCUGGAGUCUCAAGUAUUAGGGAGAUUGUCUUCACAAUCUGAGGUGAAUCCAAAGCAAAACGUUAGUGCUGUCAUCCUUAGAAGUGGGACGGAGUUGCAAGAGUCUAGUAAGAAAGUGACAAAGCAUGUAGAAGAUGAGCUUGAGAAGAAUGAAUUAAUGCCUCAAUCUCAAGAUGCACAACCCACCAAAGCGAAACCCCUACCUAUUGUGAUACCUCCUCCUUUUCCAAGCCGAUUUGCAAAAUCCAAGAAGGAGGAACAAGAGAAAGACAUCCUUGAGACAUUUCGCAAGGUUGAGGUAAAUAUUCCUUUAUUAGAUGCUAUAAAACAAAUACCUCGAUAUGCUAAAGUCCUUAAGGAACUGUGCACCUCCAAGAGAAAAUUAAGAGGAGAUGAAAAAGUUCACAUGGGGGAGAAUGUUUCAGCAGUUCUCCAAAAGAAACUACCUCCUAAGUGCAAGGAUCCAGGUAUGUUUACUAUCCCUUGUAAAAUUGGUAGUGUUAGAGUUGAAAAGGCUUUGUUAGAUCUAGGAGCUUCUAUUAAUGUCAUGCCUCGUUCCAUUUAUUCAUCUUUGAAUAUUGGUCCAUUAAAAGAAACUGGUGUGAUAAUUCAACUAGCUGAUAGGUCUAAUGCAUAUCCUGAUGGGGUAUUAGAAGAUGUCUUAGUACAAGUUAAUGAGUUGGUUUUUCCUGCUGAUUUUUAUGUACUUGAUAUGGAAGAUGAUAACUCCUCUAAUUCUGUCCCAAUUUUGCUAGGAAGACAUUUUCUUAAGACUGCUAGGACUAAAAUGGAUAUACAUAAAGGGACUCUCACUAUGGAGUUUGAUGGAGAGGUUAUAGAAUUCAAUAUGAAUGAUGCCAUGAAAUAUCCUAGUGAGGAACAUUCGGUAUUUUCUGUGGAUGUUAUUAACCCUAUAGCGCAGGAAAUGUUUUACAAGGAAAAGACGAAGACAUUUCAUGAUAGAAUGAUUUUGAGAAAGGAGUUCUCUGUUGGUCAAAAAGUUCUUCUUUUUCAUUCUAAGCUUAAACUUUUUCCGGGUAAAUUACGUUCUUGCUGGGUUGGACCUUUUAUUGUUACUAAUGUUUUUCCUCAUGGUGCAGUUGAGAUUCGGAGUCCGACCUCUGACAGAGUUCUUAAAGUUAAUGGUCAUCGCUUAAAACCUUUUUAUGAAGGUUUUUCGGUGAAUAUUGUGGAGGAUGUGGCUCUCGAGAGUCCAAAUUAUGGAGAUUGAUACAUAAAUGUGUCUAGCCAAAGACAUAAAACAAAGGCGCUUUUUGGGAGGCAACCCAAAUGAUUUGUUUAUUUUGGUUUUUGUUUUAUCUUCUUUAAAAAAAAAAAUAAAAAAAAAUGAAAAAUGAAAAAAAUGAGUUUGCUUAUUUUGUUCAGAAGAAAAUUUUUGAUAAGGCGUGCCCACGUACUUAUUAGAAAAGUACUUCUGAAAUUUUUAAUGUCUCAAAGUUUUAAGGCGUGCCCACGUACUUAUUAGAAAAGUACUUCUGAAAUUUAAUGUGUUUGCUUAUUUUGGUCAGAAGAAAAUUUUUGAUAAGGCGUGCCCACGUACUUAUUAGAAAAGUACUUCUGAAAUUUUUAGUGUCUCAAAGUGAUUCAUCAAAAAAAAAAAAACCAAAAAUCAAAAAUCAUCAUUUAUUUAUUUAUUUUCGUUCCUUUUUUUUAUAUAUUUAUUUAUAAAAAAAAAACCAAAAAUCAAAAAUCACUGUUCACAAAUCCCUAAUUCAAAAAUUACUGUUGAUUAUCGUUUUACAGCAGAACCAGCCCCAGCCCGAGCACGCAACCCAACAAGCGUCACCAGUGCAGCACCAGCAAUCCCCCAGCGCGCAGCAACAGCUGCAGCACGCAGAUCCAGCGUCACCAGUUUGUAGCAUCAGUCCCAGCCCACACGCGCAACACAACCAGCACCAACCCGCGAAGCACAACCAUCCGCGCGCAACUGAACCAACAGCCGUGUACCCGCAAGCUCCAGUCGAGCAACAAUAGUCCGCAACCAGCCUACGACCUGCAUUCCAGCCGCGUGAAUCGAAAUCCGUGACAAGAUGGAGCAGAAUUUGGCCGCAUACUUCGAGAGUGUGGGAUUUACCCCACCAUUUCCGCCAAGCCCAUAGAUGUUAUGUGGAUCAAAGCUCACAAUUCAGGGAAGUUUCUUUUUGCCCUUAAACUUUUAUCCUUACGCUUUAAUUUUUAUGUAAGCUUUGAUUAUCUUACAUUGGGGACAAUGUAAGUUCUUGGUGUGGGGGAGGGAUUUUUGCAUUAUUGAUGUCUGGAAUUAUUAUUUUCACUCUACUUAUCUUUUUUUCACUCUACUCAUCCUUAAAUGAUUUUGGAGUUAGUAUGCUUUAUAUAUUAUUAAUUUUCUUUUCCUUUAUCUCUCACUACUUUUCUCCCAUCUAUCUCAAACUAUUCAUAUCUAUUUUUAUUUUACCAUACUCUUUCAUCACUCACAUUUUAUCUUUCACUUUUCAUAUUACUACAUACAUCUUUCUCACUUCUUAUCAUUUUUACUUUUUCUUUUAUAUAUCACUCAUACCUUCUUCUCAUUCUACACCACUAUUGAUGGUUGAUUCAUUUGAAGAGUGUACAUGAUUUGAUGGCAAAUUUACCAACUUUGUGAGGAUUUGAGCCUAUGAGCAACCACUUUGCUCUAAUUAUUUUUGUUAUGUGAAUAUCAAUCCUAGUUUGUUUAUUCUAGAACUUGCUUUGUUAUGCAUGUUGAAGCCACAUUACGGGAUUUUAGGCAUUAAAAUGAUAAGGGCAAACCAUUUACCAUUUUUCUAUUCUCGCAUUUUCCUUUUUCUCUACCCGAAGACCUUUAUUUGCUACCUUUGUUUGAGCCUUUACCAUUACCCAUCUAAUUCUCUCCGUCUACUUAACCAUUUUUCUUCUUUUUGAGCCUCAAUUUAAGGAGAUUUUUGGACUCAUUGUGUGGAUAUAUUUUGUUGCUUUUUCUACCUUGUAUUGAAGUUUCUCAAUUAGAUCAACAAGCAUUAUGCUUGAAUUAAAUUGUGCAAGGUUCGUUUCUUUUGUUUGAUUCGAAAAAAAAAAACAACAAAAAAAAAUGAAAAAAUGAAAAAGAAAAGGAAAAAAAAAAAGAAAAAGAAAAAUCGAAAAAAAAAUGUUUACAUUCUUGGUGACUUGAGUAGAAAUAAGCAUUUUGAUAUCAUAAGUUCAUUCAAUGAGUUCAUUCUUCUCAUUUUGAUCUCUUUUUCUUUCGUAAACCUUUCUUUUUCAUUUAACCCAUUUAACCCCAUUACAACCCUUUUAAGACCCUUAGAUUUUUGCAUUUUAUUCAUGUUUUGUGGAUUGAGAUGUGAUUUAUGAGCAAGCUUAUGGUAAUAGCAUUCUUUGAUUUGAUUUGAGUGGAUAAAUGACACCCUAAACACUUUGAGUGCAUGGAGUGAAGUUAUUGAGAGGGCUAUUACAUCUUGUUGCACUUGAAUUUUGAAUGGAUCUUCUUGGUGGUUGAAUGUUCUUAUUCUAUCUUAUGAGAUUCUAUGCUUUAAAAUCCUUGUCUCUCGAAUGUUGAUCGACUUAAUUUCUUGAGGUAUGCUUGCUUAAAAUUAUUUUUGGAUGAGUUGAGAUGAGAAUUGAGUGGAGAUUUGGGAUUAAUCUUGAGUUAUAUGCUUGAGGACAAGCAUCAUCUUGGUGUGGGGGAAUUUGUUAGAGUGCAAUUUAUGCACUAGUUUUGCAUUGUUUACUUCCCUUAAUAUCGAUGUUUUGCACUUAAUAAUAAUGUUUUACUUGUGUUUUACUUUUGUAGGUGCAAUUCUAUUGAUUGAUGAUAAAAUUGAGCUAAAAGAUGAUGUUUAAGGAGGAUUGUUCUCUUGGAGAAAUUUCUGAGCGUCAGAAGAACUUUGUUGAUAAGGCGUGGGCGCGUGCUGUCAACUGCGGACCUGCAGUUUUUAGUUUAACGUGUUUUGUAUUUUUGGUUAUUUUUGUAAUUACGAAUUUAAUAUUUCAGAUAUUAGUAUUUUAUUUUAAAUAGAAUUCUAAAAGAGAAGAGAGAGAGAGUAUUUAAGGGAGGAAUCUAUUGUGAAAAAGGGGGAUUUUGGAUUGGAGAAAAAAAAACCCUAGAUCUAAUUUUUCUCUUCUCUCUAUGAGGAACUAAACCAAUUUUUCUGGUUGAAGGUUAAUGAAACUUUGAUUCAUCACUACUGUGAGAUCUUUCUUGUGCUUUAAUUGUUUUAUUACUUUUUGGGUAUUUGUUUAUUCUCUGAAUUAUUUUCAUGAUUAUGUUUGUUAAUUAGGUAAUUGGCCACUAUUUAAUUAUCAACUUAAUCUAUUGUCAAUUAAAGGAUUCAUCGUAUGAAGAAUUUAAUGUUUGUGACAAAUAACAUAGCAGAGAGUUGUGUUGUGAGAAUAAACAAUCUAAUUUAAAUGAAUCAUCAUAUGUGUUGAUUAUGAUUUGGGUCUCUCUGGUUUUUCAGGCUGUCAAUUGAUUAAAUUCUAUGAUCGUAUCUAGGGUUGUCUAUUGAUUAGGGAAAUAACCAACGGUCGUACCUUGGUUAUCGACUAGUUAAGGAGAGAUUGGCUAUUAGAGGGUCUCAGUAGCUAUAACCGGUCUAUUCAUGAGUAAUAAUAAUCUAUAUUUGAAUCAAUGAUCAGUAGUCGAAUCAAGCUGAGUUAAUUCCUUCAACCAGAGCUUUCUCCAAUUUGAAUUACAACUUUAAUUUACAUUCUUGUUAUUUUAAUUUGAUUUUUAUUAUUGUCAACAAUUCCCCUAUUUUACGUUUUACGUUUCAAAAGGAUUUAAUUAAUUACCGAUCUCUGUGGACACGACCCUGCUCAAUCACUAUACACAAUUUAUUUAGAGUAGGAAUUUAUUUUUGUUGGCUUCGACACCCAUCAUUUAAUUACAAGCCUAAUGAUUGUAGCCACUAUUAUAUGUACCGGAAUGAUCCCCGGGUUAGCUCAUUUAAUUAAUUUCGCCGCUAUUGGAUUAAUAAACAAGAUAACUAAUUAUUUGGAUUAAAAGCCUAAAUAUAUUAUUUAGUGGGAGACUCCAUAUAAUAUGCUUGUGUGUAAGGGGCCUUGUGUUAUUUUACAAGGUGGGCCCCUAUAACACAAGAAGAAGUAACGUUACUUUUGGUAUUAUUAUUUUUAAUUUAAAUCAUAUUUGAUUUAAUAGAAUUAAAAAAAUAUAAAAAUAGGGAGCCUAGGGUUUCCACUAGAUAGAGAUAUAAAAUGACUUAUUUUCUCCCAAAAGAAGAGAGAAGCCACAUUAUACAAAUCAAAGAAAAAUAUUUUCUCUCUAAUUUUGAGAGAAAUUUUUUUUGCUGUUAGUUGCUUUUAGUGGUGAUUAAGGCGCCCACACGUUAAGUGCAGAUCAAACCUGAGUUAUAACCUGGAAAAUCAUUAGUGAUGAAUCAUGAUCCAACAAGCGUGGUAGUGACGGAUCGUGAUCUAACAGGCGUGGUGGUGACAGAUUGUGAUUUGAGAGUCUAGAUUAAUUCAGGGAAAAAGCCAAAUCAGAUUAUCAAGGUAUGAUUUUCUAGAUUAUGAUUUUCUAUAAUUAUAUGAGAUCGGUCCUAAAAGUUUUUAUAAAAAUUUUAAAAAACUGAGUUUUGCCCAACAACAAGUGGAACCUCAAUUCUCGGGAGAGCUUGCUUUUGAACUUUUUAGUUGUGGUAUAUAUCAUACAUGUAUAUUGUCAAUGAAAUAUUCAAGAAUAAAGAGAGCAUAAAAUUAAUUAAAGUAGGCGUGUGAAUUGGUAAUAUGCAUAUUUGUCCACUAUUAGCGGAUAAAAUGAGUUCUGAUACAGAAACUGUCACAUGAUUUUAUGUCUAUCAAGAAACUAAUUUAAUGAACUGAUUGAGACACUGUAUUUUUAUUUAUUAAGGAACACGGAGUACACAAAUGCAAAAGAAAAUCUCUCACUUAUCGGAAGAGAUCUUAUCAGUUGAACUGGACAAAAUAACACUUAUAUGAUUGACAGGUAAUAACAAUACCUAUCCUUUUAUUUAAAUAAACAUAACGGAAAAGAGUAACAUUGAACUCAUGCACUUAACCACUGUAGUCAGGAUUUCUCCCGUAUUGAGAGACAAUAAGGAAAUCAAGAGUUUCAGUCUCGAUCUCAUCAUCAGCAAUACUGGUCAAUGUGAAACCCUCUGACCAAUCGAUGUUACCUAAGAGUUAAUUCGUAAUAGAAAUCUUAAUCAUAAAUGAAUAUAUUAAAAUAAGAAUUAUAUAUAAAUGAUAUUCAACUCAAGUUAGCAUAAAAACCUGCGCAAGGAAAUUCCAUGUUCUUCAAAUAAAAAGGAUCUGCUUCUGGCGAGUUCUUGCUUCUGUUUUGAUAUAAUUAAUAUACAUGUGUAGCAUAAAUAUAUAUAGAAUGUAGUAACCGACGUUGCCAAGGUGAGUUAAUUGCAGAAAAUUUGAUAACGGAUUAAUUAAUUGUAGAUAGUUAGCAUGGGUCCCAGGGUUCACUGAUUAGCUAAUAAUUAAUUGUAGAUACCAAUUGAACAUUGUUUUUGAAUCGAUAAUCUAUUAUUGUAGUUUGUCCGCCAUCAUUGAUUGAACAUAGUUUUCUUUCAAUAUAUUAUUUAAUUUGGGUAAUGUGGCCAGACCUGCCAAAAUGUAGUUGUCUUUUGAAACAUUUUUUAAUGUUGUAGAAUAAAAAGGUGUGUCCGACAAUUGAUUCAUGAAUUAGUUACUCGAAAAUUCAAAAUCCAAGGGCAACAAAUUCUGGUAAAUCAGUAUUACUGAUGUAGCAUUGCACGUGAUAUCCAUGUGCUAGCUGAGAGCCAACAUUGAAAGCUUAGAUUGAGAGGAAUGAGAGUAAGUAGUAGCAUCUGAUCUGCAACAUUGUUUCUUAAUCACGUUUUAUUUAGUCCUGAUUCAUUACUUGUUAAGUUCGGCUGGAUCAAGAUUCAUUAAUCAAAGAUUGCUUGUAUUUAGAUCAAGCUUGAUUAAGUCCUUAGCUACAACAUAUAAUGAAUAAUGCUUGGAACUAGCUAUGGCAUCCAUAUGCGGGGGAUGUAUUUAAAUCGCUUUGUAAAAUAAAUCAAAAGAUCCUAUGGAAAAUUACUUGUUUCACAUGACUAUAGUCCCAAAACGGAGCUUUACAUAUAAUCUGAAUCAAAUCAAGCUACGGCAGAGGGAUGGGGGCCUCCAGAAUUUUAUCCAUGGGAGAGGGGACAGUGACAAUUUAGUAUUUAAUUUUUAAUUUUUUACUCUUUUGUAUUAAAAUUAAAACAAAAGAGUAACACUUCAUUUAAUCAAUAUAGUCUAAAUUUCUCUCGUAUCGAAGGACAAUAAGAAGAUCAAAAUUGUUAUUUACAUCUCAUCAUCAACAAUAGUACUCAACCAAGUGAAGACACAGGGCCGGCUUUAGAGUAUAUGGGGCUUUAGGCAAAAAGUUU
rnacentral:lncRNA from 1 species